rnacentral:lncRNA from 1 species
GACUUCCAUUAGGCAUAUACUCGAGCACUAAAGCCUUGAAAUCAAGAUUGGAACAACUAGUAAUGACUUUAACGAGAUUCCUAUGGCGAAGUCGGCACAAAACUUCACAUUCCGUAUCAAAACUCUUGAAUGCCGCAUCCAGUUGCAGGUUGAACACUUUAACUGCAAUGGCAGUUCCACUUUUGAGUAUGCCUUUGUAAACAGAGCCAAAACUUCCAGAACCAAUCAAAUUACUCUCACUAAGACCAUCCGUUGCUUGGAGCAGUUCAUAGUAUGAAAUUCGUUUCUUUGUAGCCAAUGAAUCUGAUUGUUGAGGAGCUCUUUUACCUCUUCUAUACCUUAUCCAUACAAACACAAAUAUGACAGGAACAAAUAAAAUUGCAAGUCCUAGAAAAAGAUAUAGAAGUAGCAAUAUUUUCUUGUUUGAUUUGUGCUUUGAUGAAGAUGGGCAUGAUGGGACACUAAAUCUUGAAGAACCACACAAUGCUUCAUUGUCAAUGAAAAAUUGACUCGAGAGGUUCUUGAAAGGACCCCCCGAGGGUAUUUCACCAUACAAUUGGUUGUCUGAAACAUUGAAAUACUUGAGGUAUUGAAGUUUCUCCAGAAACAUGGGAAUCAUUCCCGAUAAAUUAUUGUGAGAAAGGUCUAGGAAUUCUAAACCUACCAUGUUGCUCAUUGAGUCAGGUAUAGAUCCUUGAAACUUGUUGUGUCUCAAAGAAAGGAUUGCCAGAUUUUGCAAUCUUCCAAUUUCUCUAGGAAUUUUAUUUGAGAAUUGGUUCAUUGAUAGAUCGAUCUCUGUUACAGCCUUUAGAUUUCCAAUUUCUGGAGGCAAAGAACCUACCAUGUUGUUUGAUGAUAAGUCAAGAAACACUAGAUCCUGAAGAUUCCCUAUGCUUGGUGGUAUAUUGGAACUCAAUUUAUUGGAACCCAGAUGUAUCUCCCUAAGGGAAGUAAUAUUCCCUAAACAAUUAGGAAGAGAUCCUGAAAGCUGAUUUUGACCCAAGUAAAUUUCACCCAAAUUCUGCAAUUUACAUAUAUGAUCACCAAUAAAUCUUGUAAGUUUGUUGUUACUCAAGUUGAAGCGCUGAAUGUUUCUCAAGUUUCCAAUUGUCGUGGGAAUCGAUCCAGCCAAGCUGUUCUCAGAAAGAUCAAGGUCUAAUAAACUGCUUAAGUUCCCAACUUCCUUUGGAAUUCGCCCUUUGAUUUUACAACUGCUGGCAUAAAAUUUUAUUAGAGAUGUGGAAAAGUUCCCAACAGAGACUGGAAGCAUGCUGUUUAGAGGGUUGGAAGAUAGAGAUAGAGUUGUUAAAUUUUUGCAAUUGGGUAAGGAAGUAAGGAAGCUUAACGAAGAGUCGCUGGUUAAAUUGUUUUCUCUCAUGUUUAGGAACCGUAGAUGAGUCAAAUAUCCAAGAGAGCUAGGAAUCAAGCCAGUGAGUUUGUUGUAAGAAAGAUCUAGAAUAGUAAGUUCUGAACAAUUGGAGAUAGAAUGAGGAAUCGUUCCAACAAGAUUGUCGAAUGACAUAUAAAUCUCUUCAAUGUUGGGUAAGAGCGAACCUAAGUUUGAUGGGAGGCUUCCUGAUAGAUUGUUGAAUGAAAGAUCAACUACUCUUAGCCCUGAUAUGUUGAAGAUCUCCAUUGUAAGUGGACCACUAAUAUCAUUAAGAUCAAGCAGAAUUUCCUCCAACUCAAUGAGAUUGCUCAUCUCUUUGGGUAUUUCUCCUGCCAACACAAGGACAAAAAGGAAUACUGGUGAGUUAACUAGCAUAAGUUGUACUUCUUGCUAUCACUUUGAUUACGUACCGGAAAACCUAUUUUGUUCAAGAUAUAAAAAUUGCAUCUUGGUUAAGUUGCCAAUCUCUAGUGGUAAGAAUCCAUUAAGAUUGUUCCUCGCCAGUGACAAAACUUGCAACACCGAGAUGUUGAAUACGGAGAUUGGGACUGAGCUGGUUAACUGGUUUACCUCCAUCCACAACUCCAUCAAAUUAACAAGAUUUCCAAUUUCUUGUGGAAUUAUUCCUGCAGUUAAUGUCUAAUUAAUUUUAUUUUUUUUGAAGUAAAUAGAUAAAAGGGAAAAUACCCAAUUACCCCCUGAAUUAUACCCAAAAAGGCUAUGAUACACCUCAACUUAAAAGGGUCCUAUUACCCCUAAACUAAUUAAAAGUGUAAUUUUGACAUGGUGCCUAAGUGACCCAUACGUGGCACACACGUAUGUCUAUGUGAACACUUCAGUGUGUUGUGACAUGUAUGUGCCACUUAGGCACUAAAAUUACACUUUUAAUUAGUUCAGGGUAAUAGGACCCCCUUUAAGUUGAGGUGUGUCAUAGCCUUUUUGGGUAUAGUUCAGGGGGUAAUUGGGUAUUAUCUCUAGAUAAAUUAUUACUAGCAUUCAUAAGAGAAAACAUACCUGUGAAAUGGUUAAUUCCGAGAUACAGUUGCUGCAAGUUACUCAAUCUUCCAAGUUCACUAUGUAUUGGUCCAUCAAACUCAUUUUCCGAUAAACCUAGUAGUUGAAGUUGUGAACAAUUUGACAAGCUCGUGGGAAUAUGACCAUCAAGCUUGUUUGUUGAUAGAUAAAGACCUUUGAGAUUUGGAAGACCAUUGCAUAAACCAUUGGGAAGACUUCCUGAUAAGCUAUUGCCAGUAAAUGAAAUGACUUCGAUUCUAGAAAUAUUGAAAACUGUCAAUGGUAUAGAACCCGUAAGUUGAUUAUAUUGUAUGGCCAACCAGUUCAGGUUGUGAAGAUUGCCGAUUUCGUUUGGAAUGCUUCCUUGAAGUAAAUUGCCAGAUAAUUCUAACCUCUCCAACCUUGAGGCAUUCGAGAGAGACACAGGGAUAUGACCUUCUACGGAAUUGAAUGCCAAAUUCAACAUUUCAAGCUUUGAAAUGUUAAAAAAUGAUGAGGGAAGGGGGCCGGUAAAACUAUUAUUCUUAAGGCUUAGAAAUUGAAGUUCGUGUAAGAACCCAAACCAAGAAGGAACCUCCCCUAUAAAGUUGUUGAAACUUAAAUCAAGAAACUUAAGCCGACGCAAGCGUGUCAUUUCUUGAGGCAAAUUUCCAUGGAAGUUGUUCCUUCCCAAGUCAAGAGAAGCAAGAAAUGAGAGGUUUCCAAAAUCUUGUGGAAUUCUGCCUGUAAGAGCCAUAUUAGAAAGAUUCAAGGACUUCACUCGUUGGUGACGAGAGCCACAAGUGACUCCGACCCAAUGACAAACAGACGUAGACGGAGACCAACUUUCAUCCAAGAAGUGAAAGUGGUCCGAAAUGAUUUGAGAUUUCAGGGAAAGAAGAGCUAAUUGAUCAGUGGAGAUGUUAAAUUGGGUCAUGGCUGAACUACUUAUAAUAUAGUACUGGAGCAACAAGAGAAAAGAGGUGAAAGAUUUCUCCAUAAUUGCAUAAAUUGGUAGAAAUAUGGAUAUGACUAGCAAUGAUGUGGUUUUGAGACUUUAAAUAGCAAAGAGGUCUCUUGCUCUUUCUGAUUUUAAAAUCUAUAUUUUUGAGAAUUUUCCAUUCAAACAUAUUUUAAGGAAAAAGGAAAUAACUUUAAUUUCCUUUAUUAAUUAAUUAAGUCAUCUAAAGACUAAUAAUACAACUAAAGAAAGUAUUUUUAAUUUGUUCAGGUGGAAGACCAAGAAAGAAGAAUCAAAAUGGAGUCUUCCACUAACUUAUAUAAAUAACCAAAUGUAAGAUGUGCAUUGAGCAAGAAUAAAUACGGAGUAUAUAUAGAUAUAUGUUGGUGUAUGUUGUGCAUUUUUAAUUUAAAAAUUAGAAUAUUAAAGUGUAUGAUAAUUAAUAGGCAUAAAGUGGAGAAAUUGUUGCUAUUGUAACUUAUAUAAACCACAAUGAAAUGUUCUAACUCGCAUUAUCUCCUACUAAUUGUCCCACUGCUCCUCAAAUGACUAUCCACCUUCUUGACAUGUAUUUGUGGAAGAAAUCCUACACCUACAUAACUAACGGGUGUUUUAUUCUUUAUGUUGUAAUAGAUGAGAAGUAUUAUAUUGUGUUCAUAUUAGAGAGUAGUGUAGUGAAACUGUGAAAGAGAGAGUAGAGAUAAAGAAAAAAAUAGACUAAUUAUAUGUUAGAAUGAAGGUGUUCUUUUGGUGUAGCGCUGGAUUCUUCAACUAAUCUGGAGUUAUUUGAGUUAUACGACGUUGUUGUGGUAUUGUAUCCUAGAGGGAAAAAGUCUAAGAGUGACACUGCUGGAUCAGUGUAGAUUAUGCCACAUUGAACUUGAAUCUGCUUAAAAAGAGCGAGAUAUUCAUGUUAGCCUCCUAUACUUAUGUUCUAUAUUUUAAUAAUGACAAAAUAAUGAGUAAACAUUUGCAAGAUAUUGAAGAUCUCUAAUGAUGGAAGAAGAAGAUAUUGAAGAUACACCAAAGAUGCAGAAUUUCUGGGGAAUCAACUAAAGAUAUCCAAGAAUAUCUUGCUAAAUGAAACAAACAUUCAAUAACAAGAUGCCCGACACUAAACUUGGAACAAUAUCAAUGAUAUGGAAUCAAUGCAAGACUUCCAAGAAAAUCUCGCAAAGAAAAGCAAAUUCCAACAACAGCCUGACUGGAGCAAAACCUGGGAAAGAACAUCACUCCCUAUAGUAGCAAAAGGAAAGAAGAUCAAGGACGUAUAUGAUACGGACGUGUAUACAGUACCGUGUAUGGACAUAUCUGAUAUAUACAUACUAUAUGGUGUUGGUUUAAAAUCGUUAAAGGGAAAUAACAUAGAAAUUCAAUUCAAAAGCUAACCGACUAAACAGAGACGAAGUUUGUAAAAGAGAAUAUGCAGAGAGGUUGAUUAUUUUCUUGUAAAAGCCAUGUCUCAUUAAUACGUAAAAAAAUUGGAGAGAAUAAAAGCAAAGAAAGACGUGCAUUGCUGAAGCAACUCUCAACACUCCUCCUUGCUUUAUGAAAUGCAAACUCCAAUUUCUGUCUGAGAAGCUCGAAUUUGUUGACUGGUAAGGCUUAGCAAAUAUAUCAGCCCAUUGUUCUUCCGUCUUGUAGUAGACAAGAAUCACAUCUCCAUCUUUUUGAACUUCUCUCUGGAAGAAAAACUUGAUAUCUAAGCUCUUAAAUUUUUCAUGAAACACAGGAUUGUGAGAAAUAGCUAUUGUUGCUUGGUUAUCAAGUAGGUGAUGUUCCCAUAAAAUGGACAAAGGAUGCAUUUUUAGACUUGACUCGCCUUUUCCUCGAUCUGUAACAAUCUUAUUAUUGUCCUAUAGAUACUGAUUACUUAUAUAGUUAUAGUAUACGCUAAGCAAAAUAUGCUAAAUUGUGCUAAAGUAUUAAUUUCUUGCUAAUGGAGUUUGACGCUUUAAGAACAAAACAAUGCAGUUGGAAAGGAGAAAUGAGAAAAUUCUUGAUGAUCAAUUAUGUAUGAAUCUUGAACUGAAUUUGAAAAGUGAUUGUUUUUUAUCUCACUAAAAUAAUUUUAAGUGGACUCUGAUUACUUAAAAUGUUCCUCCCAGCACUAGUGCUAAAUGGUCCAUCUUUCACUAACAUAAUAGGUAUAUUUCUUUGCACUAUUGGGACUGCAUGUACCAAGAGCGCUCGGAUAUGUUCCAACAUGAUAGCUUUCGAAAGCAAACUGUGAUACAUUAUUCGAACAGAAGGUGGAAGAUUAACAGGAGGCACACCCCUGGACCUAAUUUAACUAACUGUAUAUUAAAGAGAGAAGUAUACAUUACCCCUGAACUUGACGAAUUUUUUUCAUAGUAUACCUAAACUUGACUUGUCCUAAGUACCACGAACUUGCUGUUUUAGUAAGUUGCAAGGCCUUUUUUUCUGACUGUCCAGUGCAUGUACACCACGUGAGUACACGUGGAAAAAAGUGUUGAUGUAGCUUUCUAUGUGGAUAAAUACCAUCCAGUUCCCUUAUAUUUAUCCUAUAUUAAAAAAUAACUCACUUCUACCUUUAAUUAUCUGAUUUCUCUCUAAAAAAAUUAUAUUUCUCAGUUUUCCUCUACUCCAAAGUAGUGAAAGGUUGAAUUUUCGUCGAUCAAGUAAGUUAUUAUCUAAAAAUUUAUAUUUUUUGGUGUGCGUUAAAAAAAUAUGAAAUUAUUUUUUUCCAGUUAGUGUUUCAUAGUAGUGUACGAUUAGUAUUUCGAUUCAGAUUUUGAGGAGACUCACAUGCACAAAUAUGCUUCUUAUUAUAAUUAACGGGGUAGGAAAUUGCAAUUUAAGUUAGGGGCUUACAAAAAUCAAACCGAUAAAAAUGUUAUUGAUUUAUUGUUAUAGGGUUAACAAUUUUUUUAAUGAUUUUAUAAAAAAAAAUUAUUGGGUCAUUGAUUCGAUUUUGAUUUUUUUUAUUAGGUAAACCGAUAACCUAAUAAGAUUAUGCUAAAUUAUUAUUUUACAUCCCAUAUAUAUAUAUAUAUACUAGUUAAGUUGCACGUGCCUCGCACGUGUAACCUUUGAUUAUUUAAAAUUAGACAAUUUCAUCUAUUGGAAGAUUUUUAAUAAAGCGCAAAAAGUUUAAAUCACUUCUCAAAGAUCCUCUACACUUUAAUAUAAUAAUGCAAAAAUAACAUAUACUUUUAUUGAAAGCACAUAGAUAUUUUACCACUAAGAGUUUCAAGUGGUUAAUGAAUCAUCAAUUUUGUGUUUGUCAUGUGAUACCUCUUUUCUUUACUGCUAGAAGCUAAGAGAGACGCAUCAAUUUGAAUUAUAUUUGUAGUGUGAUUAUUUUAUUUUAUUUUUCCUAUAUUAAAAAUAUUUCCUUAUUUUGAGAGUUAAAUCUUUAAAAAAUCUUUGAUUACAUCUUCUAACACUUUCAUAUUUAUUUCUUGAUUAUUUGAAUCUUCUUAAAAGUUGAUUUAGAAUUCUUAAACUAAUUAAAAAGGUAUUCGUCGUCAUUAAUUCUAAUAACUUUUAAUAAGAAAAAGGUUUUACAAUAAAUAUUUAAUUAAUUUUUAAUUCUUAAAUAUUAGAAAAAUAGUGAAAAGACAAUUUUGUCUAAAGCAAAAACUUUUAAUGAGGCGCAAAAAAUUUAAAGCUCUUCACACUUGACCAUAAAAUGCAGUGGUUAUCGCUCUUGCAAUUCUUAUUUAUUGCAAAACUAAAAUCAAAAGCGUGAGGAGCUUAGGUUCUUUUUUAAGAAAAUGAAAAGUAGCUAUGAAAAUAGGAUCUUCAACGCUAAAAUUUUAUAAUUCAGAAAUAUCGUUAACUCAAAGUGCAAAUCUGACCCCAAUUGUCAUAUUUUAGGUAAUUUUGAAUCUUUUAUCAAAUGGGUCCUAUAAGUUGUGAACAGUGAUGUAAGCUAGAUAAAGUAGCCGAGCUUGUCCAUAAAAUGCAGUGGUCAGAGGCAGAUCUAGAAUUUAAACUCCCAACCUAUAAUUCACCGCACUUUGUACUCUACAUCCGCCGCUGACAGUGGUUACCGCUCUUGCAAUUCUUAGAUAUUCCUAAUGGAAUAUAUUUGGUUAAGUGUUCACGAAAGACCAAAGCCUUUCGUUAUCCUUGAUUCUGACCAUGACUAUUAUAUUUAAGUGUUGUGUUUUUAUGUUUGUAACGACAAAAAAAAAAGAGAAAAAUAAACCCAGAAACUGCAUCCUAAAAAAGAAACCUGAUAACUGGCAAUAUCUUGUGCAGCUGCUUUCAUCUCAUCUUCAGUUCCUUCUGAUGGCGCGGAGCUGGAAUUAAGAUCUGAAUCUUUGGAAUCCAUCGCAUGCUUCAAAUUCAUCGGAAGCUCCCCUAUAUCUCCAGGCCAACGAUAAAAUUCCCUGAUUCUCCUAACGAUGGAGACACAGUAAUCUUCCAACUACAGAAACAAUGAGCACUUGGCAAUGUGAUGAUUUGAACAGAAUCAAAGUUCUUGGUAUAUGAACUUUGUAAGUUGCAGAUUAGAGAAGAAGGAAGAAGGGAGAACAGAGAAGAAAUGGAAUGGAGAGCUUGAUCAUUGAUUGAAUCUUGUGUUUUCUUAGCUUUACAUGUAGUGAGUAGCGUGUAUAUAUAUUGUUACAUGGAAGGAUCUAGAAGCUAACUUCCUAACUAACUCUAUCAACUAUACUUCACAUAGUUAGUUAAAUAAUUAACUUCCUGAAACAGAUUAACUGUUACAUUGAACUUGUAGCUCUUUCUUCUUCUUUCAACACUCCCCCUCAAGCUAGGUGAUCCCAAAUAGAUUUAGGAUGCCUAGCUUUGACAUCAAAUGUUCAUGUUGAGCUCUGUUGAGGCCCUUAGUUAGCACAUCAGCUGGUUGAUCCCUGGUAGGAAUAUAGUUGACUGUAACUAGUCCUUGAGUGAUCUUCUCCCUUAUGAAGUGGCAUUCUAUUUCAAUGUGCUUGGUCCUUUCAUGAUAUGCAGGAUUGGAUGCAAUUUGUAUUGCUGAGUUACUAUUAGUGUGAAUUUUUCCAGGCUGCUUGACAUCAAUCCCAAUCUCCUGUAAUAGUCCCAGUAACUAGACAAGUUUAGCCACAGUUGCUGCAAUGCUUCUGUAUUCAGCUUCAGCUGAACUCCUGGAAAUUGUGUUUUGCUUCUUACAUUUCUUGGAAACAAUAGAUUCUCCUAACUUUACCAAGUAGCCAGAUCUUCUUGAGAAUGGACAUGAUGCCCAAUCUGCAUCACAGUAUGCAAAGACUUCUGUAUUUGCUUGACUGGACAUUAAUACUCCUUGUCCAAGUUUCUUCUUAAUGUGUUUGACUUGUCUGAUAGCAGCAUCCAUGUGAUAUUUUUUUGAUUGUUGUAGAAACUGACUGAGAGUCUGGACACUAUAAGCAAUAUCAGGUCUGGUCAUAGUGAGAUACAACAAUUUUCCUAUGAGUCUCUGAUAAGCAUGCAGAUUAGCUGGUGGAUCAGUGGGUCCUUGCUCAUUUUUAUAGAUAUGAUCAUCACACUCCUUAGUGUCAACUUAAUGUUUGUGUCUAUAGGUGUAGCAGCUGGUUUAGCAGCACCAAGUCCCAAUUCAGAUACAAGCUCUAAUGCAUAUUUUCUCUGGUGCAUCAGAAUACUUUCUUUUGAUCUUGGAAAUUCAAUACCUAUUGACACCUAAUUUUGUCCCUUCCAAAGUCUAAUUUUAUUCAUUUUUAGUUCACCUUACCAUGUGUCCAACCCCAUGAAAUUAUAUCCCACAAAAAUACAAAAAUAAACAAAAAAUAAUACCUCUAACUAAUUUAUCUUAUCCUAACAACCUACCCAAUCAAAAGUUUCGACCUCCCUACCCACUCAUAUUUUUAUCCUCACAAUAACAAACUAAAAGAAAUAAUAUAUGCGGGACCCACCAAAAUUCCCACAUCAUAACAAAUCCAUGCCAAUUAUAAAAGAAAAAUUCUAAGAGGGAAAAAGGGGAGGCUCAUUCUUUGAUCGUCAUCUUCUCCACAAUAACAACAAUCAAAAAAUAAUCUUCCUCACAAGAACAACAACAACAACAACAACAACAACAACAACAACAACAACAACAACAACAACAACAACAACAACAACAACAACAACAACAACAACAACAACAACAACAACAACAACAACAACAACAACAACAACAACAACAACAACAACAACAACAACAACAACAACAACAACAACAACAACAACAACAACAACAACAACAACAACAACAACAAAAUUUUAAAAAAAGGGCGCCGGUGAACAGUAAUCGGUGAAUAGUAUCGGUGAACAGUAACGGUGUGAAAAGUGACGGUGAACGGUUCAUUAUUUGUUGAGUUGGAUUGUUGGUGUUAAGGUUCGUCUCGAGGUUUCCAGGUGCGGACUCUCUUUAUUCGAAUAACAUUGAGUUUGAAAGCUUCAAAUUUAAGGUCCAAUUCUUUCUUCUCUUUUAUUUAAUUCUUAUGUGAUUGUGAUUGCAUGUGAUUCGAUACUGUGGUUUGUUUGUUGAUGUGAACUAUUGGUGACAUUUGGGUGUGUGAUGUGCUAAGCAUGAUUGGUGAAUUUUUGUUAUUCUCGAUUGGUGGAUUGUGUAUUGAAAUGGGUUAAUCACGUGGUUGAAAAUGAAUUAAGGUGGGGAUUAAAAAUGGAGGAAAAUGAAUAUUGAUUAAUUUUGAUGUAUUGAUAAUGUUGAACAUGAUAGAAUUGUGAUACGUUGAAAUUGGUAGGCAAACAUAGGCCGGGUAGGCAAAUUUAGGAAUAACAAUUUGUUGGAGUGUUUGAAUAUGUGCGUGAAUAGUACUUUCUACUUUAUUGCACGAAAAGUUUAAAUUGUACUUAUUUGGCCGGCGAAUGCCCCGAAGAAUUUGUAUUGAUUUAUCCGGGGAAUGCCCCAAAGUAGCAUGUACGCAAAGGAGGCUCGUGAUCAAGNNNNNNNNNNNNNNNNNNNNNNNNNNNNNNNNNNNNNNNNNNNNNNNNNNNNNNNNNNNNNNNNNNNNNNNNNNNNNNNNNNNNNNNNNNNNNNNNNNNNNNNNNNNNNNNNNNNNNNNNNNNNNNNNNNNNNNNNNNNNNNNNNNNNNNNNNNNNNNNNNNNNNNNNNNNNNNNNNNNNNNNNNNNNNNNNNNNNNNNNNNNNNNNNNNNNNNNNNNNNNNNNNNNNNNNNNNNNNNNNNNNNNNNNNNNNNNNNNNNNNUAUAUAUAUAUAUGUAUGUAUGUAUGUAUAUACAUAUAUAUGUAUGUAUGUAUGUAUGUAUAUAUAUAUGUAUGUAUGUAUAUAUAUAUAUAUGUAUAUACAUACAUACACACAUAUAUAUAUAUGUAUGUAUGUAUAUAUACACAUAUACAUACACGUGCCUCGCACGAGUAACCUUUGAUUAUUUAAAAUUACACAAUUUUGUCUAUUGCAAAGAUUUUUGAUAAAGUGCAAAAAGUUUAAAUCAUUUCUCAAAGAUCCUUCACACUUUAAUAUAAUAAUGUAAAAAUAACAUAUAUUUUUAUUGAAAGCACAUAUAUAUUUUACCACCAAAAUUUUCAAGUGGUUAAUGAAUCUUCAAUUUUGCAUUUGUCAUGUGAUACCUCUUUUCCUUACUGCUACUGGCUAAGAGAGACAUAUCAAUUUGAACUAUAUUAGUAGUACGAUUAUUUUUUUCCUAUAUUAAACAUAUUUCCUUAUUUUGAAAGUUAAAUCUUUGAUUACUUAUUCUAACACUUUCGUAUUUAUUUCUUGAUUUUUUGAAUCUUCUUAAAAGUUGAUUUAGAAUUCUUAAGUUAAUAAAAAAGGUAUUCGUUGUCAUUAAUUCUGAUGAAUUUUAAUAAGAAAAAGGUUUUACAAUAAAUAUUUAAUUAAUUUUCAACUCUUAAAUAUUAGAAAAAUAGUGAAAAGACAAUUUUGUCUAAAGCAAAAACUUUUAAUGAGGCGCAAAAAAUUUAAAGCUCUUCACACUUGACCAUAAAAUGCAGUGGUUAUCGCUCUUGCAAUUCUUAUUUAUUGCAAAACUAAAAUCAAAAGCGUGAGGAGCUUAGGUUCUUUUUUAAGAAAAUGAAAAGUAGCAAUGAAAAUAGGAUCUUCAACGCUAAAAUUUUAUAAUUCAGAAAUAUCGUUAACUCAAAGUGCAAAUCUGACCCCAAUUGUCAUAUUUUAGGUAAUUUUGAAUCUUUUAUCAAAUGGGUCCUAUAAGUUGUGAACAGUGAUGUAAGCUAGAUAAAGUAGCCGAGCUUGUCCAUAAAAUGCAGUGGUCAGAGGCAGAUCUAGAAUUUAAACUCCCAACCUAUAAUUCACCGCACUUUGUACUCUACAUCCGCCGCUGACAGUGGUUACCGCUCUUGCAAUUCUUAGAUAUUCCUAAUGGAAUAUAUUUGGUUAAGUGUUCACGAAAGACCAAAGCCUUUCGUUAUCCUUGAUUCUGACCAUGACUAUUAUAUUUAAGUGUUGUGUUUUUAUGUUUGUAACGACAAAAAAAAAAGAGAAAAAUAAACCCAGAAACUGCAUCCUAAAAAAGAAACCUGAUAACUGGCAAUAUCUUGUGCAGCUGCUUUCAUCUCAUCUUCAGUUCCUUCUGAUGGCGCGGAGCUGGAAUUAAGAUCUGAAUCUUUGGAAUCCAUCGCAUGCUUCAAAUUCAUCGGAAGCUCCCCUAUAUCUCCAGGCCAACGAUAAAAUUCCCUGAUUCUCCUAACGAUGGAGACACAGUAAUCUUCCAACUACAGAAACAACGAGCACUUGGCAAUGUGAUGAUUGAACAAUAUUACCUACUGAUAAAAAGACGCAGAACGCCUGGGGUAAAAUGAUAAUCAACUAAAAGAGCGUAAAAAAAAAUAAAAGUGGUCAAUAAUGCAAAGCAUGCGUCAUCCACUACAUGGUAACUUCUUAACACAGGAUACUUAUCUCCCCUCAUAUGAAGCAGCCAUUGAAGUAGGUACAGCAAUCUCUGAAAUCUGUUGCUGGUAGAAGAUGACUGGUAUCCCCACGGAUUUGUUGUAAAAAGAAAAAAAAGAACAAUCUUUUCUUCAUUUUUUCAUGUUGUUUCCACUUUAGGGCCCUUACAACAUAACAUAAAUUAUCUUUUCAUAAAAAGUUAAAAAAGAUACACCAUUUUCUUUGUCACUUUCUUGAAAAUUCUACUGCAAUAAAGCUGAAACUUCCACUAAUGCUUCAUACAAUACUUGACUCAAUACCCUUUACAGGGAAUCAGUUCACUACCACAAAUCCACUAACAAAAAAGUCAUAUUCUAUGUGAAGAUUAAAGCAACUCGUGAUAUGCAUGGAAGAUGUUUGAUGAAAUGACUGAAAGAGUAUUCAAUUAAAAAAGACUGCAGCAACAGAGUAGGGAUGUUACCUUCUUUCUUUUUCUCAAUAAACAAAGACCAUUAGCAAUGGAUUGUGGAAAAAUUUCAUCUUUUUUGAGUAAAGUGGCUUAUAGUGUCAAUGAAGUGGUCGAGAAUAUAAUUCGAGGUUUCAGGUUCAAGUCCCUGAACUAGAUGAACUAAUAAAAUUCAUACCUCACAAGAUUCCAUAGACUGAUGCUGAAUAGUGAUCAUGUCAGAUGAGUUGACUGGAUACUUUUCAAUGGGGAAAGGAGGAAGAUAACGUUGACCAAGAAUUCUUAUAGAAACAAGAAAAACUCCACUUGCAAGGACCAUGGAGAUUUGCCUUUGACAUAGAAAUGCUUCUCUACAAUCCAAAAGGAGAAAAUAUUGUUAUCCAUUUGGUUCCGGAAGACAACUUUUGUACUUAAAGUAGUCAAUUUAGAUAAAGAAAACUUGAAGUCAUAUUCGAUACUCACAAAAAUAUAGAGAAUGCAUGAAUGUGAAGGAAGGCAAGAUCAAAGAAGAUACCAACUAGCCAUUCAGUAAAACACAAACCACCUCCAAAAGGGAGUUCAAAUACUUCAAAUAGCAAACUAAUGAGAGUGCUUUAUUAAAAGGCAUAGUCAUAAACAGGACAACUUGACAUCAAAUUAUAAUUAUGGCCUGUACAAGUAGGUUCUUUACCUAUACAAAAAAUCUCAACAAAAAAAUGCUUCAAUCUUGCAACACAUAUGCGUGAAAAUCGAUCCUACAUGGACUAGUACUCCAACCAAAUGCUGCCACCUAAUUGAAAAGAUACACGUAGAUUUUAGAUAUUAAAAAAAAAAAAAAAUUUAAUAUAUCACCAUCACAAAUACAUGUACUUUUUAGACUUUUUUUCCUUAAAAAUAAUAAUAAAAAAUGCCAUUAUUAAAAUAACAUUCAAGUCCGAUGAAAAUUGAAAGGUUCAUUUAGAAGAAAAUGUUAAAUCCGAUGAAAACCCUACCAAAUUUCCAUCUCUUAUUCCCUUUUAAUUAAGGAAAACUUAUUGAAAUUAUCCAUUGGAGCUUCACAAAAUAAAAGCCAUUUAACAUGAAGUCUGCACAAUUCCUUUAAAACUGUUAGCUCUUCGGAUAUUCAAAUGAAGCAUACACCAUCGUCUAAAGGAGAAACUGAGAAGAGCAUUAGAUAAUUGAUCAUACUUUUCUUAAUUGGGUUACUUUUUUAUUUUUUAGAGUGGUUGGAGAAAAUAAAAAGUGAAAAUUUGAUUUGUAUAUAUAUAAAAAGGAUUCCUUAAGGGUAUAAUAGUCAUUUGAGCAUUAUUUUUACUAUUGGGGGCUCUAAUUUUUAUCACACGUGCGAUAUUUUGUGUGUAAUCACGCAUUUUGUCAGGUAGGAUUGGAGUAUUUUUUUAUUCAGCUAUUGUAUAGUUAAAGGACUUACUUAUGCAUGAGCAAAGUUACAGGUCAUAGUUAUAAUUUGAUGUCAAUUUAAAGGUCUUAUUUAUGUAUUAUGGCUUAUUAAAACUGUAUUUGUUUACCAAUUAAAAGCUUCAAAAGAAGACCGGCUACAGAAGAAAUUCUCAGUUCAUGGAUAAUAACAAAUAAAGCAGGUAUGAAAAGCGCUUACACGUCAUACCUUGAAAGAUUUUGCAACAACACCCGAUGAUAAUUGCUAGUAGUAAUAUAUAAAAACACCUAAUUGAUAUGUGUUAAAGCUAUAAUGAAUGUACUAUAAUUUGAUAGAAUCAUGAAAUCUUUUACACUUUAAUAGUGACCUAGUUUUAAUAAACAUAUAUAGGUGUCUAUAGAUAGAUAAAGUAAAUCUUGUAUGUAUAUAUAAAAGUGUAAUCUAAUUAUCUAAUGCUUAAUCACUUAUUUAAUACAAUGUGAUUUCAUGCUAGGUCGUUAACUACCUAAUUGUUAUAUAUAAAAAUAUACAAUAUGUGCUAAUGAAUGUACCUUAUCGAAAUUAACUAAAACUUAACUCAUGUAGAAAAAAAUAUCACGAGUAAUAAACGUACAUGAAUUGAUAGACAUAGUAAUUAAAUUUCGUUUGUCCAUACAUCUAUUAUGAACAUUAGCAUCAAGUUUGACGCAAAAUUUAAAAGUAAUUCUUUACAAGUAAAAUAAUACAUCUUCUUUAUUUUCUAAAAAUUCCAUUUGCUCUCAUUUUUUUAUUUUUUAUUUUUUUGAAGUUAUCAGCGAUAUAGUAAAAACAUAAUGUAUAAAUCCCGCCCACCCCCCACCCCCCACACCACGAAAAAAANNNNNNNNNNNNNNNNNNNNNNNNNNNNNNNNNNNNNNNNNNNNNNNNNNNNNNNNNNNNNNNNNNNNNNNNNNNNNNNNNUGUGGCAUUAAAAACUAAAUACAUAUUUAUAGAAAAGUUUGGUUAACUUCCACAAAUUUUAAUUACAACAAUUUCAUGUCUUUCUUGCAUCUUUUUAAACCUAUAUAGACUUCUUUAUAAUACAUAUUUAGAAUGUCAGUUAGACUAACCUGAAAAAGUAAAACUAUGUAAUUAUUAGGAAUAAUUACAAUGCCCAUCAAGUUCACUUUCUCCUCUCUUGUCGCCGCCUUCCCACUUUUUUGCUUCUUUGGCGCCAUUUUCACUAGUGAUAAGGAUAAAAGAAAGCGUAGGAGAGAAGAGCUGAUCAAAUAGCAAAGUGGUAGGAGAAGCAAACAGAAACACAUGUGAUGUGGCAUUGUCAUUUCCCUUUCUUGAUUAAAUAGGCGCUUAAUACUACCUAGAGACAACAUAAAACAAAAAUACUCAUCAUUGAUUUGUUUGCUGACCAUUAGGCUACCUCGGAUUCUUCCCUCUAGAUAUUAAUGAGGUGGCUGGGAAGGAUAGAUCCCAACUUAUUAUACACGGAUAAGGAUAUUUCUCGUCAAUCUAAUACUGAUAUAGUUCCUAUAGCCAUAUUCCUUGACUUUCCUAGACUUAUUAGUAUAUUCCUUCUAUUUUCUUACUGGAAUGGAUAUUCUAACAACAAAUGGCCUAGCUUAGGUAGUUGGCAGCACUUUAUCGUGAGCUGCAUCGGAAAGAGUAUCCAAUUUAUGCUUUAUGGAAAGGGUACUACUUAGUGUAUAUAACAUUUCUAAGUUGGUUCUCACAGGUAAACAAAGAGGUGGAUCAUCUGAUCAUAAAAUAGAUCAUCCCGUUCGUCCCAUUCUUUGAUUAUGAUCGUACUGGAUCGGACGAUUCUGAGCAUCCUGCUUUUAACAUUCAUUCUACAGAACGAAAAAAAACUUGUUUUAUUUUGCUUUUCUAUUUUUUUCCUUUUGUGUGUGAUUGUAUUCUAGUUAACCCACAUUCUUUCCGCAACAGCCAUAUAUCAAUUAUGUUGUGAAAGAUGGACCAUUUAGCACUAGUGUUGACUCUCACACCAUCAGCUCUACCAAAAACGGAUUGUUAGACAUUACUCGAACAAAAGGCAGAAGAUUAACAGGAGGCAUACCUGGAGCUAAUUUAGCUAACUGCUCAUUGUUAAAUAUACAGGGUCUGGUCGGUGUGGCCGCGACAAGGACUUGGUUUCAGAUGGGAAACUUAGUGAGUCAGCAUAAUGGGGAAUCCAGCGAAUCGUUGAAAAUAACAGAUCCUUUCUGCAGUGUAGGAACAAACAAAAUCCAUUUAUAUUACAUGCCUAUCUGUAUUCGUGCACUUAAUUCCUCUAAAAUAUUUUGGUUUUACUUAUUCAAUUUACAAGUUCCCCCCUGUUGCAACAAUAAUACUAAGAGGAAACAGUGAGAUGUAUUGCAACCAUCUAGCAUUUCUGAAAACAGAAUCAUGCACAAAUCAAUUGCUAAAACAAAACAAUACAAAACAACAAUCUUUACAUGAAUACAGCAAUUUAGAAAAAGUUGAAACAAACAAGUGAGUUGGAACAACAGAUUCCAAAAUCAUGUUCAAUAUGCAAGAAGUUGAAUCUUGAUCUUCUGCAGCAUCCCUACAACAUCUUUCAUGUUUGUCCUUCUUCCCAGAGAUUCAGCACAACAAUCUAAUGCAACUUUCAUGAUUGAAGCCACAACAUCUAGCUCCUUCUGAUUACCAGUUGCUGUUAUCAAGUUGGCAUCUACGACGUCCAUUAUUGCCUCUGGGAGUGAAUAGCUCACCCAUUGCUUCAAGCUAAGGUCACCCUUAAACUCAUUAGGCUUUCUCCUAGUAAAUGUUUCCAGCAACAUGACCCCAUAACUAUAGACAUCACACUUUGUUGACACUCGUCCUUCCAGACCAUACUCUACAGUCAAAUAAUUCAUUUAAAGAUGCAAUAUGCUUUCUACNNNNNNNNNNNNNNNNNNNNNNNNNNNNNNNNNNNNNNNNNNNNNNNNNNNNNNNNNNNNNNNNNNNNNNNNNNNNNNNNNNNNNNNNNNNNNNNNNNNNNNNNNNNNNNNNNNNNNNNNNNNNNNNNNNNNNNNNNNNNNNNNNNNNNNNNNNNNNNNNNNNNNNNNNNNNNNNNNNNNNNNNNNNNNNNNNNNNNNNNNNNNNNNNNNNNNNNNNNNNNNNNNNNNNNNNNNNNNNNNNNNNNNNNNNNNNNNNNNNNNNNNNNNNNNNNNNNNNNNNNNNNNNNNNNNNNNNNNNNNNNNNNNNNNNNNNNNNNNNNNNNNNNNNNNNNNNNNNNNNNNNNNNNNNNNNNNNNNNNNNNNNNNNNNNNNNNNNNNNNNNNNNNNNNNNNNNNNNNNNNNNNNNNNNNNNNNNNNNNNNNNNNNNNNNNNNNNNNNNNNNNNNNNNNNNNNNNNNNNNNNNNNNNNNNNNNNNNNNNNNNNNNNNNNNNNNNNNNNNNGCAUCAGUUGCUUGGAUCAAUUCAUAGUAUGAAAUUCUUUCUCUUGUUAUGGCAGACAAUGAAUCAGCUUGUUGAGGAGCUCUUUUACCUUUUCUAUACCUUAUCCAGAAAAAAAUAAUGGUGCUAGGAACAAUUCCCAGCAAAAGAGAAAGAACUAGCAAUUUUUUCCUAUUCAAUCUGUGCUUUGAAGAAGUGGGGCAUGGCGGGACACUAAAUCUUGAAGAACCACACAAUGCUUCAUUGUAGAUGAAAAAUUGACUCGACAGCUUCUUGAAAGGACCUCCCGAGGGUAUUUCACCGUGCAAUUUGUUGACAGAAAUAUUGAAAUAUUUCAAGUUUUGAAGUUUCUCCAAAGACUUAGGAAUGAUUCCAGAUAUAUUAUUAUGAGAAAGGUCUAGGAAUUCCAAGCCUACCAUGUUGCUCAUUGAGUCAGGUAUAGCUCCUUGUAACUUGUUGUGUCUCAAAGAAAGGUUUGCCAUAUUUUGCAAACCUCCAAUUUCUCUUGGAAUUUCAUUUGAGAAUUUAUUCAUCGAUAGAUCCAUCUUUAUUACAGCCUUUAGAUUUCCAAUUUCUAGAGGUAAAGAACCUACCAUGUUGUUUGACGAUAAGUCAAGAACCAUUAGAUCCUUAAGAUUCCAUAAGCUUGAUGGUAUAAUGGAACUCAAUUUAUUGGAAUCCAGAUGUAUCUCUCUAAGGGAAGUAACAUUCCCCAAACAAUUCGGAAGAGAUCCUGAAAGUUGAUUUUGACUGAAGUAAAUAGCACCCAAACGUUGUAAUUUACAAAAAUUAUCUCUAAUAAAUCCGGUAAAUUUGUUGUUACCCAAGUCAAAGUGCUGAAGGUUUUCCAUCUUGCCAAUUGAUGUGGGAAUCGAUCCAACUAAGUUAUUUCCAGAAAGAUCAAGGUCUAACACGCUGCUUAAGUUCCCAAUUUCAUCUGGAAUUGGCCCUCUGAUUUUGCAACUGUUGGCGUAAAAUUUUAUUAGAGAUGUGGAAAAGUUUCCUACAGAGACUGGAAGCAUUCCAUUUAGUGGAAUCAAAUUUAGAGAAAGGUUUGUUAAAUUUCUGCAAUUGGUUAAGGAAGUCAGGAAGCUUAAUGAUGAAUCGCUGGUUAAAUUGUUUUCCGCCAAGUUUAGGUACUGUAAGAGAAGUAGGAAUCAAGCCAGUGAGUUUGUUGGAUGGAAGAUCAAGAAAAGUUAGUUCUGAACAAUUUGAGAUAGAAUCAGGAAUAGUCCCAACUAGAUUGUUUAUGUUGGCCAGAUCAAGCUCUUCAAUGUUGGGUAAUAUAGAACCAAUGUUUGGUGGGAGGAUUCCUGAUAGAUUAUUGUUGUCUGUAAGUGAAAUUGCUCUCAGCCCUGAUAUGUUGAAGGUCUCCAUGUCAAGUCGACCACUAAAACUAUUAGCAGCAAGAUCAAGUUUCUCCAACUGAACGAGAUUGCUUAUCUCUUUGGGUAUUUCACCUGGCAACAUAUGAUGAAAGGUGUACUGAUGAGUUUAACUAGUUAGCUCAACAUAGUAUAAGUUGCAUUUUUAGCUACCAUUCUGAAUACGUACCAAUAAAUGUAUUAGUACUAAGAUGUAAAUGCUGCAUCUUUGUUAAGUUGCCAAUCUCCCUUGGUAAGGUACCCUUGAGAUUGUUGGCUGACAAUGACAAUAGUUGCAGAGAUGUGAUAUUGAAUAUGGAGAUUGGGACAGAGCCGGUAAUAUGGUUUUUCUCCACGCUUAACUUCACCAAAUUAAUAAGAUUUCCAGUUUCUUGUGGAAUUAUCCCUGUAAUUUAUGUGUAAUUCAAAAGUAUAUAUGUAAGAAAUAUAAUGCGAGAAAUAAUUAUCAACAUUAAAUUAGGCCUAUACAAGCUUUUCUUUAUAUAGUAAUACGGGGCAAAUGUACAACACUCGUUCCCAGAACUAAUAAGAUAAAACAUACCAGUGAAUUGGUUUGUUCCUAGAUACAAUUCCUGCAAGUUAUUCAAUCUUCCAAUUUCUUUACGUAUUGGUCCAUCAAACUCAUUAAAUGACAAAGACAAUACUUGAAGUUGUGAACAAUUUGACAAGCUUGUAGGCAUACAGCCGUGAAGAUUGUUUUUGGAUAGAUAAAGCCCUUUGAGUAUUGGGAGACCAUUGCAUAAACCAUUGGGAAGAUCUCCUGAGAAGCUAUUGCCAGUAAAUGAGAUGAGUUCGAUUCUAGAAAUAUUGAAAAUUGUUAAUGGUAUAGAACCCGUAAGUUGAUUAAAUUGCAUGGCCAACCAGUUCAUGUUGUGAAGAUUUCCGAUCCCUUCUGGAAUGUUUCCUUGAAGUGAAUUAUAAGAUAUUUUUAAAGUCUCCAACCUUGAGGCAUUAGAGAGUGACAAAGGAAUAGAACCUAUCAGUUUGUUUCCACUUAAUUCUAAAAUCCUCAAGUUUACAAGACUUCCAAUCACUUUUGGUAUUUGGCCCUCUAUGGAAUUGAAUUUCAGAUUCAAAGUCUCAAGUGUGGAAAUAUUAGAAAAUGAAGAAGGAAUAGAACCACUGAAACUAUUAUUCAUAAGACUUACAAAUUGAAGUUGGUGUAAAAAACCAAACCAAGAAGGAACCUUUCCUAUGAAGUUGUUAAAACUUAACCUAAGAAAUUUAAGCCGACGCAAGUGUGCCAUUUCUUGAGGCAAGUUGCCCUGGAAACUGUUGCUUUCCAAGUCAAGAGAAACAAGAAAUGUGAGGUUUCCAAAAUCGCGAGGGAUCCUGCCUGUAAGAGCCAUGUUGGAAAGAUUCAAAGACUUCACUUGCUGGUGGCGAGAACCACAAGUGACACCCACCCAAAGGCAUACAGAAAUAUCGGGAGACCAACUUUCAUCCAAGAAGUGAGAAGGGUCUGAAAUGAUUUGGGAUUUCAAAGAGAGAAGAGCCGAUUGAUCAGUGGUAAUGUUGAUUUGGGUCAUGGCUGAACUAGCCAUAACAUAUUGAAGCAACAAGAGUACUAUUAGGAGAAAAGAGGUGAAAGCUUUCUCCAUAAUUGCAUAAAUUGGUAGGAAUAUGGAUAUGACUGGCAAUAAUGUGAGUUUGAGACUUUAAAAAGCAAAGAGAUAUCUUGCUCUUUCUUUUAGAAUAUCUUUUCAUUCAAACAUCGGUUAAGGCAAAAGGAAAAGCUUGCUUUUUUUUAUGUCAUCUCAAGAGUAAUAAUACAACUAAAGAAAGAAAAAGAAACUGUCUUUAAAUUGUUAAAGUGGCAGACCAAGAAAGAAAUAUGUCGUAUUGACUUGAAAAGGAGUCUUCCACUAACUUUAAUACCCAAAGGUAAGAUGUUCAAUUGAAAGAAUGAAUUCUGUACAUAUUUAACAAACAAAAAUUAAAAAUAUUUGACAAAGACUAAAAAUGUUACUCCCACUUUACAAACUUAAAGGGCCAAAACUGUUAAAUACAUGCUUGAGAGACCAUCUUGAAUCCACCAUUAUACAUAAGAUCCCAUUAGUGUUAUUUUAUCCUAACUUUUACAACCAAAUGUAAGGAUGCAAUAACACAGCAAGAACGAAUUGGAUUAAUAUUAGAGAUAAGUAUUCAGUACCUCCGAACUAUGGCCAAAGUUACUACGACAUACUCCAACUUCACAGGGAUUCUAUUACCCCUUAACUCAAUUUUAGCUUAUUUUUUCACCCUAUUGUGCAAAUAUGACACCUUUAUUACAUAAAAUGAGGCUCACAUCAAAGGUACUACAUCAGCUAAAAAGGCUGACAAAAGGUGCCACAUCAUCUAAAAUGGUUGACAAAAAUAAGCUAAAAUUUAGUUCGCGGGUAAUAGGACCCCAUGAGAUUGGAAUGUGUCGUAGCAAAUUUAUUCUUAGUUCAGGGUUCUAGAUUCUUUACUCUUAAAAUUACAAUGAAUUUAUAAGAAAGAUGUUCAUGUUUUAAAUGACUCUUCCUUGCUAAAGUUACCAAUAAUUUCAAUAUUACAAUGACUUCAUAAGAAAGAUAUUCACGUUUAAAAUGAUUCUUUCUUUGAGGAAGUACCAAUAAUUUCCCUUCUUAGACCUGUACAGGGAACAAGAAAUAAAGUUGUGGGCUCCAAAGAAAAAUUAUAAAAAAGGAAACGUAAGGGACAGAUAUGAAAUUCACACUUCGAAUACCUUUUCUUGAUUGGAGUAUUAUUUUUGAUUUACAUCAUAACAAUAGUGACUUAGUUUUGGCAAACCAAAAUCUAACUAGUGUCAGCUAUGGGGUUCAUUGGGAUUUGUAUCUUUCGAUCCCAUAUCAACAUAUCAACAACUUUUUAUGUUUGAACCCAUAAUUUUGAUAUUUCAAUGUGUUCAAAUUGAAAGAACUACUGAUAUAACAGCCAAUGUUACAUACUUUUUUCAUUUUCCAGAAGAGAAUAUUACGGCUUCCGUAAUAUGUGGACACAUCCAAAGACCAUACGAACACGGGCUGUUACUUCGAGGUAUAUUACAAAAGCUAAAUCAGCAAACUUAAUCUUUCAUGAUAAUAUUUGGACUUUUCACAUUCAUACAGCACAUUUUCCUGUAUGAAGAAAAAACAGGUUCGUCUGUUCCGGCAUGUCAGAAGCAGACGUAGGGCAAUCUCUGUACGGACCUCCUGGAACGAAUAGGAUCUAGACCAUAGUGUUGAUGCAGUAGUUUCUGGUAUGAGGAGGGUAGUGUACAAGCAGACGUUACCUUUACCAUGUGGGGUAGAGAGGUUCCGAUGGAUCCUUGGAUCAAGUGAACAUAUUACAAAGCAGUUCUUAGAAGAGAAAUGGCGAGAGAGAAGAAGCCGAUACAAAAUGCUAAAGAAAGCAUGACAAUGCAUACAAAAAAAGGAACCGCGAGCAGCUGUAAAAAGAGGAAAGAAAUAGUGAAGACGGUGUGUGUGUGUGUGUGUGUGACUUUGAGGGUCAAUUUAUUCAUAAGACGUCUUAACAACUACUACUGAGUAAUAAAAACACAGAUUAGGAGACCUACCUUCUAUACCACCACCACCAUCACUACUAGUACUAUUUCUACUACUACUAAGGCUAGCACAACAACCCUUUUGCUUUCCCUUUUUCAUGAUCUGUUAGUCAAAGGAUGUCUCUCCUUGUAUUUGUUGUUUUUGUUGUUUAAUGUCACACAAGCUAUGUUAUGUUACAGAUCAUUAGUCUACCUUCUAGACAAUUUACUUCUACCACCUAGUUUCUUUACAAGUCAGAGAGUGAGGAGAAAUAGAGAUUUAACCACCCACCACACCAUUGUAAACUAUCUUUUAUCUAAUGCCUAACGAUGAAACACGAAGAUGCAGACUAUGGAAGGUGUACCCCCUUCUACGUCCUUCCAUAUCGAACAGUCUACUUUCAUCCAUUCGUAAUGUCCGGGAAGGGGCUUCCCAUUAACUGGAUCAAAGUUGUACCUUCAGAUGGUUCCAAACACUGAAAAAAUUAGACACGGUGUGCAAUGGAAAUAACAUGUACAAAGAUGUGUGAAAUGAAAAUUUCAUACUUCUCAAUGAAUUUUUUCAAUUCCUGCUCUUCUCCACUGGAGAAAAAUUCAUUCAUUUCACGAGCUGUUGGGAUAAUCGUUUGCCUCGAGUUUGCCUCAUUUGCAUCAAUACUCCUCGUACUGGAACCAGGGGUCUAAAUGUUGUCCAACUUCCUCAUUUCCCUCAUAGACCUGUACAGGGGACAGGAAAUAAAGUUGUGGGCUCCAAAAAAAAUUACAAAAAAGGAAAUUUAAUGGACAGCUAUGAAAUUCACACUUUGAUUCUUUGAAUAGAUUUUCUGCAUUAACUUUGGCUUUAUACCGGUGGACAACCUAAUAUUAACAUCAUAACAAAUAUUGACUUAGUUUUGGCAAACCAAAAUGUAACUAGUGUCAGCUAUGGAUUCACCGGGUUUUGUAACUUUCGAUAUAGAGUAUAUAUAUAUAUAUAUAUAUAUCAAAAAUGCUACUGAAAUAUCAACAACUAUUAUGUUUGAACCCAUAAUUUUAAUAUUUCAAUGUAUUCAAUAUUGAAAAAGCUACUAAUGUAACAGCCAAUGUUAUAUACCUUUUUCGUUUUCCAGAAGAGAAUAUUACGGCUUCUGUAAUAUGUUGACACAUCCAAAGACCAUAUGAACCCUGGCUGUUACUUUGAUGUAAUUACAAAAGCUAAAUCAGCCAACUUCAUCGUUCAUGGUAAUAUUCGGACUUUCCACAUUCGUAUCAGCAAUCAAAGUUUGUGUCUGUUUUCCUUCAUGAAUCUGCUCUACGCGCACAUUUUCCUGUAUGAAGAAACAACAGGUUUGCCUGUUCUGGCAUGUCAGAAGCAGACGUAGGACAAUCUCUGUACGAACCUCCUGGAAUGAAUAGGAUCUAGAGCAUAGUGUUGAUGGCAGUAGCUUCUGUUGCAAAAUGUGUCCUAAAAAAGUACUAACAUUAUUUUUUUCCAAAUCGUCAACGUCAUUUCCAUUUUCAUCAUCGUGAAGCUGCUGCGUACAUGGUUCUAUUUGGAGUUUCGUUGUUUCGCAAAUUUUGAUCUUCCGAUAAAAUGGUCAGCCGCCCCUCUGCUCCCAAUGGCUUUCUGAUUUCUGGAUGUGAACUCAUUGCUUUUUCCCACAUAGGGGUAGAGGGUAUAGGACACACAAAAUUUAAACUAACUAUCGACAACAUUAUGAACUUACGUGCACCUGAUUCUGAUUACUCAUCUGCAGCACUAUUGCUAAUUGGUUUACAGCUUUGCAGCAUUUGCUAUUUUUAUGACUGUAAAUAUCGUCUCGCACACAAUUACUCAAACAGAUAUAUAGCUUUGCAUUCAUAAAGUUAACUCUGCCUCGAUCACAAAAUACUGGUUGGUAUGAAAUGGUCAGCCACCCUUCUGCUACCAAUGGAUUUCCCAUAUAGGGGUAGAGGGUAUACCUAACUAUUGACAACAUUCUGAACUUGAGUGCACCUGAAAAGAAAUUGAACGAACUGGAUGUACUAAAACUAUAGUUCGACUAUUCCGCACUGGCGGAGCAACCUUGAAUCUAGGGGGUUCACCCCCUUCUAUGGAAAAUUAUAUUAUUUUGAUACAUUUUUACAUGGUCAAAAGUAUUUUUUGUAUAUAUAAUAGAUGUUGAACCCCCUUCGACUACUCCGUAUGUUUACUUCUGAACCUCCACAAUGAAAAUCCUAGCUCUGCCACUGCUGAUCAGUGCAUCUUCCUUUUGAUUAUUCUGAGGUACAAGAGUGUCGUGCAACCGAGGAUACAAACUGGAUAUACUAAAACUCGAGUUUGACUUGACUCGUUUCGUUUCUUCUGUAACAUUAUUCUUAUUAUUAUCUUUUUGACACACUGGUUUCCUCUAGAUUCUGAUUACUACUGCUAAUUGGUCUACGGAUUUGCAGCAGUGGCUAUUUUAUGACUCUAUAUAUUGUCUCGCAUACCAUUACUCGAACAUAUAUAUAGCUUUGUGUUCAUACAGUUAACUCUACCUCGAUCACAAACUAGUUGGUUGAAAUGAAUCUUAGGUCUCCAUUCCACUCUAUAACGAACACUUUAUUACACUAAAAAAAAUUGAGCUUUAAGAAAAAUUAAGUUCUCUAAAACUAGACGUCCUCUUUGUCAUCUACAGAAAUAAAAUUAUGCCAGUAAGACAACCAAUUGGAAACAACCAACACUUAACUAACAACUAAUCUAAAACAGUUAUAACUAACUGCACUGCUCUAAUAUGGAUUAGCAUACCCGCCACCCCCCACCCCAUCAAGCUGGAAUUUGGGAAUGAGUUUCCAAAUAUUGAGGUUGAAUCAUCCGUUAUUUGAUUUUCUCCCCGACGAAAUGGAAAUCUAUGUCGAUAUGAUUAGCCCUCACAUACAAAAUAGGAUUAGAGGCUAUCUGUAUAGAAGCCGUGUAAUCUCAUCGGAGCAUGAACUGGUAACCCUAAUUCUUGCAACAAACCAACCAGCUUUUAAAACAUUUGUAUUACUUGCCUAUUUGUAUUCAUAUAGCUGAUUCCUCUAUCGAAUUCGAAGAGCUCUAGCUAACUGUUUGCUGUUUCCUGGUCUUCCAUGAAAUAACGGAAUUGCGUAAACUUGAUGACAUAACUAACUUCCUAUUGAGUCACAAAAUUCUUCAAGCUGGUCCAUACCACCCAUGGAAAAGAAAACACCCAAUCCGAUAGAGCUUUUAACAUAUCUGAGAUUGUUUUGGAAAAGCACCUGUACUGCAAAAGCCUAUUUGUUUUAUAAUGAGGAAUGAAGAAUGUCUGCAAUCUCGAAAACACACAAAUGUACAAAGGAGAGGAAAUAAAAAAGUACAACACGACAAUUGAAUAUCCUUCCCAGGAAAUUACUGACUGAUUUGGUGUUUGCCUAGAAAACGAAAAGUAAUAAAAUCUUUUUUAUGAGAAUUUUCCAUUCACACAUAUUUUAAGGAAAAAAGGAGUAACUUUCCUUUAUUCAUUAAUUAAGUCAUCUACAGACUAAUAAUAAAAAAAAAGAAACAAAAAAAAAAAUGACUUUGAUUUGUUUAAGUGGCAGACCAAGAAAGAAGACUCAAAAAGGAGUCUUCUUAUACCAAAUGUAAGAUGCUCAUUGGAGGAGCAAGAAUGAAUUGAAUAGAUUUUCAUAAUUUGAGUUCACAACUUAAACAGUACUGACUAUAAUUUCAUAAUAAAUAGGAAUUUAGUUUUGGCAAACCAAAAUUUAACUAGUGUCAGCUAUGGCUUCACCGGGAUUCAUAUCUUUUGAUACGGAGUAUAGAUAUAUAUGGAAAAAGCUACUAAAACAUCAACAACUAUUAGGUUUGAACCUCUGAUUUUAAAGGAUUUCUCAGAGUAAACCCCGACAAAGUUUGUUAUUACUCAUGUGCAAGCCCUGAAGGUCUCUUAAGUAGCCAAUUGAUGUGGGAAUCGAUAGAUCCAAUUAAGUUGUUUAACAUGUGUAACGCCCUGUAAAAAAUUGGGCAAUGCGUUGUCUCUUAUUAGAAUAUGCAUGGAAUAAGAAACUUGAAAAUAUUCUAAGUGUCAAAAGGACUUAGUUACAUUUUGAGCUUUCAAUCGUCGGGAAUCUUAUUUUUGACCUUACAGACUUCUGAUUUUCUAUUUUUAAGUUGCAUUACGAUCGGGCAAGGUCGUAGUACAUCUCGGGUAAGUUUCGAAAUUUUUAGACGAGCUUAAGAUCAUGUUUGGGUUGGCAAAACAGUAGCAAAAGGCGUUAAGGGGGUGCCACCCAGGUCCCUCCCUCGCUCUAAGCGGGGCGCCGCCCUAGUCUUACCCCCGUUAUAAGCAGGGCGCCGCCCUGGAAACUCCUGUUGGGCUAAAUUUUAGCAUCUCCUCUCCGACUCUUUAAGGGUAAAUUGGGUAAUUCCCAAACCCUUAUUAACCUUAACACGAGAUUUAAUCCUAAACACACCAAAAUACAAUCAUAUUCAUCUAAAAUCCACGAAAACUCUCCUUAGGGUUUAAAACUAAUAACCCUAAUAGUUCAAGAUUCAACCAUGAGUUUUCAAAACAAAUAGAAGAUUUGGAAUCGCUGCAACGUAGGCUUCAAGAAGCACCCAUCACUUUCUGAAAUAGAGGUACGCGGCGAUCUCCUAAAAAUCUCAUGGGCUUAAAAAUUCAUGUUUUAAAAAUGGGGAUUUUGAAAUUAUGAAUAUAAUCAUGUUUUAAACAUCUCUAUGAUAUUGAUUUGGUCUUGAAGCCUAUCCCCGAAGUGAUUUGAUAUAUUAUAUAUGUAUAUGCAUGUGAUUCAAAAAGAUGUUAACUUGAGAGCAUGAAUUAUAUGAAAUCCCUCUCUUGAUAUAAUUUUGUUUUAAAUUAUCAUAUGAUGUGAAUUGUUUGAAAAUCAUCUUGAAAAUAAUGAUGUGAUACUGAUGACUUGCAAGUCGAGUAUGACGAUACCCUACAAAACAUGAUAUGUGAUUUUAUUAAAUGAAGUUGAAUGCAUUGAUUUUACAUGAGAUAUGUGGAUGCCCGAAGAAGGCGUUUGAGUGUAAGGGCUCAUCGCUGGAAACCGUGUUUGCCAACAUGGGAAUUUAGUACCCUGCUUUGUGAUCUUGCGUACCUGACUUUAUGUCAUCCUAAAUUGGGACUAUGGUUAGGAGCCUUGCUUUGUGAUCUUGUGCACUACCAUACUUUAUUGGGCCGAGACACCCUGCUGUGUGAUCUUUUAUGUCUUCCCCUCACUUAUACUCUAAUCUCGGAGGCAACCGAGGUUUGACAGUUGGUGUAAAUGUGAUAUUGUAAGGUAUGCCACCUAGCUCAGCUGCAUUGCAUUGUUGUAAAAAAAAAUUAUUACAUUAUGCCCAUGAAUGAUUUCAUAUGAAACUUCUUUAUAAUGGCUCUCACUUAUAAUUUGUAAAAAUAUUUUUUGAUUUUUGAUUUCUCUGCGUACCAGUACAUCUGUUUUGACCCCCUUCCCUCUCAGGUUCGGAGGCACAGUCUAGGGGUCCAGAAAAUCAGUAGAUUCUCAGGCAGAUUUGCAGAGUCACUUGGUGAGCCUUCUAUAUUCUGGAAGCCCUGAUUGUUUGGCAGUUUUAGUUACCACUUAGUAGUUUUGGGUAUACUGGGGGCCUUGUCCCAGUUUUCGGAAAGUUGUUUAUUUCAGUCAUGUAGUAGAGAUUUCGCUGAUGGUAUAGAGAUUGUGGGACAUUAUUACCCAUUAUAGUUUCCAUAUGAUUCUUGGCCAUGUUUUUAAAUAUUAUUUAUCUUCCGCAUUUGUUUUUUCAUAUGAGUUAUGUGCAUGAUUACCAGACAGAUAGGGGUGUUUCGAGCCUUUAUGAUUCGGAAUACUUGUCACGGCUAGGGCCCCGGUUCGGAUCGUGACAAACUUAGUAUCAAAGCAUGUUUCAUGAUCCCAGGGUGUCUGCGAAAUCGCGUCAAGUAGAGUCUUAUUUAUGGGUGUGUAGCGCGCCACAGUUAUAAGCAGGAGGCUACUAGGCAUUUAGGAAUGUCUCUCUUUCUUCAUGUUCUAGUUCGUGCAAUAGAGUCAAAGUGUUCCUCUUUCAUACUCUCAUUAGUGCUAUGGUGUCGCCCAUAUGAAAGUAAAGUCAUUCCAAAAUUCUUUCCUUACUCUGAUGUUCUCAGACAUGUCCCAUUAUUAGGGUGAUUCAAGUGCAAGAACUUUAUAAUCUACAUGAUAUAGUCCUUUUCAAUUGAGUCAUAUAAGAUUUUAAAAAUUGUGCAAAGACUCGAGAGGAGUCUGUUGGUGCUUCAAUAUGAGUUGAUUCUGAUGUAAACAUUGAUCCUGAUGAAAUCAUGCUUUCCAGAUUAAGGUAUUAAGUGCAUCUAGUCCCUCUCAAAAUCUUGUUACAGAUGUGGACAAUGUAUAGCAGAAUGUUGGAACUAUAUUUCCACCUGAAUAGUAGCAUAAUUUAAAGUGUUGUUGCCAUGACCUAUUAGUAGUGAUAUUGGAUCAAGAAGUUGGUGAUGUAAAGUCACAAAAUUAGAAGUCAGAGUGAGGUUGAUUUUUAUGUAAAUAAAUAUUUCUAUCGAAUAACCGAUGUUUGAGGAUGAUUUACCCCUUUAUAGAGAUAAACUAAUGUGGUAGCUAGUAGCACCUGUGGAUGGUAUGGUAGUCCAUGGGGGAAGUGUUUUACUCAUAUUUUAUUUAUAUAGAGUAAGAUGUGUAUUCUUAGACCAUUAAAUAUUAUGUGCCAAUUUUCUAUCUCUUGUAAUAUGUAAUCUUGUUAUCAUGGUGUUUAUGAAAAAAAAAAUUAAAGUCUAGUGAAGCCGUGUGGGGCUCUUUCGAUUCACUAGCAUAGUUUCCUUGUCAUUCAUCUUUUCCUGUUCAAAAUACAAGAUCAAAGUCUAGUGAAGUCGUGUUAGGCCUAUUUCGAUUCACUAGCAACUUAUUGUCCAACUUGUUGUUCUUGUGUUGGUUUAAUAUAUGUGUAGCUAAAUCUGUUUUCAUGAGAUGAAAUUGGUAAAGAGGUGAUUCGUCCUUGUGGGUUAGUUUAUUAGUAUGUAGAGAAGGAGUUGUUAGUCAGGCUUAUUUGUCAGUUGCUUGAAGUGUGAAAAUGGCAAUAUUAGCCAGUAAGUUAUAAUUAUAGACUCAUGGUUGCUAUAGAAAUUGAAGGUAGUCUAAAUGUAUGAUUGAGUGAGUAAGAAUGAGGUGAGAAAUCCGUAUAAAUAGAAAAGAUUGUAUGGGGCUAUAAUAUAAGAUUAAGGUUGAUCAUGUCUAUUAUGUAACUUUACCCCUUGACCUUCUUUUUGUUGGUAGUUGUAAACUAGUACAACUUGUGAGAAGAUAUGUAGUGGAUUUUGAGGUGUUUGAAUAGAAUAUGUCAAUUUUAUGGACUAGCAUAUUAUGUUGCACUCGUCAUUUGUGAUAGAUGAUGCUAAACUAUAGGAUUGAAUUUAAGUGUAGAAUGUGGUGGUAAAAAUAGUGGCAUGAGAUCGAUGAUGCAUGUUUUGUGGGAUUAAAUUAAUAGGCUUGAUGUGUUAAAAUAGUACGUGCUAAUGGAUUAUGAUAAGGAAAACCGUAAGGUCAAGAUCGAUUAUUGUUGUUAUGAAGUUCUAGUGUACUAGUGUUUUUUGAUGUUUAUUUCAUGGUUUCCAAGUGAGAAUCAUGUGUAAGGUUGGGUUGUAAAAAUUAUGUUUAGCACUAGACAUUAAGUUUGAACAGUUGAAGUCCAUGAAGGUGGAUGUGAUGAUUUCUUGGUUAAUGAUGCUAGUUAUAUGGAAGUGAUCUAAUAGGCUUGAACGGUGUAUGAAAUGGCUUUAAGUUUAAGUUGAUUCAUAAUGAAGUAUAAUGUUGUAGGUAUGGUGUGUAAGUAUGCCCAAGGUGAUAUGGAGUUGUGGAAUUUCUCUAAGACUAUUGCAUGUUUCGUGUGGCUAGUAGUACCAUUGAGUUGCUAGAUGGAGAAAGACUAGUAGAUGUUAUAUGGGUUCUAAGUAGCCAGGUUAAAGAGUUUUGAUUGAUAGUGUUGAGCCUUUUUAUAUGAUCUAGAUUCUCACAGUAAUGAGACAUAAGUUUGGAGUCGCAAUAUUGGUACGCUAUGUCGAAAGUGUUUUGGUUCAUCAAAGGCUUGGUGAUAUCCAUGUUAAGUGUUAGAAUCUAAGUUUGAGUUUUGAAGGUUGAACCGAUAGAAAUAAGUGUGCAAGCAUUAUACUAUGACUAUUGGGGAUAUCAAAAUUUAGAGUGUAUCUCAGAAGGUAGUAUUAGCAGUGGGCUUUCCACUUUCAUGUGUGGGUUUUCGGGUUAAGUUCUAUUAAUUUUGCGUGUUGUCAUAUUUUAGACCCCAGAGUGUAGUGAGUGCGGUUAAUUUUAAAGUCUAGCAAGGGAUCUCCUAAACUUAAGAUGAUGGCUUGAAGCCAAGGAGGAGAUGAUAGAACAAGUAACCAAGUCAGGUUCUCAGAUCCUAGUAGUGGUGUCAUGAUGAUAUAGAACGUUAGAAGGGAAGGGUGAGGCUCGACCCCUUCCUGUCUCAGUAUUUUUCAGUUAUCCUAAUACCUACUCAUACCUCACAUUUCUGUUCUAUGAUCAUAGUUUAUGUUCAUGUAUAUGAUAGAGAAUAACGUGCUCCUGCAGAUUCCUAAAUGAGGAACUUUGGUUCAUUUAACAGUCGGAAUCAUAUUCCAUAUGUUAUGAACUCUAAAUUGAGGUCAUGCAGCUCAUGACUCAUGUAUUCACACUUUAUAUUGUGCUCAGUUCCCAUAAUUCAUGCUAUACUCUUUAUGAUGGGCGAAAUAUAGUUCAUAUCCAUGUGUGCCCCAAUUCAGAUUUUUCUUUGAUAAAUCUCGGAUGUUGAUUUGCUAAUCCUCAGGCUUCAGUUAUGUGUCAGGUUUCAUAUAAUAUCCUUCCAUGCUUCAAGAUCUUAUGUUCUAGCCUUUUGUGACUCCUUCUUAUGUGAGGAUGGUUGUGAGGAGUAAAUGUUUCUUGUUGAUGGAAGAUCAUAGUAUGCUUGUUUUAGAUAAGGCCAUAAGUGUGAAGUAAGAUUGGGGCCAAAUCAUUGAUAUAUGUGAUGGUUAGUGGGAAUCUGUGUGUGUAUGCUCUGGGGGUAGCGCGUGGGAGUUAUAUUGAUAGUGGUUUAGAGAAUGUGUGUAGUAUGUAUUUAUGAAUGUUACCUUGAAGUUCACAUGUAGUUAUGAAAUAGGCUCGAGUGAUAUGUUGGGAUGGUAGUGGAGGAAUGCAAUAUGCGCUAGUGAAUUCAUAGUAAUAGUUCAGAGUUAGCCUUUGAAGUGGUAAGGCAUGAUAUGCUUAGGGUGUGAUCUUUUAAGAGAUAUAGAAAGUGGAAUCUUAUGGCUUAGACUUGUAUCGUUGUAACACCCUGCAUUUCGGGCUAGAAAAAAAACCAUGACUCUGACACAUUGAUAAUCCCAGAGCCUUAAAUCCUAUGCCAAUUUGGCAUGUUAAUCAAUUAUGUAGUAUGUGAAUCCAUUUUAGCAUGAAUUUAGACCAUAAAGGUCCUUCAAAUCAAGGACGAGUUGAAACUAUUUCGAUCGAUUAAGUUUUAGUAGACGUUGUAAUUUGUGUCAUCUUCCAUCGACCAUAACUCUCUUUAUAUGUCGAAUUAGAGAUCCUACUAUGUUUCAAAUGAUAGGUCUUCGAGUUAACUUUCCAACGAUACCAAUUUUGCUAAAAUCCGACACCCGAGCAAAAAGUUAUGGCCUUUCAAAGUAUUAUGCAUCGCCUAACCAAUCGCACAUGGCCACUGAAAAGCAUAUGUGGCGCCUAUGUAAAUAUAGGCGAUAGUAUGUGCGGCGCCUAUGUAAAUAUAGGAGAUAGCAUAUGCGACGCCUAUGUAAAUAUAGGUGAUAGCAUAUGUGGCGCCUAUCUUAUGAUUUCAAGUGACUUAAUUACUCCAUUUUGGGGCAAAAUGGUCCUUUUCCCACCCUUAUUCACCCAUAAACAUGAAAUUCAGUCCCCAAUUCUCCAAAAUAUAUCCAUAUUCAUAUAAAAAUUCUCAAGAACACUCCCAAGGGUUUCUAACUAAAAACCCAAAUAAAUCAAGAUUCAACCGUGGAUUUUCAAAAUUGAUUAGAAAUUCAGAAUUCCCAAUCCACAGGCUUCAAAAAGCACCCAUUAUUUUCCAAAAUAGAGGUACGCGGGGUUUUCCUAAAUUCUCAUGGGCAUAGAAAAAAAUCAUGUUUUAGUAUGGGGUUUUUGAAUCUAUGUAUAUAUUCAUGUACUAAAUGUUUUAACAUCAUUGUUUUGGUCUUUUGACCUGUCCCAAAGUGAUUUGAGAAUAUGAAUGUAUGAAACCAUGUAUUUAAGAAUGAAUUCUUGUUGAGAGCGUGAUUUUCGGUGAAUUUCCUCUUAUUAUGAAUUUUUCAGAUUUCUUAUAGCAUAUGAAUUGUUUUGCAAUGCAUCCUUGAAAAACACUAUAUGAAAUCAUUGAACUCUUGUUAUGAUUUAAAGGUGGUUUUACAUCACUAAAGAGGAAAUCUAGCAUGAAUGUUUAAUGUUCAUAAUGCAUGUAAUGAAAGAGUGCAUGGAUUUGCUAAAGGCACUAGACCACCAUAUGUUGAUGAAGUUUUUGCAUGAUUUUGACUUGAGUUUCAAAACACGAAAUCUUCUAUAUUAGUUGCAUGUUUUUGGUGGUCUAAAUUAUGCUUUAAAUGAAAGAUUUAGCUUAUUGUAUUAUGAAUCAGAAAUCAUGACUUGCAAGUCUUGGUAUGACAAUACCAAUUCAGACCAAUGACAUAUCAGACUCAGACUAAUAAACAUUUUAGACUAUCAUGAUCUUACAUGUUCAGAAUGUUGCAUGUACAGAAAAGGUUAAAAAUGGGCAUACAGAGAUGUUAGGUGGUUCCCUGAAGAGGGCUUGAGUUCAUGCAACUCAUUGCCUAAAAUUGUGAUUUGCCGACUCGGGUAUAUUAUCAUACACAGACUUAAGUGUCGUGUGGCAUAUCAGAUUCACGAACUCCAACCCUUGCGGCAUACUCUAGUUGGGGGCUUCCCGCUGAGUCAAUGACGAAUUUCAUAUCGCUUGUGGAAUAUCAGAUUUGUAGGGGAUGCCACCUAACUCAGAAGUAAUACACAGAUUAGAGUUUGAGAUUUAUAGACAGGUUACAUGUUUUCAGAAGGUGCCCAUGUGUUUUUAGAAACUGUUUUAUGCAUAAUGUUUGAUGAACAUUUGCUCUCAUAUAUUAUAUUAUGCAUAAUUUUUGAUGAACAUUUGCUUAUUAUAUAUAUAUAUAUAUAUAUAUAUAUAUGUUCAAUUACUCUAUUUUGGAUUGCUUCGCGUGCCAGUACAAUUGUAUUGACCCCCCUUCCUCCCAGGUACUGAGGCACAGUCUAGGGGCCCAGAUCCUCAGUAGAGUCUACAGACAAGGUUGUCUCAGAGUUCCGUUUGUGAGCCUUCUUUGCUUCGGAAGGCCUAGUAAUUUAGGUCUUUAUUUUAGUAUGGUUUUUGGUCUGCUGGGGGCCUUGUCCCAGUCAUUCAGAUAGUAUGUCAGUAGAGAUUUUGCAGACUAUUACAGAUGUUUAUUAAAUAUUGUUGGCAUGUUUUCAGGCCUUUAACUAUUUUAAAUGGUUGACCAUGUUUCCAUAUUAUUAUGCCUAUUCCAUAUUACUAUGAUCAUAUGAAUUAUGUGCAUGAUUACCAGAUAGACAGAGGGCGUUCUGGGUCUUUGGGUUUAAGAAUGCUCGUCACGGCCAGGACCCCGGUUCGGGUCAUGACAAACUUGAUAUCAAAGCAUGGUUCAUGGUCCCAGGGUGUCUGCUAAAUCUCGUCGGGUAGAGUCUUGUUUAUGGGUGUGUAGCGCACCACACAUAUAAGCAGGAGGCUAAAAGGGAUUUAGAAAUGUCUGUCUUUCUUCAUAUUCUAGUUCGUGCUAUAGAGUCAGAAUGUUCCUCCUUCAUACUCUAAUUCGUGCUAUGGUGUCACCCAUACGAAAAGAAAAGUUAUCCUAAUUUCUUCCUCACUCUGGUGUUCUAGAUAUUCUCCGAUUAUCUAGCAGAAAUUUCAGAAGUCCCACAAAGGACGGGAGAGUAGUUCCCUAGUGUAAAAUUGUGUCCUCGUUCUUAUGAGGCGUUCAGUUAAGGCAAGAGUAAGAUGUGUAUUCUUGAGUCAUUGAAUAUUGUGUAUCAAGCUUCUAUCUCUUGUAAUCUUGAUAUCAUUGUGUUGUUGAAAACAAAAGUCUAGUGAAGCCGUGUGAGGCCUAUUUCGAUUCACUAGCAUAGUUUCCUUGUCAUUUAUCUUAUUCUUCUUCAAAACACAAAAAUCAAAGUCCAAUGAAGAUGUGUGAGGCCUAUUUUAAUUCACUAGCAACUUGCGGUUCAUCUUGUUGUUCUUGUGUUUGUUGGAACUGUAUUUCCACCCGAGUAGUAGUAUAAGUUAGAGUGUCGGUGUCAUGAUCUAUUGGUAGUGAAUUAGACCAAGAAUUUUGUGAUCUGAAGUCACAAGGUUAAAGGUCAGAGUAAGGGUGACUUUUGUGAUUAAAUAUUUAUAGUUGAAUAACCAUUGAUUGAGAAUGAUUUACCCUUUCGUGUUGGUACCAUUUAUGGAUUGUAUGGUCCAUGGAGGAAGUGUUGACUUAUAAUGUUAUUUGUUUUCUUCCUUUCAAAAUAGAGAAAGAGCCCAGAGUGGAUAUUUAAGGUGGUUAUAGAAACCCCUUAUAGGCUAUGAAUAAAAAUGGCUAGAUUAGCCAGUAGGUUGUAAGUAUAGACUCAUUGUCAUAUGGGGUAUUUGAAGGUAGUCUAAAUNNNNNNNNNNNNNNNNNNNNNNNNNNNNNNNNNNNNNNNNNNNNNNNNNNNNNNNNNNNNNNNNNNNNNNNNNNNNNNNNNNNNNNNNNNNNNNNNNNNNNNNNNNNNNNNNNNNNNNNNNNNNNNNNNNNNNNNNNNNUACUUGUGAGAAAGUAUGUAGUAUAUUUUUGAAGUAUUUGGGUAGAAUAUCCCAAUUUGAAGGAUUAGUAUAUUUAUAUUAUGUUGCACUCUUCAUUGGUUGUAAAUGAUUGAUGCUAGACUAUAGGAUUGAAUUUAAAUGGUGUGGUGGUGAAUGGUGGCAAGAGAUUGAUGAUACAUGUUUCGUGGGAUUAGAUUUGUAAGCUUGAUGUGUUGAAAUAGUACGUGCUAAUGGAUUAUGACAAGGAAAACCGUAAGGUCAUGAUCAAUUAUUGUGGUUAUGAAUUUCUAGUGUACUAGUGUUUCUUGAUGUUUAUUUCAUAGUUUCUAAGUGAGGAUUGCGUGUAAGGUUGGUUGUAAAUCAUGUUUAGCACUAGACAUUAAGUUUGAAACAAUUGAUGGCAUGGAGAUGGAUGUGAUGAUUUCUUGGUUAAUGAUACUAGUUAUAUGUAAGUGAUUUAUAGGCUUGAACAGUGUAUGCAAGUGCCUAAGUUUAUUUGAUUCGUAAUGAAGUAUAACAUUGUAUAUGUGAUGUAGAAGUAUGCCCAAGGUGGUAUGAAGCUGUAGUAUUUUUCUAAGGCUUAUACAUGUUAUGCAUGGGUACUAGUACCGUUGAGUUGCUAGGUGGAAAAAGACUUGCUAGAUGGUAUAUGGUGUUCUAAAUAGCCAAGUUAAGGACCUUCGAUUGAUAGCGUUGAGCCUUUUGAUAUGAACUUGAUUCUCAUGGUAGAGGAAAAUAAGUUUGAAUUUGCUAUGUUGGUAGACUACAAUAGAAAUAGAGUGGCUCAUUGAAGACUUGGUGAUACCCAUGUUAGGUGUUAUCGAGUCCUUCAAAGUCGUGCUAAUAGAAAUAAGAGUAGAGGUACUAGAGGGUGUGCACUUCAACUUUGGGGAUACUCAUGAAGAUUCAAAGUUAGUAAGUGUUCAAGUAAUAGAUGAUGACUAUUGGGGUUACAAAAUGAUAGAGUGUGCUUCAUGAGGUAGUAUUAGCAGUGGGCGUUCCACUCUCAUAUGUGGUCUUUCGGGUUAAGUUUUAUUAAUUUUGUGUAUUGUCAUAUUUCAAAACCUAGAGUGCAGUGAGUGCAGUUAAGUUUAAAGUCUAGUAGGCUUGAAGCUAAGGGGGAGAUGACUAAACGAAUAACCAAGUAAGACUCUUAGAUUCAUGUAGUGAUGUCAUGAUGAUAUAGAACAUCAAAAAGUAAGGGUGAAUCUCAACCCAUUCCUAUCUCAGUAUUUCUCAGUGAUCNNNNNNNNNNNNNNNNNNNNNNNNNNNNNNNNNNNNNNNNNNNNNNNNNNNNNNNNNNNNNNNNNNNNNNNNNNNNNNNNNNNNNNNNNNNNNNNNNNNNNNNNNNNNNNNNNNNNNNNNNNNNNNNNNNNNNNNNNNNNNNNNNNNNNNNNNNNNNNNNNNNNNNNNNNNNNNNNNNNNNNNNNNNNNNNNNNNNNNNNNNNNNNNNNNNNNNNNNNNNNNNNNNNNNNNNNNNNNNNNNNNNNNNNNNNNNNNNNNNNNNNNNNNNNNNNNNNNNNNNNNNNNNNNNNNNNNNNNNNNNNNNNNNNNNNNNNNNNNNNNNNNNNNNNNNNNNNNNNNNNNNNNNNNNNNNNNNNNNNNNNNNNNNNNNNNNNNNNNNNNNNNNNNNNNNNNNNNNNNNNNNNNNNNNNNNNNNNNNNNNNNNNNNNNNNNNNNNNNNNNNNNNNNNNNNNNNNNNNNNNNNNNNNNNNNNNNNNNNNNNNNNNNNNNNNNNNNNNNNNNNNNNNNNNNNNNNNNNNNNNNNNNNNNNNNNNNNNNNNNNNNNNNNNNNNNNNNNNNNNNNNNNNNNNNNNNNNNNNNNNNNNNNNNNNNNNNNNNNNNNNNNNNNNNNNNNNNNNNNNNNNNNNNNNNNNNNNNNNNNNNNNNNNNNNNNNNNNNNNNNNNNNNNNNNNNNNNNNNNNNNNNNNNNNNNNNNNNNNNNNNNNNNNNNNNNNNNNNNNNNNNNNNNNNNNNNNNNNNNNNNNNNNNNNNNNNNNNNNNNNNNNNNNNNNNNNNNNNNNNNNNNNNNNNNNNNNNNNNNNNNNNNNNNNNNNNNNNNNNNNNNNNNNNNNNNNNNNNNNNNNNNNNNNNNNNNNNNNNNNNNNNNNNNNNNNNNNNNNNNNNNNNNNNNNNNNNNNNNNNNNNNNNNNNNNNNNNNNNNCAGAGUAGUGUCAAUGUGGUGAUUCCUCAGUUGGGUGUCUUGUGUAAUCCAUACCCAAGAUUCAUGGCUCCCUAUUACUGCUAGAAUUUCUUUAGAGAAUGGUGAUGAAAAAAUACUCCAGUUAAGUAUGAGGGUGUAGUAUAAUUCAGUCUAUAUGGCCAAUAAGUCAGUUUAGCAGUUAGAUUCGCAUGACUUGCUUUCUCGUCUUUGCACUUAUUCAUGUUACUCGAAAUCUCAGACAUAAUACUAUUCCAAGAUAGAGUAUACCAGUAGUUACGAGUAUAGCCCAUUUCAUGCAUCAUACAUUAAAUUCAGAUUCCAGAUGUUUAGUUAUGAUUCAAUUCGUAGGUGCCCUGUGCAUCGCCUUAGUUUUUCGAGUAUCUUAGUGAAUUGAGCAUUCAUAGAGGGACAUAGGGUACCAAGCGGGAGAUACCACAUUCAGUUGCAUGCAUAGAUUCUUAUUACAAGCUUCACAUCAGUUAUUCUUGCGUAUUUAGCCAUACGUUCAUACGUUAGUUCAGUCAGAUAUGCAUGCAUUAGAAAUGCAUGUUCAAUAGAAAAACUUAGCUUAUCAGUGUAUUCAGUCCUGCAUUCAUGAGAACAACUCGGUCACAGAUCCAUGCAUAAGAUAUGCAUGAUUCAUUAUGAGAAUUCAGCCUAUGAGUAGCUUCAGUUGUUUAUUCCAUGCCUCGGAUAUGCAUGCCCAACAUAAGCAUUCAAAACAUCAGUAGUUCCAAUCUUAUAGUCAUGUUUCCGUUCAGCGUAUUCUUUCUUAGGGAACAUAUCAUGUCCAUGUUAUCCCAUACCCUCAAGACUUCGACAUUCUAUCCAUCAUUCGGGGAUGAAUGAUCCCAAGGGGGAGAUAAUGUAACACCCCACAUUUCAGGCUAGAAUAAAAACCAUGACUCUGACGUGUUGAUAAUCCCAGAGCCUUAAAUCCUAUGCUAAUUUGGCAUGUUAAUCAAUUAUGAGGUAUGUGAAUCCAUUUGGGCAUGAAUUUAGACCAUAGAGGUCCUUCAACUCAAGGACGAGUUGAAACUAUUUCGAUCGAUUAAGUUUUAGUGGACGUUGUAAUUUAUGUAAGCUUCCAUCGACUAUAACUUUCUAUAUAUGUCGAAUUAGAGAGCCUACUAUGUGUCAAAUGAUAGGUCUUCGAGUUAACUUUCCAACGAUACCAAUUUUUCUAUAAUCCGACACUCGAGCAAGAAGUUAUGGCCUUUCAAAGUAGUAUACGUCACCUAACCAAUCGCACAUGGCCACCGGAAAGCAUAUGCGAUAGCAUAUGCAACGCCUAUGUAAAUAUAGGCGAUAGCAUAUGUGGCACCUAUGUAAAUAUAGGCGAUAGCAUAUGCAGCGCCUAUGUAAAUAUCGGCGAUAGCAUAUGCGGUGCCUAUGUAAAUAUAGGGCAUACCAUAUGCAGCGCCUAUCUUAUGGUUUCAAGUGAUUUAAAUGCUUCGUUUUUGGGGCAAAAUGGUCCUUUUCCCACCUUUAUUCAGCCAUAAACACGAAAUUCAGUCCCCAAUUCUCCAAAAUACAUCCACAUUCAUUUAAAAAUUCUCAAAAACAUUCCUAAGGGUUUCAAACUAAAAACCCAAAUAAAUCAAGAUUCAACCGUGGGUAUUCAAAAUUGAUUAGAGAUUCGGAAUCUCCAAUCCACAGGCUUCAAGAAGCACCCAUUAUUUUCCGAAAUAGAGGUACGCAGGGUUUUCCUAAAUUCUCAUGGGCAUAGAAAAAAUCAUGUUUUAGAAUGGGGUUUUUGAAUCUAUGUAUAUAUUCAUGUACUAAAUGUUUUAACAUCAUUGUUUUGGUCCUUUUACCUUCCCCAAAGUGAUUUGAGAAUAUGAAUGUAUGAAACCAUGUAUUUAAGAAUGAAUUCUUGUUGAGAGCAUGAUUUUUGGUGAAUUCCCUCAUAUUAUGAAUUUUUCAGAUUUUUCUCAUAGCAUAUGAAUUGUUUUAUAAUGCAUCCUUGAAAAGCACUAUAUGAAAUGAUUGAACUCUUGUUAUGACUUAAAGGUGGUUUUACAUCACUAAAAAGGGAAUCUAGCAUAAUGUUUAAUGUUCAUAAUGCAUGUAAUGAAAGAGUGCAUGGAUUUGCUAAAGGCACUAGACCACCAUAUGUUGAUGAAUUUAUUGCAUGAUUUUGACUUGAUUUUUGAAACACGAAAUCUUCUAUAUCAGUUGCAUGUUUUUGGUGGCCUAAAUUAUGCUUUAAAUAAAAUAUUUAUCUUAAUGUAUUAUGGCUCAGAAAUCAUGACUUGCACGUCUUGGUAUGACGAUACCAAUUCAGACCAAUGACAUAUCAGACUCAGACUAAUAAACAUUUCAGACUAUCAUGAUUUUAGACAUUCAGAAUGUUACAUGUACAGAAAAGGUUAAAAAUGGGCAUAUAGAGAUGUUAGGUGGUUCCUUGAAGAGGUCUUGAGUUCAAGCAACUCAUUGCCUAAAAUCGUGGUUUGCCGACCCAGGUAUAUUAUUAUAUGCUGACUUAAGUAUCGUGUGGCGUAUCGGAUUCAGGAACUCCAACCCUUGCGGCAUACUCGAGUUGGAGGAUUCCCCGCUGAGUCAAUGGAGGAUUCCAUAUCGCCCAUGGAAUAUCAGACUUGUAAGGGAUACCACCUAACUCAGAAGUAAUACACAUAUCAGAGUUUGAGAUUUACAGACAGGCUACAUGUUUUCAGAAGGUGCCUAUGUGUUUUUCAGAAAUUGUUUUAUGCAUAAUGUUUGAUGAACAUUUUCUCUCACAUAUUCUAUAUAUAUAUAUAUGUUCAAUUACUCUAUUUUGGAUUGCUUCGCGUGCCAGUACAAUUGUGCUGACCCCCUUCCUCCCAGGUACUGAGGCACAGUCUAGGGGUCCAGAUCCUCAGUAGAGUCUACAGACAAGGUUGUCUCAGAGUUAGUUUGUGAGCCUUCUUUGCUUCGGAAGGCCUAGUAAUUUAGGUCUUUAUUUUAGUAUGGUUUUUGGUCUGCUGGGGGCCUUGUCCCAGUUAUUCAGAUAGUAUGUCAGUAGAGAUUUCACAGACUAUUGCAGAUAUUUAUUAAAUAUUGUUGGGUAUUUUUUCAGGCCUUUAACUAUUUUUAAUUGUUGACCAUGUUUUAGUAUUAUUGUGUCUAUUCCGUUUUACUAUGAUCAUAUGAAUUAUGUGCAUGAUUACCAGAUAGACAGAGGGCGUUUCGUUUUACUAUGAUCAUAUUCCAUUUUAAUUGCUUCGGGAAUGCUCAUCACGGCCAGGGCCCCGGUUUGGGUCAUGACAAUCGUGGAGUGGCAUGUAGUAUUUUGUGAGGUGGAGUUAGGCUUGAUCACGGUGAAGAUGAUUUAAGUUACUAUAGACAUUAGUAGAAAGAUUUUUGAAUCGAAUGAAUGUGGUAUCUAUGGGAAAUAGUAAAGUUAAGGGAGUAAUCGAAGAGUAUGCUAAUCUUGAAAGUAAGAAGUCGUAUUGACUAAGGCCUAGCAAUUCUAUCCUGAUUUAUGAGUUAUAUGUCUAUAUUCCAUGCUGUAGAGUAAUGUCAAUGUUGGGGUCCUAUAGUCGGAUGUCUUGUGUGACUCAUGCCCAUGAUCUUUUGCUACCUAAUUCUACUAGGACUUCGUUAUGAGGAGCAUUGAUAAGAUACUCCAGAUUGAGUAUAAGUUUCUAGUAUAGUUUAGUCAUGUGGCUAGCAAAUCAGUUUAGCAGUCAGAUUCACAUGACUUAUUUUCUCGUAUUUUCAUUUAAUCAUGCUACCCAAAAAUCUUAGAUAUUUUACUAUUCCAAGAUAGAGUAUACCAGUAAUUGCAAAUAUAACUCAGUUCAUGAGUCAUGUACUAGAUUCAGAUUCCAGAUGUUCGGUUAUGACUCAAUUCGUAGGUGCCUAGUGCAUAGCCUCAAUUUUUUGUGUAUCUUAGUGAUUUAAGCAUUCAUAGAAAGACAUAGUGUCCCAAGAGGGAGAUACCCCAUUCGGUUGCAUGCAUAUAUUCUAUUUACAAACUUUGCAUCAGUUAUUACUGCGUAUUUAGUCGUACGUUCAUACGUCAGUUCAGUCAGAUAUGCAUGCAUUAGAAAUGCAUGUUCAAUAGAAAAAAAAUGUUCAUCUUAUCAGGUAUUCAGUCCUGCGUUCAUGAGAACGACUCAGCCGCAUAUUCCAUGCAACAGAGAUACAUGUCUGGUAUAAGAAUUCUGAAUAUCAGUAGUUCCAGUCAUAUAGUCAUGUUUCAAAUCAGUGUAUCCUUAUUAGAGGACGCAUCAUGCCCGUGUUAUUCAAUACCUUUAAGGCUUCAGCAAGUUCCUACCCAUCAUUCGAGGACAAAUGAUCCCAAGGGUGAGAUAAUGUAAUGCCCCAUAAAAAUUUGUGCAAUGCGUUGUCUCUUAUUACCAUGUGCAUGGAAUAAAAAACUUGAAAAUAUUCUAAGUGUCAAAAGGGCUUAGUUAUAUUUUGAGCUUUCAAUCAUCGGGAAUCUUAUUUUUGAACUUACUGACUUUUGAUUUUUAAGUUGCGUUACGAUCGGGCAAGAUCGUAGUACAUCUCGGGUAAGUUUCGAAAUUUUUAGAUGAGCUUAAGGUUAUGUUUGGGUUGGCAAAAUAUUAGCAAAAGGCGUUAAGGAGGCGCCGCCCAGGUCCCUCCCCCACUCUAAGCGGGGCGUCACCCCAGUCUUACCCCCUUAUAAGCAGGGCGCCGCCCUGGGUUCCCCCUGGGUCCAGGCAGGGCACCGCCAUGGCAACUCUUGUUGGGCUAAAUUUCAGCAUCUCCUCUCCGACUCUUUAAGGGCAAAUUGGGUAAUUCCCAACCACUUAUUAACCUGAACACGGAAUUUAAUCCCAAGAACAUCAAAAUACAAUCAUAUUCAUCUAAAAUCCACAAGAACUCUCCUUAGGGUUUUAAACUAAUAACCCUAAGAGCUCAAGAUUCAACCGUGAGUUUUCAAAACAAAUAGAAGAUUUGGAAUCCCCGCAGUGUAGGCUUCAAGAAGCACUCAUCACUUUCUGAAAUAGAGGUACGUGGGGCUAUCCUAAAAAUCUCAUGGGCUUAAAAAUUCAUGUUUUAAAAAUGGGGGUAGUUUUCAACUCGUCCUUGAGUCAAAGAACAUCUAUGGUCUAAAUUCAAGCUUGAAUGGAUUCACAUACUAUACAAAUAAUUAACAUGCCAUAUUGGCAUAGGAUUUAUGGCUUCGGGAUUAUCAACGCAUCAGAAUCAUGGUCAUAUUGUAGCCCAAAAUGCGGGGCGUUACAUUAUCCCCCUUAGGAUCAUUCAUCCCCGAAUGAUGAUGCGGGACACAGAUAAACAUGAUUUCAAGCAUAAUAAGGACUAGGAAAGAUAAGAUAGAAAUAGUACCUUCUGUCUAUCAUCCAUCGAAGCAAACAAAUUGGGAUAUCUAAUUCUCAUGUCAUCUUCUGACUCCUAAGUUGCUUCUUCAACUUUCUGAUUCAUCUACAAUACCUUCACUGAGGCUAUCUCUUUGCUCCACAAAUUUUGAACUUGGCAAUCUAAAUUUUCAACGGGCUCUUCAUUGUAAGACAAGGAAUCUGUCACUUUGAUAUCCUCUACUGGAAAUACCAAAGAAUGAUCUCCUAUGCAUUUCUUCAACAUGGAUACAUGGAAUACCGGAUGAACGAAACACAAACUUGUAGGCAAUUCUAGCUCAUAGCAACUGCACCAAUCUUUCUCAGAAUCUGAUAUGGCCCUAUAUAGCGAGGGCUCAAUUUACCCUUUUUUCCAAACUGCAUAACUCCUUUCAUAGGAUAAACCUUGAGAAACACCCAAUCACUAACUUCAAACUUUAAUUCUCUUCUCCAAACAUUGGCAUAGGACUUCUGACGACUCUGAGCUGUCUUGAGUCAUUCUCUAAUGAUCUUUACUUUCUACAUCGCCUGAUGAACAAGAUCAGGACCAUACAACUGACUCUCACCCACUUCAUACCAUCCUAUCGGAGACCUACAUCUCCUCCCAUACAAAGCCUCAAAAGGAGCCAUCUUGAUGCUGGCAUGGUAACUAUUAUUGUAAGCGAAUUCAAUCAGUGGCAGGUGAUCUACCCAACAACCUUUGAAAUCAAUGACACAUUCCCUCAACAUAUCCUCAAGGGUCUGAAUGGUACGCUCAUCUUACCCAUCCGUCUGAGGGUGGAAAGCUGUGCUCAAAUUCACUUGUGUACCUAAACCCUUCUGAAAAGAUCUCUAGAACUGAGAUGAAAACUGUGUACCUCUAUCGGAUAUAAUGGACAUUGGUGACCCAUGCAACUAAACUAUCUCCUCAAUGUAAAUCUUAGCAUAACCCUCUCCCGAAUAAUUAGUCCUUAUAGGCAAAAAGUGGGCUGACUUUGUCAACCGAUCUACAAUCACCCAUAUAGAAUCAUACUGGUUUCGGGAUCUCGGAAUUCCUGUAAUGAGGUCCAUUUUUAUCAUCUCCCACUUCCAUAAAGGCAGGGAUAUCUCUUGGUAAGUACCACCUAGGCUCAUGUGUUCUACCUUCACUUGUUGAUAGUUCAAACACUUGGACAUGAAAUCAGCUACACCACGUUUCAUUUUAUUCCAUCAAUACAAGGUUUUCAGAUCAUGGUAGAUCUUAGUAGAGACUAGGUGAAUGACAUACCUCAAAGUGCGUGCCUCAUCAAGGAUUCUUUCCUGCAGUCCAUCAACAUUCGGAAUGCACAACCUACCCUGAAAUUUCAGAAUACCAUCACCACCAAUUUCAAACGACAUAACAUUUUGUCGACCCACAUCUUUCUUGAUUUGUACCAAUAUGGGAUAUUUAAACCUGCUUCUCCUUAACUUUAUCGCAAAGGGAUGAACUAGCUAACUCAUGAAUAAUUACCCUUCCAUCUUCGGAAUCUAAGAGUUGCACUCCCAGAUUUGCAAGGCGGUGAAUAUCCAUCACCAUCUCUUUCUUUCCUUCUCCUACAUGAGAAAGGAUACCCAUUGACAACCUGCUGAGGGCGUCGGCUACAAUAUUUUCCUUGCCCGGAUGGUAAUGCAGGCUCAUAUCAUAGUCUUUCAGAAGCUCCAUCUAGUUCCUCUACCUGAGGUUCAAUUCUUUCUGCGAGAAAAUAUACUGCAAACUCUUGUGGUCAGUGAAGAUAUCAACGUGAACACCAUACAAGUAGUGCUGCCAAAUCUUAAGUGCAAUCACCACAACCGCUAACUCCAAAUCAUGGGUGCGGUAGUUUCGCUCGUGCACCUUCAACUGCCUAGAUGCAUAAGCCACUACCUUACUGUGAUGCAUCAAUACAUAACUAAGUCCCACACGGGAUGCAUCACAGUAUACCACAAAGCCAUCUACACCUCCAGGAAGGGUCAAAACAGGAGCAGUGGUCAGUUUGUCUUUCAACUUCUCAAAACUAUUCUCACACAAAUCAGACCACACAAACUUCACCUUUUUCUGAGUCAAUUUUAUGAGUGGAGCAGCUAUGGAGGAAAAAAUCUCUACGAACCUUCUGUAAUACCCCGCCAAACCUAAGAAGCUCUGAAUAUCGGUUAGAGUUGUGGGUAUGGACCAUUUUCUCACUGCUUCAACUUUCUGGGGAUCCACUAUUAUCCCGUCACUAGACACAAUAUGCCCCAAGAAGGCAAUAACAUCUAACUAGAAUUCAGACUGAUGAUCCUUAAGGGUCUAAAGAAUAAUUCGAAGGUGAUUGGUGUGAUCCUCUUUACUCUUGGAAUAGAUCAGGAUAUCAUCAAUAAAUAUAAUGACGAACAAGUCAUGAAACUGACGUAAUACUCUAUUCAUAAGAUGUAUGAAGGCUGCAGGGGUGUUAGUCAAUUCGAAGGACAUGACUAGAAAUUUGUAGUGACCAUAUCAGGUUCAGAAGGUUGUCUUGGGUAUGUCUGACUCCCUAACUUUCAACUGAUGAUAACCCGAAUGAAGGUCAAUUUUUGAAAAACACUUGGCACCCUGAAGAUGGUCAAAAAGGUCGUCAAUCCUAGGAAGUGGAUAUUUAUUUUUAAUCAUGACCUUAAUCAACUGACGAUAGUCUAUGUACAUAUGAAGGGAACCAUCUUUCUUUCGCACGAAAAGUGUAGGCGUGCCCCAAGGAGACACACUGGGGGGUAUAAAAUCCUUAUUUAGGAGAUCUGCUAACUGUUCUUUCAACUCUUUUAGUUCUGCAUGAGCCAUUCUAUAUGGAUAAAUAGAAAUAGGACGAGUGUUUGGCAGCACAUCAAUACCAAACUCAAUCUCCCUAUCAGGUGGUAUUCCUGGGAGAUCAUUUGGAAAGACUUCUUGGAAUUCUUUUACUACGGGAAAAGAUUGAAGAGGAAGACUCUCGAAAUUAGAGUCCUUAACUCGAAUAAGGUGGUACAAUCAAACUUUAGAAAUGAGUUUGCGGGCUCUGAGAUAGGAUAAAGUGCCCUCUGGGUGCUAAAGAAUGUCCUUCCCACUCUAUCACUGGUUGAUUCGGGAAAUAAAAAGUGACCCUUCAAGUCCUACAAUCUAAUGUGGCAUAGCACGAAUGGAGCCAAUCCUUUCCCAAGAUAGCAUAGAAAACAACCAUAUCAAACUCUAUGAGAUUUGCUAACGUAUCCCGGCUACCAUUAGUCACAACACAACCCUUGUACACCCUCCUAGCAAUAAUAAAAUCCCCCACCGGGGUGGAAACAAAAAAGGGUUCAAAAAUCACACUGGGCUCAAACCCGAAACCAACAGUCAUAUAAGGGGUCACAUAGGAUAAGGUAGACUCGGGAUCAAGUAACACAUAAACAUCACGGGAAAAGAUUUGUAACGUACCGAUAAUAAUAUCUGGGAAGUUUUCGUCUCCUGGCGGCUGGUCAAAGCAUAUAACCGGUUGUGACUGUUCCCAGAAGCUGAUGUGGCACCCUUAACAGGUGGGGGUAGUGCCGAAGAAUUUACCUGAGACUUUGCACCACCAAUAUUCUUUCUAGCAGAUGGAUAUUCCCUCUAAAAGUGACCCGACUAAACACAUGAAUAACACACUAUCGAGCCUAACUGACACCUUCCCAGAUGAUUUCUACCACAAGUUUCACAUCGUGGAAAAAUACGAUGCUGCUGAGCCACACUACCCUGUGACCGAGUAUCCUAAGCUCUGGUUCCAUGGUUAGUCUGAAAACUCUGAGAUCAUCUGUCUACUGGUGGUUGGGGUACUGGGGCACUGGUAGUAGACUGCACAUUCCAAUUCUUCUUUUUCUGCCAUUUAUUUCCCCACUUAACACCCUGAGGUUGACCGUGACUCUGGUCGGCUGAUCUGUCUCUUUUCGCUUGUCUUUCCACCUCCCUAGCUUCAGAGAUCUUCUUCUUUUUCUCUUCUGCCUGCUAUAUAUGAACAGUCAGCCUAGAAAAGUCUAACUCCUUAUUUAAUAUUUCCCCCUGGCACUCAAGCACCAGGUUAUCAGAAAGGCCGGAUGCAAAUUUCCUUAUCUGGGCUCUUAUAUUACUAGUCAACUCUGGUGCAUAGCGGGCUAGUUUAUUAAACUUCAAAAUGUACUCCUGGACACUCAUACUGCCCUACUUCAGAUUCAAAAACUCUUCUAUGGCCUCCCUUAAUUCCAAAGGAAAGAAUUGAUCAAAGAAAGCUUUCAUAAAUUGACCCCAAACUGUGGACUCAGCACUCUCACCUUUUGCAUCCUCCCAGUCGGCAUGCCACUGAUUCGCAACAUCCUUAAGCUGAUAAGUUACUAGUUCCACCCCUUCAACCUCAUCCACAUGCAUUACCUUAAAGAUUUUUUCCAUCUCAUCCACGAACUCCUGUGGAUCUUCCUCCACCUUAGUGCCAGUGAACUUAGGUGGGUUUAUUUUCAUGAAAUGUCUAACCCUGGUAGCCUCAGAUGUAAUAGAUAUAGACCCAAUAUCUUUUGAUCGUUGAGCCUGGUUAGCUACCAAAUAUGUCAUCAUAUGAAUAGACCGUCUGAAUUUUGCAUUUGAAAUAUCUCUUUGAGCAGUCAUGGGAUGGUUGUCAUCAGUCCAUGGAGCUCGAGGUGGAAUGGUUGGGACUGGAGGGAAUCCCAAAGUAGGGACAGGUUCUGGAGUGUGAUCUCUAUUAUGGGUCCGCAUCUCAUGGGUGGGACGGACCUCAUCUGCCUGAGCAUUUUGAUCGAUGAUACGAUGUGGAGGCAUAACUGUGUUUUUGAAAUACAAGAGAUCAUUGAUUAGGGGAUAGUUCAGACUCUGAAGCAUGAACUAAAUCACAAAGAAUGGAAACAUUUCCUAAACGCCUAGUAGCCUCUGGCUUAUAAGUAUGGCAUGCUACACACCCAUAACCAAGACUCUACCCGACGCGAUUUUGCAGAAACACUGGGAUCAUGAACCGUGCUUUGAUACCAAGUUUGUCACGACCUGAGCCAGGGCCCUAGCCGUGAUGAGCAUCCCAAACCAUGAAGGCCUGGAACACCCUUCUCUAUCUAUCUGGUAAUCAUGCACCUAAUUCAUAUGAUAAAAGGUAAUGCGGAAAGAGAAAUCUAAUACGAAAACAUGGUCAAUCUAAAUAUGAUCAUACUACUGAAAACUGAAAUCCAAAAUAUAUCUGAAUAAUAAUGUCUGACUCGGUCUGUGAAAUCUCUACCAUGAACUAAUCAAAGUUGUCUGAAAGCUAGGACAAGGCCCCCAGUAGACCAAAACCUAACUAAUAGUAGUACUAUGAAAUAACCAAACCUUCUGAAUCAUAGAAGGCUCACCAUGGCAAACUCCGGUCUGUGAUCUGAAAUCUCUACUAUUUAUCUGGACCCCUAAACUGUGCCUCAGAACCUGCAAGAAGGGGGGUCAGCACAAUUAUAUUGGCACGCGAAGCAAUCCAAAAUAGAGUAAUUGAACAUAUAUAUAUAUAUAUAUAUAUAUAUAUAAUAUGUGAGAGCAAAUUUUCAUCAAACAUUAUGCAUAAAACAGUUUCUGAAAACACAUGGGCAUCUUCUGAAAAUAUGUAACCUGUCUGUAAUUCUCAAACUUUGAUCUGUAUAUUACUUCUGAGUUAGGUGGUAUCAACUACAAGUCUGAUAGUCCACGGGCGAUAUGGAAUCCGCCAUUGACUCGGCGGGGAAGCCUCCAACCCGAGUAUGCCGUAAGGGUUGGAGUUCCUGAAUCUAAUAUGCCACACAACACUUAAGUCAAUGUAUAAUAAUAAACCCGGGUCGACAAACUACAGUUUUAGGCAAUGAGUUGCUUGAACUCAAGCCCUCUUUAGGGAACCACCUAACAUCUCUGUAUCCCCAUUUUUAACCUUUUCUGUAUAUGCAACAUUCUGAAUGUCUAAAAUCAUGAUUGUCUGAAAUGUCUAUUAGUCUGAGUCUGUACCAAGACUUGCAAGUCAUGAUUUCUGAGCCAUAAUACAUUAAGCUAAAUCUUUCAUUUAAAGCAUAAUUUAGACCACCAAAAACAUGCAGCUGAUAUAGAAGAUUUCGUGUUUUGAAACUCAAGUCAAAAUCAUGCAAAAACUUCAUCAACAUAUGGUGGUCUAGUGCCUUUAGCAAAUCCAUGCACUCUUUCAUUACAUGCAUUAUGAACAUUAAACAUUCAUGCUAGAUUCCCUCUUUAGUGAUUUAAAACCACCUUUAAAUCAUAACAAGAGUUCAAUCAUUUCAUAUAGUGCUUUUCAAGGAUGCAUUGCAAAAUAAUUCAUAUGCUAUGAGAAAUCUGAAAAAUUCAUAAUAAGAGGGAAUUCACCGAAAAUCAUGCUCUNNNNNNNNNNNNNNNNNNNNNNNNNNNNNNNNNNNNNNNNNNNNNNNNNNNNNNNNNNNNNNNNNNNNNNNNNNNNNNNNNNNNNNNNNNNNNNNNNNNNNNNNNNNNNNNNNNNNNNNNNNNNNNNNNNNNNNNNNNNNNNNNNNNNNNNNNNNNNNNNNNNNNNNNNNNNNNNNNNNNNNNNNNNNNNNNNNNNNNNNNNNNNNNNNNNNNNNNNNNNNNNNNNNNNNNNNNNNNNNCACAGUUGAAUCUUGAUUUAUUUGGGUUUUUAGUUUGAAACCCUUGGGAGUGUUCUUGAGAAUUUUUAGAUGAAUGUGGAUGUAUUUUGGAGAAUUGGGUAUUGAAUUUCGUGUUUAUGGCUGAAUAAGGGUGGGAAAAGGAUAAUUUUUCCCUAAAAACGGAGUGUUUAAGUCACUUGAAAUCAUUACAUAGGCGCCGCAUAUGAUAUCGCCUAUGUUUACAUAGGCGCCGCCUAUGCUAUCGCCUAUGUUUACAUCGGCACCGCCUAUGCUAUCACCUAUGUUUACAUAGGCGCCACAUAUGCUAUCGCAUAUGCUUUCCAGUGGCCAUGUGCUAUUGGUUCCACGACGCAUACUACUUUGAAAGGCCAUAACUUCUUGCUCGGGUGCCGAAUUUUAGCAAAAUUAGUAUCGUUGGAAAUAUAACUCAAAUUUUACACAUAGUAGGCUCUCUAAUUCGACAUAAACAAAGAGUCAUGGUCGAUAGAAGUUGACACAAGUUAUAAUGACCACUUAAACUUAAUCUAUCGAAGUAGUUUUCAACUCAUCCUUGAGUCAAAGGACCUCUAUGGUCUAAAUUCAUACACAAAUAAUUAACAUGCCAUAUUGGCAUAGGAUUUAUAGCUUCGAGAUUAUCAACGCAUUGGAAUCAUGGUCAUAUUGUAGCCUGAAAUGCGGGGCGUUACAGGUCAACAAUAUUUCAUUAACUUUAUAGAUGACUACUCUCGUUACGGAUAUCUCUAUUUAAUUCAUGAGAAGUCACAGUCUUUGGAUGUUUUUAAAAUUUUCAAGGGUGAGUUGAAAAUCAAUUAGGCAAGAAAAUUAAGGCAGUCAAAUCUGACCGUGGAGGAGAAUAUUAUGGAAGAUACGAUGGAUCAGGUGAACAACAUCCAGGACCUUUUGCAAAGUAUUUGACAGAGUGUGGAAUUGUACCUCAAUACACUAUGCCAGGGACUCCAAGUCAAAAUGGUGUAGCUGAGAGGUGAAACCAAACUCUUAAGGAUAUGGUAAGAAGUAUGAUUAGUCAUUCUUCUUUACCUGAGUCUCUCUGGGGAGAAGCAUUAAAGACUACAGUUUAUAUACUAAAUAGAGUUCCUAGCAAAGCCGUAGCUAAGACCCUAUACGAGUUGUGGAUUGGUAAGAAGCCUAGUAUUAGGAACUUGCAUGUAUGGGGAUGUCCAGCUGAAGAAAGGCCUUAUAAGCCUAAUGAAAAUAAGUUGGAUUCAAGAACUAUUAAUUGCUACUUCAUAGGUUACUCAAAAAGAUCAAGAGGUUUUAAGUUUUAUGACUCCUCGAAUAGAUCCUUUUUCAAAACAGGGAAUGGCAAAUUUAUUGAGGAUGUUGAUUAUAGUGGGAGUAAUCAAAAUAAACAAAUUGUGUUUGAAGAGGAAUUUGAUAAUAUCGAUUCUAAUGAAAAUGAUCAAAUUACUUUACCAAAUGUGUUUCAACCUAUAAAUUAGGAUUAUAGAGAAAACGCAAUGAUAUUACCUCACCUUCAACAACCUCAAGUUGAAGUGCCUAAAAGAAGAUCUAGCAGAGAAAGAAGAAAUACAAUUUCGGAUGAUUAUGUUAUUUGUCUUCAAGAACGUGUUUUUGACAUGGGAUUGGAAGAUGAUCCUAUAAGCGUUAGCCAAGAAAAAUCAUGUGGAAAUUCUGCUAAAUGGAUUGAAGCCAUUAAAGAUGAGUUGAACUCUAUGAAAGACAAUGGCGUUUGGAAUCUUGUUGAGUUACCACGAGGAUCAAAACAAAUUGGUUGUAAGUGGAUUUUUAAAACCAAACGUGAUUCAAAAGGUAACAUCGAAAGAUAUAAAGCACUCCUAGUUGAUAAAGGAUUCACUCAAAAAGAAGGCAUAAAUUUUAAAGAGACAUUUUCACCAGUUUCAUCGAAAGACUCCUUUAGAAUCAUUAUGGCACUUGUAGCUCAUUAUGACUUAGAGCGAUAUCAAAUGGAAGUAAAGAUUGCCUUUCUCAAUGGAGACAUUGAAGAAACAAUAUAGAUGGUGCAACCAAAAAUCUUUGAGUCUUAAUAUUCAAAGCACCUUGUAUGUAAACUUAAGAAGUCCAUAUAUGGUUUGAAACAGGCAUCCCGUCAAUGGUACUAGAAGUUUGAUCAGGUGAUAACCUCUUUUGGCUUUAAGGAAAAUACUGUUGAUCAGUGCAUAUAUCUCAAGUUCAGUGGGAGCAAAUUUGUUGUCGUUAUGCUAUAUGUAGAUGAUAUUUUCAACUGGCCAAUAAUGAUAUAGGUUUAUUGCAUUAAACCAAGAAAUUUCUUUCAAGUAAAUUUGAAAUGAAAGAUCUUGGUGAGGCAUCCUUUGUUCUAGGUAUAGAGAUCCAUAGGGAUCGUACUAGAAGUAUUCUUGGGUUGUCGCAAAAGACUUAUAUUGAUAAGGUGCUAAGUAGAUUUGGCAUGCAAAAUUGUGCACCAGGAGAUACACUAGUGGCAAAAGGUGAUACAUUAAGUUUGCGCCAAUGUCCAUAUUUGGAUAUAGAGAAGAAAGAGAAGGAUAAAAUUCCAUACGCAUCAGCAGUGGGAAGUCUCAUGUAUGCACAAGUUUGUACGCGUCUAGAUAUUGCAUACAUAGUAGGAAUGUUGGGGCGAUAUUUAAGUAAUUCGGGAAUAGAUCAUUGGAAAGCUGCAAAACGGGUUAUGAGGUAUCUUCAAAGAACUAAAGAUUACAUGCUCACUUAUCGGAGGUCGGAUCACUUAGAGAUCGUAGGGUAUUUCGAUUUAGAUUUUGUUGGAUGUCUUGAUAGUAGGAGAUCUACAUCAGGUUAUAUUUUUAUGAUGGAUGGUGGAGCGGUAUUUUGGAAAAGUGUGAAACAAACAUUAAUAGCUUCUUCUACAAUGGAAGCCAAAUUUGUUGCCUGCUAUGAAGCAUCAAAUCAGGGAAUAUGACUGAGAAAUUCUAUCACUGAAAUGCAAAUAGUCGAUGGCAUAGAAAGACCAUUAAAAAUUCAUUGUGAUAAUAAGUCUGCUGAGUUAUAUUCGAAGAACAACCGAAGUUCGUCAAAGUCAAAGCAUAUAGAAAUUAAGUAUUUGAUUGUGAAAGAAAGGGUUCAGAGUCGUCUCGUGUCGAUUGAGCAUACUAGUACAAACUUGAUGAUUGCGGGUCCGCUCAUGAAGGGUUUACCACCUAAAGUGUUUCAUGGGCAUGUUGUUCAUAUGGGUGUUGUCAAAUUUGAUAAUGAGCCAUUUUAGUAGGAGUUUGUUAUUUUAUUUAUGCUAUUGAUAGGUUAAAGUUUAUUUUCUGUACAAACUCAAGUUUUAUGAAAUCCAUGAAUUUUGUAUGAUUAUUGAUAACUCUGAAAAAUAAAGAUAUUAACUUUCUAUUGUAGUAUUGCAUAAGGUAUAAGAAUGUGAUUUUGGACUAUUAAAGUCAUAAGGUAGGACCAUUUGGAAAUAGGCAUGACUUAGAUCAUUUUCAAUGUAAUUUUCGUAUCUGAUCUAUGUCAUUGAUAUUGCUGAUAUUUAUGAUCAUUGAUGGGUUUAGUUUCGAAUAUAUAUUACGAAGACCGCUUUGAUCCUAUAUUAAUAGUAUCGAUGGACCAGAUUGUUUUGAGAUAUUUAAAUCAAGAUAGCAAAAGUUUGUGCGCACUAAAGUUUCAACUGUGAAUAAUUAUUCAGAAAUAUAUGUGGUUCAAGUGGGAGAUUGUUAGUAAUUUUCUAUUUUGUGGACUCACAUAUUAAUAUAUUAUUCAUAGAUAUGCUAUCUUUAAAGAAACCCAAAUUUUGAUCUAAUAUAGUAUUAAAUGAUUUGAGCUUAAAAUGUAAAUAUCUAUUUAAUAUAAGUUUAUUUUGAUAAGUUAAACCUCAAGAACCUUUUCAUAACUGCAAUGGAAACUUAAUUUAAAAAGUACCUCUUCUAAAGAGGUAUAAUUGAAAAGGUACCUCUUCUAAAGAGGUAUAACUAAAAGGUGCCUGUCGGAAGAGUCAGAUAUAAAUAUCAUGUUCCCUAAGUUUAUAUGUAACUUUUCUCUUUCUCUACCCCAUCUAAGAAAAGAAUACAGAAAGCGUAUUAAAACUUAGAAGAUCAUAAAACUUACAUAAAACAAGAAUUCAAAAUCAAGUUAUUUACAAUGGAACAAGGUUAGUGUUCUUAUUGUUCUUCUAGUUUUGAAUCUCUGUCUAAUGAUUUAUUUGAUCUUGGGUGUAGUUCUUUAAAGUUUUCUAACACCUAGACCUUUCUCAUAUAAUAUAUAUGAAAAUAUCACUAAGUCUUUGGAGAAGCUUCAAAACUUGAAGUUUUUCAAUACUUCUGUCAACAAAUUGUAUGGUGAAAUACCCUCGGGGGGUCCUUUCAAGAACCUUUCGAGUCAGUUCUUCAUCUCCAAUGACGCAUUGUAUGGUUCCUUAAGAUUUAUUGUCCAGCCAUGCCCUACUUCAUCAAAGAACAGAUCAAAUAGGAAAAAACUGCCAAUUAUUUUUCUUUUGCUAGCAAUUGCAGUUGUAUUUGUUACUAUGGCCUUUGUGCUCCUAUGGAUAAGGUAUAGAAGAGGUAAAAGUGCUCCUCAACAAGCUGAGUCAUUGUCAUGACCCGAUCUGGGGCCCUAGCCAUGACGAGCAUCCCGGAUCAUGAAGGCCCGGAACACCUUUCUUUAUCUGGUAAUCAUGCACAACAUUCAUAAAACAAAAGAUAAUGCAGAAAUAGAAAUCUAAUACGAAACAUGGUCAAUCUGAAUGUAAUCAUAAUACUGAAAGCUGUAAUCCAAAAUAUAUUUGAAUAAUGUCUGACUCAGUCUGCGAAAUCUCUACUAUGAACUAAACAAAGUUGUCUGAAAACUGGGACCAAAACAUAACCAAUGAUAAUUAUCUGAAAUAAUCAUUCCUUCUAGAUCAUAGAAGGCUCACCACUGCACAAUCGGAUCUGUGAUCUGAAAUAUCUACUGUUUAUCUGGAUCCCUAAACUGUGCCUCAGAAGAACCUGGAGGGAGGAGGGGGGUCAGCACAAAAGUACUGCCACGCGAAGCAAUCCAAAAUAGAGUACUUGAACAUAUAUAUAUAUAUAUAUAUAUAUAUAUAAUAGAUGAGAGAAAAUUUUCAUCAAACAUCAUGCAUAAAAUAGUUUCUGGAAACACAUGAGCAUCAUUCGAAAAUCAUAAGUCAUUCUUGUCAAAAUAGUUCUGAUCUUUGUAUUACUUCUGAGUUAGGUGGCACUCCCCUACAAGUCUGAUAUUCCACAGUCUAUAUGGAAUCCGCCAUUGACUCGGUGGGGAAGCCCCCAACCCAAGUGUGCCGCAAGGGUUAGAGUGUCUGAGUCUGAUACACCACACGACACUAGGCCAGUGUAAUAUAAUAUACCCGGAUUGGCAAAUCACGGUUUUGGUCAAUGAUUUAUCUGGACUCAUGCCUUCUUCGGGGAACCACCUAAGAUCUCUUUAAGCCCUAUUUUAGCCUUUUAUGAACAUGCAUCAUUCUAAGGUUUUAAAACUUGCAAAUCUGAUAAAGUUUGAUUUCUGUAUUAGUCUGUGUUUGUUAUGGCAUUUUCUGAGUUUGGUAUCGUCAUACCAAGACUUGCAAGUCCUAUUUCUGAGCCAUAAUGUCAUAAGCAUGAUCUUUCAUAAACAUAUAGUUUCAGACCACCCAAACAUAUAAUUUGUAUAAGAGAUUUCAUGUUCUAAAACCCAAGUCAAAACCAUGCAAAAACUUUCAUCAAACAUUUGGUGGUCAUGUGCUUUUGGCGAAACCAUGCACUCUUUCAUUUCAUGUAUAUUCAACAUUCACAUCCUUCUCUUUCGUAUUCAAAAGUCAUAUUCAAAACAUAGCAAUAGCCCAAAAUAUUUCAUACCAUGCUUUUCAGAAUGCAUUCAAAACAAUUCAUAUUAUACGAAGAUGGGAAAACUCAUAACAAGAGAGGGAUUCAUUAUAAUUCAUUCUCUCAAUUGAAUAAUCAUUCUUGAACACAUACAUACAUAUAUACAUAAUUUCAAAUCAAUUUGGGGGAGAGGUCUAAAGACCAAAACAAUACCGUCAAAACUUCUAAAACAUGAUUAUAUUCAUAAGUUUCAAAACUCCAUUCUUAAAACAUGAAUUAUAUGCCCAUGAGAUUUUAGGAAAAUCCCGCGUACCUCGAAUUAGGAAGACAAUAGGUGAUUAUUGAAGCCUACGACCUGGGGAUUCCAAAUAUGGGAUCAACUUCGAAAACCUACGGUUGAAUCUUGAACUACUUGAAUUUUUAUUUUGAAACCCUAGAGAGUGUUCUAGAUAAUUUUUGAUAAAAAUAUCAAUGAUAUGGGUAUUUGGGAGUUAAAUCCCGUGUUAGAGGUGAUAGGGGUUGGAAAAAUACCCUUUUACCCUUAAUGAGACUGAACUUAAAUGCUGAAAAACUCCCAGGCGUGCACCAGACCAUGCGUCGCAUGCUAUUUCCCACCGCACUGGAGCAUGCGACGCAUGCUAUAUCGCAUGCUGCCACCAUGCGUUGGACCAUGCGACGCAUGCAUAUUGCAUGAUGCCACUAUUUUGGGCAUCCAAACAUGCCCUAAACGACGUCCAAAAAUUCCAAAACUCACCCAAUACGUAUUAUGACCUUGCCCCAUCGCAACGCAACAAGAAAAUUUAAAAACGGGGGUCGGGAAGGUUGAAAAUAAAAUCCUUGAAGAUUAUGAGCUAAAAAUGAGUCUAAGUCUUUUAACACUUAGAAUAUUUCCAAGUUUCUCAUUCCAUGCCCAUGCUAAUAAGAGACAAUGUAUUGUACGAAUUUUAUGGGGCGUUACAGUCAUUGUCUACCAUAACACGAGAAAUAAUUUCAUACUAUGAACUACUCCAAGCAACGGAUGACCUUAGUGAGAGUAAUCUGAUUGGUUUUGGAAGUUUUGGCUCUGUUUACAAAGGUGUUCUCUGACGUGGAACUGCCAUUGCAGUUAAAGUGUUCAACCUGCAACUGGAUGUGGCAUUCAAGAGCUUUGAUACGGAAUGUGAAGUUCUGCGCAACCUUCGCCAUAGGAAUCUCGCAAAAGUCGUUACUACUUGUUCCAACCUUGAUUUUAAGUCUUUAGUGCUUGAGUAUAUGCCAAAUGGAAGUCUUGAUAAGUAUUUGUAUUCACACAACUACUUCCUCGACAUCAGGCAGAGGCUAAGCAUAAUGCUAGAUGUGGCAUGUGCAUUGGAAUAUCUUCACCAUGGGUGCUUGUCGGCUGUGAUCCACUGUCAUCUGAAGCCUAGUAACGUUUUGCUGGAUGAGGAUAUGGUUGCCCACCUUAGCAACUUUGGCAUUUCAAAACUGCUUGGUGAAGAUCAGGGUGAUUUGUACACUAAAACCUUAGCAACAUUGGGGUAUAUUGCGCCAGGUACGUCUCUUAGUUUUACUGAUUAUCCCUUUCUUUUUUUUUCCCAUCUAUAAAGCAUAUUGCAUGUUUAAAUGAAUUGUUUUGACCGUAGAGUAUGGACUGGAAGGACUAGUGUCAACAAAGUGUGACGUCUAUAGUUAUGGGGUCAUGUUGCUGGAAAUAUUUACUAGGAGAAAGCCUAAUGAGUUUGAUGGAGAUCUUAGCUUGAAGCAAUGGGUGAGUUAUUCACUUCUUAGAGCAUUAAUGGAGGUCGUAGAUGCCAACUUGGUAACCCAAACAGGUAGUCACUUACAGAUGGAGCUAGAUGUUGUGGCAUCAAUAAUGAAAGUGGCAUUAGAUUGUUGUGCUGAAUCUCCGGUAAGAAGAAAUAACAUGAAAGAUGUUGUAGGAAUACUACAGAAGAUCAAUAUUCAACUUCUUGCAUGCUAAGCAUAUUCUCGGAAUCUCUCCUUCCAGAUUAGUUGUUUGUCGCAAAAGUUUGCUAAAUUGUUGGAUUUACGUGAAGAUCGUUAUUUUUUUUUUUGGUUUUAGUACUUGGUUUCUGGAUGAUUCCUUUUUUCAAAAAUGUUAGCUGGCUACUAUGAACCUUAGAUCCUUUUUCAGAAAUGCUAGCCGGUUACUAUGAAUCUUACUUUUUCGUCUUUAAAUUGAAUAACUAAAACCAAAUUGAUCCUCUUGAAAAUCUUGAAGCGGAAUGAACUUAUUUUAAAUUGUUAGAGGAAUCAACUCUAUGUAUACAGAUAGGCAAUUAAUAUAAAUGUCUUACAUUGGAAACACUAUCAGGACAUAUAACAUCAUGACAACAAGCAUAACGGGCAAUGACAAAAAAUGCAAUAUAUCAUCAUGCUAUACGAUAAAAAAUGGCAGCUCAGUGCACGAAGCAUCUUGCAUUCAUGCAGGAUACGGAGAAGGAUCGCCCCCAGGGAUAGUAACACAGCCAACCUACCCAACACAAAUAGCAAUGACUGAUUCCACGACUCAAACUCGUGACCUAUGGUCAUGCUGCCCCAUCAGCUUACAUGACGAUAAGUGAAGAAAAGAGAUAAUUUGCAUUAUCUUUUUACAUUCUUUUUUCAAUACAGUACAUUCUUCAAGAUUUUCCAAAUCAACCAAUUAAGACUAGAAAAAAGUUAAUUAGACCCCUCAAUGUUAAGUUCUAAUUUCUUAAGUUAUGAUUACAAGAAUUCAUGUACUUUGCACUGUAUCCGAGUCCUUUUCGCGGCCAUACCAAGCCCAUAAAUUUAACAAUGGACUGUUAGUUAAAUUAGCUCCAGGUAUGCCUCCUGUUCUGUUCGACUAGUGUCUCACAGUCCCUUUUUGGUACACGUUGAUGGUGUGAGAGACGAGUCUAAAAAUGCAUUCUUUGCUCUCCGGGUCUCUUUGCCAUAUUAUCAGUCUAACUCUAGUCUGAUUCCCUUUGCUCACUUUUUUGGAAGAUCAUCUACUACUACUUCAUUUUCUGGAGGUAAACUCCUCGAAACAAUGAUGUUGAUGAAGAAACUUGAAAUGACGUUGAUGAUUUGGAAGAUCAGUCUCUUGCAGAAAGUGACUCAGAGGAGAAAAUGCCGAAUUAUUUUGUCAAUUGAAUCAUUUCUUAUUACUCCACAAGUCUCAUAAUUUUGUUUUUCAUUUGAGUCAAGUAACAAGUAAUACUCUUUAUGAUGCAUUAUUGGUCCUCCCAACACUAGUGCUAAAUGGUCCAACUUUCACAACAUAUUUGGUAUAUGGCUGUUGCGGAAAGAAUGUGUGUUAACUAGAAUACAAUCGCACAAAAAGCAAAUAGAGAAGAAAAAUAACACAAAGCUUUCUUUUCAACUAAUAGGGAAAGGUCUCGUUUUGGUUUCGUAGAAUGAAUGUUAAAGCAGGAUGCUCAGAAUCGUAUGAUUCAGCAAUACCUGACGAAAUGAUCAUAUUAAAGAUUGGGAUGAACGGGAUGACCUAUUUCAAGAUCAAAUGAUCCACCUCUUUGUUUACCUCUGAGAUCCAAUUUUGAAAUGUUAGAUACGAGGGAAACAACACAUAAAGGAGAAAUUGAAUACUAUUUCCGAUGCAGUUCACGAUAAAUAGCUGCCAACUACCUAACUAGGUCGUUUCUUGUUAGAAUAUCUAUCCUAGUAGGAAAAUGGAAGGAAUAUACUAAUACACUAUAGGAGAGUCAAAAAAUGUGUAUUGGAACUAUAUCAGGAUUAGAUUGACGAGAAAUAUCCUUCUCCAUUCCCGGCCACCUCAUUAAUAUCUGGGGGGAAGAAUCCGAGGUAGCCUAAUGAUCAGCAAACAAAUCAAAGACAAGUACUUUUGUUUUAUGUUAGUCUCUAAGUAGUACUAAGCACCUAUUUAAUCGAGAAAGGGAACUAACAUAUUUUUCAUUCAAAACGUAUAUCAAUUACACAUAGUGUUAUCAGAGUAUUUUAUUAUUACUAAGAGAAUAUUUUGAGAAUAAUAAAAAAGGUAAUGUUAAAUAAUAACCUUUAAUUAUGUCCUCUAAUAUUUUUUUUCUCUCAACUGUAUGACUGUAUGUCAUACCCUAAAAUUCACUUCAUAUGGACUAGUAAUAUAUCUUUUUUUUAUUACUUAAUAAAAUCAUUGGGGGUGGGGGUGGGGGGUGGGGAUGGAAAAAAAUAUAUUUUUAAAAAUUUUUAAAGAUAUUUUUAAAAUAAUUUUUUGAUUUUUAAAAAUAUUUUAAAAUUAUUUUUAAAUUAUUGGGGGAUUGCUACAUGUCUACUGAUUUCCAGCUUGACGGGGGGGGGGUGGGUGGGUGGGGCGUAUGCUAAUCCAUAUUGGAGCAGUGCAAUUACUUAUGCUGUUUUGGAUUAGUUGUUAGUUAGUUAUGUGUUGGUUAUAAUCACAGUUUGAACAUGAGUAAUAACAAACUAGGCCGGGGGUUUACUCCGAUAAAUCCUUUAAAAUCACGGGUUUAACUUCUAUGAUUUUCAAUAUUAAUUUCAUUGUAAUAUCAAAAUUACUGGUUCAAACCUAAUAAUAGUGGUUGAUAUUUAAAUAGAUUUUUCCAUAUAUAUAUAUCUAUACUCCGUAUCAAAUGAUAUAAAUCCCUGUAAAUCUAUAGCUGACACGAGUUAAAUUUUGAUUUGCCAAAACUAAAUCCCUAUUCAUUAUGAUAUUGCAGUCAGUACUGUUUAAGUUGUUAACUCAAAUUAUGAAUUUCACCUGUAUCUAACAAAGAUAAUAAUAAAAAAAAAUCUAUUCAAUUCAUUCUUGCUCCUCUAAUGAACAUCUUACAUUUGGUAUAAAACUUGUGGAAGACUCCUGUUUUAGUCUUCUUUCUUGGUCUGCCGUUAAAACGAAUUAAAGUUACUUUAUUGUUUCUUUAGAUAACUUAAUUAAUGAGUAAAGGAAAGAUAUUCCUUUUUUCUUAAAGAAUGUAUGGAAAAUUAUUAUAAAAAAGAUUUUUGUAGAUUUUGAAAUCAGAAAGAGAAAGAGACCUCUUUACUAUUUAAAGUCUCAAAACCACAUCAUUACUAUCCAUAUCAAUAUUCUUACCAAUAUAAGCAAUUAUGGAGAAACUUGUUGCUUUCACCUCUUUUCUCUUGUUGCUUCAGUACUAUGUUAUAUGUAGUUCAGCCAUGAACCAAUUUAAUAUCUCCACUGAUCAAUUAGCUCUUCUUUCCCUGAAAUCACAAAUCAUUUCGGACCCCUUUCAUUUCUUCGAUGAAAGUUGGUCUCCAGCUGCGUCGGUUUGCCAUUGGGUUGGAGUCACUUGUGGCUCUCGUCACAAGAGAGUGAAGUCCUUGAAUCUUUCUGACAUGGCUCUUACUGGCAGAAUUCCACGUGAUUUUGGAAACCUCACAUUUCUUGUUUCUCUCGACUUGGGUAGCAACAGUUUCCGUGGAAAUUUGCCUCAAGAAAUGGCACACUUGCGUCGGCUUAAGUUUCUUGAUUUAAGUUUUAACAGCUUCAGAGGGGAAGUUCCUUCUUGGUUUGGGUUCUUACACCAACUUCAAUUUCUUAAUCUUAGGAAUAAUAGUUUCACCGGCUCCCUUCCCUCUUCAUUUUCUAACAUUACAAAUCUUGAAAUGUUGAAUUUGGCAUUCAAUUCCUUAGAAGGUCAUAUCCCGGUUUCUCUCUUGAAUGCCUCAAGGUUGGAGACGUUAGAAUUAUCUUAUAAUUCACUUCAAGGAAACAUUCCAAAAUGGAUCGGCAAUCUUCACAACAUGAACUGGUUGGGCAUAGAAUUUAAUCAACUUAUGGGUUCUAUACCAUUUACAAUUUUCAAUAUUUCUGGGAUCGAAUUCAUUUCAUUUAGUGGCAAUAGCUUAUCAGGAAUUCUUCCCAAUGGUUUAUGCAAUGGUCUCCCAAUUCUCAAAGGGCUUUAUCUCUACAAAAACAAGCUUCGCGGUCAUAUGCCUACAAACUUAUCAAAUUGUUCACAACUUCAACUGUUGGGGUUAUCGGAAAAUGAGUUUGAUGGACCAAUACAUAGUGAAAUAGGAAGAUUGAGUAACCUGCAGAUAUUGGAUCUCGGAACGAACCAUUUCACUGGUACGUUCCAUAUUAUGAAUAAUAGCACUAUUGUAUCUUAUUACUUCAGAAUUUCAUUUUAUUAUACAUUCAUUUCAGGGAUAAUUCCACAAGAAAUUGGAAAUCUUGUUAAUUUGGUAGAGUUAGCCAUGGAGGAUAAUCAUAUUACUGGCUCUGUCCCGAUCUCCAUAUUCAAUAUCUCAUCGCUGCAACUUUUGUCACUGUGGAGGAACAAUCUUAGUGGAUUCUUACCACGGGAGAUUGGCAACUUAACCAACAUGCAACAUGUUGAGAUUGGUGGAAAUAAGCUUAUAGGUACAUAUAUAUAUAUAUAUAUAUAUAUAUUUUUUAAUGAUUUUUUGGUUUUUAUUAAUGAAACGAAAAUUAUACAAAGAGUCAAAGGCCAAAAUAGGUACAUAUAUAUUCUAAUGGUGUCUCAUGUUAAAUUUUACAGAUCCAUUAGAACUAUUAAAAUUCUAUGAAUUUAUGUAUGUAAUGAGUACUAAAAUGUAACAAUUAUAAAUAAAUCUUCAAGUAUAUGACAAGAAACACCAUAUAAGGAGCGUCUUUUAAUGUUUAAAAUUAAUCUAUUUUGAGAAAUAACCAGUAAAUUUGAACUACUAUUGGUAGUUAGCUAACAUCUAAUAAAGUAUCAUUUUAUAUAUUUGAGUCCAUAUAAGAAUACAAACCUGCACAAUCAGAAUUCAUAGAAAAUUAAAUUAAGAACUUUAAUGGAGAAAAAAAUAUAUAAUAUGUACAUCCUUAGUAAAACUUUGAUCAAUAACAAUAGGAAAAAGAACUAUAUAGUUAUUACAUAAUUUUCUGAGUUCUUGCCGACACCUUCUUCCGUAACCAAUUAAAAUUCAAGAGUCUUCUUAUAGAUAAGCAUUGAGUUAAAUAGUUCAUCUCACUUGUAUUCAUUUUUUCUUCAUGUGUUGACAGGUGAAAUACCCAAAGAGAUACGCAAUCUCAUUGAGUUGGAGGUACUUAAUCUUGGGUUUAAUAGUUUUAGUGGUUCGCUUGAUAUGGAGAUCUUCAACAUAUCAGGGCUGAGAAUAAUUCAGCUUUCACACAAUAAUCUAUCAGGAAGCCUCCCACCAAACAUGUGUUCUAUCUUACCCAACAUUGAACAACUUUUUCUGGGCAACUUAACCAAUCUUGUUGGGACUAUUCCCCAUUCCAUCUCCAAUUGUUCAAAACAUACUAUUCUAGAGCUUUCUAACAACCAACUCACAGGCUUGAUUCCCAAUUCUCUUGGAUAUUUGACUCAUCUACAAAUCGUAAACUUGGGGGGAAACAAUUUAACCAGCGACUCAUUGUUAAGCUUUCUGACUUCCUUAAUCAAUUGCAGAAAUUUAACAUAUCUUGAUAUAUCUUUCAACCCUCUAUAUGGCAUGCUUCCAGCCUCCACAGGGAACCUUUCCACAUCUCUUAGAACAUUUUUUGCCAUCAGUUGUAAAAUCCAAGGGCGUAUUCCAGAUGAAGUUGGGAACUUAAGCAGCUUAUUAGACCUUGAUCUUUCUGGAAAUAACUUGGUCGGAUCUACUCCAACAUCAAUUGGCAACUUGAGAAAGCUUCAGCGCUUCAACUUGAGUAACAACAAACUUACAGGAUUUGUUGGUGAUCAUAUAUGUAAAUUGCAGCAUCUGGGUGAUAUUUUCUUGGAUCAAAAUAAACUUUCAGGAUCUCUUCCUAAUUGUUUAGGGAAUAUUACUUCCCUCAGGGAGAUACAUCUCGGUUCCAACAAAUUGAGUUCCAAUAUACCACCAAGCUUAGGGAACCUUCAUGAUCUAGUGGUUCUUGACUUAUCGUCAAACAACAUAGUAGGUUCUUUACCUCCAGAAAUUGGAAAUCUAAAGGCUGUGACACUGAUAGAUCUGUCAAUGAAUCAAUUUUCAAAUAGAAUUCCAAGAGAAAUUGGAGGAUUGCAGAAUCUGGCACGACUUUCUUUGAGACACAACAAGUUGCAAGGAGCUAUACCUGACUCAAUGAGCAACAUGGUAGGUUUGGAAUUCCUAGACCUUUCUCAUAACAAUAUAUCUGGAAUCAUUCCUAAGUCUUUGGAGAAACUUCAAUACUUGAAGUAUUUCAAUGUUUCUUUCAACAAAUUGUAUGGUGAAAUACCCUCGGGAGGUCCUUUCAAGAACCUCUCGAGUCAGUUUUUCAUCCACAAUGAAGCAUUGUGUACUUCUUCAAGAUUUAGUGUCCCGCCAUGCCCCACUCCAUCUAAGCACAAAUCAAAUAGGAACAAAUUGCUAGUUCUUUUUCUUUUGCUAGGACUAGCAUUUUUAUUUGUUCCUAUCACUUUUGUGUUUGUAUGGAUAGGGUAUAGAAGAGGUAAAAGAGCUCCUCAACAAACUGAUGCAUUGUCUGCCAUUACAAGAGAAAGAAUUUCAUACUAUGAAUUGCUCCAAGCAACUGAUGCGCUUAGCGAGAGUAAUUUGAUUGGUUCCGGAAGUUUUGGCUCUGUUUACAAAGGUGUUCUCAGAAGUGGAACUGCCAUUGCAGUUAAAGUGUACAACCUACAAAUUGAUGCGGCAUUCAAGAGUUUUGAUAGGGAAUGUGAAGUUCUGCACAGCCUUCGCCAUAGGAAUCUUGUAAAAGUCAUCACUAGUUGUUCCAACCUUGAUUUUAAGGCUUUAGUGCUCGAGUAUAUGCCAAAUGGAAGUCUUGAGAAGUAUUUGUAUUCGCACAACUACUUCCUCGACAUCAAGCAGAGACUAAGCAUAAUGAUAGAUGUGGCAUGUGCUUUGGAAUAUCUUCACCAUGGGUGCUCGUUGCCUGUGAUUCACUGUGACAUAAACCCUAGUAACGUCUUGCUGGAUGAGGAUAUGAUUGCACAUCUAAGCGACUUUGGCAUUUCAAAACUUCUUGGUGAAGAUGAGAGUGAUUUAUACACAAAAACAUUAGCAACAUUGGGUUAUAUUGCACCAGGCACGUCUCUUGAUUUUGCUUUGCACAUUUCUUUCCUCGUUCUCUUUUUCCACCAAGUUAUCAUGUUACAUCUUUUAAUAAUUGUUUGAUUGUAGAGUAUGGACAAGAUGGAUUGGUGUCUACUAAAUGUGACGUGUAUAGUUAUGGAAUCAUGUUGCUGGAAUGAAGGAGAUCUUAGCUUGAAGAAAUGGGUGAGUUAUUCACUUCCAGAUGCAGUAAUGGACGUCGUGGAUGCCAACUUGGUAACAACAACAGGUAAAGGCUUACAGAAGGAGCUAGAUGUUAUGGAAUCAAUCAUGAAAGUAGCAUUAGAUUGUUGUGUUGAAUCUCCGGCAAGAAGGACUAACAUAAAAGAUGUUGUAGGAAUGCUGCAGAAGAUCAAGAUUCAACUUCUUGCAUGCUGAGCAUGUUCUCGGAAUCUCUCGUUCCAAAUUACUUGUUUGUUGCAAAUGUUUGCUAAAUUGUUAGAUUUAUGUGAAGAUUGUUACUUUUUUUAUAUGUUUUAGUAAUUGAUUUGUGGAUGAUUCUGUUUUCAAAAAUGCUAGCUGGUUGCAAUAAAUUUCAUUAUUUCCAACGUAAUAACUAAAACCAAAUUGAUCCUCUAAAAAAUCUGGAAGCAGAAUAAUCUUUUUUUAAAAUAGUUAAGAGGAAUUAAGUACAUGAAUACAAAUAGGCAAGUAAUAUAUUUGUAAAUGUUUUACAUGUGAAUCACUAAGAUGACACAUAACAUCAAGACAACAAACAAAAAGAGCAAUGACAAAAAUUGUUGCGAUCAUAAAGCCUAUAUAUAUAAAUAUAUAUUUUAUUUUAUUUUAUUUUUUUCUUUUUUUUGGCAAUAAAUCUGAAAUAUUACCANNNNNNNNNNNNNNNNNNNNNNNNNNNNNNNNNNNNNNNNNNNNNNNNNNNNUUUUCUUUUUUUUGGCAAUAACUGUGAAAUAUUACCAUUACUAACACAAUGCAUACAAACAAAGAGUAUCCAGUGGUUUCCUUCUGCCUACAAAGGAGCCAUGAGUUAACCAAUUAGACCUGAACUAACAACACUUACUAACUAAUAAACCAAACAGCUAUGUACACAAUCUAUCACACCAAUUUUGACACUUCAGGGCCCUUUUUGAUUCCUUAAGUAUAUUCAUUCUCUCCCUUAGUUCAUGUUGUAUCUGUGAGAUAUCUAUACUAGUAGGAGUAGUUAUAUGUUGAAAAAUCUUCUUGUUCCUAACUUGCCAAGUGUGUUAUAUCAAUGGUCCCCACAUUCCUGCAACUAUAUGCUUCUUAAACCACUGCCAGUUGCUUCUAUUUAUCCACUGUACAGUGGUCUUUACAUCCCUCUUCCUUACGUGUAUACCAAGCCAAUUGAGAAGAGUUAUGCUCACCUCCAUUAUCCAUUGGCAUUCUCCAAACAGAUGCUCUUGUGUUUCCUCAACAUCAUCAUCACAUAGGCAACAUUUAGUAUCCUCUACUGAAAUAUUCAACCUUUGCAAUCUUGUCUUUGUCAAUAACUUAUUCUGAAACGCCAACCAUAAUAUGAAUCGGUGUCUCGGCAUCAUAAUGGUACUCCAUAUCAACUCACUUUCCCUUUGUCGAGGGUGCAUACCCACCAAGGCCUUGUAACUCCUAUUAACCGAGUAGUCACCAGUGUGUGUUAGUAUGUACUGCCCCUGUAAUACCAUCCUAACAUUUGCACUUUAAUGGAAUUCAACUUCCUCCAGUACCAACUACUAGUAGGGGCAGGUUUGUGUGCCCAUAUGUCGGCAUCAUUCUUCAUAUAUACUUCAUGCACCCACUUCGCCCACAACACAUCUUUUUUCCUUGCCAAUUGCCAAAUCAACUUUCCCACUGAAGCUAUAUUCCAGUUCUUGCAUCCCUUUACAUUUAAUCCUCCAUAUUUUCUUGGCAAACACACUGUAUUCCAUGCCACCAACGAUAUCUUCUUUUUCUCAUUGCUACUUCCCCACAAAUAUUCUCUACACCUUUUAUCCACCUCCUUUAGAACCUUUUGAGGUAGAAUAAAUAUUGCUCCCCAGAAGUUAAAUAUGGAAAAUAAUACAGAGUUGAUAAUCUGUAAUCUGCCAGGGUAUGAAAGUUGUUUUGCAUUCCCUUUGUUGAUCUUGUUAGUAAUCUUCUCCACCAACUGAUGACAUUCCAUGCUAUUCCAUUUUUUCGAUGACAAAGGAACCCCUAAAUACCUAAUAGACAGGGUACCUAGCUUGAAACCCGUCCUACUCAAAAUUGUAGCUCUUGUCUCAUGGUCCAUACCUGCCAAGAAGAUAUUGGAUUUAUCACUAUUCGCUUCCAAACCAGUAACCUUGCUGAAGUGAUCUAAAGCUUCCAUGACCCGAGACACUGAGUUGGCAGUCCCUUUGCAAAAGAUCAUUAAAUCAUCCGCAAACACCAGAUGGGAAAGCUUAGUCCUUUUACAUAUAGGGUGGAACCUGAAAUCACGGAGUUCACUCAUCUUUAUCAAUGUCCUGGACAGAUAUUCCAUCACCAGUACAAAAAGUAGCGGAGACAUAGUGAUACAAGACAAACAAGAGGAACACGAAACAGCCGCAAAACAGUCCAAUACACCCUCCAAAACAGUCCACAAAUCACAACAAAUCAUGGACCAAAUGGAGACUUCACUCGGAUUCGACAAAUACAACAAGAAUACAAGAAACAAAGGUGUAUUUGACACCCAAAACAGCCACAAAUUGUGAAGAACAAGAUGACGACAAGAACACAAAUUUUCGGAUUCAACAAGACACAAGAAUAGUCCACUACAAACAAUAACAAGAUUACAAGAAUAAAAGGAUAGAUAGUGAGAUAUAGAUUUGUUACAAGACUUAGGAACAAAGUGUGAUUCAAACAAUAAACCCCUAAUUAAUGUAACAACACCACACUCUUACGGUGACCGCCAAGGGAAUCACUUACCUCAAGAUCCACCAUUUCCAAACAAAGAACAAUAUUGGCUUUUCCAAGCGCUAUGCUAAGGAUGACUUUUCCAAGCCCUAACUAAGAACUAUACUAAGGUUUUGCACUCUCCAAAGAGAUAAUAAGUCUUUCAAAUGUUCAUCAUUCAUUCACUAAAGAGAAAUGACCUAAAAUAGACUAUAUAUAGUAUAUUACAAAAGAAAGAUAAAAUGACUCCAAUGCCCUUAAUGAGGUGGGUUGCAUUGGAGUGUCAUUUAGACAAGGCUAAAAGACCAAAAUGACCUUGAGGCUAAGUGACCAAAAUGACCUUAAUAAAAGGGGCCAAAACCGUGAACCAUCAAAUGUGGUCCAAACCCAUGAGUCCUCUAGUCUUCAAGGCUCCAAGCAAUCUUCCACACACGGGUUUGUUUGAUGGCAUGCUCAAAAUAACCCCUACAAGUAUGAUCUCGUGCCCUCCAUGGGACCAAAUCUUGAUUUUUCACGUAGUGACUUUGAAUGAUGUCAUUGAAAGCUAAGGCGGCCAUUUCACUUGUAUCAUCCUCCCCUUCUUGAAAAGGAUUAGACCUCAAAUCCGUACCUUGCAAAAAAAGAGAAAGGACAAAGAAGCACAACAUCCUCAUGGCGUGAGGGUUAGGGUUAGCACAGUAAUAAACAUCGUCACGCCAAGGAGGUACAUACUUGAAGUAUAACCAAGAAUCCUUUGAAGUGAGUAUUAAAAACUCAAUGAAAGAUGUACAAAGGAUUUGGUUAUGGGAUACACCAAGAGUGAUACUUUUCUCGUCAUGUAGACCAAGCAACAAGUUGGGUGCACCAAAAAUCACCAUUUCUACAUUUGGCACCGGGGUCAAAUGGGAAAAGUUUCCACAGACACGGGUCUAGACAACACUCCCUUUUCCCAUGGUCUACACCCAAAAUAAACGACAUACUCUCUAUAAUAGCAUACAUAUCAUCCAAAGAAAAUAGAGAGUAGAGAAAGAUAUCACUCAAAUCGACUUCUACCAAGGUGCCCUCAUGUGUGUACUCCCUACUAGUUUCCCAAUAAUAACUAUGAGUACUCUCAACAAUAAAGUCACACAAAGUAAAAUAAGAAGUAACUUCCGCAACUACACAUUCCUUACCCCUAAGAGUACUCUCAUCUUCCAAGAAGAGAUUUCCAUCUUUAGGAGGAAUGUUGUCACACCAAAGUGGGUUAGCAUAUAGGCUAUAGCUUCCAAGGCAAGGUAUACCAUCAUUUUCACCACAAGCUUUAUUAGAAGUGUUUAAAUCAUCUUCAAACAAGAUAUUACACCUAAAGAGAGUGUGAUCUACCUCACGGACAGAUUUGGAAUAAGCAAGUUCCUCACACUCUAAAUGAUCAAUAUCAAGUUUCAAGGAUGUUCCAAACACAAGAUUACCCCAAGAAGAGAUCUCGGGUUCACUCCCACUUUGUUGACCAACAUUUUCAAAUACUUCACUUACUUGAGUUCUAUUAAGCACAUCACACACAUACUCAAGUGGGGGACAAUUUUCACAAACAAGUUGAUCAACACCAAUUACACAAGACAAUGUACUUUCGUUCAACAUAUAGGCUUCAAAACUAGGUGGACAUAAAUUAAUCUUACAAGAAGAGUCAAUUUCGUCAUCAAUAGGAUCAACUAGUGUAUCCAAACUCACAAUAUGUACAUCAUCAACAAGAGGUAAGGAAUCAUUAGACUCAUAAAUAAGUAAGCUACUACUCACACUCAAUGGCUUACUAGCCACACAAUUGUCAUUCACAUGCACUAAAGUGUAAGAGUUAGCUAUUUUACCUUUAAGAUCUUGAGUAGACUCUUCCCUGCCGUGAGGUAAGCAACUUUCUUUUGGCAUUGUUCGCCUUCGCUUGCCAUGUUGGUACCUACACAAAUGUCCUUAGAAAUGGAAGGAUAACCAAUGUUAGCACGGUUUGGUGGCAAUCCCCUCACUUCGCUCCACAUAUCCUCUCUUUUUUCCAUUCUUGGAUUACCACCUUGCACUCUCUUAAUCCUCUCAAUAUGUUGUCUCUCAUCAUAAAUCGGAUUGGAGUAGGUAAGCAUUUGUCUUUGCGGUUUGGGUAGAAAGUAUGUUAUGAGGCAAUUUCCCCAUUGGUCUCUUACAACAUUAGGCCAAUUUUUCACGUUAGGAACUUGAUGUCGUGCAAACCAAUCGGCACCCAAGCUUAUAUUACCGUAGGUUAAGAAAAAAACAUCGUAUCACACCUCCUCAUGGUAAUCAAAUUGGGAGAAGAUAACUUUUACCCCCUCGGUAACCUUGAACUCGCCCAAGUAGUAUGGAACAAGUAAAGGCUCUUGAAAUAAUCCCAAGUAGUCAACCAUGGAUGGAAGAAUGUAGUUUCCAUAGUACCUAUCAUUCAACACUAUAAGGCAGCCCGGUAUCCCACAAAUAGUCACCUUUCCGGAGUGUACACUCCUCCUUGGAUCAACAUUGUAAGGCACACAAGUACCCGUCGGUUUUGGAGAUGCUUUCCCUCUUCUUCUCAUGGGACAACCUCUACUAUAGCUAGUAUAACCAAUCACACCAUGUCGACCUUGAUAAGAAGUACUACAAGGUGAAGAAUAUGAUCUUUCACACUCCGCACGCGUACUCUCAUCAUAGCUCUCAUAAUCUUUGCGAAUGAAAGGGUUAUACCUAACACCAAAUGUAGGUUCAAAGUGGGAAGUAUAAGACUCCUUACAUGCCCCAACUUCAUCAUAAGAACCAUCACGAGUUCCUACAUCAUCUCCAAAUUCACCAUAAGCACUAGGCACAUCAUUCCCCUUAUUUUCUCCCCUAAACCCGAGACCCUCAAAUCUGCCCAACUUUUGAUCAUGGCUAUUUUCAUAGCCCCCACAAUCUCCCUCAACUUCAUAGCCAUAAAACCCCUCACUACAAUCAUAGUCUCCCAUGUUGUAGUCACAAUAAUCCCCGGCUAUCAAAGACAUGUUCCUCUUAUAUCACCCUUUGUACCUACAGAAUGAACAAACAAGAUUAGUAGUACUGCUUCUUACUAACACUCGUAUACACUCACCUUUGUGAUUUUCACAAUUGGAGCAGCGAAUAUUGAAAGUUGUUUAUACUCCGGCAGUCAAUAGGAUGCCAAUUCUAUUUGGUAGUUGGAAUAGAUUCUUGUUUGAUCGACUCAAAAUACAAAAAUAAAAUUUACUUACUAACUUGAAACAAAGAAGUUACUAUGAGUUAAAAAUGAGAAAAAGCACACAAAUAACGAAGACACGAAAGGAACGAAUUCAACAAUUAAUCUACAACUAAGUAGGUGAUUACUAGUUAAUUAAUUCUAGAAUCAAGAUAGGAAACUAAGGAAACAAUAAAGUGAAACUAAUAAUCUAAAAUUUGAGCCAAAAUUCGAUGCGUGAACAGUAACUUGAUGAUGUGGCAGCCACGUAUUGGUUGCGGUUUCUACAAUUUUUAUUUUUCAAAGCCCAAGUCUUGACCAAUUUUAAUUUGGAUGAGUGAAAUUUGUUUUAAGGAAGGAAGAAUAAGUCUUGAGCCUUUUUUUUUUUUUAAGUUUCAAAUUUCAAGACUUGACUUUUGUAGUACUUUCCUUAAAACAUGGACCCUUGUUUUUUGGAAAAGUGAUUGAGAUGUGAUUGACUUGUUGGUGAGUGAUGGUAAGUCUUUCAAGACUAACAAAGUUCUCACACUUUUUCCUUCACCUUUUUGGAUCUAACUUUCACUUUAUGUUAACAAGGUAUGAAGGUUUGGAAGAACAUCAAGAACACUUCAACAAUCACUAAGAAAAUAAACAACAAUCUCCAAAGAACAACAACAAUUCCGCAACAAAAAGGUCAACUACAAACUUCCAACAAACGGCCAAGUCCUUUAGUGCGGUGUUUUGGUAUUAACAAGGGGUGAAGAUUGGGAUGAACAACAAGAACACAACAACUUCUCAAGAACAAUAACAACACCAAAAACGUCCAGCCCAAGUCCACAAGAAAGGUCACCACACGGCCAAGAACAACAACAUCAAUACACGGCCAUUAACUUGUUCACAACAACCAUCUCAACAAUUCAAGCUCAACUUUAGAUCUAGACUCAAGAGUGUUAGGGAAGAAGAAAGUUAACACUAGAAACAAAAAAUCAAACAAAAUAACACCUAGAUCUAGAAUCAACUUUUCAGCCAAGACAACAACAACAAGAAUCCAACUUCUCGGCCAAGGACACAAUCUUUUUUUUUUUUUUGUAUUUUUUAACUACCAAGCCCAAGAUUGAUCUUGUAGGAACAAGAUCAAGCCAUGCUUUGAUACCAAAUGAUACAAGACAAAAAAGAGGAACACGAAACAGCCACAAAACAGUCCAAUACGCCCUCCAAAAUAGUCCACAAAUCAUAAUAAAUCGUGGACCAAAUUGAGACCUCACUCGGAUUCGACAAAUACAACAAGAAUACAAGAAACAAAGGUGUGUUUGACAUCCAAAACAACCACAAAUCGUGAAGAACAAGAUGAAAAUAAGAACACAAAUUUUUGAAUUCAACAAGACACAAGAAUAGUCCACUACAAACAAUAACAAGAUUACAAGAAUAAAAGGAUAGAUAGUGAGAUAUAGAUUUGUUACAAGACUUAGGAACAAAGUAUGAUUCAAACACUAAACCCCUAAUUAAUAUAACAAAAAUGCCAUACUCUUAUGGUGACCGCCAAGGGAAUCACUCACCUCAAGAUCUACCGUUUCCAAGCAAAGAACAAUAUUGGCUUUUCCAAACCCUAUGCUAAGGAUGACUUUUCCAAGCCCUAUGCUAAGGAUGACUUUUACAAGCCCUAACUAAGAACUAUACUAAGGUUUUGCACUCUCCAAAGAGAUAAUAAGUCUUUCAAAUGUUCAUCAUUCAUUCACUAAAGAGAAAUGACCUAAAAUAGACUAUAUAUAGUAUAUUACAAAAGAAAGAUAAAAUGACUCCAAUGCCCUUAAUGAGGUGGGUGGCAAUGGAGUGUCAUUUAGACAAGGCUAAAAGAUCAAAAUGACAUUGAGGCUAAGUGAUCAAAAUGACCUUAAAAAAGGGGGCCAAAACCGUGAACCAUCAAAUGUGGUCCAAACCCGUGAGUCCUCUAGUCUUCAAGGCUCCAAGCAAUCUUCCACACACGGGUUUGUUUGAUGGCAUGCUCAAAAUAACCCCUAUAAGUAUGAUCCCAUUCCCUCCAUGGGACCAAAACUUGAUUCUUCACGUAGUGACUUUGAAUGAUGCCAUCGAAAGCUAAGGCGGCCAUUUCACUUGUAUCACAUAGGAUCUCCUUGCCUCAACCCCAUCCUUCCCUCAAAGAAUCCAUGGCCAAAUCCAUUAACUUUGAUUGAGAAUUUGGUGUUUGUGACACAACUCAUCACCAUUUGCGUAAAAGUUAGAGGAAAUCCAAAGGCUAUUAGUGCUUCCUCAAGGAAUUCCCAGCUCACCAUAGCAUAGGCUUUCUUUAAAUCGAUCUUCAUCAAACACCUUGCAGAUUUUUUCCUUGUAUAAUGCCUUAGCAAGUCAUUACAUAUCAAUACAUUAUGUAUCAAACUUCUCCCUUUCACAAACGCUGCCUGAUUUUCAGCAACUAGACUACUGAGAGCUUCCCUUAGUCUCAAACAUAUCACCUUGGAAAUGCACUUGUACAAUACAUUGCAACAUGAGAUUGGUCUAAACUGACUGGCACUUUGGGGCGUUGGAACUUUAGGUAUUAGUGAGAUCAUCAUACAAUUAAUUUGCCUAAGUAGCUUGCCAUUAUCUAGAAAGUCCAACACAGCUUUAAUAAUAUCUUUCCCUGUAAUGUUCCAAGUGUCCUGGAAAAACCCACUGCCAUAUCCGUCCGGGCCUGGGCUUUUAUUUCUAUUGAUGCUGAACAUUGCAUCUUUCACCUCUUUUGCAGUGUAUGGUUGCAGCAAUACAAGUUUCUCAUCGAUAGUUAACACAUGCCCACACCUGAAGACCUUAGAAUAUGCCUGGGUCCUUCUUGUAACUUUUGUGCCCAAUAACUCUUUAUAAUAAUCAACAAAAAUGUUUGCAAUUGCUUCAUGUUCGGUCUGUAUCACAUUCUACCUAUCCAUCAGUUAUAGUACGGCUUGCUGUAGUUGCCUGUGUUUAAUAACUGAAAAGAAAUAGCUAGUGUUAUCAUCUCCAAGUGUAAUCCAGUUAGCCUUGCUCCUUUGUUGUAGUAACAUCUCCGCAAGGUAAGAAGAUUUCUUAAACUUCAGGUAUCGUGGUCUUUCUUCCUGCUGCAACUCAUAAUUUGAUUGAUCGGCAUGUAGUGCCAUUUGUACUGUAUACAAAGCUAGCCUGUCUUCCUCUGCUUCUGUAAUUAUAUUGUUGAAAUGUUCACGAUGUAAUGCCUUAAGCUCUUCUUUUAGCAUCUUCAUUUUUUUAACUACUUGUAACAUACUCCACCCUUCUACUAUGACCAUCCAACCUUCUUUCACCUUAUCCAAAAAUCUAGGGUGUUUAACCCAGAGAUUACAAUACUUAAAUGGUUGCUUUGCCCUUGUUGGUUCAUUUAGCAUUUGAACCUUCACAGGACAAUGAUCGCUAAUCCCUUCUGGUAGAAAGUGAGCAUUAAAAGCUGGCAUGUUAUCCAGCCAAUUAGUAUUCACAAAAACCCAGUCAAUUUUGGAGCAAACUCUGUGAUCUGCUUGUCUGUCACUCCAUGUAUACCUGCUCCCAACAUGAGGCAAAGUUAUCAGUCCACAAUUACACACAGUCUUGAAAUUCUAGUACUUCAGCCAUACUAACAGGAGUACCCCCAAUUCUAUCCUCCCUUCCUAAAACCGCAUUAAAAUCCCCCAUGAGCAACUAGGGCUGGUUAGUAGCGCUGCUCACCGUUUCCAAAUACCCCCAUAAAGGCAAUCUCUCCUCCUUAGUAUUGAAAGCGUACACCAGCGUCAGGAAGAAAGUAGUUUGAAAAGCAAUGCGCACAACUUGACACGUCACAGCUUGUGCCCCACUGCUUACUUGUGUAAUUUGAAACAUGUCUGGUCUCCAAAUUACUAAAAUCCGACCAUUAUAGUGAUGGUCCAAGUUUGUGAUAUAGUUCCACCCUCCAAAUAACCUAUCAACCACCUUAUCAAUUUUUUCCUUUUUUAUUUUUGUUUCAAUUAGUCCAACUAAACCAACUGAUUCCUUAUUACGUAGGAGUUUAACCUCCUUUUGUUUGUUAGGGGCAUUCAAGCCCCUAACAUUCCUACACAAGAACUUAUCCACGAUUAGUCAAGGGCAGUGUACCACCCCCUUUCACUACAUCACUCGUAUUUGGCUGUUCUGGAACAUCAUUAGUUAAUACCUGAAAAGCAUUCUGAGUACUCCCUCCUAUUUUCACUGUACUUUAGCUCUGCCCCUGUUUCUGGUUUGCUUUUGGACCCUCUCCUGGUGAUCUAGCUCUAGGAGUAACCCACUCAGAGGAGUUUGUGCUUGAUUUAUGAUUCAAGUCCUUCCCCAUCUGGCAGUUGCUCCUUCCUACCUCUUCCUCUUGCUCUACCUGUUUCAUUUUCAUUCCCUUAUCAACUUGUAUUUCCUUCCCCUUUGGAUGCUGCACCUGAACUGGUGCUUUCUUCUUUCGACACUCUUCUUCACUAUGCCCAUAUUUUUGGCAAUGCUCACAAAGAGUCGGUUUCCAGUCAUACUGGAGUUUUUGCUCUACCAAAUUACCCUUCUCAUUCCUAAAGUAGACCUUAUCCGGUAGCUUAGCAUUCAUGUCCACCUCAAUUAAUAGCCUUGCAAUGGUCAAUCCGAUCUUCUUCUCGGUAUGGUUAUCCACCAUGAGAGGUUUGCCAAUCAAGCUCCCUAUUUUACUUAGGCCUUUUUGACUCCAAUACUUGAAUUCCAACCCCGGCAACUUCACCCAUAUAGGCACAGUAUAUAAUUCGUCUCUACUGAAUUCCAUGUAGAGAUUCCAAGCCUUUACUAUAAACGGUUUGUUAUCAAAGUGAUAAAUCCCCCCUUGUAACACAUCAUUCUUCCCUACUUCCGAGUCAAACCGCACCAAAACCACCCCAUUUUUUAACAUGGAUACUUUAUUUAUCCCUAAUUUCCCCCACUGUCUUUGGAUAUACCCAUUUCGUACAGAGAAGGGAGGAUAUGCGCCCAACACAUAACACACAAUACCAUUUCUCCAAUACGCUAAUUCGGAGCUUAUAUCAUCCAACUCAAUUUCACAUAUAGGAGCUUCGCCAUGCAUAGCAGGAGAAACAUAGUCCAAUUUAGAUCCAGCAUUAGCUAUUUUCGCAAUAUCAAAAUUAUCCCAUACCGAUGGUUCGUUUGCUCUACCUCGGCUUCGACCUCAUCAGCCCAAGACGUCUUAUUGUUGCUUAUCAUCCCUUCUUCCCAUUCUUGAAGUUUUUCUCUUCUACUUUCCCUUUGAAGCUCUGCCCUACUACUUUCCUCUUUUCCAUAGACCAGCCCUACUGGCUUGCUGGGUGGCCCAGCUGAUUGAUUUUUCGUCAUCAUAUCCUCCACCGUUUCAAGUGGAGUCCUCGCUGAUUUCAAUUCCGUCCUUGGAGUAGGAUUUAUUAAGCUAACUGACCCACUAUUAGCUAGUGGAGACAUAGCUUCUCUCAAAUUAGGUUGUUUGUUUUCAACUACUACCCUCCCCCCGAUUCCCCCGAGCAUUUGCCGUCGAUGUUUGUGCAGCCAAUGCAUUCUGUGAUGGACGCCUUGCUCUCUUCCCCAUGGGCGUGCAUGUUAGUUAACGUGCUCCGAGAGAACUUAGCAACCUUUUUUUAUUUUUUUUAAUCAUAAAGACUAUAUAGUUUUUUUCAAAAAAAAGAAAAAGGUAGCUCCAUGCACGUAGUAUCUUGCAUUCAUGGAAGAUAUGGAGAAGGGUCACAACCAAGGAUUGUAAUGCAAGCAACCUAUCCGACGCAAAAAUCGUUGAAUGAAUUCAUGACUUGAACUCGUGACCUAUAUGUCCCAUGCAAAAAGGCAACUUUAUCUUUGCUCCAAAGCUUACAAGGUAAUAAAUACAGAAAUGGGAUAAUCUGCUUAUCAUUUUGCUCUCUCUUUCAAUGCAGUACAUAUAUGAUACAUCUCUAUUCUGAUUAAGCUCUGAUCUAUAUCUAUAUAUUAUUAAAAAAAGGAUGCAGUCUCCUCAUUAACCCAAGCGGCAACAUAUAAAAUUGACACGUGUAGCAUUUAAAGAUGAAUUAGUUAAUAAGGUAGAAGUUACUUACAACUUACCUUUUAAUUUGAAUUUUUAAAUAUAAAAAGAUAUAUUUUUUUAAAUAUAUCAUAUUUCAAAAUUGUGAAGUUACAACAGUUAACAUUACUCUUCUUUAUCCAAUUUGUUUUUUUUUUUUAAAAAUCAAAUUUUGUUUAGUUCUGCCAAUAGACGUUUAUGGCCCCUUUUAAAACGUUUAAAUUUUUUUUAUAUCUUAUAUUUAAUUAAAAAUGUUUAUGUUGUUUUGAUGUCUUAAUAUUUAAUUAUUGUCUAUCUUUAACUUUUAGAGCUUUUUAAAACGUUAAAAAAUUUAUACUUUAACUCUUUUUAAAAGAUUUCACGAUGUAAAUUACGAUAAUAAAUAUUAACCUUUGAUUCGGGGAAAUAGGUUAGUCUUCUUCUUUUCUCCUUUUCUGGACAAAUAUUUGUUACUCUAUUUUAAUUUUUAAAUUUGGGAAGUUACCAACAGUAGAUAUAACUCUUUUCCCACUUUCACAUUCUCCAAAAAAGAAUCUAUAUCUAUAAUUAUCUAUAUGUAAUAGGAGAAGCACAACAGGAGAAGCACAACUUUCAUGUGCUGACAAUAAUCGACACCACAAAAAUUCUAUUUGAAAAAUAAAUAGUAAUAAUUCAAUUUAAUGUUUAAAAAUAUUAUAAUUAAACAAUUCAAAAAAAAAAAAACUGACAAUAUAGUUAGUUUUAAAUUCAAAUUUUUACAAUAAUAGUAACAAAAUUAAUUCAAUUUAACUCCAAUUUCUCCGUAAUGUUUAGUAGUUUUUAAACUGUCUCCCUAAAAUCCGCUUUGAGCCAACCCCUCACGGAUUUGUUUUUGAGCACCUCCAAAAGGCCUCAUACUUGUCACGACCUAAACCGAGGCCCUAGUCGUGACGAGCAUCCCGAACUAUGAAGGCCUGGACAUCCUUCUACAUCUGGUAAUCAUGCACAACAUUCAUAUAAUAAAAGUAAAUGUGGAAAUUUAGUCUGUUACGGAAACAUGGUCAUAUUCUAGAUUAAGUGUAACAACAAGGAACGAAAUCCUAAAUCAACUAAAUAGUAUCUGAAACAGUCUGCGAAAUCUCUACUAUAUGAUAAACUGACAAUUGUCUGAAGGCUGGGACAUGGCUCCAAGUAGACCAAAACUAUAGCAGAGGAUAUAAUUUGAAAGAACAGGCCUUCUGGAAUAGAGAAGGCUCACCACUGCACAACCUGAUCAGCUGUCUGAAUUUUCUACCGCUUAUUUAGACCCCUAGACUGAGCCUCAGAACCUGGAGGGAGGGAGGGGGGGGGGGGGCCAAUCAAGAGGUACGGUCCAAAAUAAAUCUUUUACAUAAGUAAAAUAAUAGAGAGAAAUUUGUCAAAACAUCAUACAUAAAAUAGUUUUCAAAACACAUGGACACCUUUCUGAAAAAUCAUAAAUCAUUCUUGACAAUGCAGCUUCUAAUCUUCGUAUUAAUUCUGAGUUAGGUGGUACACCGCUACAAUUCUAAAUCCCACGGGCUGUAUGGAAUCCGCCAUUGACUCAGCGGGGAAGCCCCCAACCCGAGUGUGCCGCAAGGGUUGGAGUUUCUAAUUCUGAUACGCCACACAACACUAGGCCAACGUAAUAUAAUAUACCCGGAUCGACAAAUCACGAUUUUGGGAAAUGAGUUUUCUGAACUCAUGCCUUCUUCGGAAAACUACUUAAUUAUGCCCAAUUUUAUACUGUUCUGAAGCAUGCAUUUUUCUAGUUUCAACAUCUGAAAAUUCUGAUUUCAAAUAUGCAUUCUAUUCUUUUCUGAAUUAUCAUGGCAUAAUCUGAAUUGGUGUCGUCACACCAAGACUUGCAAGUCCUAUUUCUGAGCCAUAAUGCAUCAUGUAUAAUUCUUUCAUUAAAAAACAAUUCAGACCACCCAAGCAUGCAAUUUAUCAAAGGAAUUCAUGUUCCGAAAACAUAAGUCAAAACUAUGCAAAAUUCUCAUUCUUUCAAUAAACAAGUUGUGGUCAUGUAAUCUUUAGCAAACCAUGCAACUCUUCUCACUAUUUGAUUAUGUUCAGCACUCUCUUUUUUGAAAUUAAAAUCAUAAUUCAAAUAUAACAUUAUUCAAGACAUUUCAUAACAUGCUUUUCAAGGUGCAUUCAAACGAUUUCAUAGUAUAUCAUAAGUAAAUAAAAAUCAUCACAAGAGAGGGAUUUUUAAUGAAUCAUAUUCUCAAUUUAAUCAUCAACCUUAAAACACAUGCUUACAUAUAUAUAUAUAAUAUUUCAAAUCCAUUUGGGGAAAGGCCUAAAGACCAAAAAAAUAUCAUCAACGCUUCUAAAACAUGAAUAUAUUCAUAAAUUCGAAACCCCUUUCUUAAAAUCAUAAUUUCUAUGCCCAUGAGAUUUUAGGAAAACCCCGCGUACCUUAAAUUAAAAGCUUUUGAAUGAACUCUAGCUUUUGGGAUGCUAUACAUAUGAUCGAAGGGUGCCUCUUGUAGCCCUCACAAUGGGGAUACCAAAUCUUGAAGAAUUAAGGAAAACUCACGGUUGAAUCUUGAGUUAUUUGGGUUUUUAGUUAGAAAACCUAGGGUGAGUUCUUGAUGAAUUUGAGAGGAAAGAAUCAUAUUUUGGUGUUUUGGGAGUUUAAUCUCGUGUUAUAGCUAGAUAAGGGAUGGAGAUACCCAUUUUGCCCUUAAGAAUGUGGAAACAUAACCUGAAAUUUUGGUGCGUGUGUCGCACGCUUAUCACAUGAUGAUGCCUCAUUCAUGAAAAUAGCCAUAACUUUUCACUUGGGUAUCGUAUUUAUGCAAAAUUGGUAUCAUUAGAAAUAUAAUUCGAAGACCUUUCAUUUGAUAUAUAGUAGGCCACCCAGUUCAUCAUAUACAAGGAGUUAUGGUCAAUUGAAAUUGACUCAAGUUUCAACGCUCACUAAAACUCAACGAUAGGAAAGCUUUCAACUUGACCUUGAGUUAGGGGACCUCUAUGAUCUCAAUUCAUGUUCAAAUAGGUUCCCACACCACAUAAUUGAUUAACAUACCAAAUUUGCAUAGGAUUUAUGGCUUUUGGAACAUCUACAUGUAGAAAUGACAAUUUUCGUUCUAGCCCGAAAUGUGGGGUGUUACAUUAUCUCCCCCUUAGGAUCAUUCAUCCCCGAAUGAUGGUAGGAAUUUGGUGAAGCAUAAAGGUAUGGAAUAAUGUGGACAUGAUUUACCUUCUAAGAAAGGACAUAACUGAUCUGAAACAUUUAAACUUCUAUCAUGAAACUGAAUUCUGAGCUGACUUGAUUUUUUUUCUUCAAGAAGCUUGUUCGUGCUGAAAGUUUAGGAUUCUCUUGAAAUAUUCAUGAUCCAAUCAUACAUAUUGAAAUUGGGAAGUGAUAACUUAUGAAAGUAUGAAUCUUGAGGCAAUAAGAUUUAGAUCGUACAAAGGUAUUAAACUGAGCUAAAAUACAUAGAAAGACUUAAGACUAUGAGUUGAACUUUUAUGAACUGAGUCAUGACUAAAUAGCUGAAUUUGAAACAUAAUGUUCGGAAUGAACUGAAUUCGCAAUUUACAUGGAUGGAAUAGAUUAUCUCUUGGUAUGGUCAUACACAUGGAACUUCGGAUAGCAGAACUGGGUGUAAAGGUGGAAACCACAGUAACUUGCCUGCCUGACUGUUAAACUGAACUGCUGGUUAUACUGACUGAGUUAUACUGGAGUAUCUCUUCAAUAAUUUUUCUAAAUAAGUUCUAGUAGCAUUCGGGAGCAAAGAUCUUGGGCAUGAGUUACACAAGACACCCAACUAAGGAAUCACAACAAUGACACUACUCUAUAGCAUGGAAUAUAGACAUAUAACUCAUAAACAAGGAUAGAAUUACCAGGCCUUAGGUAAUGCAACUUCUUACUUUCAAGCAUAGCACACUUCUCGAAUACUCCCUUAACUAUAUUAUUCCCUUUAAAUACAAUACUCAUUUGAUUCAACUUAGAAUUCUUAUAUGGGCAUUGAUAAAUCUUUCUACUAAUGCCUAAAGUAACAUAAGUCCUCUCGCCAUCAUCAAGCCUAACGUCAAAUCACAAAAUACGACAUGCCACACCACGAUACUAGCCUAAACCAUAUGAUUCAAUCUUUUAUACCUUUUUAAGAUCACACCCUAGGCAUAAUGUGCCUUACCACUUCAAUGACUAAUUCUGAACUGUUACUAUGGAUUUAGAAGCUCAUAUUGCGUUCCUCCACUAAAAUUCCAGCAUGUCAUUCAAGCCUAUAUUUAUGACCAUAUAUGAACUUCAAGGCAAACACCCAUAAAGGUAUACUUCAUAAGUUCUCUAAACCACUCCCACGCGCAAUACCAAGAACAUACGCACACAAUUUCCACUAACCAUCACAUGUAAUUAAGUCUUGGCCCCAAAUCUUACUUCACACUUAUGGUCUUAUCUAAGACAAGCAUACAAUGAUCUUUCAUCAACAAGAAAUAUCUACUUAUCACCUCUAUCAUUACAUAAAGAAGAGUUACUAAGAGGUUAGAACAUAAGACCUUGAAGAAUGGAAGGAUAUUAUACGAGACUUGACACUUAACUGAGGACAAAGGAAUAGCAAAUCAACAUCAGGGAUUCAUCAAAGUGAUCUAAAUUGGGGCAUACAUGACUAUAAGCUGAAUCUCGUCAAUCAUAAGGAGUAUAGCAAGAAUUAUGGGAACUGAGCACACUAUAAAGCAUGAGUACAUAAGUCAUGAGCUGCAUGACCUCAAUUUGAAGUUCAUAACAUAAGGAAUAGGAUCCCGACUACUGAAUGAACUGGAAUUCCUCAUUUAGGAACUGGAAGUGCACAUGAUUCUCCAUCAUAUACAUGAACAUGAACUAUGAUCAUGGAGCUAAAACGUAAGGCAUGAGUAAGUAUUGGGAUAACUGAAAAAUACUAAGAUAAGAAUGGGUUGAGCCUCACCCUCACUUCCUAAUGUUUCAUGUCAUACUGACAUCAUUACUAGAAUCUGAGAGCCUGUCUUGGUUACUUGUUUUAUGAUCUCCCCCUUAGUUUUAAGCCAUUAUCUUAAGUUUGAGAGAUCUCUUACUAGAAUCUAAACUGAACUACACUCACUGCACUCUGGGGUUUGGAGUACGAUAAUACAUGUAAUUAAUAGAACUUAACCCAAAUAGCUACACCUGGAAGGGGAAAACCCACUGUUAAUCCUACCUUAUGAGACACAUUCUAUCUUUCUAUAGCCCCAAUAGUCAAUCACAUAAUACUUGAACACUUACUAACUUCGAAUCCUUGUGAGUAUUCCCAUAGUCGGAGUGCACACCCGAUAGCGCUUCAACUCUUAUUUCUGUCAGUUCAACCUUCAAAAAUUUAAACUUAGAUUAUAACUCUUAAUAUGUAUAUCACCAAACCUUUGAUGAAUCAUACUACUAGUCUUUCUCCACCUAGCAACUCAACGGUACUACUAUGUCUACUAGCCACACGCAACAUGUAAUAGUCUUAGAAAAUACUCCAACUUUAUAUCAUCUUGGGCAUACUUCUACCUUAUACAUACAACAUCAUGCUUUGUUAGUAAUCAAAUAAACAUAAUCUAUUGCAUACACCAUUCAAGCCUAUUAGAUCACUUUCAUAUAACGAGUAUUAUUAACCAAGAAAUCGUCACAUCCACCUUUAUGAACAUCAACUGUUCAAACUUAAUAUCUAGUGCUAAGCAUGAUUUGCAACCCAACCUGACACACAAUUCUCACAAAACAUUCAUCAUUAAUCUUAAUCCAUUAUUCUUACAUCCAUAUCCUACAUUAAAUUCAAGCCAAUAGUCUAGCAUCAAUCAUCUACCACCAAUGAAGAAGGAAACAUAAUAUACUAGUCCAUCCAAUUGGGACAUUUUAUCCAAAUACCAUAAAAAUCUACUACAUACCUUCUCACAAGUAAUACUAGUUUACAACUACCAAUGAAAAGAAGGUCGAGGGAGGGGGAGGGGGGAGUCACAUAAUAGACAUGGUCAGCCUUAAUUUAUAUUAUAACCCAUACAAUCUUGUCUACUUAUAUGGCUUUCUCACAUCACACUUACUUACUCAAGAAUACAUUUAGACUACCUUCAAAUUCCACAAACCACCAUGAGUCUAUAAUUAUAACUUACUGGCUCAUCUAGCCAUUUUCAUACUUCAAGUAGACAAUAAUUUAUCUUAACUAAUGACUCCUUUUCUACCUUCUACUAAACUAACACACAAGGACAUAUCGGUUCAUUACCAACACAAUCUUAUGCGAAAAGAUUCUACUAUACAUAUAUUCAACCAACACAAGAACAAUAAGUUGAACAACAUGUUGCUAGUGAAUCAAAAUAGGCCCCACACGGCUUCACUAGACAUUGAUUUUUAUAUUUUUAACAAGAAAAUGAAAUGAAUAACAAAGCAACUAUGCUAGUGAAUCGAAAGAGCCCCAUACGGCUUCACUAGAUUUUGAUUUGUUUUUUUCAAAAAUACCAUGAUAACAAGUUUACAUAUUACAAGAGAUAGAAAAUUGACACACAAUAUUCAAUGAUCUAAGGAUACACAUCUUACUAUGUAUAAAUAAAAAUUUGAGUCAAACACUCCCCCCAUGGACUAUCAUACAAUCCACACAUGCUACUAGCUACCAUAUUAAUCUAUCAUUACAAAGGGGUAAAUCAUCCUCAAACAUCGGUUAUUCAACUAAAAUGUUUAUUUACAUAAAAGUCACCCUCAAUCUGACUUCUAACUUUGUGACUUCACAUCACUAGCUUCUUGGUCUAAUCUCACUACCAAUAGGUCAUGACACCGACACUUUAACUUAUACUCCUAUCGGGUGGAAAUACAGUUCCAAUAAUUCUGCUACACAUCAUUCCCUCUUAAGAAAGACAUCUGCCAAAUAAAUUUUUGAACAGGACUGAAUACACUUAAUACCGCAGGCUGUAAAGCAUGAUUUCAUCAGAACCAAAGUUCACAUAGGAGUCAAUACACCUUGAAGUACUAACGGACUCUUCUCAAGUCCUUGCAUAAUUUUUUUUUAAAAUCUUAUAUGGCUCAAUCAGAAAGGACCAUACCAUUUUUACUCUAAACUUCUGCACUUGAAUCACCCUAAUAAUGAGACAUGUCUGAGAAUAUCAGAGUGGGAAAGAAUUGGUAUGACUUUACUUUCGUAUAGGCAACACCAUAGCAUAAAUUAGAGUAUGGAAGAGGGACAUUUUGACUCCAUAUCAUGAAAUAGAACAUGAAGAAAGAGAGACAUUCCUAAACGCCUAGUAGCCUCCUGCUUAUAAGUGUGGUGCGCGACACACACAUAAAUAAGACUCUACCCGCUGCGAUUUUGCAGACACCCUGGGACCAUGAACCGUACUUUGAUACCAAGUUCGUCACGACCUAAACCGAGGCCCUGGCUGUGACGAGUAUCCCAAACCAUGAAGGCCUGGAUACCCUUCUACAUUUGGUAAUCAUGCACAACAUUCAUAUAAUAAAAGUAAAUGCAGAAAUUUAGUCUGUUACAAAAACAUGGUCAUAUUCUAGAUUAAGUGCAACAACAAAGAACGAAAUCCAAAAUCAACUAAACAGUAUCUGAAACAGUCUACAAAAUCUAUACUACAUGAUAAACUGACAACUUUCUGAAGACUAGGACAAGGCCCCCAGUAGACCCAAACUAUAAUAGAGGAAAUAAUUUAAAAGAACAAGCCUUAUGGAAUAGAGAAGGCUCACCACUACAUAACUUGAUAUGCUGUCUGAAUUUUCUACCACUUAUUUGGACCCCUAGACUGAGCCUCAGAACUUGGAGGGAGGGGGGGUCAAUACAGAUGUACUGGUAUACAAAGUAAUCCAAAUUAAAGCUUUUGUAUAGGCAAAAUAAUGGAGAGCAAUUUGUCAAAACACCAUACAUAAAAUAGUUUUCAAAACACAUGGGCACCUUUCUGAAAAAUCAUAAAUCAUUCUUGACAAUACAAUUUCUGAUCUUCGUAUUAAUUCUGAGUUAGGUGGUACACCCCUACAAUUCUAAAAUCCCAUGGGAUGUAUGGAAUCCACCAUUGACUUGGUGGGAAAGCCCCCAACCCGAGUGUGCCUCAAGGGUUGAAGUUUCUAAUUCUGAUACACCACACGGCACUAGGCCAGCAUAAUAUAAUAUACCCAAAUCAACAAAUCACGGUUUUGGGAAGUGAGUUGUCAGAACUCAUGACAUCUUCGGGGAACCACCUAAGCUAUCUUUAUGCCUAAUUUUAUCCUGUUUUGAAUUAUGCAUUUUUCUAGUUUCAACAUCUGAAAAGUCUGAUUUCAAAAAUGCAUUCUAUUCUGUUCUGAAUUAUCAUGGCAUAAUCUAAAUUGGUGUCGUCACAGCAAAACUUGCAAGUCCUAUUUCUGAGCCAUAAUGCAUCAUGCAUAAUUCUUUCAUUAAAACACAGUUCAGACCACCCAAGCAUGCAAUUUAACAAAGGAAUUCAUGUUCCGAAAACAUAAGUCAAAACUAUGCAAAAUUUCCAUCCUUUCAAUAAACAAGUGGUGGUUAUGUAAUCUUUAGCAAACCAUGCAACUCUUCUCAUUAUUUGAUUAUGUUCAACAUUCAUCAACAUAAGCAAUCAUCUCUCUUUUGAAAUCAAAAUCAUAAUUCAAAUAUAACAUUAUUCAAGACAUUUCAUAACAUGCUUUUCAAGAUGCAUUCAAAUAAUUUCAUAGUAUAUCAUAAGUAAAUGAAAAUCAUCACAAGAGAGGAAUUUUUCAUGGAUUAUGUUCUCAAUUCAAUCAUCGACCUUAAAACACAUGCUUACAUAUUUGUGUGUGUGUAUAUAUAUAUAUAUAUAUAUAAUUUCAAAUCAAUUUGGAGGAAGGCCCAAAGACCAAAUGAAUAUCAUCAAUGCUUCUAAAACAUGAAUAUAUUCAUAAAUUCGAAACCACUUUCUUAAAAUCAUGAUUUCUAUGCCCAUGAGAUUUUAGGAAAACCUCGCGUACCUUAAUUUAGAAGCUUUUGAAUGAACUCUAGCUUUUGGGAUGCUAUACAUAUGAUUGAAGGGUGACUCUUGUAUCCCUUGCAAUGGAGAUUCAGAAUCUUGAAUAGUUAAAAAAAAACCACGGUUGAAUCUGUUGGGAAAGACGGGUACACAAUUAAAGAGCCUGACUGGUUAGCAGCGGAAAAUACCUAAGACUAAAAUUUUCCUUCCAACUUGAAGUAACAGGAGACAAACAAACCCAAGCAAAAUAGAGUAAUAUACAACAAACAAAUCAACCAAAUGAAACAAGACAAGAAUAAAGGAAAUCACACGAGACACAAGAUUUACGUGGAAAACCCUUCAGUGUGAAGAGUAAAAAAUCACAGGACCCAAACCUCCACUAUAAUCACCAAAGAUUUAAAAUGUUGUCCUCCAAAAUGGCCACCAAAAAAGUACCAAAUAACAAGAAACAAUACAUAAACCACAACACCAAACACUAGAGAAAUAAAGGAGUGAAAGCACCAAAAACGUAGCUACUAUUAGGAAAUGAAAAACAGGAGCUAGAGGCUACCAAAUCAAGUUCCAUCAGUUCCCAAUCAAAUAUUUAGAUGAGAGGAACAAGAAUUACAAAAAUCAGCUGAAUUGGACAAUAAACGAAGCGGAAAUCGCAAUUUGAAGUUGACAGUUGUGGCUGAAAUUUAGGUGCGAAAAUCAGCUUUGGUUUUCUCUCUUUGCUGCUGAAAACUCUCUUUUUUGUGAUGGUGAAUAAGACCUAAAAAGAUCAAUAUAUAUUUUUCAUAGUAAUGGGCCUAUGGAAAAAAGUGGGUUGGUCCAAAUUGGGCUUCAUUUUAUCCACAUAGGAAGGGACAAGGGCCCAUGUCCCAACAAUUCUCCCCCUCCCGACUAUGUGGAGGAGACCGCCAUCCCGGCGAUCAUACAACAAUCUUCAAACUUCCCUCUUGGCAAAGCUUUAGUCAUCAUGUCGGAACCAUUAUCAUCCGUAUGAAUUUUCUCAAGUUCAAGCAACUUAGAAUCCAACACAUCUCGAAUCCAAUGGUAUCUCACAUCAAUGUGUUUAGACCGACCAUGAAAUGUAGAAUUCUCGCCAAGAUGUGUGGCACUUUGACUGUCACAAUAAAGCACAUACCUCUCUUGAUCACAACCAAGUUCUCCCAAGAAUCUCUUCAUCCAAAGCAAUUCUUUAGAAGCUUCAACGGCAGCAAUAAGCUCAGCUUCUGUAGUAGAUAGAGAAACACAUUUUUGCAACCUAGAUUGCUAAGACACAGCUCCCCCUGUAAAAGUAACCAAAUACCUUGAAGUAGACUUGUGAGUAUCAAUAUCACUGGCCAUAUCUGAAUCAGUAUAACCAUAAAGAAUAGGCUUUCCUGUACCAAAAUACAAACUCAGACUAGAAGUGCCACAAAGAUAUCUCAUAAUUCACUUCAAAGCAUUCCAAUGUUCUCUUCCCGGAUUUAAAAUAAAAAUGACUAACAACACCAAAAGCAUGAGCAAUAUCCAUUCUUGUACAAACCAUUGCAUAUAUCAAACUACCAACAGCUGAAGCAUAAGGAACUUUCUUCAUAUCUUCCUUCUCAUUAUCACUGGAAGGACACUGCUUCGCGCUCAACUUGAAGUGCAUAGCUAAAGGUGUACUAAAACCUUAGCCUUGUCCAUAUUAAACCUUCAAAGUAGUUUUUGAAUGUACUUCUCUUGUGAUAACCACAACUUCUUGGCAUUUCUGUCACAGACAAUCUGUAUGCCAAGAAUCUGCUUUGCUGGUCCUAAGUCUUUCAUAGAAAAAGACUUACUCAACUCUUGAUUCAACUUUUGAAUCUUGUAAGUAUUCUUACCAACAACAAGCAUGUCAUCAACAUAAAGCAACACAAUAAUAAAGUCACCAUCAAAGAAUUUUUGCACAAAAACACAAUGGUCUGAAGUAGUCUUCUUGAAGUCCUGCUGACUCAUAAAGGAACCAAACUUCCUGUACCACUGCCUAGGAGCUUGUCUCAAACCAUACAAACUCUUUUUCAAUUUUCAAACAUAAUUAUCUUUUCCCUUGACUUCAAAACCAUCGGGCUGCUCCAUAUAAAUUUCUUCAUCUAAGUUACCAUAGAGAAAAGCAGUUUUAACAUCUAUUUACUCAACCUCUAAAUCUAGACUCCUAGCUAAUCCUAGAACCACACAAAUGGAUGACAUCUUCACAACUGGAGAGAAUAUCUCAUCAAAAUCAACUCUUUUUUCUAGUUAAAUCCCUUCACAACCAAUCUAGCCUUGUACCGUGGAACUGGAUUACCAUCUUCAUGCUUCACCCGAAAAACCCACCUGUUUUUCAAAACUUUUCUGUCUUUAGGAAGCUUAACCAAAUCAAAGGUAUGAUUAUCAUGCAAAAAUUUAAUUUCAUCUUCCAUAGCAUCAAACCACUUUUCUUUUUCUUCACUUUCCAUGGCCUCAUCAAGACUCUCAGGUUCUCCCUCAUCAGUCAAGAGUACAUACUCAUUGGAAUAAUAACGAGAUGAAGGUAUUCUCUCUCUAGUAGAUCUUCUGAGAGAACUCUCUGGAACAUCAACAACUAGUUCCUGAUCAACUAUAUCAACUUGCACUAGAGCAUCAACAACAUCAUACUGGUCAUUCUGAACAUGAUCAGCAUCUUCAUUAUCAACUUGAUUUUCAUCAUCUUGAAGAUUUUCUUCGGGAGUAGUAGUCAAAGGAAUUGGAUCAACAUCAACUACACUUUCACUACUCUGAGAAUCAACCUUCUCAGCUUUGUCAAAAUCUUCAAUUGUUUGGUCUUCAAAGAACACAACAUCAUGGCUUCUAACAAGUUUCUUCUCAACUGGAUACAAAUGAUAGCCAAAUUCAUCUUGGCCAUAACCAAUGAAGAUACACUGACUAGUUUUAAGAUCCAACUUUGAUCUUUCAUCCUUAGGAACAUGCACAAAAGCUUUACACCCAAAGACUCUAAGAUGAUCAUAAGAAACAAUCUUACCAGACCAAACUUCAGGAAGUCUUAUUGUUGCUUAUCAUCCCUUCUUCCCAUUCUUGAUGUUUUUCUCUUCUACUUUCCCUUUGAAGCUCUGCCCUACUACUUUCCCCUUUUCCAUAGACCAGCCCUACUGGCUUGCUGGGUGGCCCAGCUGAUUGAUUUUUCGUCAUCAUAUCCUCCACCGUUUCAAGUGGAGUCCUCGUUGAUUUCAAUUCCGUCCUUGGAGUAGGAUUUAUUAAGCUAACUGACCCACUAUUAGCUAAUGGAGACAUAGCUUCUCUCAAAUUAGGUUGUUUGUUUUCAACUACUACCCUCCCCCCGAUUCCCCCGAGCAUUUGCCGUCGAUGCUUGUGCUGCCAAUGCCUUCUGUGAUGGAUGCCUUGCUCUCUUCCCCAUGGGCGCGCACGUUAGUUAACGUGCGCCGAGAGAACUUAGCAACCUUUUUUUAUUUUUUUUUAAUCAUAAAGACUAUAUAGUUUUUUUCAAAAAAAUAAAAAGGUAGCUCCAUGCAUGUAGUAUCUUGCAUUCAUGGAAGAUAUAGAGAAGGGUCACAACUAAGGAUUGUAAUGCAAGCAACCUAUCCGACGCAAACAUAGAUGAAUGAAUUCAUGACUCGAACUCGUGACCUAUAUGUCCCAUGCAAAGAGGCAACUUUAUCUUUGCUCCAAAGCUAACAAGGUAAUAAAUACAGAAAUGGGAUAAUGUGCUUAUCAUUUUGCUCUCUUCUUUCAAUGCAGUACAUAUAUGAUAUAUAUCUAUUCUAAUUAAGCUCCUAUCUAUAUCUAUAUAUUAUUAAAAAGAGAGGAUGCAGUCUCCUCAUUAACCCAAGCGGCAACAUAUAAAAUUGACACGUGUAGCAUUUAAAGAUGAAUUAGUUAAUAAGGUAGAAGUUACUUACAACUUACCUUUUAAUUUGAAUUUUUAAAUAUAAAAAGAUAUAUUUUUUUAAAUAUAUCAUAUUUCAAAAUUGUGAAGUUACAACAGUUAACAUUACUCUUCUUUAUCCAAUUUGUUUUUUUUUUUUAAAAUCAAAUUUUGUUUAGUUCUGCCAGUAGACGUUUAUGGCCCCUUUUAAAACGUUUAAAUUGUUUUUAUAUCUUAUAUUUAAUUAAAAAUGUUUAUGUUGUUUUUAUGUCUUAAUAUUUAAUUAUUGUCUAUCUUUAACUUUUAGAGAUUUUUAAAACGUUAAAAAAUUUAUACUUUAACUCUUUUUAAAAGAUUUCACGAUGUAAAUUACGAUAAUAAAUAUUAACCUUUGAUUCGGGGAAAUAGUUUAGUCUUCUUCUUUUCUCCUUUUCUGGACAGAUAUUUGUUACUCUAUUUUAAUUUUUAAAAUUUGGAAAGUUAUCAACACUAGAUAUAACUCUUUUCCCACUUUCACAUUCUCCACAAAAGAAUCUAUAUCAAUAAUUAUCUAUAUGUAAUAGGAGAAGUAGGUAAUAGGAGAAGUAAAACAUUCAUGUGUUGACAAUUAUCGACACCACAAAAAUUCUAUUUGAAAAAUAAAUAGCAAUAAUUCAAUUUAAUAUUUAAAAAUAUGAUAAUUAAAAAAUUCAAAAAAAAAAAAAAACUGACAAUAUAAUUAGUUUUAAAUUCAAAUUUUGACAAUAAUAGUAACAAAAUUAAUUCAAUUUAACUCCUUCCAUUUCUCCGGAAUGUCUAAUAGUUUUUAAACUGUCUCCCUAAAAGUUCUCUUUGCUUAAAAUCCUUAUUUAACCACACUGAAUGAUGAGCUUAUGACUUUUUAAUUAUUAAUUGAAUAGUUAAUUUCUUAAUUAUUCUUUCAAUUGUGCAUUCAUUUUCAUUUGACUUGAUUUUUCUAGAAUGAACAGUUGAGUUGACAUUUGGUUUCAAAUUUGUGAGGAUGCACUAAAUUUCACAAGAGAUGUAACCUCAGAAGAAAGCCUUCCAAUAGUGAAUACAUAUAGUUUGAUUUGCUAUUGAUGUUUUAAAAAAAUACGAAUGUUUAAACAAAAUUAUUCUGUUUUUAAUAAAAUAUUAUUGUAAUUUCUUAAAAUAAUAAGUAUGAAACAUGGACGAAAUUAUACGAUGAACUUCAUUGAUUAACCUAAAGUUAUUUACCUUCUUAUUUUAUUUGUUUAAUUAUAUGGUGGAUACUAACAUAUAGAAUCUAUAGAUGAGAUAUAGAUUUGGUAUCAAAUGUAUGUUGAAGAGUGAAUAUUAUUGUGUCACAAUGGAAGAACCACACAGAAAAUCGAGGAGGAUAAUAAUGAAGAAUAUAUGAAAGAAUUUGUCGAUAGUAUUUAACACCUACUAUUAUACUAAGGUUUUUGCUCAUGGCAAUAUUAAAUAUCCUGAAUUAAUUUAUUUUGAUCAAUUUUCAAAUUGUGAAAGUUGAAAAAUUAAGAUUGGGUAUAUAGUGUCAUCUCUUAUAUUGCAAAUGAAAUUUUACAUUUUAAUAAGAUGUUCUAAGUGAAGUUGUUAGGACCGUGUGUAACUUCACGCGAACUCUGCACUAGUAUGAUAUUGUCCGCUUUGGGUCAAGCCCUCAAGGAUUUAUUUUUGAACACCUCCCAAAAGGCCUCAUACUAGUGGAGUUGGGUCACACUUUAAAUAUUGGAUAUGCUUCCUCUAUUUUUCCGAUGUGGGGUUGUUUUGCUUCUCAACAGAAGAAGUUGUAGUCAUUAUAUUAACAAAUACCUUCUGUUAGUGUACUUUAUUUUAGAUAAGGUAGUUUAUUAACAAAUACCUUUUGUUAGUAUACUUUAUUUUAGAUAAGGUAGAGUUAAUAUGUUAUGUUAUCAGUAAUAAGGGAUGAUUAAUAACACUAAGGAAUUUGAACCAAUAAAACAUGAUUAGUUGAAAUACUGAACAGCAAAGUAAAUUUUGAACAAAUAGAAUUUUAAAUGUAAAAAGUAUAUUUUGCUUUAUUGUUUGUAACAAAUUUUGUUUCACCUUCAGAUUUUUUUUUGUGUGUGUGAGUUUUGUUACUUCAAGGACUUAAAAUUAGUAUAACCAAGACAAUAAAUCCUAAUUUUUUAGAUGAAUGAAAUGAUAAUGAUUUUUAAUUGUUCACGAAAUUCAUUGAAAGUUAUAAAUUUCAUUAAUGAAUAGUAAAAUUUAAAAGUAGUGAUGGAUUCUUUUAAUUUGAAUCAUUGAUAAAAUGAUAUAAAUUCACAAUCGAUUAAAUAAUAGCAACUUUCGCGCAUUGCGCGGGUACUAUACUAGUUAAUACUGUAAUAAAGCAGAAAAUCAGGCUCCAUUCUUCAAGAUUUUCCAAAUUAACCAAUUAAGAAAAGAAUAAUUUCCUUCUCAAGUGAGAAACUUUACCCCACAACACUUUGUUUUCAUACUUUUACCUCUGUGUUUCAUUUUCUUGAUUUUCCAUUUGUUGUUUCUCAUUGCUCUUCCAUGUCCAAACUAUAUCUUUUAAUGAAGGCUUUAAGCCUUGAUCACAAAACUUCCUGUAUACUGCAGUAUCUCUCCAUUGCUCAUUGCUAAUUGCCCUUUUCUCCCUUCUUUGCUUCCUUGCAUUUUCACCUUCUGAAGACAUAACGAAGUAAAUAAAGUUUGUUCGCUCUAAAAAUAUUAAACAUUUAACUAAGAUGCUCGCAAAAUCUCUGAAAUAAUAGGCGUGUUUGGAACAUGACACUUAUUCUGUUCUGCGAGUUAUCAUUACAGUUUGAAAUAUUCUUAUGGUGUGGAUGACAUGGACGUUCUGUGUGUAGUUUUAGAGUACUUCUAUUUUUUCUUAAAACUCAAAUAUUCUUUAGUGGGAUAAAAUAUCUCAAAUAGAGCGGAAUGGAGAUAGAAGUUUCAUUUGAUAGAAUGAUUAAUGGAAGGAUUUUGUACAGACAUUGCAUCUCUGUAGUGAUGAAUCACUAUGCUUAUAAUCUGACUUGAUGUUUGUCAAAAACAGAGUCCUGUUAAUCGUUCACCGUAAACCAAUUACGUUGUGAAAGAUGGAUCAUUUAGGAGUAAUGCUGGGAGGAACAACAUAAAUAAUCAGAAUACGAGUCAAGUCUUACUCUAGUUUUAGUACAUCCAGGUUGUGUCCUCUGUUCCACGGCACUUUAGUACCUCAGAAUAAUCAAAAGGAAAGUGCACUUAUCAGUCAAUAGUAGCUUAAAUGUUGCAUGUUGUAUACCCUCUACUUCUAUGGGAAGAAGCAAUGAGGUUAGACUCAAUCAAGCAUGACUUUUGGAUUGUGCCUUAGGCAAGUUUACUGCAUCAACACUAAGCUCCAUUGUCUUGUAGAUGUUCAUUUAGGCCCGUUGAGGUUUAGGUAGUUACAAAACAUUUUUCUACAAUGUUGAUAUGACUAUUUUACUCUACUGCUCAUAUUAAUUGAUGUUUAGAAUCAUGUCUUGAAAGUGAUUUAAACAACAAACAACUAAUGUUAAGGGUAAAAUAGAAUUAAUUUUUUUUUGUCUUUUUUUUUUUUUUUUUUUUUAUCAAAGUAACAAGUAAAAGUAAAAAUCUAAUUAGAGAAAUACUGACCCUAAAAAAUUAAUGGAGAGAAUAUUUCAUAAAUUGAAGUAUAAUUGCACUCUUGGUGCCUCUAUUAUAAAAACAAUGUCAACAAUAGGGAUAAGGGAUUUCGAGAUUCAUUUUAGAAUGAGUUUAUUUCAUGCUUGGUUGAGAUAAAAAACAUGGAAUAACUCAUCCGUAGAUUAAUUAUCUUCAGUAUUAUAGUGUUAUUUUUAUCCCUCCUGAAUGUAAGAUAACUAAUCCCAAAAUAAUUAAUUUUAAAAAUAUUAUUUUCGAUAUAUCCCAACUCAAAUAAACAUAUCACAAUCAAUAAAACAGAAAAAUAUAGUAGUGAAAAAGCUCUUGAUUUAUGUGAUAUGUAGAAUAGUAUGGAAUAUUUAAAUAUCUUUGAGAUCGAAAAAUAGGCAGCACGGUGCACGAAAGUUACCGCUAUGCGCGGGGAAAUGGCCCCCCACAAUUGUGUAUUGUACGCACCCCUACCUUGCAUUUCUGCAGAGGCUGUUUCCAAGGCUUGAACCCAUGACCUCCUGGUCACAUGACAACAACUUUACCAGUUACUCCAAGUUUCCCCUUCAGCUUUGAGACCAUUUUCAUUAUUUUAAUAGAAAAGGUUUUUAUCAAGUACAUUCACUGUUUAUCAUCAGUUUCAAUGCUUCUAUCCAAACACACUAUUAUUUAUUUAUAAAAUCAGUUUCAACACCAAAAAAUCUUAGCACUCUUUAUUAAAAUCAUAUUUAUUGCCCCUAAUAACUUUUAUCUUGUAGUGUCUCCGGUCCAAAUGUCUGGGGGAUAGAGAUUCUCAAGUCCCACAUUUUCCUUAUGCGAAAUCAAUCCUUAUUCUGCACUUCCUCCCACCUCCUGAAAUAUACAUAAAUCGUGAAUUCUUCAGAGCGGUCUGGCAGGCGUAUAACACUACAACAUUUUUGUCCUAAGGCCACACUAAAUCGGGAGAACACUUAUAAAGUGUCACAUUAGCAUCAAAGAUUUUGGCUAAGAAAAGCUUUAUAUGCUGCAACUCAAGCUCGUAGACUACAAAAUCUUUUGAGUUAACUUCUUUGAGGUGAUUAAAUGUUACAUUUGUGAAACGUUUCACUUGAAGAGAUUUUGGGAUAGGAACAUAAUCGUAAAAGGUUGCCACCUAAAACAUUAACAAUGAACAACUUUUUGACUUUAUUAAGUAUAAAAAUGUGUAAGACAUACAAAGUCCACUAAUUAACUUCACAAAAUGUUUUGUCUAACAAGAAAACAGUGAUGACCUCCUAUGCCUAAACAAUAAGCAUUAUACUAACAGAAAGUUGCAAUUUAGUCUGAGCAGAUGGAAUCAACUCGAAUGGAUCAAUUUAGGGAGAUUCUUAUCAAGAAAAGAGCAUAUGAAAUCAACUCGAAUGGAUCAAAAUACAUACCAGAUAUGCAAAGACGUUUGACAGAAUGAAGAGCAAAAGAACUCGUUUCUAAAAAUGAGGACGUUUGAUAGAAUGAAGAGUGAAAGGACUAGGAAUAGAGAAUAAAAGAAGUCAGGACAUGUAUAAAUCAAAAGAUGUUCCCUCAAUACACUUGGAUAUUGAGCACAGGUUGGUGGGAAGGUCACGUACCAAUAAAUCCAGAUGUUAUUUUAUGGUUUGCAUUUUAUGUUGUUGCUUGAUAGCUGACUUUAUUUACAUCAACAGGUGGUUACUGAUGGAUUAAUUAAUGAUAUUUUACUUUCGUUUCAGUUGCUUGCUCUGUCGUUAACGUAUUAUUUUUGGAUCGCAACUAUCUUGCGGAGUGAAGCCACUGAAACUGCUCAAGUUAUGAGUUAUCAACUCUGGCAAGCUAAUGUUAGUAAUUGCUUCCUUAUACUGCUUAUGGUGUGCAACCCAAAUAUACUUGGUUCGUCCUCGUCGGCCAGCUGUUGCUGAAGAGGCUGAUCUCGGAGUUCUUGUGUUUAUUGGAAUAUAUUUUUUUUCUCUCUCAUUGGUUGUGCAUUCAGUCCAUGAACACAAGAGAUCCCCAAGAACUUAUGCCCUUAUGACUAAAUUAUAGUGACUAGUGGCACAAAAAAUCUCAAGACUCAAACAAAUUCAAGCCCUUGUCAGCAACAUUUUGCAAGUGAGAUUUUUUGGAGGGAAAAAAUAGUGUGAUAGAAAGGUGUUUGACUGCUAUUAAAAAAAUUAAUGGUGUUAGGGUGAUGACUAAAAAUGCACCAAUUAACUAAAUAAAAAGGACUAUUAGUGUUCUAGUUGAAAGAAUAUGUAUUAUUUUGUGCCUGAGGCAAAGAUAAUGUAUGAUUUUGGGCCUUUACUCCAAAAUUUCAUAUUCCCUCCAAUAUUUUUAACACAAAAAUAUUAUAUUGCCUCCAAUUUCUAAUUACCCCAAAAAAAAAAAUCAUAAAACAUUUGUCAAAAAAUAAUAAAACAUUUUUUUUUAGCAAAAUAAGCUUUUGAAUAACUCUGGUUGUGUUUCCAGUACCCGAUAUUGCUAUUGUUUCUGAAGGGCGAUACAAAGCCAGUUCAUUCCAUCUGCUGAAGGGCUAACCAAAACCAAGAUAAUAUUGUUAUUGUUUCCAGUACCCGGUGUGCAUCACAUCUGUUAGUGAACUCUAUCAGCGUUCGACGAGCUAGGCUUAAUAUGGGCAAAAAAUUUUAGGGUUGAGACUGCGGCCGGCGAGAAGGGUAAAAAACAGAAGGGUCGGUGCUUAUCGUUCAGAUUUGGAUCCAUUUUUAUUGAAUUCAUCUUUUUGAUUAUUUAGUUUUUGUUAGUAUCGGAGUUUUAAUUCAAUGUUCGAAUUCAGAAAUGAGUAGUAACUGUAUCGGUGAUGAUUUUCGACUGGACGCAAGUGUGUGAAAAUUGAAAAUCAAUUUUAUCAAACUUGUACUUAAUUGAUAUUGCGUAGUGUAGUUUAGUGUGAUUUGAUCUGAUUUGGGUAGUACAUUUGUUUGUUUUGAUCUUUCUGACGAAAAUUCAGCUUGUUGAUUAUCUUGCUUUGAGUCCUCGGUGAGUUCUUGUGACGAAUUAUGAUUAAAUUGUUUCCCUUACAUAUUUUAAUGGCAUCACUUUUGUUUAUUUACCGUCGGCGAAUUCCGAUUGAUUUCGUCUGACCUCUCAUCUGGGAAAAUGCCUAAAGAUUUCAACGUAUGUCCUUUUGGCAACCUCCUUCGAUACGAGCUUUAUGAAGUAGAUCCUGAUCAUCUUAGAACUGUUAUUGCAACUACCCCAGCCGGUCCGUACAUUGAUCCUGCUUCGAUCAAACUUAAACAUAGGAUCGGGCGUGGAUGCUUUGGUGAUGUUUGGUCAGCCACACAUUAGAAGUAUUAAGAGGACUUUCAAGAUUUCCUUUUUAUUGUGGUCAGAAUUCAGAUUUUAUUAUAGUCAGGCUUCAUGGUAUAAGUUUUACUGAGCUUAGUAAAUCUCAAUUUUCGGAACAUUGGCCUUCGGAUGCUUCACAAAUGAGACUGAUUUACACCUUGCUUGAGGUUCUUAAUCAUGUAAAAUGAGGUCAUUGUAAUGUGAUUCACACUUAGAGUUAAAAUUUCAGUCUUAGGGAAGUUCUUUAUCACUCUUUGAGUUAAAGUUCUUUAAAUAAGGUGGUAGAUGGGGCUUUUGGAGAGAGGGUAGUGUUCAUGUCUUGGAGGAACAUUAAGGACAGGCUCAUGUGGCCAUUGUUGAUUGAUCUGUGCGAGAAGUCCGGUUUGGUGCUUUCACUGUGCUUUACGUGACUUCUGACUGACCUUAAGUUGAAUAUUAAUAGAAGAGUAGUUUUUUGUGUUUGGACGACUUUCAUCUGAGGUAGUGGUAUGGAUUGCGUACACAUUAUCCUCCCUAGACCCCACUAUGUAGGAAUACUUUGGGUAUGUUAUUGUUGGUGUUUGGACGACUCUUAGGUGGUUGUGUGUGUUCUAUUUCCUUUUUCUGUUUCUGCAGAAACAGUCAAUAUAAUCUUCUGGCUAUCUCAGUUUACUGAUUUUUGUAGCAAAUUACUAGUUUACUGAAUUUAGUGUAUUUCCAGUUUGUUUCUGAGAAAUGUAGUCACAAUGCAGAGAUUGAAUGACUUGCUUUAAAUUUGUGAAGGACUCGAGUCUAUUGAGGGUGUGAUAUACAACAUUCUGGAUAAGUGUCAGGACUUCUAUGUUGACAUUGUGUUCUCUAGGACUCGAAGAUACAUCUCGGCAGUCUCGCAGUCAAGUUGUCGGAGUCAUAAACACGAUGCAUUUCUUUGUUAACUUAAAGAAGUAAUCCAUUUAGUUCAAUUGAUUUCUUCCACACUGUAUCAAGAUCUUGCAUUUAUUUCAUCGUUUUAUGACAGUAUGUUUGAGAAACUUUUGGCAUAUUAUGUUGUUAGCAGAAGAGGAUGUCUGUUGAAGUAUACUUUUGUGAAGAUAUUUCACAGUAAUAAUAAGUGACAGAGCACCGGAAAGUUGAGGUUAGGAGGUUGUCUAAAAUGUCAUUUGAAUGUAAACAAUGAUUUUGAUCGAUAAAUGCUACUAUGGUUUAAUGCUUUGUUUUUAGGAAUUUAAAAGAUUCUAGCUUUGAGAGCAAUAAGUCCAAUGGAGUUGUGCUUCAAUGUAUUAGGAUUACACUAUUUCCAAAUAACUAGUAUGUUGUAUAUUUUUUGAGCCUCUUUCGAAAUGACUGCAGAUUUUACGACGAACGGCGUAUCCUCUUUAUUAGCUAAUUAUUUGAAAAGAAAGGAUAGAAAGCUAAUUUGACAUGAGAAAGUAUACCUUAGCUGUUCCUUUUUUGCACAUAGUUCUUCUUGGGAAUCUUAUGAUUUCAAAGUUUGUAUUUGUGCAUGCAGAAAACCAGAAAAGAUCCUAUCUGCUUAAGCCCUUUCCCAACUGAAUAUAUGGAGUUGUGCUUCAAUGUAUUGGGAUUAAAAUUUUUCCAAAUAAUUAGUUCGUUGUAUACUUUGAGUAUUUUUCGGUAUGACUGCAGAGUUUAAGACAAACAAGGUAUCCUCUUGAUUAAAUAAAUAUUUGAAAAGAAAAUAUUCAAAGCUAAUGUAACUGGUUAAAGGGCGAUUAUCUUGUUGACCGCCUAUUUUAAGAUUACCUUACUGGUUCAUUUGUCGCACAUAGUUCUUCUUGGGAAUCUUCUUAUGAUUUUAAAUAUUUUAUCUGUGCGUAUAGCGAACGAGAAAAGAUCCUAAAGUAGGCAUAUUUUCCUCUUUUUCAUGUACUCCAAAAUUAAGAGGUCAGUGAUUUGAGAAUUUAGGCCCCAAAACCUACACUUGAAUAGUAGGAAACUAUAAUACUUAUUCAGCGCUUUCAAUUGCCCUAUCUAUCCUACUAUAGGUACGGUUAUCUUGUGGUUGUAUUGUUUUUGUUGUAUUAGCUAGCAGGGUGUUAUCCUUUUUUGUUGUGUGCUUUUGUGUUUGAUUUUAGUUAUACUAUUAUUUAUACUGAGUCGAAGGUCUAUCGAAAACCACCUCUUUACUUCAUUUGUGGUAGUGGUAUGGUCUGCGCACACAUUAGCCUCCCAGACCCCACUAUAUGGGAAUACACUGGGUAUGUCGCUGUUGUUGUUUUAAUAUGUUAACUCAUUGCAAAUUGUCUUUGUCACUUAUUAAUUUUACUUACAUUUUGUUAGGACAUUUAGAAAGAUAGCCGAUUUAAACUUGGGUUCAGCUUAGCACAGGUGCCAUGACUAGGUAAGAAAUUUUUAUCAUCAACUAACACAUAAUUCUAAUAACUUACUCAUGGCUUUUAGAAUUUACUAGUAAUUAAUUAAUGUUUUGUAUAUUACAAGAUCUAAUUUUAAUAGCAUCUUUCUUUAGGAAUACAAAUGUUCCGUCCAAGGAUUGGAUGGAUUUUCCUAGGUAUAGCGAUGAGUAUGACAAAAAGUGUUAAAUCUUUCUUGAAUUUUGCUUACAUUUAUGGAGAUCCUCAAGGCGAAGAAAUUCAGUGCCCAUGUGAUAAAUGUUGUAAUGUCCGUUGGACUCGAAGGGAUGUAGUGUAUAAUCAUCUAAUAGCCCGUAGAUUUGUUGAUGGUUAUAAAAGAUGGAUCAAUCACGAGGAAUGGGAAAUCAAUUUGAAUGGUGACGAUCAUAUGGAUGACUCGAAUGAUGAUAUUGAGGGGUUGUUGAAUGAUCAAUUUAGACAUGUUGCACAAGCUGAAGGACUUUAUGAAGGUCCAGAUGAAGAUACCAAGUAGUUCUAUAACUUAAUGGAUGAGGCAAGCCAAGAGCUAUAUCCUGGUUGUAAAGGAUUCUCUAGAUUAUCAUUCACAAUCCGUUUAUAUUUAUUGAAUUGUCUACAUGGAUGGAGAAAUGAAUCGUUCACUUCUCUUUUAGAAUUAUUAAAGAGGCAAUGCCAGAGUUGGACAUUCCUCCAUCCUACAAUAAAGCCAAGUCUAUGGUCAAGGAUCUCGGUCUUUACAAUGAGAAAAUUCAUGCUUGUCCUAAUGAUUGUAUGCUAUUUAGAAAUGACCAUAAGGAUGAUGAAUCAUGUCAUGUUUGCGGAGCUUCUCGAUAUAUUAAACCUCCUGAAGUAAAUUGUGAGGUUGUUGAGCCUUCUAAAAAACCUCAUCGUGUUCCAGCAAAAGUUUUGAGAUAUUUUCCAAUAGUUCCUAGAAUCAAAAGGCUAUUUAUGUGCUCAAAGACAGCAGAUUCAUUGAGGUGGCAUGACGAUGAGCAUUCUAAAGAUGGAAAGUUAAGGCACCCCGUUGAUGGACAAGCAUGGAAACAUUUUGAUAGCUUGUAUCCAGAUUUUGCACUAGAUUCUCGUAAUCUAAGACUUGGCUUAUCUACUAAUGGAUUCAAUCCAUUUCGGACCAUGAGUAUAUCUCAUAGCAUAUGGCCAGUUAUGAUGAAGGUGUAUAAUUUUCCGCCUUGGAUGUGCAUGAAACCAAAGUAUUCUAUGCUUUCCUUACUCAUUCCCGGGCCUCGUUCAUUAAAGUAUAAUUGCACUCUUGGUGCCUCUAUUAUAAAAACAAUGUCAACAAUAGGGAUAAGGGAUUUCGAGAUUCAUUUUAGGAUGAGUUUAUUUCAUGCUUGGUUGAGAUAAAAAAACAUGGAAUAACUCAUCCGUAGAUUAGUUAUCUUCAGGAUUGUAGUGUUAUUUUUAUCCCUCCUGAAUUUAAGAUAAAUAAUCUCAAAAUAAUUAAUUUUAAAAAUGUUAUUUUCGAUAUAUCCCAACUCAAAUAAGCAUAUCAAAACCAAUAAAACAAAAAAUAUAGUAGUGAAAAAGCUCUUGAUUUAUGUGAUACGUAGAGUAUGGAAUAUUUAAAUAGCUUUGAAACCAAAAAAAUAGGGCAGUCCGGUGCACGAAAGCUACCACUAUGUGCGGGGGAAGAGCCCCACCACAACGGUGUAUCGUACGCAGCCUUACCUUGUAUUUUUGCUAGAGGUUGUUUCCAAGGCUUGAACCCAUGACCUCCUGGUCACAUGGCAGCAACUUUACCAGUUACUCCAAGGCUUCCCUUCAGCUUUGAGACCAUUUUCAUUAUUUUAAUAGAAAGGUAUUUAUCAAGUACAUUAACUGUUUAUCAUCACUUUCAAUGCUUCUAUCCAAACACAUUAUUAAUUAUUUAUAAAUCAGUUUCAACACCAAAAAUUUUUAGCACUCUUCAUUAAAAUCAUAUUUAUUGCCCCUAAUAACUUGUAUCUUGUAGUGUUUCCGGUUCAAAUGUCUACGGGAUAGAGAUUCUCAAGUCCCACUUUUUCCUUAUGCGAAAUCAAUCCUUAUUCUGCACUUCCUCCCACCGUCCUUAAAUAUACAUAAAUCAUGAAUUCUUCAGAGCGGUCGUAUAAGGACUAUUAAAGAAAUGCCUUAAAGUGUUGCAGCCAUUACCUUAAGUCCUUUUACGCAAUUAUGAACUCCACGAAACUUUAUCAACUUCAAUGCAACUUAUCCUUUUGGAGCUGACAUAACAAACUACACGAGCCGAAAAAGUUCCUCAAGGAUGCCACCUUUUUUCUUCACAAGUAGUUUAGAUAUCAAGAUAUUUAAAGGGAAAGUUGUUGUUGAGGCUAAUAAAAGUUUAGUCCGGUGCCUUAAGUUCCUACUAUGCUUGGGGUCUAGGAAAGGACUGAACUGUAAGGAUCUAUCGUACGUAGACAUACCCUAUAUUUUUUACAAGAGACUGUUUCCAUAGCUCGAACUAGUGACCAUCUGGUGACAUGACAACAACUUUACCAGUUACGCCAAUGAUUGUAGACACCUAAUGUUGUCCCUCCCAAGUCCAAUUUUAUUCAUUUUUUUACCUCACUUUAUCAUACACCCACGUGAUUAUACCCUCCAUAAAAUGACAAAAAUAACAAAAUCCCUAACAAACUUUUAUUCUUUUUAACAUCCUAACAACCUACCCAAUUAAAAUAAACCACAUCAUCCCUUCCCCCUCCCCCUACCCCUACCCCCACCUCACUACCCCACCUACCCUUCCCCACUACCACAUAAUUCUCAUUCUCACCAGAAACCUCACUCUCCAUCACUAUAUUCACAUAUCACACACAAUAACACAAUAACUAGAGAAUAUAGACACACGCACAAACACUUCACCGGAAAAGGAGAGGGUCAUCGGAAAAUGUACUACGCAUACAUCAAACACACAUACACCAGAUCGGAGGAAAAAAUGGGAUAGAAAAGAGCUUGAGGGAGAGAACAGUGAGAGAAGUGUGAAAUCAGAAAUUGGGGGUUUUGAUUAGAGAGAUUUUAGAGAGGGAUAGAGAUGAGGGAGAGCUGAUCGGAGAUUGAGGGUGAGUGAAGAGAAAAUAUUAGAAUCGAGAGAGGUGAGUGAGGGAGAGAAACAGUGAAGGUCAUUCCGGUGACCAGAUCUCGCCGGAGAUCGAAUUAACAUCUAAAAUCGACCAAAAUCGACGAGUAACACACUUUUGCCGACGGGCUCUCGCUAGAAACUAUGCUUCCACCAGAUCGGUUCCUGGAGUUCAUCACCACCAAGGUCAUAGGAGCUUCGGCGAGUUCGAAUCUCGCCGGAAACAGUGAAAUCGGUGAGUAGCAGCGAGCAGGUAGAUACGAACACGGAAAAUACUCCUUUUUCGGAGAGUUUUUUUUUGGAAAACUCAAUUACUGCAUCACUUACUGUUUGUCUUGGUCUCUAUCGAGUCUUUCAAGCUCCGGUGAAGCCAAAUCUUAAACCCCAAACACGACUCUGUCGUGGAGAACCCGUUAUUCUAGCCAAUUAUGAACAGAAAAUCAGUCGUUUGUGUCAAUCCCUGUCGGCAGUUCAACAUCGAAUUUUUGUCUAUCAUCGAAUUAUUUCGAUCUGGGCUUAUUUUUUUUUUUACUCUUGGGUUGUGAGAUUGAAAUUUUGUCUUUGGGAUUUCUGUUCGGGAUUAGUUGUUUCUAUUUGAGAUUGUCGAUUCCGAAUUCAAAUUUAUUUGAAGAAUUUGUGAUAUCGAGUUGGAUCUUUGUUGGGGUUGAGGUUCUAUUCGAGGCUAUCGGGAGCAGGCUUCUUUAUUUUUAUCAACCAAUAUUCUUCGAAAGUUCCAAGUUGAGGUCCAAUUCUAAUCUUCCCCUCUUUUAUUUCAUUAUUUAUUAUAUUCGAUGCAUCGAAUUGAAUGUUUGUGUGAUUGGUUGAUCUUUGUUCUUGGUGAAUUAUUUCUCGUGUUUGUUCCUUGAUUAGGGAUUGUAUGGUGAAAUGAGGUUUUGUUCUAGGAUUAAAAUUAGUUAUUUGGCGAAUGGGACUCAAAAAUUGAUAAAAGUAAAUUUGGAAAAUUUUUGAUUCGUUGAUGAUGUUGAAAUGUGAUAAGAAUCAUGAUAGGUCGAGUUUGAUAGGAAAAUAGAAGGUUCGGGUAGACAAAUUUAGAACUUUUGGAUCGUUGAAUGUUGAAAAUGUUUGUUGAAUGGUUUUAUUUUAUGAAUUUGGAUCGAUUGUAUUCAUUCGCCGGGGAAUGCUCCAAGGUCAUAUUUGUAUUUAUUCACCGGGGAAUGCCCAGACGUAUCAUGUACUCGGAGGAUGCCCGUGAUGAAGGCCCGAAGCAUCGGGUAAGGCAUUGGAGCGUAGUUUAGAAUUAGUGUAGGUUAGCGUAGGUUUACUUUUCAGUACCUUUUUCAUUUCGGGUUGUAAUAAUUGGACUGGACACUAUAUUUUUGGACUGGUUUUGUUUGUUUGAUUGAUCGCUUUUGUGUGUUUUUUUGUGGUUUGUACAUUCAUAGUGUCAAAAUUAGCUGAUACGCUCCACCAGCGACCGUGUUCGAACCACGAGAUCGAGGAGUGCCUAACAACUUCUCCUCAGUCAACAGAAUUUCUUAGCUGAAUCUCUAUUCACAAACCAGUUUAAAGAGUCAAAUGAUUUUUGAAAAGGAUUUUUCAAUGGUGACUUGGCACACCAUAUUAUGCCAAGUGGCGACUCUGAUUUCAAAUGUAAAAACAAUCCUUCUUCGAAACAAAUCGUUUUCUUUUGUCACUUAAUAAUAAAAACUCUUUUGAACCUUAAAAUCCAAUCCUUUGGAUGUCGAAAAAGGAGUGUAACAGCUCUGGCGACUCUGCUGAGGAAUCUGUUCAGAAUUCAAGCUUAUUUUGGAGUCGUAUCGGCUUUGUUUGGCAUUAUAGGUAUAUAAAUAUUUUUUUUGUUGUUUUGUGUUAUUGUUUUAUCAUUAUGGAAUGUUUUCGUGAUCUUUGUGUACAUUAUUUAUCCUAUGUGUUACCGCUUUUAUAUCUGGCAUCAUGUGUCUACUCCUGGCCUUCUUUCUGCAACAAGUCCAUCGUACACGUGUUGUACACGACCUCUAGUUGAGUCACCCUUAUUUUAGGGGGAGAGCCAUUGGUGUUAUGGAGUAGGUAGAAAGCUGUCGCAGCCACUAUCGACCAUACGCUCCCCCGAACAACCUUGUUAGUGAACUCCAACGUAGGUCAGCUUUUAGGUCAUGCUUAUGUGCAUCAUAUUGAGACCUAGUGGGGCCCACUUGGUCCUUUGUAGGAGACUCACGUCUAAAGCAUCCCUACGUGCUAAAUGUUGCAUCUUUGAGGAUAACGUGGUUAUUUGACGGUCUGAUUUGGAAAAAACAUGUGUUAGAAGUAAAGUGUGUGGGUAAUGAAAAAAUAGAGAGAGAGAAAAAACAAAACAAGAACAAAAAAAAAGAGUUUCGUAGUUUUUAGAGUUUCUAUGGCUUUUAUUUUUCACAAUUCCAAAAUUCAAAAGGACUUUUUUUUACCUUUCACACUCAUUUUCUCAAAAACAUCAAAAAUAUUUUCCUUUGUCUCGUUUAGCAUGCAUUCACAAUUUGAAAACUUCAAAAAUGAUUUUUUUCAUUCAUAGGAUGUGUUUAUAAAAGAAAAUGCAAAACAAAAAAGAGGUGUUAGAAAUUUUUUACAUUUCGUAUAACGAAAAUACCAAAAAGAUUUUUCUUUCAUAGUUGUUGAUGUCAUUUUUCUGUGAAGUAUCAAAAUGAAAACUCAAAAGAUUUUAUUAACAUGGUUCAUCAUCUGUCUUUGGUCGUAUCUCUUAAGUCAGGGUCUAGCCUAUUAUUUAAUCAUUAAUUGUCCAAUUUGGAUGAACUACGCGUACCUGAUUUCCGUCCUUUGGGGUGGGAUACGUAGGCAACCCUCGGUGGGUCCGAUAAUUUUAAUUUUUAUUUUUUGGCCUUUGUCUUAGUCUUAGCUUGGGUUUUCCUCCUCGUAAUCUAGUGUUGUCAAUUAAUUCUUGCCAAGUAGGCUGAUUUUAUUCGGCGGUACUGUUCGGUGAAUUUGAGUUAUAUGUCGGUCUGUCCCUCUAUGUCACAAGAUAUUUUUUCUAAGAUAAAAUCCCGAGAGUCGGGAAUUUCUUGUCUUGUUUUGAAUUUUUGAGUUGUAAGUUUGGCUUGUUAUUACAGGAUAAAGCCUACAGGGUCUAGAGUCUUGAUGGUUUCCAAAGUGCCCUAAAAGUUAAUAAAGUGGUGGAGCACGUUCAACUAAACUGACCACAAGAGCUAUUUAAGAUAUUAGGUGAUCUUACGGAACUUCUGCAUGUCCCACCCCGUCCAGACCUAAUAGAUGCUGUGCUGACCUUUUGGUAUCCAAGUAAUUUGGUGUUUAGGUUUGGAAAGUGUGAAAUGACGCCUACGUUGGCAGAAUUAUCUGGUCUUCUUCAUUUGCCUUAUAUUGACAAAAGUAUGAUCCAAGCUUGGAAUCACUCGGGCAAUAGGUUUCUACAAGGGUGUGGUUUGAAGAGUAAUAACGGACAUUUGGGUUGUCUGAAUCAAUCAUGGAUUUCUUUAGACUUUCUAUUCGCUAGAUUUGGGUCCUCGGAAGGUUUUAAUUGCUUUUAGGAUGAAUUUCAUAUGAUUAAGGAGAAGUGGGAGAGAAAGCGUCUUGAAGUCUUCACCCUCGCUUUGUUAGGUAUUUUAGUGUUUCCACUAGAAGAAAGACGUAUUAAUACCAGUUUGCAAUUUGUGGUGAUGGCUCUAUUUCAUAAGGAUCAAAAUGACAAGGACACUAUUCAAAAGGGGAAGGUCAUUGAUCAAAAGGGCAGGUUCACUCUCAUACCCAUGAUCUUAACAGAAAUAUAUAAGGCUUUAACCGAAGUGAAGGGGGGAUGAGAUUUUUUGAGGGCAGUAACCUGAUAUUGAAGUUAUGGAUGAUGGAGCAUAUGCAUGCCCCUUCUUUAGUUAGACUAGACGUGGUUGAUCGUUGUAUUCCCAAUCGAGUGAAAUCCAUGGACUUCAGGUUGCGUUUGGAUAAAUUCUCGCUACCCAUGGGAGUCGAUAGUUGGAUUGAAUUUCUUGAGUCAAGAACCGGGGAUAACAUUUUGUGGACUUAUCUGUGGCUUCGACCAAAGAUAAUCUUAUUUGGUUGUCAGACAUAACUCCUUUUAGUUAUGUUAGGGCUCAAUUGCACUAGACCAUACAGUCCAUCUAGGGUAAUGCGCCAAUUGGGUAGGCUAUAGGACGUGCCACCAGCAUUGGAUCUUCUGAAGGAUAUUGAGUACUUCAAGGACCAAGCCUUAGGUGAGAGCAAGUACGAGCAGUUUUGAAAGCAUGCAACAAAGCUAGGUGUGGACACACUCAAAGAAAGUUUGGAUAAUCCAGGGUACACUCAGGGAUAUGGGGUUUGGCUUCAAUCUAUCCCUCGGGGUAUCAGUCAACCCUUACCAGUGCAGCUUAGAGGGAGAAUACAGGAAGAAUUCAUAGUUGACGAUCAUCUGGUCAAGAUUGUAGAAAGGUGUCAGAACAAUCUUUCUAAUUGCAUUCCUCAUGAGGCAGGAAUACGAGCCCGAAGCUUCUUCCCCAAUAUCAGGGUGUCUUUGCAGGACAUGCUACAAAGUUUGAAUGGGAGAAAUAGAACUUUAUAGGCAGGUCCAUCUCAGCCAGGGUCAUCACGCAGAGCACCAGUCUGAAAGAGCAUUUCUUAUUUUUAUUCAAUUUGAGUCUUUUAUGUUUCUGGCAUUGUAGGGUGGCGUCUGUUUUAAGCCAGAGUCAAGUUGUUUUUGGUAUUAGGGUCUUUAUCAGUAAUUUCACGUAUGUCGUCUUCGGGGUCUAGAAUGUUAUUUUGUAUUUGUUGUUUAGUUUUUAAAGCGGUCCUAAAUUCAUUGCAUGUUUUGUUUCUUUCUUUCAUCAAAAUGUUAUGUGGUUACGUCUUUCUUUUGUUUGUUUGUUUUCAUUUUCGCGAAAAAAAAGAAAAAAAAAACUUCAAUUAUGUGAUGUUUAUGCAUAUGUUUCCCGAACUACGCAAGAUCUGAUUCAUGUAUAACAUGAUACAUAGGCAACCUACUUUUGGGUUCGAUCUAAUCAUUUUGUUUCGUUGUUUUUUAUUUUUUAAAAAAGAAAAGCAAAAGCCAUAAAGAAUGAUAAAAUGAAGGUAGAUAGNNNNNNNNNNNNNNNNNNNNNNNNNNNNNNNNNNNNNNNNNNNNNNNNNNNNNNNNNNNNNNNNNNNNNNNNNNNNNNNNNNNNNNNNNNNNNNNNNNNNNNNNNNNNNNNNNNNNNNNNNNNNNNNNNNNNNNNNNNNNNNNNNNNNNNNNNNNNNNNNNNNNNNNNNNNNNNNNNNNNNNNNNNNNNNNNNNNNNNNNNNNNNNNNNNNNNNNNNNNNNNNNNNNNNNNNNNNNNNNNNNNNNNNNNNNNNNNNNNNNNNNNNNNNNNNNNNNNNNNNNNNNNNNNNNNNNNNNNNNNNNNNNNNNNNNNNNNNNNNNNNNNNNNNNNNNNNNNNNNNNNNNNNNNNUGGUAGGUUUGCAGCACUCUGGCUAGUCACCCAUACUUCACUAGAUCCAAAGCAAAGCUCGUCAUGGCUAGCAGGGAGAUUGAAAAUUCGCUUAUUGACCCGGAUCAUGAUCACAGGGAAGAAAGUUCAGAACACAAUGAUGAGGUAGUAAGGCUCAGGCAACAAUUGAUAGAUUUUCACUGGGCAUGGGCCAGUGGAAUGCCUCCUCCUCCGCUCCCUGAAAGUCUUGGGAAUAUCUCUAAUUGACCACCGCUCUCUCAGGCGCAAUUCUCUACUCUUACUGAGUCACCUGAACACGCGUCAGGAUUCACUCCGCGACAUGAUUAUCCUGGCAGUUCUGGUGUGCCCUUGGCAGCUCCCCAAUCAAAAACCACUGCUCAACCAAUGCCACCGAUCACACCGGUAUUCGUGGCUCCCCCACCACCAGAAGGUCCUACAUAUGUUGUGCAUCCGACAAUGGGGAUUCCUAGGUCUGCCAGUAAGCCAGUAUUGAAGGUUCCAGAUAGUCAGUAUUAUGCCCCGGAGCCUACUUUGAGAAUGAAUGAAUAGUAUGGGUACACUCAACCACCUUCAUUUCCAUUUGAUACGGACAAACCUAUCACAACAGAGGAAUAGGAAGUCAUAGAACGAAAGUUGAAAAGUUUAGAAUAGGCCAUGAGGAAUUUGCAGGGAAUCGGAGGUUAUAAGAGUGUUUCCUAUAAAGAUCUUUGCAUGUUCCCAGACAUCAACCUUCCCCUCAGUUUUAAAAUGCCCAAGUUCAAGAAGUAUGCAGGGCACGGUGAUCUCAUGGCACACUUGAGACGUUAUUCCAACCAAUUGAGGACUGCAGGAGGAAGAGAAGAGCUGCUCAUGGCUUUCUUUGGCGAGAGUCUUUCUGAUCUGGCUUCAGAAUGGUUUAUUGAUCAAGAUAUCAACAAGUGGAACAACUGGGAUAACUUAGCUUCUGAGUUUGUGUAGCAUUUUUAGUAUAACAUCGACCUGAUUUCGAACGAAAAAUCCUUGGUCAACAUGAAGAAGAAAAACACUGAAGGGUUUAGGAAAUACGCGAUAAGGUGGCGUGAACAGGCCGCCAGGGUAACGCCUCCAAUGAAAGAAAGUAAGUUGGGAGAGGUUUUCAUUCAGGCACAGGAUGAGACCUAUUUUCAACAUUUACUUCCGACAAUGGGAAAGUCUUUUAUUGAAGUCCUCAAAAUGGGGGAGAUGAUAGAGGACGGAAUCAAGACCGACCGAAUAGUGAGUUUUGCUGCAUUGAAAGCCACCACACAAGCGAUUCAAGGUGGAUCUAGCGCAUUCGGAGGUAAAAAGAAGAAAGAGGAUGUGGCGACUGUCGUAGCUGGAACCCAUUCCUAUCCCAAAAGACCACCUCGCCCCUAUCCCCAAUCCCAAGCCCAAGUCUAUGCCCAAGCUCUAUAUAUUCUUCCCCACCAUUACUACCCUCCACAAAACCCUUUAUAUUCUACUCCACCACCCCUGUACCCAUUAUAUAGCGAGUAGCCAUAUGCCCAAACCCCUUCUUACCCGCAAUGGCACAUGUAAGCCCCACAAAAUUGACCAUUCGCUCCACCGAAUUACCAAAACCCCUCCAGACCUGGUUUUCAACCUAGGCUCGAGUAUAAGAAAGAGAAGGCGGUGAAAAAUCAAUUCAUACCUCUUGGCAAGUCAUAUGCUAGCUUGUUUGAUAGGCUAAGAAAGUUGAAGGUCUUAAGCCCAAUUCAAGGAAGGUUUUUAAAUCCACCACCGAGGAAUCUCAAUUAUUCUUUAAGGUGUGUGUACUAUUCUGACAUACCAGGCCAUGAUAUCGAGAAAUGCUGGCAUUUAAAGAGAGCUGUCCAAGAUUUAAUUAACAUAAAUCAGAUGCUGGUCCAGGCCCCGAAGGGUCCAAACAUUAACCAGAAUCCACUGCCAACCCAUGCUGAAACCAAUAUGUUAGAAUUGAUANNNNNNNNNNGGGGUUUGACUAGGUCAGGAAGAUGCUUUGUGCCUAAAACCUUAAGAAAGUCCAAGCCAAUGGUGAGUGGACCGUCAUCUAUCAAAAAUCCUAUCACCAAAGAAGAAGUCGAAGAAUUUUGGAAAAAGAUGAAAUUGCCAGAGUAUUCAAUAAUAGACCAGUUGAAGAAAACCCCUGCUCAAAUUUCCCUCUUAUCUUUGUUGUUGCACUCCAAGGAGCAUCGUGAUAUUUUACUAAAGGUAUUAAAUGACGCAUAUGUUCCUAGGGAGAUUACUAUAAAUCAGCUUGAGAAAAUGGUCGAAAAAAUCUUGAGGUCAAUCGGAUCAGCUUUUCUGACGAUGAAUUGCUUGUUGAAGGUAUAGGGCAUAACCGAGGCCUUUACAUAGUUUGACUAGGUCAGGAAGGUGCUUUAUGCCUGAAAGUUUAAGAAAGUCCAAGUCAAUUGUGAGUGGACCAUCAUCUAUCAAAAAGCCUAUCACCGAAGAAGAAGCCAAAGAAUUUUUGAAAAAGAUGAAAUUGCCAGAGUAUUCAAUAAUAGACCAGUUGAAGAAAACCCCUGCUCAAAUUUCCCUCUUAUCUUUGUUGUUGCACUCCAAGGAGCAUCGUGAUAUUUUACUGAAGGUAUUAAAUGAAGCAUAUGUUCCUAGGGAGAUUACAAUAAAUNNNNNNNNNNNNNNNNNNNNNNNNNNNNNNNNNNNNNNNNNNNNNNNNNNNNNNNNNNNNNGGGCCUUUACAUUACAGUGAAGUGCGAAGAUUUCUACGUCACUCAUGUUAUGAUUGACGGAGGUUUAGGUGCAAAUAUCUGCCCUAUUUCUACUUUGCAAAAGUUGAAUAUUGGUGCUGAGAGGAUCAGGGCCAACAAUGUAUGUAUCAGGGCUUUUGAUGGUGCAAAAUCAAACUCCAUUGGUGAAAUAGAACUAAUAUUGAUCAUAAGGCCUGUUGAAUUCGCCAUAGAGUUUCAAGUAUUAAAUAUAGACUCCUCUUACAAUCUGUUGUUGGGAAGGCCGUGGAUCCACAAGGCCAAGGCGGUUGCAUCUAUACUACACCAAAUGAUUAGGUUUGAGCAUGAUAGGCAAGAAGUGGUUAUUCACGGUGAAGGAGAUUUGUCUGCCUACGAAGAUUCUCCCUUGUCUCUUAUUGAAGCAAAUAAUGUAGAGGAGACUUUUGUCUAUCAAAUUUUUGAUACAGUACCAGUGAAUUGUAUCUUUGAAUGGCAGGUUAUACCGGGACCGCAAUUGUCUUCUGCUUCUAUCAUAAUGGUGAGUGAACUUUGGAAAUAUGAAUUUUAGCUAGGAAAGGGUUUGGGAGUAUCUCUGCACGGUAUAGUUUGUCCCAUAUUUCCGAGUGAGAAUGUGGGCACGUUUGUUCUGGGAUUUGAGCCUACGGCUGAAGAUCUGAAGAAAUCCAAGGGAAGGAAAAAGGAAAAAUGGUCACUCCCUUGCCCAAUGCCACUACUCAGUGAAUCAUUUGUUAAGAGCGGUGUCACGAAGCAUGUGAUAUUUGAAGUUGAAUUGGUUGAUAACUGCCAGAACCUUUUUAUUGAAGUAGAUAUGGUCAAAGCAGGAGAAGGCACCAGUAUGGCAGACGUGAAAUUCAUAGAUCCAUCCGUCCGACUCAAUAAUUGGGAAGUCACUUCUCUCCCCGUCAGGAGGGAGUUUUGGUAGUUUAUUUUGUUUUUCUUUCUAUUUAUUUGAGUUAUAUUAGGGUUGUAAUUCGGAUUUUAGUUUGUUUAUGUUAUAUUGGCAUCUAUACUUAAACCCUUCUAUCUUUUUAUUUAAUGAAAUGCAAUGUCCCUUUUAUUUCAUGUCUAAUAUAUUUUGUUUUUCUUUUUUUUUAUAUACAGUUUUCUUUAUGCUGAUUCUAAUGACAUGACAUGCAUGCAAAAUUUUUAGCCUGAUCUUAAAAUCCAAACUAAUCAAGAUGUAAUGAAGCAGAAUGGGGAAUAUGAUGAAGAAGAAGCAGUAGAAGAAAUAAGCAAAGAGUUGGAACAGUUUGAAGACAAACCGAAUCCUAAUUUGAAUGAGACUAAGCCAAUAAAUCUAGGGAAUCAAGAAGAUGUUAGGGAAACUAAAAUCAGUGUACAUGCUUUACCACAGCUAAAAGAUGGAAUGAUUCAAGAAUUAAUUGAUUAUAAGGAUGUUUUUGCAUGGUCUUAUGAUGAUAUGCCUAGUUUAAGCACUGAAUAAGUGGCUCACAAAUUGCCAACUGAUCCCGCAUUCCCUCCUUUCAAUCAGAAGUUGAGGAAGUUUAAAACUGAUGUAAGUAUUAAAAUCAAAGAGGAAAUCAUGAAACAAUUUAAAGCCAAAGUAAUUCAAGUGGCUCGUUUUCCCAUGUGGUUGUCCAAUGUUGUUCUCGUACCAAAGAAAGAUGGCAAAAUUCGAGUAUGUGUUGAUUACCGUGAUUUGAACAGAGCAAGUCUGAAAGAUGAUUUUCCACUACCCAACAUCCAUAUUUUGCUAGACAACUAUGCUAAACACGAGGUUGCCUCUUUUGUGGAUUGCUAUGUCGGAUAUCACCAGAUCAUUAUGGAUGAUGAAGAAGCGGAGAAGACGUCUUUUAUCACACCAUGGGGGACCUAUUAUUAUCGAGUGAUGCUGUUCGAUUUGAAGAAUGCUAGAGCAACAUACAUGAGAGCCAUGACCACUAUGUUUCUUGCAUGAUGCAUAAGGAGAUUGAGGUAUACAUGGAUGAUGUGAUUAUUAAGUCAAAAAGUCGGGCUGACCAUGUUAAAGAUUUAAGAAAGUUCUUUGAAAGGCUUCGCAGGUAUAAUCUCAAGCUCAACCUGGCAAAAUGUAUAUUUGGAGUUCUAUCUGGAAAGCUGUUGGGGUUUGUAGUCAGCCGUCGGGGGAUUGAAUUGGAUCCCUCAAAAAUCAAAGCCAUUUAGGAUUCGCCCCCACCCAAAAAUAGAAUGGAGGUGAUGAGUUUGCUUGGUAGACUGAACUACAUUAGCAGGUUUAUUGCUCAACUCACAACCACUUGUGAGCCCAUAUUCAAGUUGCUGAAAAAAGAGUGCUGUGGUAGAAUGGACUGAAGAAUGUCAGGAAGCGUUCGAUAGAAUCAAAAGAUAUUUGUCAACUUCGCCCGGUCUGGUACCACCAGAGCCUGGUAGGCCUUUGAUAUUAUAUUUAUCAGUCAUGGACAAUUCUUUUGGUUGUUUCCUGGGUCAAUAUGAUGUCAUAAGCAAAAAGGAGUAGGCUAUUUAUUAUCUUAGCAAGAAGUUCACUGCAUAUGAGGCCAGGUAUACUCUUCUUGAAAGGACGUGUUGUGCCCUAACUUGGGUAGCACAGAAGUUGAAGCAUUAUCUCUCAUCCUAUACUAUUUAUCUCAUCUCCCGCAUGGAUCUUUUGAAGUAUAUCUUUCAGAAGCCUAUGCUGACAGGUCGAUUGGCAAAAUGGCAAAUAUUGCUUACCGAGUUCGACAUUGUAUAUGUGACUCGAACCACCAUGAAAGACCAAGCCUUGGCAGAUCAUGUUGCUGAGAAUCCCAUCAAUGAAGAGUACGGGCCAUUAAAGACAUAUUUUCCUGAUGAAGAAGUGUCGUGUGUCGAUGAAGUCGUUAUAGAUGUUGAUCCAGGUUGAAAGUUGUUCUUUGAUAGAGCUAUCAAUAUGAAAGGAGUCAAAAUAGGUGCGGUUCUUAUCUCUGAAUUGGGACAAUAUUUCCCGGUAACAGCACAACUUCGAUUUUACUGUACUAACAACAUGGCAGAGUAUGAAGCUUGCAUUCUUGGUUUGAGGUUAGCUGUUGAUAUGGGAGUCCAGGAAUUAUUGUUCUGGGGGAUUCGGAUUUGCUCUUCCAUCAAAUUCAAGGAGAUUGGGAGACGUGAGAUUUGAAGCUCAUCCCGUAUUGACAAUGCUUGCAGAAGUUAUGUCAACGGUUUGUGUUAGUAAAAUUUAGGCAUAUUCCAAGGAUCCAUAAUAAAAUUGCUGAUGCUUUAGCCACUCUGUCUUCAAUGCUCCAACAUCCUGAUAAAGCCUACAUCGAUCCUGUGCAUAUACAGAGUAGUGAUCAGAAUGCUUACUGUAAUGCGGUUGAAGAAGAGCUCGAUGGAGAACACUAGUUCUUGGAUAUCAAGCGAUACAUGCAGUCAGGAGAAUACCCAAAAUAUGCCACCAACGAUUAAAAGAGGACUAUUAGGCGUUUGGCUAGUGGAUUUUUCUUAAGUGGGGGAAUCUUAUUAAAGAGAACCCCAGAUCUGGGACUUCUGAGAUGUGUAGAUGCAAGAGAAGCCUCGGCAAUCAUGGUUGAAAUACACUCUAGAGUAUGCGGGUCGCAUAUGAACGGUCAUGUGUUGUCAAAGAAGAUUCUUCAAGCAGGUUAUUACUGGCUUACUAUGGAGAGGGAUUCUAUUCGAUUUGUUUGAACGUGUCAUCAAUGUUAGGUACACGGUGAUCUGAUACGUUCUCCUCCUACUGAAUUACAUGCAAUGGCCGCUCCAUGGCCGUUUGUGUCUUGGGGAAUGGAUGUGAUUGGACCGAUUGAGCCGAAGGCAUCAAAUGGACAUAGAUUUAUUUUGGUAGCCAUUGAUUACUUCACAAAGUGGGUAGAAGCAGUAACUUUCAAGUCAGUGACAAAGAAGGAUGUGGUAGAUUUUGUUCAUGCCAACAUCAUUUGUAGGUUUGGAAUUCCUAAGAUGAUCAUUACAGACAAUGCUGNNNNNNNNNNNNNNNNNNNNNNNNNNNNNNNNNNNNNNNNNNNNNNNNNNNNNNNNNNNNNNNNNNNNNNNNNNNNNNNNNNNNNNNNNNNNNNNNNNNNNNNNNNNNNNNNNNNNNNNNNNNNNNNNNNNNNNNNNNNNNNNNNNNNNNNNNNNNNNNNNNNNNNNNNNNNNNNNNNNNNNNNNNNNNNNNNNNNNNNNNNNNNNNNNNNNNNNNNNNNNNNNNNNNNNNNNNNNNNNNNNNNNNNNNNNNNNNNNNNNNNNNNNNNNNNNNNNNNNNNNNNNNNNNNNNNNNNNNNNNNNNNNNNNNNNNNNNNNNNNNNNNNNNNNNNNNNNNNNNNNNNNNNNNNNNNNNNNNNNNNNNNNNNNNNNNNNNNNNNNNNNNNNNNNNNNNNNNNNNNNNNNNNNNNNNNNNNNNNNNNAAAAAUGGUACAAGGGUCUAGACAGUGGCAUGAAAAGUUGCCAUUUGCAUUGCUAGGUUAUCGCACCACUGUUCGUACUUCAACAGGGGCAACUCCAUAUUUAUUGGUGUAUGGGAAAGAAGCAGUCAUCCCUGCAGAAGUUGAAAUUCCUGAUCUUUGAGUCAUUGCAGAAGCAGAGAUUGAUGAUGACGAAUGGGUAAAAACCUAACUGGAGCAUUUGAGUUUGAUUGAGGAAAAAAGGCUAACAUCUGCGUGUCAUGGCCAAUUGUAUCAGAGGAGGAUGGCUCGACCGUAUAACAAAAAGGUCCAUCCCAGGAAUUUUGAAGUUGGUCAAUUGGUAUUGAAACGUAUCCUUCCUCACCAGGUUGAAGCGAAAGGCAAGUUCUCCCCUAAUUGGCAAGGUCNNNNNNNNNNNNNNNNNNNNNNNNNNNNNNNNNNNNNNNNNNNNNNNNNNNNNNNNNNNNNNNNNNNNNNNNNNNNNNNNNNNNNNNNNNNNNNNNNNNNNNNNNNNNNNNNNNNNNNNNNNNNNNNNNNNNNNNNGCAGUUUUAAGAUUGUUAGGAUGAAGUCAUUUGAUUCUUCUAUCCAAACAUUGUGUCAUCCUUUGUUUACCCGUUUGAGCUUCAUUUUAUUUUUUUUAUUUUCUUUCAUAUCCCUCUUUUGGAAUCAAAAUAGAGUCAAAAAUAAAUGUAAGAAAAUAAGAAUAAAAGAAAGAGUUCGAAAAAAAAUAAAAUCAAAUCAAAACAAAGAAAAAGCUUAUGGAACUACGUGCGACCUGAUUCUCCUUUCUCUGGAGUGAGAUACAUAGGCUGCCCUAUUUCGGGCUCGGUCCAACCAAAUAAAGAUUUUAGAGUCACCCCGUCAAAGUGAAAAGUGAAAAGAAAGAGAUUUGUUGUCAAUUGAAUGUGAUGUAUGAGUCCAAUGGAUUUGAAGAAGCAGCUCAGCGGCAAAGGAACGAACUCAACAACAAAUGGGGAGUUUGGAUAGGAAGAUCAGGCAGCUUAAUCCAAAAUGUAUGUCAUACUCAUUGGAGUGGGUUGCCGUAUUCAGAUAAGUAUACUUUUUUGAAUAGGGGACAUUUCCCUUUUCUUUCAUUUACAUAUUCAAGAUUUUUGUCUUUUUAUGUCAUUUAUCAAAACAAAAGUCACCAUCGUUUCUUUACAUUUUAAGUCAAGUCUGUGUCAAAACAAGCAAGAAAGGAUUUCAAAAUUUAUGACCAGUCUUUCCAAUUAUAUGAGUAAAAGCCAAGGACCAGCACAUGAAAGAAAUAUGAUCGUAAUUCAAUGCGAAGCAAAGAAAGUCUAUCAACCGACAGGCUGUGGGAUUCAUGGAAGCAUUCAGAUUUGGGAAAAGGGUCCACCUCAGAGGCAUGGUAAAAUGGAAACCCAUUGUUCGAGUCAGAACUCAUUUCCCUUAAUCUAGAUCCGGGUUAAUGAUGCGGUAAGACAGGGCAAGUGUCAGCGAUUUGGAACAAAGAUGAAAGGAACAAGUGUUGGAGCAGAUACUUGAGAAGCCAAGAGCUACAAGCCACCACUAAGUUUUUAACUGACAAAUUUUCUUUGUUGAAAUAGGGGCAAAUUCGCUUCACUUAAUUCAGCUACCAUUGGAAAUGCACAUCCGUGAGAUUUUACAUUCUGUUCAGGACCAUCCUGAAAAUGAGACUUUACUUUCUGUCCAGGACCCUCCUGAAAAAUAGGACUUUACCUUCUGUUCAGAACCUUCUUGAAAAAUGGGACUUUACUUUCUAUUCAGGACCCUCCUGAAAAAUGGGAUUCUACUUUCUGUUCAGGACCCUCCUGAAAAAUGGGAUUCUACUUUCUGUUCAGGACCCUCCUGAAAAAUGGGAUUCUACUUUCUGCACAGGACCCUCCUAAAAAAUGAGACUUUACUUUCUGUUCAGGAUCCUCCUGAAAAAUGGGACUUUACUUUUAAUUCAGGACCUUCCUGAAAAAUGAGAUUUUACUUUCAGUUUAGGACCCUCCUUAAAAAUGAAAUUUUACUUUCAAUUCAGGACCCUCCUAAAAAAUGGGAUUUUACUUUCAGAUCAGGACCCUCCUGAAAAAUGGAACUUUACUUUCAAUUCAGGACACUCCUGAAAAAUAGGGAUUUACUUUCUGUUCAGGACCCUUCUGAAAAAUGGGAUUUUGCUUUUUGUUCAGGACCCUCCUGAAAAUGGGAUUUUACUUUCAGUUCAGGACCCUCCUGAAAAAUGGAAUUUUACUUUUAGUUCAGGAUCCUCUUGAAAAAUAGGAUUUUUCUUUCAAUUCAGGACUCUCCUGAAAAAUGAGAUUUUACUUUCAGUUCAGGACCCUCAUAAAAAAUGGGACUUUACUUUCAAUUCAGGACCCUCCUAAAAAGUGGGAUUUUACUUUCAGUUCAGGACCCUCCUGAAAAAUGGGACUUUACUUUCAAUUUAGGACCCUCCUGAAAAAUGGGACUUUACUUUCAAUUCAGGACCUUCCUGAAAAAUGGGACUUUACUUUCUGUUCAGGACCCUUUUGAAAAAUAGGAUUUCACUUUAUGUUCAGGACCCUCCUGAAAAAUGGGAUUUUACCUUCUGUUCAGGACUCUUCUGAAAACUGGAAUUUUACUAUUUGUUUAGGACCCUCCUGAAAAAUUGAAUUUUACUUUUUGUUCAGGACCCUCCUGGGAAAUGGGAUUUUACUUUCUGUUCAGGACCUUCCUGGAAAAUAGGAUUUUACUUUAUAUUCAGGACCCUCCUGAAAAAUGGGACUUCACUUUAUGUUCAGGACCCUCCUGAAAAAUGGGAUUUUACUUUCUCUUCAGGACCCUCCUGAAAAAUGGAAUUUUACUUUAUGUUCAGGAGCCUCUUGAAAAAUGGGAUUUUACUAUCUGUUCAGGACCCUCCUGAAGAAUGGGAAUUUAAUUACAGUUCAGGACCCUCCUGGAAAAUGGGACAACGCUUUCAAAAAUGAAAUACUACUUUACUAUAAUUUUUGUUUGGGGUAAUUUUUGCUGUAGUUUUAAUUUUGUGUUUCAGGGGCCCGCCUAAAGAACAAGGUGAUGAAAUAUCAAGUCAGGGGUCCGCCUGAAGAACAGGGUGAUGAAAUAGCAUGUCAGGAGCCCGCCUAGAGAACUGAGUGAAGAAAUGAAAAGUCAAGCAACAAAGUGAUGAAAUAGCUAGUCAGGAGCCCACCUGGAGAACAGGGUGAAGAAAUUGAAAGGCAAGCAACAAGUUGAAGAAAUUGCAAGUCAGGAGUCCGCCUGAAGAAUAGGGUGAUGAAACUGGAGUCAAGAACCAACAGAAGCUGUAUAGAUAGGAUUUUUUAAUUUCAUUUAUGAUUUAACUUGUAAUUUUUAUUUUUGAUGUAAUGACAGAGCCGCUGACCGGAACCUCAAUGGAACCUCACUCGACUCUCCAACUCGGUAUAGUCCACUUCUCUUCCAACCCUUUGAGAUACUUGUGACUUCUUCAUGACUUGGGUAGAUAGGGUGUCCGACAGGAUUCGAUUUUCUUUCUUCCUUCUAUUUCUUUCUUUGAAUAAUGGUCGGGUAAAAAUUUGGUCUCGUUGUCUACUUCUUUGUCUGAAAACACUUUAUGUUUACAUUCAAAGGAGGCAUGCUGUAGACAUCUAAUUUUGUCCUUCCCAAGUCCAAUUUUAUUCAUUUUUUUACCUCACUGUAUCAUACACCUUUACCCACGUGGUUAUACACUUCAUAAAAUGACAAAAAUAAUAAAAUCCCUAACAAACUUGUAUUCUUUUUAACAUCCUAACAACCUACUCAAUUAAAAUAAACCACAUCAUACCCUACCCCUACCCCUACCCCCACCUCACUACCCCACCUACCCUUCCCUACUACUAUAUAAUUCUCAUUCUCACCAGAAACCUCACUCUCCAUCACCAUAUUUGUAUAUCACACACAAUAACUAGAGAAUAUAGAUACACACACAAUUGGGAGAGAACAUAGAUACACGCACAAUUGGGAUAGAAGAGAGCUUGAGGGAGAGAACAGUGAGAGAAGUGUGAAAUCAAAAAUUGGGGGUUUUGAUUAGAGAGAUUUGAGAGAGGGAUAGAGAUGAGGGAGAGCUGAUCAAAGAUUGAGGGAGAGUGAAGAGUAAAUAGUAGAAUCGAGAGAGGUGAGUGAGGGAGAGAAACAGUGAAGGUCAGUCCGGUGACCAGAUCUCGCCGGGGAUCGAAUUAGCAUCUAAAAAUGACCAAAACCGGAGAGUAACACCCUUUUGCCAGUGGGCUCUCGCCGGAAACAGUGCUUCCACAAGAUCGGUACCUAGAGCUCAUCACCACCAAGUCCAUAGGAGCUCCGGCAAGUUCGAAUCUCCACGAAAACAGUGAAAUCGGCGAGUAGCAGCGAGCAGGUAGAUACGAACACGGAAAAUACUCCUUUUCUGGUGAGUUUUUUGUCGGAAAACUCAGUUACUGCAUCACUUACUUUUCGUCUUGGUCUCUAUCGAGUCUUUCAAGCUCCGGUGAAGCCAAAUCUUAAACCCCAAACACGACUCUGUCGUGGAGAACCCGUUAUUCCAGCCAAUUUUGAACAAAAAAUUAGUCGUUUGUGUCAAUCCCUGUCGGCAGUUCAGCAUCGAAUUUUCAUCUUUCAUCGAAUUAUUUCGAUCUGGGCUUAUUAUUUUUUUUACUCUUGGGUUGUGAGAUUAAAAUUUUAUCUUUGGGAUUUCUGUUUGGGAUUAGUUGUUUCUAUUUGAGAUUGUCAAUUCCGGAUUCAAAUUUGUUCGAAGAAUUUGUGAUAUCAAGUUGGAUCUUUGUUGGGGUUGAGGUUCGAUUCGAGGCUAUCGGGAGCAGGCUUCUUUAUUUUUAUCAACCAAUAUUCUUUAAAAUUUCCAAGUUGAGGUCCAAUUCUAAUCUUCCCCUCUUUUAUUUCAUUAUUUAUUAUAUUCGAUGCAUCGAAUUGAAUGUUUGUGUGAUUGGUUGAUCUUUGUUCUUGGUGAAUUAUUGCUCGUGUUUGUUCCUUGAUUAUGGAUUGUAUGGUGAAAUGAGGUCUUGUUCGAGGAUUAAAAUUAUUUAUUUGGGGAAUGGGACUCGAAAAUUGAUAAAAGUAAAUUUGGAUAAUUUUUGAUUCGUUGAUGAUGUUGAAAUGUGAUAAGAAUCAUGAUAGGUCGAGUUUGAUAGGAAAAUAGAAGAUUUGGGUAGGCAAAUUUAGAACUUUUGGAUUGUUGAAUGUUGAAAAUGUUUGUUGAAUGGUUUUAUUUUAUGAAUUUGGAUCGAUUGUAUUCAUUCGCCGGGGAAUGCCCUGAGGUCAUAUUUGUAUUUAUUCACCGGGAAAUGCCCCGACGUAUCAUGUACUCGGAGGAUGCCCGUGAUGAAGGCUCGAAGCAUCGGGUAAGGAAUUGGAGCGUAGUUUAGGAUUAGUGUAGGUUAACAUAGGUUUACUUUUCAGUACCUUUUUCAUUUCGGGUUGUAAUAAUUGGACUGGACACUAUAUUUUUGGACUGGUUUUGUUUGUUUGAUUGAUCGUUUUUGUGUGUUUUUUUGUGGUUUGUACAUUCAUAGUGUCAAAAUUAGCCGAUACGCUCCACCAAGCGACCGUGGUCAAACCACGGGAUCGAGGGGUGCCUAACACCUUCCCCCGAUCAACAGAAUUCCUUAGCUAGAAUCUCUGUUCACAAACCAGUUAAAGAGUCAAAUGGUUUUUGAAAAGGAUUUUCCAAUGGUGACUUGGCACACCAGAUUAUGCCAAGUGGCGACUCUGAUUUCAAAUGUAAAAACAAUCCUUCUUCGCGACAAAUCGUUUUCUUUUGUCACUUAAUAAUAAAAACUCUUUCGAACCUUAAAAUUGAAUCCUUUGGAUGUCGAAAAAGGGGUGUGACAAUGAUCAUUGGUUUAAUUCCUCACUUCUAUCAGCAUUAGACAUCAGUAUUUGGAGCAACCAAAUAACAAGAUUUAUUCAUGUUCACUAGUUGGUCAGAGAUGUGUUCAUAACAUAAGAGCUAGAUAAUAUAAUCAGCCAUCAGCAUGGUAUAAGUGAGUGAUAAAAGGGCAUUUUCUUAUGAAUAAAAUAUUUUUUGAAUGAAUUAUUCAUUUCAUCAUAUAGAAAGUAAUUCAUUGGACAAAACUUGACUAUUUAGUUAGGCUCUCAUUGUUCCACUAUAGUAUUAGUUAGUAAGUGUGGCACUACUCUUCACCACACAAUUCUACAGUAUCUAUGAAAGCAAGACUAUUUGACUUGCCAAGUCUUUGGCUGAAUAGAGGACUUUUCUGCCACCACAUUUAUAAUUCUGAUUGAGAUGUGAAAGAUUUGGUUGAUUUGGUGGUAUUAGUAUUGAUCGAUAUGACCAAAAGGGAGACCUCAUUUCUAUUUAAAGUCUCAAAACCACAUGUAUUAGAGUAUACCUACUAAUUUUUACAAUAAUGGAGAAAGCCUUCACAUUUUUUCUCUCAACACUCUUCUUGCUUAUGGCUAGUUCAGUCAUGACCAAAACCAACAUUACUACAGAUCAAUUAGCUCUUCUGUCUUUAAAAUCACAAACCAUUUCCAACCGUUUUCACUUCUUCAAAGAAAGUUGGUCUCUCGCUACGUCCGUUUGUCAUUGGGUGGGAGUCACUUGUGGUUCUCACCACUAGCGAGUGAAGUACUUGAAUCUUUCCAACAUGGCUCUUAUAGGAUUCCGCGUGAAUUUGGAAACCUCACAUUUCUUGUUUCUCUUGACUUGGAAAGCAACAAUUUCCAGGGAAAUUUGCCUCAAGAAAUGGCACGCUUGCGCCGACUUAAGUUUCUUGGGUUAGGUUUCAACGACUUCAGCGGGGAGGUUCCUUCUUGGUUUGGAUUGUUACAUCAACUUCGAGCUCUAAAUCUUAGAAAUAAUAGUUUCACAGGUUCACUCCCAUCUUCUUUUUUUAAUAUUACAACGCUGGAAACUUUGGAUUUGACAUUCAAUUCCUUAGAGGGUCAAUUUCCAAAAGAGAUUAAAGGUGUUGAAAACAUGAGAUACUUAAGCUUGUAUGGAAACAAUCUCAUAGGCUCCAUUCCUCCAUCAAUCUCGAAUGCCUAAAGGUUGGAGACUUUAGGUAUAUCUAGAAAUUUACUUCAAGGAAAUAUUCCAGAAGGAAUUGGCAAUCUUCACAACAUGAACUGGUUGGCCAUAGAGUAUAAUCAACUUAAGGGUUCUACAGCAUUAACAAUUUUCAAUAUUUCUAGGCUCGAAGUCAUUGCAUUUACCGGCAAUAGCUUAUCAGGAAGUCUUUCCAAUGGUUUAUGCAAUGGUCUCCCAAUACUCAAAGCCUCCCACCAAACAUGUGUUCGUUCUUACCCAACAUUGAAAAGCUUUAUCUGGGAAACUUAACCAAUCUUGUUGGGAUUAUUCCUCAUUCCAUCUCCAAUUGUUCAAAACUUACUCUUCUAGAGCUUUCAUACAACAAAAUCACUGGCUUGAUUUCCAAUUCUCUUGGAUAUUUGACUCAUCUACAAAUCCUAAACUUGGGGGAAAACAAUUUAACCAGCAACUCAUCGUUAAGCUUCUUGACUUCCUUAACCAAUUGCAGAAAUUUAACAUUUCUUGUUAUAUCUUUCAACCCUCUUAAUAACAUGCUUCCGGCCUCCACAGGGAACCUUUCCACCUCUCUUAGAAAAUUUUACGCCAGCAAUUGCAAAAUCAACGGGCGAAUUCCACAUGAAGUUGGGAACUUAAGCAGCUUAUUAGACCUUGAUCUUCCUAGAAAUAACUUUGUCGGAUCGAUUCCCACAUCAAUUGGCAACUUGGAAAACCUUCAGCGCUUAAGAUUGUUUGACAACACUCUUACAGGAUUUAUUGGAGAUCAUAUAUGUAAAUUGCAGCAUUUGGGUGACAUUCACUUGGGUCAAAAUCAAAUUUCAGGACAGUUUCCUAAUUGUUUAGGGAAUAUUACUUCCCUUAGGGAGAUACAUCAGGUUUCCAGAAACCGUCCCUAUAGCUCUACCUAGGGCGACGGUUUAGACAACCGUUGCAGAAACCGUUGCAAUAGAUCGAUGUUCUUGACUUAUCGUUAAACAAAAUGGUAGGUUCUUUACCUGCAGAAAUUGGAAAUCUAAAGACUGCAUCACUGAUAGAUCUGUCAAUGAAUCAAUUUUCAAAUAGAAUUCCAAGAGAAAUUGGAGGAUUGCAGAAUCUGGCACACCUUUAUUUGAGACACAACAAGUUGCAAGGAGCUGUACCUGACUCAAUGAGCAACAUGGUAGGUUUGAAAUUCCUAGACCUUUCUCAUAACAAUGUAUCUGGAAUCAUUCCUAAGUCUUUGGAGAAAAUUCAAAACCUGAAGUAUUUCAAUGUUUCUUUCAACAAAUUGUGUGGUGAAAUACCCUCGGGAGGUCCUUUCAAGAACCUCUUGAGUCAGUUUUUCAUUUGCAAUGAAGCAUUGUGUGGUUCUUCAAGAUUUAGAGUCCCGCCAUGCCCCACUUCAUCAAAGCACAAAUCAAAUAGGAAAAAAUUGCUAGUACUUUUUCUUUUGCUCGCAAUUGCAGUUGUAUUUGUUCCUUUCACCUUUGUGCUCCUAUGGAUAAGGUAUAGAAGAAGUCAAAGUGCCCCUCAGCAAGCUGAUUCAUUGUCUACCAUAGCAAGAGAAAGGAUUUCAUACUAUGAACUUCUACGAGCAACUAAUGCUCUUAGUGAGAGUAAUCUGAUUGGUUCUGGAAGUUUUGGCUCUGUUUACAAAGGCGUUCUCAGAAGUGGAACUGUCAUUGCAGUUAAAGUGUUCAACCUGCAACUGGAUGCGGCAUUCAAGAGUUUUGAUACGGAAUGUGAAGUUUAGCGUAGCCUUCGCCAUAGGAAUCUCGUAAAAGUCAUUACUAGCUGUUCCAACCUUGAUUUUAAGGCUUUAGUGCACGAGUAUAUGCCUAAUGGAAGUCUUGAGAAAUAUAUGUAUUCGCACAACUACUUCCUCAAUACCAGGCAAAGACUAAGCAUAAUGAUAGAUGUGGCAUGUGCUUUGGAAUAUCUUCACCAUGGGUGUUCGUCGCCUGUGAUCCACUGUGAUCUGAAACCUAGUAACGUCUUGCUGGAUGAGAAUAUGGUUGCCCACCUCAGCGACUUUGGCAUUUCAAAACUGCUUGGUGAAGAUCAGAGUGAUUUGUAUACUAAAACCUUAGCAACAUUGGGGUAUAUUGCCCCAGGUACGUCUAUUAGUUUUGCUAAUUAUUCCUUUCCUUUUUUCCCACGUUGAAAGUAUAUUGCAUCUUUAAGUGGAUUGUUUGACUGUUGAGUAUGGACUGGAAGGACAAGUGUCAACAAAGUGUGACGUCUAUAGUUAUGGGGUCAUGUUGCUGGAAAUGUUUACUAGGAGAAAGCCUAAUGAGAUUGAAGGAGAAAGCCUAAUGAGAUUGAAGGAGAUCUUAGCUUGACGCAAUGGGUGAGUUAUUCACUUCCAGAUGCUGUAAUGGACGUCGUAGAUACCAACUUGGUAACACCAGUGGGUAAAGGCUUUCAGAAGGAUCUAGAUGUUGUGGCAUCAAUCAUGAAAGUAGCAUUAGAUUGUUGUGCUGAAUCUCCGGCAAGAAGGACAAACAUGAAAGAUGUUGUAGGAAUGCUACAGAAGAUCAAGAUUCAACUUCUUGCAUAUUGAACACUUUUAUAAUGGUUUUCUUUCAUCUUUUAGCACUUGAUUGCUAGUUAGCACUUGAUUGCUAGUUAGCACUUGAUUCUGUUUCCAGAAAUUCUAGCUGGUUGCCAUAAAUCUGACUAAGAUUGCUAGUUAGCUCAGUGCUUCUGCCCUUUGUUUAAUCCUGCCCUGUAUCGCCAAACACCACCCCCUUUGCGGUAGCCUUUCUACCUCAUGAGGUAGUGGUAAGGUUUGCAUACACUCUACCUCUGCAGACAUCACUUGUGAGAUUUCACUGGGUAUGUUGUUGUAAAGUUAGUUGAACUAAUCUGUCUUUGUAACCAAGACCUCUUAUUACCUGUUUCAAAUUCUUACCUAUGUUACUCUAUUCUUGCAUUUAUUGCUACUCCACUAUUAGAAUUUUCAAAAAUGUCGCCGCACACUUGCAAAAUGUAUUAUUUUUUGAAGGAAAAAGGCUCAAAUAUGCCACUGAACUAUCAGAAAUGGCUCAUUUAUGCGAUCCAUUAAAAGUUGGGCUCAUUCAUGCCAUCGCCAUUAUAAAAUCGGUCCAUCUAUGCCAUUACUUUUUAACGGUGGUUUUCUAAAAAACUGCUUUGCCAUGUGGCCUCUUAUUAGAGGUACAGAUCAUUUUUUAUUUUUUUAUUUUUAGUUUUGAUCCUUUAAAGAAGAAUUCACCCACACCCAAUCUAUCACCUUAACCCACUUUAAUACUACUCUUAAUUUUAACCCUAGAUUUAAACAUAUAUAUAAUCAUUUAGUCUUCGAACAUGAAAUUUACACACAUGAAUAUUUCGUUUAAAAUAAUAUAGGUUAGAAUAAUUAAUAAUUUAAAAUGGCAAAUGAAUAAAUUAUGAUUAAAAAAUAAUUUAUUUUGACUCUUAAAAUCCGUACAUAUCACAUAAUUUAGUACGAAGAGAAUACCACAUACAUGAAGGACCACAACUUUUAAUUAUGAAGAAUACCUAAAAAUCACUUCUAAAUUUGAAUUAUAAGUUGUAUAAUUGAAUUAUUGGUAGUCUUAAUUAUUUCGUGGACUUGGCUAUUUGGUAGCCUUUAUUAUCUUUAACGUGGACGAGACGUAGAGCAUAAUUUAUUUCUAGGCGUGUUAGAGUUUAAAAAAAUAUAAAAUAAAUAAAAGACCACCAUCCAGGUACGUAGGAUGUUUUCAGUCCACAUAUUAUUUAGUGUUGUUUGGUACCUACUCACGCAGACACUAUUUAUGUGUAUAUUAAUGGAUGUAUAUUAAAGAAUCCACCCACGCAUAAAAAAGUAAUGCUCUAAGUCUCGUUCACGUUAAAGAAUAUAAAGGCUACCAAAUAGCCAAAUUCACGAAAUAAUUAAGACUACCAAUAAUUCAAUUAUACAACUUAUAAUCCAAAUUUAGAAGGAAUUUUUAGUUAUUCUUCCUAAUUAAAAGUUGUGGUCCUUCAUUUAUAUGGUAUUCUCUACGUCCUAAAUUAUGUGAUGAUGCUCGGAUUUUGAGAGUCAAAACAAAUUAUUUUUUAAUCACAAUUUAUUCAUUUGCCAUUUUAAAUUAUUAAUUAUUCUAACCUAUAUUAUUUUAAACGUAGUAUUCAAGUGUGUAAAUUUCAUGUUCCAAGACUAAAUUAUUAUAUAUAUGUUUAAAUCUAGGAUCACAAUUAAGAGUAAUAUUAAAGUGGGUUAAGGUGAUAGGUUGGGUGUGGGUGAAUUCUUCUUAAUGGAUCAAAACUAAAAAAAAAAAAAAAAAUUUAAAAAGUGACGUGGACCUCUAAUAAGAGGCCACGUGGCAAAACAGUAAUUUAGAAAACCACUGUUAAAAAGUAAUGGCAUGAAUGGACCAGUUUUAUAACGGCGAUGUCAUGAAUGAGCCCAACUUUUAACGGAUGGCAUAAAUAAGUCAUUUCUGAUAGUUCAGUGGCAUAUUUGAGCCUUUUCCCCUUUUUGAAGGAUCCCACAUACACUCGAUAACAAUUUCGAGCAACAUAAGUUCCUACUCACUCGAAAAGGAACUCUUAAGGGAUUUGUUUCGCACGCAGCAUCCUGUUUAAUGCUGAAAUAUCAACUCUUACAAAAGAUGCAACUUUAGUAGGUUAAAUAAAUUGCUUUUACUUAUUAAGUGGAGUUCUUAAUCAAAUACAAGGUUUUGGGGUCAAAGCUAUUGAAUUUUGCUGAACUCGUAAUUCUCCGCCCGCUUGACAUAGAUGAAGAUAAGAGAAAAUGCAAAAUGCAACCUCUUGUAAAAUUGAGCUUACGUUGCUUGGACUCUGCAAAAAUGUUGUCGCACUUGUAUCGAAUCCUUAAAAAAUACAUUACUUUUGGAGGAUCAAACACGCAUCCAUCGACAUUUUUGAAGAGUCUGAGCAACAUGGACAUUCAGUCUAUUGCAAGUAUUUUGGGGCAACAAGAAAGUUUUCUUAGAUGAAAUUCCCCGUUUUAUAAAUCAAUUACCCAGAUGAGCUAUGAGUCAUGUUGUAUUAUCAAAAAGGAGCAGAGGGGGCUAGGCUCGACCUCAAUACAACACACAAUCAUAAGUGAUAUCAAUCAUAAGUGAUAUCACCCCAUCAGAUGGCUUACACAAUUAUUAUGUUGCCUUAUGGUACCUACACAAAUAUAUACUAGCUAACAAAAAAGUUGAAUUUGUCAUAUUUACAUCUAUGACUAGGCAUCAUCCACCUAUCUAAUUGAAUGCAACCUCUAGCCUGUCUAGGAAGAUGAGAAAGGGACUGAGUAAUAAGAUUCUGCGUAUAGGUGGAAGCCAAUUUAGCUAAACUGUCAGCAACUUGAUUGCCUUCCCGGAAACAGUGAUUUGCUUGAAUCCCAAUUCUAUUCUUGAUACUUUUGAUGUUGUCCACCACUUGUUUCAGCUUCAUAUUAGUGACAAGAUUAUUGUUCAGCAUGUUGGUUAUGAUUGUGGAGUCUAGUUCGAGAGUGAAAUCAGUGUAACCUUGACAUUUACACCAUUUCACUCCAAACUCGGCUGCCAAAGCCUCUGCCAUAUUACUGCUACUACAACUAACAGAAAUGGAAAAUGCCAUAACCAUAUCGCCUAGAUUAUUCCUUACAAUUCCACCAAUACCAGCCUUACCACUUUCAUGUAAGUAACUACCGUCUGUAUUGAUUUUAAUACAUCAAGCUUGAGGAAAACUCCAAGUAAUCUGAUAUAACUUUUGAAAUGGCCUGAGCUUCUUUAUUCUGAGACACAGAGUUGGCCAGUGAUUGAUAUCUUGCAAGUCUUUAAAAUGUUUCAUCAUAUUACAGAUUUGAUAAGACCAAAAGCUUGAUAAAUCAUCUUACUGUAGCAAAAGUGUCUUUGGCCUCCAAAUUUACAAGAACACCAUUGUUUCCAAAUUUUCCAACAAAUGAUACAAGCAGUGAUCUUCAACAAAAUUUUAUGGAUAUCAUUCUCCGGUCUUAUACUCCACCAAGUGUUAAAGAUGCCGACAAUUGAUUGAUUUACAUGUUGAAUUCCAAGGGGAUUUCCCAUGGUAUUCGAUAUGUGCUUUGUUGCAUCCCCUUCACCAAAAACAUGAUGCAUAGUAUCAUUUUGUACAAUCCUACAACAGAAACAACCAUUAAUAUUGAAUUUAAUGAUAGGCAUAAUACAUAAAUAUGACCCUAAACUUGACACCAAAUUAUAACUUUGAUAUUAAACUUUGAUAGUGCACAAAUAUGACCUUUAAUUAUUCAAAACUGCACAAAUAUGACCUCCAAUCCUAUGUGGCAAAACGUGUGUUCAACAUGCAAAACUGGGCGCGUCCAGCUUAAAAUCAAAGUGUUUCAACAGUUAAAAGCUGGUAAAAUGACUAUAAUGCCCUUACUAAUUCCUUUCUAUAUAUUUAAAUGACUUUUCACUAUUAUUUUUUCAUUAUUUUCGGCUCAAAGAUGAAAAUGACAUCUAAUUUCUUUUGUCAUUGCAGAAAAAGAGCAAUAUUGAAUAUUUAUUAAUUAGGUAGGUCAACCUCAUAUGAAAAAACCGCGCGGGUAUCUAUAUAUAUUACAAAAUAGAGGGCGAAUUUAAGUUAUAUAAUAUAUCUAAAUAUAAUUUAUUUAAAUAUUAAAUUAAAGAUGAAACUAUACUAAUAAUAAAAAAAAAUAUAAUUUUAAUAAAACCUUAUUAAAUUAACGCUAUUAAGGAUAGUAGUAGUAGUAUAUUAAAUUAAUGUUAUCAAAUUAACGUUAUUAAAAUGUUAUUAAAUUAACGUUAUUCAAAUGUUAUUAAAUUAACGUAGGGGCGGACCUACGUGGUUGCCAUGGGGUUCACCUGAGCCCCCUCGAUAAAAACUUACGUUGUAUAUAUAAUAUAGAAAAUCUAUAUUUAUGUAUGUAUAUUAAUGUUGAACAACAUGAAACAAGGCACUUAGAUAGCCCAGUGGUGUUAUUUGCUCUUCGUGGGCGCUUCCUUCAGCUUACUGUGCGGGUUCGAUCCCUGCUAGUGGUUGUGCUUUUUUUUUAAUAAAAAAAAGUUAGGUGUUGCUACUAUAGAAAUAAAUAAUUAAAUAAUAAUAAUAAUAAAAAAAACGACGUCGUUUUAACACAAAAAGCAAUACGGCAGAAAUAAAUAAAAACAAUUAUAGUAAUAAUAAUAAUAGUAAUAAUAAUCAUAAUAAUAAUAAUGACGCCGUUUUAACAGAAAAAGCAAAACGACGUCGUUUCAGAUGAAAGACAAAUGUGACCUUUAACUAUUUAAAACUGCACAAAUAUGACAUCCGAUCAAAAGUCCCUCCAAGUUAGCCCUUUUAAUGACAUGGCAUCGUGUGAUUGGAUUACCUUUCCACGCAAGCGCAAGUGAAACUCAAGCAUGGGGGGUGCAAAAUCGGAGGUCAUAUUUGUGCACUAUUAAAGUUUAAGGUCAAAGUUACUAUGAAUCUUAUUGUUUCCUCUUUAAAUUGAAUAACUAAAACCAAAUUGAUUCUCUUGAAAAUCUUGAAGCGGAAUGAAUUUGUUUUAAAUUGUUAGAGGAAUCAACUGUACGAAUACAGAUAGGCAAGUAAUAUAAAUGUCUUACAUUGGAAACACUAUCAGGACAUAUAACAUCAUGACAACAAGCAUAACGGGCAAUGACAAAAAAUUCUAUAUAUCAUAAAGCUAAACGAUAAAAAGGCAGCUCAGUGCAUGAAGAUCUUGCAGCCAACCUACCCGACACAAAUAACAAUGACUGACUCCACGACUCAAACUCUUGACCUAUAGGUCAUGCUGUCCCAAAAGCUUACAUGACGAUAAGUGAAGAAAAAAGAUAAUUUUCAUUAUCUUUUUACAUUCUUUUUUUAAUACAGUACCUAUAUGAAACUCUAAUGAAGCAGAAAAUCAGGCAACAUUCUUCAAGAUUUUCCAAAUCAACCAAUUAAGACUAGAAAAAAAUUUAUUAGACCCCUCAUUGUUAAGUUCUAAUUUCUUAAGUUAUGAUUACAAAACAUCAUGUAUUUUGCACUGUAUCCGAGUCUCUAAGUAGUAUUAAGCGCCUGUUUUUAAUCCACAUCACAUGUGCUUUUGUUUGCUUUGCCUACCACUUUCCUAUUUGAGCAGCUCUUCUCUCCUACAUUUUCUCUCAUCCUUAUCACUAGUGAAAAUGGCGCCGAACAAGCAAAAAACUGGGAAGGCAUCGACGUGGGAGGAGAAAGUGAACUUGAUGGGCACCAAUAAGUUUUGUUUUAAUAUCUAAAAUCUACGUGUAUCUUCAUGAUUAUAAUUUGAUGUCAAGUUGUCCUGUUUAUGUAUUAUGCCUUCGACAUAUGAAGCCCUGAAUGGCUAGUUGGUAUCUUCUUUGAUCUUGCCUUCCUUCACAUUCAUGCAUUCUCUAUAUUUUUGGGAGUAACGAAUAUGAAUUCAAGUUUUCUCUAUGUAAAUGACUACUUUAAGUACAAAAGAUGUCUUCCGGAACCAAGUGGAGUUUUUCUUGUUGCAAUAAGAAUUCUUGGUCAACGGUAUCUUCCUCCUUUCCCCAUUGAAAAGUAUCCAGUCAACUCAUCUGACAUGAUCUCUAUUCAGCAUCAGUCUAUGGAAUCUAGCGAGGUAUGAAUUCUAUUAGUUCAUCUAGUCUUGUCACUUCAAAGUUCAUUUUUGACUGUACUCUGCUUGCUGUACCUACUGUAAUAAUCCAGAUUUUAAUGAAGGGUAAGUGGGUAAUUAGCCAUUAUUAUUAUUAUUAAUUAAUAUAAUUAAAGUGGACAAGCCAAAAGACAAAAAUCCUCCAAAAGACAAAAACCUUCUCCUCUUAUAUUUGUGGCUGCACAUUCUAAUGAGGGAGUAAAGGGUGGGGUAAACAGUUUCUUAAGUUUUCAAAAGCAGCAACUUCUUCAAAGGAGUAGAAAAGAAAAGAAUUAGGGUAAUUGAUCUCUUUACUCUUGGAAGAGAGCGAGCCAACGAUGUAGAAGAACAUUAGCCAGUAACACUCACCUGCGAAACUUCAUAUUUAUAAGGUACUCGUCUUGUUCCUAAUUCUUUAGCAUGAAAACUGUGCACACAAAGAGUAUUUCAGAAGAUUGCUACUGAUUAGUUAAUGAUUGUUUUUGAUGAUAUAAUGAUUGAGCAAUGAGUAGAGAGAGAAAAGGGAUCAUAUUCAUGUUGUGGGACUCCUGAUUUUGUAUUGAUAUUAAUUGAUUUUAGAUAUGUUAACUUCCUGAACAUGAAAACAAAAGUACUUGCUUACAACUUUGCAAAUUCUUUGCAUUGGUGGUGUUUUGAAUACGCAUUUAAGAGUUUCUUAUAAUGUUUGUGGCUAAUGAGAUCAAAUGGUUAGGUAACUAAUUUGUAUGAGAUUAUUAUUGAGAAAUUAGGUUGGAUAGAGAUAAUUUUUAAUUCAUAGCUUAAGGUAUGAGAUACUAAGUUUUAACUUUAAACUAGAAGGUUAGGAGUAUUGAGACUUGACAUCGGCUAGCACAAUUGAUAUCGUUAAGUAAUAUUUUUAUUAGAUUGAAAUCAUUGGAGGCUGUUUGUUUGGUGUACUACGCAUUGCAAGAUUGAGGAACUUGUCAUUCGCGAGGUAAGUGAGACUUUAAACUUUGGGUGCUUGCUUUACAAAUUUGUUUAUAAGAUAUAUUUAUAUUUGCCCAGUCCAUGUGUUGGGACGAGUGUAUGCUUGGCAGAAUCGACGGUCUUCAAGGCCAGACACAUAUACUUCAUGCUUAAGAAUACUAAUACUCCUUUUAUAAAUGAUUUUGUGAUGUGAUAUGGUUGUGUACUGUGAGAUUGGGGCAUUGUGUAUGCUUCCUAAUUUCGUUGGGGCAUUGUGUAUGCUUCCUUUAAGCAUUGUGUAUGCCUUACUUAGCAUUGUGUAUGCUUUUUGAUUUGAUACGGGACAUUGUGUAUGUUUCCCGAGUAUUGUGUAUACUCUUUAUAUUUGGCACAUUGUGUAUGUGGCCCAGAACUUCUGGUGUUGGGUAAUUACUUUGAUUUCAAAUGGUGAUAAGUAAUUGACAUAAAUUGUGUUGAGAUAUAUAAUUUUUGAGGAAUGAUUGUUUGUCUCGUUGGACAUCUUAUUAUGAUAUACUUCCUGUGUGUAAUAAAUAUAUGUUCUUGGUGUUGUUGUAUUUUCUAAUACUUGUCCCAGGAGUACUUAAAGUAGCGAGCCGAGGAUCUUACUGGGUUUUAGUUAUAUAGCUCACUCCUUACUUGCAUACCUGCAGAUACGGUUGCGGAGAGAGAGACUUGUGGCUGACGAUCUUUACGUGUGGAUUUUGUUGCUAAGGUGAACCUUCGCAUUGUUCGUGGAGGCUGUAAUCCAGCUUUAGUUAUUUUUAGCUUAUAUUUCUUUUUGUUGGGUUGCAUGCCCGAAAGCUGAACUCAUGUAACUUUAUUUAGAUGCUCCAUGGUCUAGUGUGGGGUUUGGGUUAGAGAUUUAUUACCUAAACUACUAUUGUUUUCGUAAAUCGUUUCGCGAUAUCUUGCUGGAUCAUUACUUUGCGUUUAAUGAUUAUUUCAUGCAUUUGAAGUUGUACACAUUUUUAUCUCAGUAUUGUAUACAUUGAGAAUGCAUGGAAAGUUGGUUCUCCCGACAAGUGCUGUUAGCGGGAGCCAGUCACGCCCAUGAGGUUUUUGGGAUGUGACACCUACUUCAUUGGCUGCUUCAUAUGAGGGGAGAUAAGUAUCUUGUGUUAAGAAGUUACCAUGUUGUGGAUGACACAUGCUUUGCAUUACUGGCCACUUUUAGUGGUUUUUACGCUUUUUUAGUUGAUUAUCAUGUUACCCUAGGCGUUCUGUCUCUUUUUAUCAGUAGGUAAUAUUGUUCAAUCAUCACAUAGCCAAGGGCUCGUUGUUUCUGUAGUUGGAAGAUUACUGUGUCUCCAUCGUUAGGAGAAUCAAGGAAUUUUGUCGUUUGCCUGGAGAUAUAGGGGAGCUCCCGAUGUAUCUGAAGCAUGCGAUGGAUUCCAAAGAUUCAGAUCUUAAUUCCAGCUCCACGCAAUCAGAAGGAAUUGAAGAUGAGAUGAAAGCAGCUGCACAAGAUAUUGCCAGUUAUCAGGUUUCUUUUUUAGGAUGCAGUUUCUGGGUUUAUUUCUCUUUUUUUUGUCGUUAUAAACAUAAAAACACAACACUUAAAUAUAAUAGUCAUGGUCAGAAUCAAAGAUAACGAAAGGCUUUGGUCUAUUGUGAACAUUUAACCAAAUAAAUUCCAUUGGGAAUAACUAAGAAUUGCAAGAGCGGUAAGCACUGUAUAUUAUGGACAAGCUCGGCUACUUUAUCUAGCUUACAUCACUGUUCACAACUUAUAGGACCCCUUUGAUAAAAGAUUCAAAAUCGUAUCUACUUACUGCUUUCUCACAUCACAACUGCUUACCUAAGCGUACAUUUACACUACUUUCAAAGUCCACAACAACCAUGAGUCUAUACUUAUAACCUACUGGCUAAUCUGGCCAUUUUCAUACUUCAAGCAAGGACACAAUUCACCUCGCCUAAUAACUCCUUCACUAUCUUCUACUAAUAAACUAACACACAAGGACGAAUCGCUUUAUUACCAACUCCAUCUCAUGCAAAAAGAUUCAGCUAUACAUAUAUUCAACCACCACAAGAACAACACGUUGAACGAUAAAUUGCUAGUGAAUCGAAAUAGGCCUCACACGGCUUUACUAGACUUUGAUUUUUUUGUGGUUUGAACAAGAAAAUGAGAUGAAUGACAAGGCAACUAUGCUAAUGAAUUGAAAGAGCCCCACACGGCUUCACUAGACUUUUUAGUUUCAUCAACACAAUGAUAAAAUAUUUUCAAGAGAUAGAAACUUGUCACACAAUAUUCCAUAAUCUGACAAUAAACAUCUUACUUUGGAUAGAUACAAAUCUGAGUCAAAUAUUUCCCCCACAGAUUAUCAUACAAUCCACACACGUUACUAGCUACCAAUAGGUCAUGACACUGACACUUUAACGUAUACUAUUAUUUGAGUGGAAAUACAAUUCCAACACUUCUACUAUACAUCUUUUCCCUUAAUCAUGACAUCUGCAACAUAAAUUUCUGAAAAGGGCCGAAUAUACUCAAUACAGAAGGAUGAAAAGCACGAUUUUGUCAAGAUCAAGGUUCACACUAGAACCUAUACACUCUGAAGCAAUAACGGACUCUUCUCAAGUCCUUGCACAAUUUUAUGAUCUUAUAUGACGCGAUUCGAAGGGAUAAUACCAUUUAGACUCUAAACUUCUGCACUUGAAUCACCCCAGUAAUGUGACGGGUCUGAGAACAUUAGAGUAAGGAAAGAAUUUAGGAUGAUUUUACUUUCAUAUGGACGUCACCAUAGCACGAAUUAGAGUAUGAAGGAGGAACAUUCUGACUCUGUUCCAUGAACUAGAACAUGAAGAAAGAGAGACAUUUCUAAAUGCAUUGUAGCCUCCUGCUUAUAAGUGUGGCGCGCUACACACCCAUAAACAAGACUCUAUCUGAAGAGAUUUCACAGACACCCUGGGACCAUGAACUGUGCUCUAAUACCAAGUUUGUCAUGAUCCGAAACAGGGCCCUGGCCGUGACGAGUAUCCCGAACUAUGAAGGCCCGAAACACCCCUAUUUAUCUGGUAAUCAUGCACAUAAUUCAUAUGAUAAAAGAAUUGAGAAAGAUACACAAUAUUACGGAAACAUGGUCAUAAGUCUAAUAAAAUCAAUAAUGGAAAAUAAAGUCCCACAACAUCUAUCAACAUCUGAAAUUCGUCUGCGAAAAUCUCCACUACAUGACUAAUAGCAACUAUCUGAAAUCUGGGACAAGGCCCCCAGUAGACCAAAACAUGACAUAAAGAUAAGUAUCUGAAAGUUAACAGGCCUUCUGGGAUAUAGAAGGCUCACCCCUGCACAAUCUGCUCUGCAAUCUAAAAUAUCUACUAUUUAUCUGGACCCCUAGACUGUGUCUCAAAACCUGAAAGGAGGGGGGGUCAGUACAAAAGUACUGGCACGCGAAGCAAUUCAAAAUAGACUAAUUGAACAUAUAUAUAUAUAUAUAAUAUACGUGAGAGAAAUUUUCAUCAAAACAUCAUGCAUAAAACAGUUUCUGAAAAACACAUGGGCACUUUCUGAAAAUAUAUAACCUGUCUGUAAAUUUCAAAUUCUGAUCUGUGUAUUACUUCUGAGUUUGGUGGUAUCCCCUACAAGUAUGAUAUUCCACGGGCGAUAUAGAAUCCGCCAUUGACUCGGCGGGGAAGCCUCCAACCCAAGUGUGCCACAAGGGUUGGAGUUCCUGAAUCUGAUAUGUCACACAACACCUAAGUCAGCAUAUAAUAAUAUACCCAGGUCGGCAAAUCACGGUUUUGGACAAAGAGUUGUCUGAAGUCACGCCUUCUUCGGAGAACCACCUAAGCUCUCUUUAUGCCAUAUUUUAGCCUUUUUUGAACAUGCAUCAUUCUGAAGUUCUAAAACGCAAAUUUGAUAAAUUCUGAUUUCUGUAUUUGUCUGUGUUUGUUAUGGCAUUUUCAUAGUUUGGUUUCGUCAUACCAAGACUUGCAAGUCAUGAUUUAUGAGCCAUAAUACAUUAAGAUAAAUAUUUCAUUUAAAGCAAAGCUUAGACCACCCAAGAACAUGCAACUGAUAUAGAAGAUUUCGUGUUCCGAAACUCAAGUCAAAAUCAUGCAAAAACUUCAUCAAACAUAUGGUGGUCCAGUGCCUUUAACAAUAGUUCAACCAUUUCAUAUAGUUCUUUUCAAGAAUGCAUUGCAAAACAAUUCAUAUGCUAUGAAAAAUCUAAAAAUUCAUACAUGUUUUUAUACAUAAAUAUUCUCGAAUCACUUUGGGGAAGGUCAAAAGACCAAAACAAUGAUGUUAAAACAUCUAAUACAUGAAUAUAUACAUAGUUCAAAAACCCCAUUCUAAAACAUGAUUUUUCUAUGCCCAUGAGAAUUUAGGAAAACCCCGCGUACCUUGAUUACGAAGAAUAAUGGAUGAUUCUUGAAGCUUGUGGAUUGGGGAUUCCGAAUCUCUAAUUUGUUUUGAAAUUCCAUGGUUGAAUCUUGAACUACUUGCGUUUUUAUUUUGAAACCCUAAGGGAUGUUCUUGAGAGAAAAUUUGAGAAAAGAAUUAUAUUUUGAUGAAUUGAGGGCUAAAUCUGGUGUCAAAGUCGAAACUGUCCCUCAGUUGACAAGCUGACAGGCUGAAGUAAAACGGGUAUAACUCAUUACUCAGAUAUUGGAUUUGGAUGAAACCAGUUGUAUUGGAAAUAAGACUCAAAGAGAUUUCAUUUGAUAGGUAGCAGCUCUUCCAUUUCAUUAUAUUCAGAUAGUUAUGAUCGUUUGAAGUUGACCCUGAAAUGCUGAAAACUGGGCAAAAGGCUAUAUGUUUUGCUACUGUUUUGAAAUCCAAACGUAGCCUUAUGCGUUCCAAAAAAUUCCGAAACUUAUUCGAGAUAUACUAUGAGCUUGUCCGAUCGUAACGCAACUUGAAAAUCUAAAAACAGAUGGUUAAAAAGUUGCAUUCCGAAAAUUGCAAGCUAAAAUGACUCUAAGCACUUAGAAAAAUUUUCAAGUUUUUAGUCUAAGGGCUCUCUAUGAAAGGCUAAUCCAUGCACGACUUUUAUGGGGUGUUACAGCUGUUUUAUUGCCAUUGCCUACAUAGAUGUAUCUUUCAACAUCAUUUGACGCUCGGCUCCUUAGGCAAUCCGGCAUAGUAGCACUUACGUGAGUAGUUGCACCCGUAUCUAUCCUCCAAGUGUCACUAGGUACCAUAGCGAAAUUAACUUCUGAGAAAACGAAGUUGAGAAGUUUACCUUUCUUUUUAUGCCAGCUAGCGUACUUGGAACAUUCUUUCUUUAUGUGACCAAUUUUCUUGCAAAAGAAACAAGUCUUUGGAUUCUUGGACUUUGAUGUUCCUUCAUCUGCAGUUUCCUUAGUCUUACUCCAUUUUCGCUUAUUUGAAGCGGUUUUAGUUUCAGAGUUAGAUGCCAAAUGAGCACUUUCAAUCUUCUCUUGUUUCAGUCUAUCCUCUUCUUGCACACAUUGAGCUAUAAGCUCAUUCAAAUUCCAUUUCUCUUUUUGAGUAUUAUAUGAAACUUUGAAUUGAAUGAAUUGUGUUGGAAGGGAGAUGAAAACUAGAUGCACAAGUAUGUCGUCAGACAAUUCAAGCUUAAAGGCCCUGAGUUUUGUCACAAGAUUACACAUUUCCAUAAUGUACUCUCUUAUGUUUCCUUUUCCUUUAUAUCGCAUGAAACUAUCUUAUUAAGAAUAGUACUUGUUUCAACCUUUUCGUUAGUAGCGAAUCGGUCUGCGAUUUCCUUUAAGAAACCUUUGGCAUCUGUGUUCUCUGUUAUACCGCCUCUUAAGGAUUCCGGAAUCGAGUGUUGCAUCAUCAUCAAGCUCAUACGAUUUGAUUGCUCCCACUUCUCGUAUGCAGACUUUUGUUCAUUCGAACUAGUUUCAUUCAAGUCCGCAGGGUGAUCAAAUCUCAAUGCAUAAUCAAGAUCCAUGCAACCAAGAACAAUCAUAAUGUGUUCUUUCCAUUUCUUGAAGUUUGUGCCGUUGAGCACAGCAAUGUUAUUCAUGUUUGUAGAUAUAGAAGAUACUACAAGAUAAAUAAAUAAUGCUCACAAUUAACCAUCAAAUAAAUCAUGUAUAUGUGAAGAUAAUCAAAUUAAAAAAAAUUGAAAGAAACUAUAACAAAUAAACUCAAAACUUCACAUUUAUCAAACACAUAUACACAAAAGUGGCCCCAUCUCAAGACACCUAACACAACAUUAUCAUUUAGUCUUUGGACAGAAAUAAUAAUUUGUAAUUGAUACUCUUAUACACAGUUUAUAAACAUUGAUUACUUAAACGGCCUAAUAAUAUGCCUUUCUUUGGACCAACACAUUAUCAGCAUGUGUUAUAAAUAUAUCACAUGUUCAUAACUAUCCGUAAUAUGACCAAAAUAAUCUCCUUUGGGAUACUUAUUUCGCAUAGAUAAAACAUACUUACAUGUUCAAAGUAAAUAAAUCUAAGCAAUAGAAGUUAUUUGGUAAGAUAUUGAUUUAAUUCAUUCAUUUUGUUCCAGAAGUACAAAUGAUAGCAAUUUAAAAAUAAGCUAUAACAGGAAUGGACAAAAAAUUCUCCAAAUUAAAAUAAAAGCCAAAACACUUAUACUAUGUUUUUCCAGAAAGUUUCUGUGCCAAACACUUUCAAUAUAUUUAAAAAGAAAAAAAGAAAAAAAAAAUUGACUCUUGCCAAUCUUAGAAUCGAAGAAACAAUAAGAUUCUGUCAUAAUUAUUUCAAAAGAAAUAACAACACCGUAACAUAACAAAACUGAAAAUUAAGGAUGUUGCUGUAUCUCCUAUAUUAUUCAUUAAAUAAUUUUAGUCCAUAUGGCAAUUUCUCAAGCGACAUCACUUUCGUCUUGAAAAUUUAUGAUAACAAAAUUACGUUCCAAAAUCUAGUUUCAACGGAAUUGGAAAACAACGUAAUACUUGCCUAUUGAUCGCCAAGAAAUUAUCCAAAAACUUGUUUACAAAUAGACAAAAAACGAGUGUCAUAUCACAACAAAAUUAAAAUAGACACUUUGAAGUUGUACAACCACUAAACCAAGAAGCUAAAUUUGAUUUCCGAAAAAUUAAAUAUCACGUCUAAUGAUCUGACAAGACCUCGCUCCGAUACCACUUGUUAGAAAACUUUAAAGAACUUCACCCAAGAUCACAUGUAAAUCAUUAGACAGAAAUUCAAAACUAGAAGAACAAUAAGAACACUAACCUUGUUCCAUUGUAAAUAACUUGAUUUUGAAUUCUUGUUUUAUGUAAGUUGUAUGAUCUUCUAAGUUUUAAUACGCUUUCUAUAUUCUUUUCUUAGAUGGGGUAGAGAAAGAGAAAAGUUAGUAUAAAUUUAGGGACCAUGAUAUUUAUAUCUGACUCUUCCAAAAGGCACCUUUUAGUUAUUCCUCUUUAGAAGAGGUACCUUUUCAAUUAAGUUUCCAUCACAAUUAUGAAAAGGUUCUUGAGGUUUAACUUAUCAAAAUAAACUUAUAUUAAAUAGAUAUUUACAUUUUAAGCCCAAAUAAUUUAAUACUAUAUUAGAUCAAAAUUUGGGUUUCUUUAAAGAUAGCAUAUCUAUGAAUAAUAUAUUAAUAUGUGAAUCCACAAAAUAGAAAAUUACUAAAACUACGAACUCCAAACCUACGAUGUUGCUCAUUGCGUCAGAUAUAGAUCCUUGCAACUUGUUGUGUCUUAGAGAAAGGUGUGCCAAAUUUUACAAGCGUCCAAUUUCUCUAAGAAUUUCAUUUGAGAAUUGAUUCUUUGACAGGUCCAUCUUUGUUACAGCCUUUAUAUUUCUAAUUUCUUGAGGUAAAGAACCUACCAUGUUGUUUGACGACAAGUCAAGAACCACUAGAUCUUGAAGGUUCCCUAAGCUUGGUGGUAUAUUGGAACUCAAUUUGUUGGAACCCAGAUUUAUCUCCCUAAGGGAAGUAAGAUUCCCUAAACAAUAAGGAAGAGAUCCUGAAAGUUGAUUUUGACCCAAGUAAAUAUCACCCAAAUGCUGCAAUUUACAUAUAUGAUCUCCAAUAAAUCCUGUAAGUUUGUUGUUGGUCAAGUUGAAGCGCUGACGGUUUCUCAAGUUACCAAUUGACGUUGGAAUCGAUCCAACCAAAUUGUUUCCAGAAAAAUCUAGGAAUAAUAAGUUGCUUAAGUUCCCAACUUCAUUUGAAAUUCGCCCUUUGAUUUUACAACUGUUGGCAAAAAAAUUUCUAAGAGAUGUGGAAAGGUUCCUCAUGGAGGCUGGAAGCAUGCCAUUUAGCGGGUUGAGAGAUAUAUCAAGAAAUGUUAAAUUUCUGCUAUUGGUUAAGUAAGUCAAGAAGCUUAAUGAUGAGUCACUAGUUAAAUUAUUUUCCUCUAAAUUUAGUAACUAUAGAUGAGUCAAAUAUCCAAGAGAAUUGGGAAUCAAUCCAGUGAGUUUGUUGCCUGCAAGAUCAAGAAUAGUAAGUUUUGAACAAUUUGAGAUGGAAAGAGGAAUAGUCCCCACAAAAUUGGUUAAGCUGUCUAGAUAAAGGUGUUCAAUGUUGGGUAAGAUAGAAUCUAUGUUUGAUGAGAGGCUUCCUGAUAGACUAUUUGAUGAACGAUCAAUUAUUCUCAGCCCUGAUAUGUUGAAGAUCUCCGUAUCAAGUUGACCACUAAAACUAUUAUCCGCAAGAUCAAGUUCCUCCAACUCAAUGAGAUUGCUUAUCUCUUUAGGUAUUUCACCUAUCAACACAUGAAGAAAAAAUAAAAACAGGUCAGAUGAACUAUUUAGCUCAAUCAUUAUCUAUGCGAUUCAUGCUUUCGUUUGACUUGAUGAGAAGACUCUUGAAUUUUAAUUGAUUAUGGGAGAAGGUGUCGACAAGAACUCAGAAAAUUAUGUAAUAGCUAUAUACUUCUUUUUCCUAUUGUUAUUGAUCAAAGUCUUAAGAAGGAUGUACACAUUAUAUAUUUUUUUCUCCAUUAAAGUUCUUAAUUUAAUUUUCUGCAGGUUUGUAUUUUUAUAUGGACUCAAAUAUACAAAACUGAUACUUUAUUAGAAGUUAGCUAACUACCUAACAGGAGUUCAAAUUUACUGGUUAUUUCUUAAAACAAAUUAAUUUUAAAUAUUAAAAAACUCUCCUUUCUUGUCAUACGCUUGAAGAUUUAUUUAUAAUUAUUAUAUUUUAUGACUCAUUACAUGCAUAAAUUCAUAGAAUUUUAAUAGUUCUAAGGGAUUUAUAAAAAUUAACAUGAGACAACAUUAGAAUAUAUAUGUACCUAUUUUCUUAUUUCCACUAAUCUGUAGGCGUUGCAUCUUGGUUAAGUUGCCAAUCCCCCGUGGUAAGAAUCCCCUAAGAUUGUGCUGCCACAGUGACAAAAUUUGCAGCGAUGAGAUAUGGAAUAUGGAGAUUGGGACAGAGCCGGUAAUCUGGUUUUUCUACAUCCAGAACUCCAUCAAAUUAAUAAGAUUUUCAAUUUCUUGUGAAAUUAUUCCUGCAGUUAAUGUGUAUAAAUAUUUUUUUUUGAAGUAAUUGAAUGUAAUAUUACUAGCAUUCAUAAGAUAAAACAUACCUGUGAAAUGGUUAGUUCCGAGAUACAAUAUCUGCAAGUUACUCAAUAUUCCAAUUUCACUAUGUAUUGGUCCAUCAAACUCAUUAUAAGAUAAAGACAAAAUUUGAAGUUGUGAACAAUUUGAUAAGCUUGUAGGCAUAUGACCGCGAAGCUUGUUUGUGGAUAGAUAAAGCCCUUUUAGUAUUGGGAGACCAUUGCAUAAACCAUUGGGAAGAUAUCCUGAUAAGCUAUUGCCUGUAAAUGCAGUGACUUUGAUCCUAGAAAUAUUGAAAAUUGUGAAUGGUAUGGAACCCGUAAGUUGAUUAUAUUGUAUGGACAACCGGUUCAUGUUGUGAAGAUUCCGAUCCCUUCUGGAAUCUUUCCUUGAAGUGAAUUAUAAGAUAUCUCAAAAGUCUCCAACCUCGAGGCAUUCGAGAGUGACAGAGGAAUAAUGCAAUGCACUAUGUUUUACAUGGCACUUACAUAAAGAAGUCCGGGGACCAUUAUUUUCCCCUUUGUUUCUUCUAUCCUUUCUGUUCCCAUUUCAAUACAGUAAAUGCCUUUCUGUUUGUUGAUCCAAUUGUGAACUUGCCUCAACUAUUGUCUGUUUCUAUUAUUUCUUACACUGCACGGGGCAAAAUAGACACUCAUGAAGCAAUUAGUACAUGGUCGAAAGUUUUGAAAUUUUGCUACAGAUGAUGAAUGGCAGGAUGAAACUUUCCUGCAUAAGAUAGCUGAUGAGGUCAAGUUGAUGACGAUCAGGUUUAUUCCACUUCUUUGAUAGGAAAUGUACCAACAUCAAAACCAGUCUUUGCAAGCAACGACUCCUUUGUGGGAUCGUCUACUCUGGCCAUGACAAUACCAGCCUUCUCCAUGUUCACACUUAGACCAGUGACUACUGAAUUGAUUCAGUGCUUCCAUAACUCUGGAAGGAAAUCCAUAACCAAUUCCCUGCUGACCGUUUCGUACGCUUUUCACAAAUCAAUCUUCAUUAAACACCUGGGAGAAGUUUUCCACUAAUAGUGUUCGAGCAUAUCAUGGAAGAUCAGGAUAUUGUGCAUCAUGGACCUUCCUGGAACAAUUUCAGCUUGAUUUCCUGCUACUAUAUGCUUUAAAGUCCUUUAAGCCUAGUACAUAAUCUUAGAGAUGCAUUUAUAUAAAACAUUACAACACGAUAUAGGCCUGCAUUGGAUCGUAAAUUUAUGGGCAUUUACCUUAGGUAGGAAAGCAAUCCACGUGAGUCAACAGCUUGCCGUUAUGAAAGAAGUCCAUCACUGCAUUUGUGACAUCUUUACCCACUAUAUCCCAUGAUGCUUUGAAGAAGCCACUUCCAAAACCAUCGGGGCCCGGGCUCUUAUUGCUUUCAAUCUGAAAUAUUUCAUCAUAAGGAUGCAACUACUCAAUUUGUUGUUCAAUUCUAAGCAACGGACCAAAAAUCUUUGAUUCUGUCCUCCAUUUUCCUCCCCAAUAAAUCUUGAUAAUAGUUCACAAAAAUUCCAUAGGAUCAGACUUCCACUCCCCCCUUUCAUCCUUCAGUUGUGUUGUGGCAUGAUGCAAUCAGUUGUACUUAAUAACAAAGAAGAAAUAGUUAGUGUUAUAUUCUCCUAGUCUUGUCCAAUUUACUUUACUUCUUUGUUGCAGAUACACCUCAGCCAUAUAGAAUGAACUUCUAAAUUUUUGAAACUUCUCCCUUUCAUAAGCUUGUAACGCUAAGUUUUGAGGGUCAGACUGUAAUUGUUUUUGGGCUUGAAACAGUGUGUCUCUAUCUUCAUUUUCUUCCUUAAGUGACUUUUUCAUGAGUUUUAAUAUUGUGUGUGAGAGAGAGAGAUCGUCUUUUAACUAGAUUUAGCUUAAAAGUUUACUUGUUUUAGAUUUUCAUGUGUAAUUUACUCCGACUCUUCAAAAAUGUCGAUGGGUGUCUGUCUGAUCCUCCAAAAGUAGUGUAUUUUUGAGGGAUCCGAUACGAGUGCAGCAGCCUUUUCGGAUAGUCCAAGCAACAUAGCUCAAUGUCACAAGAAGUUGCAUUUUGCUUCACCAACGAAAAAAAGAAGUGGAGGCAUUUUUUUUCUGGAUGAACAAAAAAAUGCACUCUUAAAUAGGACAGACGCUGUGCUUUAUCUUCUAAAGCAUUAAAUAGGACAGACGCUGUGCUCGAAACAAAUCCACAAGUGUUCUUUUUUGGGUGAGUAGGAACCUAUGUUGCUCAAAAUUGUUGUCGAGUGUAUGUUGGAUACUUCAAAAAGAAAUACGGUUUUGCAAGUGUGGGGCGACAUUUUUGAAAAGCUCGAGUAACAUAGGUAGGAAUUUGAAACAGGUAAUAAGAGGUCUUGGGUACAAACACAGAUUAGUUCAACUAACUUUACUACAACAUACCCAGUAAAAUCUCACAAGUGAUGUCUGGGGAGGUAGCGUGCAUGCAAACCUUACCACUACCUCGUGAGGUAGAAAGACUACCACCAAGAGGGUGGCUUUUGCAGGAUUAAACAAAGGGCAGAAGCACUGAGCUAACUAGCAAUCUCAGUGCUGUUUCAAGAUUUUCAAGUUCCACCCUUAUGCAAUAUACAAAUCAAAAGGAAACAGCCAGAUUUAUUGCAACCAGCUAGAAUUUCUGAAAACAGAAUCAUGCACAAAUCAAGUGCUAAAAGAUAAAAGAGAACCAUUAUAAAAAUAUUCAACAUGCAAGAAAUUGAAUCUUGAUCUUCUGCAGCAUCGCUACAUCUUUAAUGUUAGUCCUUCUUGCCGGUGAUUCAGCACAACAAUCUAAUGCUACUUUGAGGAUUGAUGCCACAACAUGUAGCUCCUUCUGUGAGCCUUUACCUGUUGCUGUUACCAAGUUGGCAUCUACGGCAUCCAUUACUGCCUUUGGGAGCGAAUAACUCACCCAUUGUUUCAAGCUAAGAUCUCCCUCAAACUCAUUAGGUUUUCUCCUUGUAAACGUUUCCAGCAACAUGAUCCCGUAACUGUAUACGUCACACUUUGUUGACACUAGUGCAUUCAGUCCAUACUCUACAGUCAAACAAUUAAUUAAAAGAUGCAAUACACUUUCUAGCUGGAAUAAAAAAGGGAAAAUCAGAAAAAAUAAGAGACGUACCCGGUGCAAUAUAACCCAGUCUUGCUAAGGUUUUAGUGUACAAAUCACCCUGAUCUUCACCAAGCAGUUUUGAAAUGCCAAAGUCGCUGAGGUGGGCAACCAUAUCCUCAUUCAGCAAGACGUUACCAGGCUUCAGAUCACAAUGGAUCACAGGCGACGAGCACCGAGGGUGAAGAUAUUCCAAAGCACAUGCCACAUCUAUCAUUAUACUUAGUCUCUGCCUGAUGUCGAGGAAGUAGUUGUGCGAAUACAAAUAUUUUUCAAGGCUCCCAUUAGGCAUAUACUCGAGAACUAAAGCCUUGAAAUCAAGAUUAGAACAACUAGUAAUGACUUUUACGAGAUUCCUAUGGCGAAGGCUACGGAAAACUUCACAUUCCGUAUCAAAACUCUUGAAUGCCACAUCCAGUUGCAGGUUGAACACUUUAACUGCAAUGACAGUUCCACUACUGAGAACGGCUUUGUAAACUGAGCCAAAACUUCCAGAACCAAUCAUAUUACUCUCACUAAGCACAUUAGUUGCUUGGAGAAGUUCAUAGUAUGAAAUCCUUUCUCUUGCCACGGUAGACAAUGAAUCAGCUUGCUGAGGAGCACUUUUUCCUCUUCUAUACCUUAUCCAUAGGAGCACAAUGGUCAAAGGAACAAAUACAACUACAAUUGCGAGCAAAAGAAAAAGAACUAGCAAUAUUUUCCUAUUUGAUCUGUGCUUUGAUGAAGUGGGGCAUGGCAGGACACUAAAUCUUGAAGACCCACACAAUGCUUCAUUGUAAAUGAAAAACUGACUCGAGAGGUUCUUGAAAGGACCCCCCGAGGGUAUUUCACCAUACAAUUGGUUGUUUGAAACAUCGAAAUACUUGAGGUAUUGAAAUUUCUCAAAAGACAUGGGAAUGAUUCCCGAUAUAUUAUUGUGAGACUAGGAAUUCCAAACCUACCAUGUUGCUCAUUGAGUCAGGUAUAGCCCCUUGCAACUUGUUGUGUCUCAAAGAAAGGUACGCCAAAGUUUGCAAGCCUCCAAUUUCUCUCGGAAUUUCAUUUGAGAAUUGAUUCAUCGACAGAUCCAUCUUUGUUACAGCCUUUAGAUUUCCAAUUUCUUGAGGUAAAGAACCUACCAUGUUGUUUGACGAUAAGUCAAUAACCACCAGAUCUUGAAGGUUCCCUAAGCUUGGUGGUAUAUUAGAACUGAAUUUGUUGGAACCGAGAUGUAUCUCCCUAAGGGAAGUAAUAUUCCCUAAACAAUAAGGAAGAGAUCCUGAAAAUUGAUUUUGACCGAAGUAAAUAGCACCCAAAUGCUGCAAUUUACAUAAAUGAUCUCCAAUAAAUCCUGUAAAUUUAUUGCUACUCAAGUUGAACCGCUGAAGGUCUCUCAAGUUGCCAAUUGAUGUCGGAAUCGAUCCGACCAUGUUAUUUCCAGAAAGAUCAAGGUCUAAUAAGCUGCUUAAGUUCCCAACUUCAUUUGAAAUUCGCCCUAUGAUUUUGCAAUUUUUGGCAUAAAAGUUUCUAAGAGAGGUGGAAAGGUUUCCCAUGGCGACUGGAAGCAUGCCAUUUAGAGGGUUGAAAGAUAUAUCAAGAAAUGUUAAAUUUUUGUUAUUGGUUAAGGAAGUCAGGAAGCUUAAUGAUGAGUCACUGGUUAAAUUAUUUUCCUCAAUGUUUAGAUACUGUAGAUGAGUCAAAUAUCCAAGUGAGCUGGGAAUCAAGCCACUGAGUUUGUUGCCUGAAAGAUCUAGAAUAGUAAGUUUUGAACAAUUGGAGAUGGAAUGAGGAAUAGUCCCAACAAGAUUGGUUAAGCUGUCUAGAUAAAGCUCUUCAAUGUUGGAUAAGAUAGAACCUAUGUUCGAUGGGAGGGUUCCUGAUAGAUUAUUGUUGAAAAGAGAAACUAAUUUCAGUCCUGAUAUGUUGAAGGUCUCCAUUUCAAGUGAACCACUAAAACUAUUAUAUGCAAGACUAAGUAUCUCCAAAUCAACGAGAUUCCUCAUCUGUUUGGUAUUUCAUUUGUCAACACAUGAAGAAAGACUAGUGAGCUUAACUAGUAACAGUUGUAUUUUUCUCUACAAUUAAACCUAUUUUCAUGAAGAAAUAAAAAUUGCAUAUUGGUUAAGCUGCCAAUGUCUGGUGGUAAGGUUCCCUUGAGAUUGUUUUCCCCAUAUUUAACAACAUUUCCCAGUUCUAAUGGAAUUAUCCCUGCAAUUGGAUUCAAUACUACUAACAGUCAUAAAAUAAUUAAUAAAACAGGAACAUACCUAUGAAAUGGUUAUAUCCGAGAUGCAAUAACUGCAGGUUACUCAAUCUUCCAAAUUCACUAUGUAUAUGUCCAUCAAACUCAUUAUAUGAUAAGGACAAUAGUUGAAGUUGUGAACAAUUCGACAAACUUGUUGGCAUAUGACCGUGAAGCUUGUUAUCGGAAAGAUAAAGGCUGUUUGAGUAUUGGGAGACAAUUGCAUAAACCAUUGGGAAGAAUUCCUGAUAAGCUAUUGCCACUAAAUUCAAUGACUUCGAUCCUAGAAAUAUUGAAAAUUGUGAAAGGUAUAGAACCCGUAAGUUGAUUAUGCUAUAAUCCCAACCAGUUUACAUUGUGUAGAUUGCCAAUUCCUUCUGGAAUAUUUCCUUGAAGUAAAUUGAAAGACAAAUCUUAAGUCUCUAACCUUGAGGCAUUCAUGAGUGACGGAGGAAUGGAGCCUAUGAGAUUGUUUCCGUACAAGCUUAAAUAUCUCAUGUUUUCAACACCUUUAAUCUCUUUUGGGAAUUGACCAUCAAAGGAAUUGAAUGUUAAAUCCAAAGAUUCAAGCUUUGUAAUAUUAAAAAAAGAAUAUGGGAGAGAGCCAGUGAAACUAUUAUUCCUAAGAUUUAGAACUUGAAGAUGGUGUAAAAAUCCAAGCCAAGAAGGAACCUCCCCGCUGAAGCUGUUGAAACUUAAAUCAAGAACCUUCAGUCGAUGCAAAUGAAUACAUAAGGAUUAUUUUUGACGAGACAAAAUUACAUGUCGAAAAUAUAUAUUUGACCAAUCUUCUAGGUAUUUAGUUAUACAUGAACCCAAAAUAUUCAAACCUGAAAUUAUAGUUCAUCAUAACCAUUGCUAGUCCUUAUAUGCAAUGAUAAUAAAGGACGGAACCGUAUUCUUAUUAUAUUUUGCCAAAUAAAAAAGGUGACCAUAUUAAAAUGAUCAAUUCAAAGACCUUAAAUGGUUAAUCCUUCUUUAACACUUUGAAAAGUACAUGAUAGAGAAAGAAAAAGAAUGAAAAAAUGUGAACAAUUUCUUCUAUUGGUGCAUUCUCUUUUCCUUACUUUUCUCUCCCUCUUUGUGUGUAUGCAUGCAAAAUGUAUGUAGUAAAGUAUUGUGUGUGGAUGUGUAUGUUAUCAUUUAUUCUUUUUUGAUAAUCAUUAUAUUCAUGCAUGCAUGGAUCAUAUAUUAUAUCAAAUCUCACUUCAAAUUUAAUCAUAACAAAGAUUUGAAUACUCUAGUAUUACAACAACAAAUGUAAAAUAAGAUUAACUCCACUUCAUAAUAUUGAAAUUGAAUUUCGCAUAAUCGUGAUAUUGUAUUAUUCAAAUAAAGGUAAAGGGUUACCUUUUGGAAAAAUAGUUGCCAACAAAAGAAAGAAGAAGUUGUGAACUCGAAACCACGAACCAAACCUCAAACUCCAACUUGUUGUCUACCUGUUUAUGUUAUUUGCUUUUUGUUUCUGUCAAAUGUUACUCCCUUUUCUUCUUAACUCUUCUCUUUUCUUGUUUUUCUAUCCCAAUCCGUAUUUUUUUUUUCAAGAUUCCUCUUCCUUUUUUCCUAUUUUUGUCCGUUUUAUUUCCCUAAUCCUCUCUAUUCGUUCCCCUUAUCUUUGUGUUUUUCUAUGUCCCCUUUGUGUCUGUGUGGGUGUACUAUAUAAUGUAUAAGGUUGGGAAGUUGAGGGAGUUGAGGAAAAGGUGGGGAUGAUUGGGGUAGUUUUCUUUAGGAUAAAAUUUUUUUUAUAAAUAUAUAAUGUAUAAGGUUGGGAAGUUGAGGGAUUUUUUUAAUUUUUUUUUUUUAAAUAUUUAUAAAAAAAAUAUUAUAAUAAUUUUUUUAAAUUAAAUUUAAAAAAAAAAAAAGAUUUAAGACAUGACGUGGACCUCUAAUUAGCUGCCACGUGGUAAAGCUGUUUUCUAAAAACCGGCUGUUAAAAGUAAUGGCAUGGAUGAACCAAUUUUGUAACGGUGAUGGCAUUAAUGAGCCCAACUUUUAAUGGAUGACAUAAAUGAGUCAUUUCUAAUAGUUCAGUGGCAUAUUUGAGCCUUUUCCCUAAUUAUAAAUAUGAUUACAAAAAGUCCUCUAAUUAGCCAAAGAAUUGGCAAGUCAACCAAGUCUUGCUUUAUUUUUUGUGGCAAAAAGCCCUCUUUUGCAAAUAGUUUUGCUUUCAUAUUCUGUAGAAUUGUGUGGUGAAGAGUAGUGCCACACUAACUAAUACUAUAGUAUUUAGUCAAAUAGUUUUGCUUUCAUAUUCUGUAGAAUUGUGUGGUGAAGAGUAGUGCCACACUAACUAAUACUAUAGUAUUUAGUCAACCUAGCACUAGUGGAGCAAUGAGAGCCUUCCUAAAUAGUCAAGUUUUGUCCAAUGAAUUACUUUCUAUAAUGAUGAAAUGAACAAUUCAAUCAAAAAAUAUUUUAUUCAUAAAAGAAAUGGCCUUUUGUCACUUAAUUAUAUCAUGCUGAUGGCUGAUUAUACUAUCUAGACCUUAUGCUAUGCAUACAUCUCUGGCCAACUUUUGUCCGCUUAAUUCUUUGGAAAUAGUCUUGCUUUCAUAAUUUGUAGAAUUGUGUGGUGAAGAGUAGUGCCAAUAAUUGCCAAAUCUUGUUAUUUGGUUUCUCCAAGCACUAAUGUCUAAUGCUGAUAGAAUUGAGGAAUUAAACCAAUUCAUUGGUGUAAGUGGUGAAGUUGUUGUCAUGUGAUCACAAGGUCAAUGACUAGUUCGAGCUGUGCAAACAGCCUCUUGUAAAAAUGUGGGGUAUGGCUAUGUACGACAGAUCCUUAUGGUCUAAGCCUUUCCCAACCCUAGCCAUAGCAGGAGCUUAGUGCACCGGGCUGCCCUUUAUUGGCCUCAACAACAACUUUUCUUUUAAAUAUCUUGAUAUCCAAACUACUUGUGAAGAAAAAAGGUGGCAUCCUUCAGUGGCCAAGAUCACUGCAGGAACAUUACAAGGAUGGCAAGGCAAAUUAUUGUCUUAUAGGGGCAGAGGUGUUCUUAUUAAGCAAUUUUACAAGCCAUCUAAUUGAUCCCCCCUAAAACAGUGAAGAAGCAAAUUGUGAGUUGCAUUGCUAACUUUUCCGGCUCGCGCAGUUUGUUAUCUCAGCUCCAAAAUGAUUUGUUGCAAAGAAAUUGAUAGAUUUCUGUGGAGUUCAUAAAUGCAUAAAAGGAAUAAAAGUAAUGGCUGCGGCUCACUGAGGCACUUCUUUUACGGUCCUUGUAGGCCUGUCUGCCGGUCUGCUCUGAAGAAUUCAUGAUUUAUAUAUGUUUCAGGGCAGUGAGAGAAAGUGCGGAAUAAGGACUGAUUUCUCAUAAGGGAAAGGUGUGAAUAAAUACAUCUAAUGAAAGGUGGGACUUGACAAUUGGACUGGAGAAGGACCUCUGCUAAAUUUAUACCUACUGGAAGCCCUUAUUGUUUUUUCAAGUGUCAUCAUCUUUUGGUUAUUAUAUUUCUACAAUUGCAUUUAUAGUUCAUUUAGGAUAAUUAAAUGUCCGAAAAGUAAUUUUAGGUGUUAAAAACUGACUUUAUAAACUUACUAGGUAUUGAGGAAAUAGGAUAUCCGGGGACGGCCCUUAUUUCCCCUUCUUUUCUUCUGUGAUCAUUACUCAGGUAUGAAGUCUUCCUUUCAAGGUCUCAAUACCAGCGGUUCGUUGAUCCAAUUGUGAACUUGUCUUUAAGUGUCAUGUUUUCUAGACAACUUCUGCUUCUUUUAUUUUUUAGACUGCACUGGGGAAAAAUCGACACUAAUAAAGCAAAAGAUUUGGGGAGAAUCCGUUUGAAAUGAAUAUGCAGCUGACCACAUGAUUUCUUGCCCACAAAGUGUUCAGACGUUUUGCCUCGAUGAAUUUCUAGAAAUUAUUUGUGUUUUCAACUAUGUCUCAGGUGUUACAAGUGUGUGCAUGAGUGCUGAUUCAGUAAAGAUGGUUUCCCAGCCGAUUUGCUUCUCUAAGUGAUACGAUAAAAAUUUGCAAGACACGAAAUCACUCAAAAAAUAGUCCACAAACACACUCCAAAAUAGUCCACAAAUUAUUAAGUUCCUUGGACCGAUUGGAGACCUCUCUCGGAUUCACAAAUACAACAAGAAUACAAGGUGAACAAGGUUUAUUUCACACCAAAACAGCAAUAAUACAUGAAGAACAAGAUGAACACAAAGGCACAAGAUUCGGAUUUAACAAUAACAACAAGAACACAAGAUUACAACACAAAUACUAAACACGAUUACAAGAAAGUAAAGGGAUAGAUAGAUAGACCACAUGAAGGUAUAAACUUAAGAGCCCAAGAAUGGACACUCUUGGACCCUUAACACUACACACAAUAAUAAACCUAUCUCUUACAUGACACAAGACCGGAUUGCACCUCUCUAGCAUCAAUGUUUCCAAGCAAGCAACAACAAAAGAGAAUCCACCCUAUUGUUGUAUCCUAGUUUCGGUUUUGGUGCCUCAAGGAGAGAGGAAUUGUGUUCUUUGGUCUUUCAAGACUCACAAAUAUCAUCAAAAACUAAAUCUAAAAACCUUACAAUGUUCCUUUUAUAACUAUUACAAAAUAUAAGUUAAAAUAAUCAAAAGGCCCUUAAAAGAGUGGGCACCUAUCUAGUAUAAUUUAUGGGCUGAUUUGGAUGUAUUUUGGGCCUCUUUUACCCUUCAAUUGCAAAUGCCAAGGCUCGGGUCCAACAUGCACUCUCCUAAGUCCAUAUCCGAGAUUAUUCCUGUAUCAUCCUCUCCAUCUUGAGAAGAAUUUGUCCACAAAUUCAGGGCUUCACCUCGUUCAAUGGGUCACUUCAAAGGAAACCUACUCAAAACAAUCCGUAAACAAGUCACAAAAACAAGUCAAAAACAGUCCACAAAAUCAUGCAGAAUCCGAGGGUUCAAUAACAACAAGUCUUGGCCAACAUCUUCAUUUUGAACCUCGGCUUCCUCUCCAUCUUAAUUCUUGUCUUCAAUCUCAUCCGAAACAAGUCUCCUACCAUCAUACAAGUAUUGUAGUAGUCUCCAUAUCCUUCAUUUUCCUUUCUACCAUACUCCUCUACAUGGAUAUAUCAGUUUUGGUGAAGUAGAGUUUCGGUUGAGAGGAAUGAUUUGGUAAGGGGGAGCUUCGGUUGUGGAGCUUGGAUGGGAGGAAAUUGGCUUUCAAGUCCCUCAUGUUGGACUUGAUCAAAUUGAGGGGGAAGUGACUCAUUUAGGUCUCGGGUUUGAGGACAUUUGUUGGAUUGACUUAUGUCUAUGUCAUUUAGUGGUGGUCUUGGAGGGUUGAUCGUUUGAGGUAAAUCUUCGGAAGUAGAAACAUGAGAGUUCCUUUGACUUUUCACUCGAUCUAACCUCUCAAGUAUAGUAGACAUAUCCGAGCCCAAUUUAUCAAGACCCGCAUUCGCCUUAGCUAUUUCUCGGGCAAUGACAUCAAGGUGGGCCAAAAUUGUGUCCAUUAUGGCAAAGGAGUUACCUACAAAACAGAAAAUACGUUAGUUGUACAAAAACAUCCUCACUCUAUCUUUUAUUUCUUGUCUCUUGGAUCCCUCACACUCAAUCUCACAAGUGUUGUAAGCUUGAUUGUACUCCGAGAGGUGUUGAUAGGUGGAUCAAGUGUGUACAACGACACAAAAGAAUAAAACACACAAAGAAACGUAAACACACACACAAAAAAAAAUGCGGUUUCAAACCAACUCACAAUCUAGUAAUUGGUCACUAGCUUGUAAGUUAGUAUGGGAAUCAACAAACGAAACUAAAGACACAAAAUGAAACUAAAAGAUCAAAAAUUGAGCAUAAAAUUUGGUGAACAGUAAUUGGCGAUGUGGCAGUCUUUGAUUGGCCUCGGUCAACAAUUUUAUUUUCCAAAUUUGAAAGUUUUGAUCAAUUCUACAAUUUGAACUUUGAUGAAAAUUGUUCAAUGGAGGAAAAUACAAACUAGUCUUUAGAAUUCAAAUUUGAACACUCAAAAGUCUUUGACUAAACUUGUACUCCUUAAAACAUGGAUCCUUGUUUCAUGGAAAAGUGGUUGAAAAGUGAUGUAAAGUCUUUUGGUGGUUGGGGGUCUUUUAAGACUAACAAUUACUUACACUUCUUUCCUUCACCUUUUAGGAUCUAUCAUUCACUUUAUGUUAACAAGGUGAAGAACUUCAAGAACAAAACAACCACAACAAGAACAACCAACAAAAAUCUCCCAAGAACAACAAGUUCCAACGCCCAAUUCCACAACAACAAGAUCAACAAUAAAACCACCAACAAACGUCCAAGCUUCUUUGGUGUUGUAUUUUCGGCUUUAACACUAGAUGAAGGUUGUGAUGAACAACAAGAACACAACAACAACUACCAAGAUCAACCAAAACACCAACCAACGCCCAACAACAAGGUCACCACACGGCCAAGUUAAAACAACAACUUCAACUCACGGCCACUUCUUGUUCACAACAACAACAUAAAUUUUUAAAGCUCAAAUCUAGAUAUACACUCAAUGCGUUAGUGAGAAACAAAACUAACACUUAGUGACAACAAAUACGAGUAAAAAUCUCGGCCAAGACACAACAAGAACACACUUUUCGGCCAAGAAUACAACACGGACAGAUUGCUAUUUUUUCUUGAAUUUUCAGUUUUGAACACUUUUUUUUUUCACUAACAAGCCCAAGUUCGAUCUUGUGGGAACAAGAUCAAACCAUGCUCUGAUACCAAAUGAUACGAUAAAAACUUGGAAGACACGAAAUCACUCAAAAAAUAGUCCACAAACACACUCCAAAACAGUGCACAAAUCACUAAGAUCCUUGGACCGAUUGUCGACCUCUCUCGGGUUCACAAAUACAACAAGAAUACAAGGUGAACAAGGUGUAUUUCACACCAAAAUAGCAAAAAUACGUGAAGAACAAGAUGAACACAAAGGCACAGGAUUCGGAUUUAACAAUAACAACAAGAACACAAGAUUACAACACAAACACUAAACACGAUUACAAGAAAGUAAAGGGAUAGAUAGAUAAGAAGGUAUAAACUUAAGAGCCCAAGAAUGGACACUCGUGGUCCCUUAACAAUACACACAACAAUAAACCUAUCUCUCACGUGACACAAGAUCGGAUUGCACCUCUCUAGCAUCAAUGUUUCCAAGCAAGCAACAACAAAAGAGAAUCCACCCUAUUGUUGUAUCCUAGUUUCGAUUUUGGUGCCUCAAGGAGAGAGGAAUUGUGUUCUUUGGUCUUUCAAGACUCACAAAUAUCAUCAAAAACUAAAUCUAAAAACCUUACAAUGUUCCUUUUAUAACUAUUACAAAAUAUUAGUUAAAAUGACCAAAAGGCCCUUCAAAGAGUGGGCACCUAUCUAGUGUAAUUUAUGGGCUGAUUUGGGUGCAUUUUGGGCCUCUUUUACACUUCAAUUUCACAUGCCAAGGCUCGGGUCUAACAUGCACUCUCCUAAGUCCAUAUCCGAGAUUAUUCCUGUAUCACUAAGGCCACCCUCCGUAAUCUGUCUAAUCUACUUAACAAUGUCAUGAAACUAGCCACAUGACAUUAUUUUGUAUAUUUCCAGAAUUUCCAUCUCAACAAGAUACUUCCUGCACUCUCAUUCAUCGUUGGCAUUUCCAUCACUGGACAAAAUCCUUGAAAGUAAUAGUCACUUGUUGGGUUUUAAAGUCUGUAUUCUCUAUAUCUAAGAAGUUGUUCUUAUAUUUGUUGUUGAUUGUGUUCCAUCAUUUUGUAACAUUAAUAUUAAGAGGAAAUAGUAAAGAUUUAUUGCAACCAACUAGCAUUUUUGAAAACAGAAUCAUGCAAAAAGCAAGUGCUAAAAAAAUAAAAAGAAGCAAUCUUUACAUGAAUCGAUCAAUUUAGCAAACAUUUGCAACAAACAGAGUGAUUUGAAACAACAGAUUCCGAGAACAUGCUCAGCAUGCAAGAAGUUGAAACUUGAUUUUCUGUAGCAUCCCAACAACAUCUUUCAUGUUUGUCCUUCUUGCCGGAGUUUCAACACAACAAUCUAAUGCAACAUUCAUGAUUGAAGCCACAACAUCAAGCUCCUUCUGUAAGUUUGGAAAUGACCUUCUAAGGAAUUGAAUUUCAGAUUCAAAGACUCAAGUUUGGAAAUAUUAGAAAAUAAAGAAGGGAUGGAACCAGUGAAACUAUUAUUCCCAAGAUUUAGAAAUUGAAGUUGGUGCAAAAAUCCAAACAAAGAAGGAACCUCCCCGCUGAAGCUGUUGUAACUUAACCAAAGAAACUUAAGCCGACACAAGUGUGCCGUGGAAAACCAAAGUCAAGCUUCAAAGUUGUCGAAAUACGGCUAGGAUGAAGAUUGCUGCUUUGAUACCAUGUCAAAAAUACAAAAUACUAGCUAAUUAUAGUAAGAAUAUCAAAGAACUAAGCAACUGGUAGCAUUCAUUUAGAGAGAGAAUAAUUGCAAUUCUCAUUGAUUCAUAUUUUGUUAGCUUACAAUGAAAGCAAAUGGGAGUAUUUAUAGACUCCAAGUCUCAACUCACUAUCACUCAACAUGUGCACAACAUGUGUUUGUUAUAACUAACUCUAACCAACCCCUCACUCCUUUUAGCUUUAUUUUCUUUGGCUAGAUAUUUCCAACACUGUUGUAACUUAACCAAAGAAACUUAAGCCGACGCAAGCGUGCCAUUUCUUGAGGCAAAUUACCCUGGAAAUUGUUGCUUUCCAAGUCAAGAGAAACAAGAAAUGUGAGGUUUCCAAAUUCCCUGGGAAUCUUGCCCGUAAGAUCCAUGUUGGAAAGAUUCAAGGACUUCACUCGCCGGUAACGAGAACCACAAGUGACUCCAACCCAAUGACAAACGGACGUAGUGGGAGACCAACUUUCACCCAAGAAGUGAAAGGGGUCCGAAAUAAUUUGGGAUUUCAAAGAGAGAAGAGCCAAUUGAUCAGUGGUAAUGUUGGUUUUGGUCAUGGCCGAACUAGCCAUAACAUAGUGAAGCAGCAAGAGUACUAUUAAGAGAAAAGAACUGAAGGUUUUCUCCAUUGGUCCAAAAAUUAGUAGGAAAAUGGUAUGGCUUAUAACAUGUGGUUUUGAGACUUAAAAUAGCAAUGAAAUCUCCCUUUUGGUCUUUGAAAAAAUUACUUUUCUUCAUUCAUUCUGUCAUAUUCAGCACGGCGUUAAAAUUUUCAUUUAGGGGUUUCAAAAUAAAAAAAAAGUAAAUUCACGAAAAAGUCAAAGAGUGUCAAUACAUAAUAUAUACAUUAAAAAAAUAGUUUUACCAAGUCUUGCAAGUUUCAGUUAGAAUUGUAAAUAUGGUUCAUAAAUUCCCCUAAUCAGAUAAAGACUUGUCCAUGUUCCUUUAAUAAGUUAAUUUUACUAAAUUAUGUUAUACGCUUGAGAUUUUUCUUUUUUACAUGAUUAUGAUAGUUUAGGGAGAAAAGUGUGAAAUAUACUUGAACUUUGGCGAAAUUUGAUGUAGCACGUCUCAACUUUGAGGGGUUUGAAGUGGUCCAACUAAGCAAAUAUAUGUCACGGAAAUAUGGUAAAGAAUAAUGGGAAAAGGACACCACGUGGCUCUUUUGAAAAGUAAUGGACAAUAAUGGUCCACGUUUCACUUUUUGGACAAAACUGACACUUCGGCUGUUUUAAAUGUCAUUUAUUAGCCCUUCAUUUAAUAAGACACACGCUAAAGGAAAAAGGUUUAAAGUUGUACACUUUCCUUUUGAAGUUGGUUUCCGAAUAGGGUUUUGUGACUUUUUAUUCUUUCCAUAACCACUCUUCUUACUUCUUUCCAUGACCAAUCUUCUUUCUUCUUGCUCUUCUUUCUCCAACUAUGAUAGUUAAGAACCCAACAAAACUCAUAUCUCUUUUCUUCUAGUUUUUAAUUUUUUUUAUUAAGAACCCAACAAAACUCAUAUUUUUAUUAUUCUAAUUCUUAUUUUUUUCUAUUUAGGUUAUCUAAAUCGAAUUGAGUUUUUGAAUUAUGUGGGUGGAUGAAAAAUGAGAUAGAGGAAUAAAAGAAGAAAAAAUAUGCAAAAUCUAGAAGUUGAUCGGCAUGGAAGAAAAGGGCUAUUGUGUUGAAGCUAAAGUAAUAGUGGAUAGGUAUGUGACGAAGAAAUUUGAAGGAAAUGGAUUAUUUUUGAAAAAAAAAUGUGUUUUAUGAUUCGAGAUUACAUAAUAUUGAUUAUCUAAGGAGAUUUCAAAGAAAUGAAGGUUUGUAUAUGAUGUGUAUAAAAAUUGUAUGUUUAAGAUUUGUAUAUGAUGUGUAUAAAAACUGUAUAUUUCAGGUUUGAAUAUGAUGUGUAUAAAAACUGUAUAAGAACUGUAUAUUUAAGAUUUGUAUAUUAUGUGUAUUAGAACUAUAUAUUUAAGGUUUGUAUAUGAUGUGUAUAAAAACUGUAUAUUUAAGGUAUAUGAUAUGUAUAAAAAUUGUAUUAUAUAGAAUAUAUUUUCUAUAUAUUAUCUGUAUAGAAUUUGUAUCAUUGUUGUAAAGAAUAUGUAUAUCUAUAGGAUGUACAUAAACUGCAUAAAUAUUGUAUAGAAUAUGUAUCUAAAUAAUUAUUGUACCUAAAUAGUGUACAGAAUGUGUAUAGCCUCUUGGCAAAAAUAAAAGAUACGAAAAUAGUUUUAAAACAUGUAUAUGAGUCAUUAAAAUAUGCUAUUUUAAAAAAAUUGUUAUUCAAAAAAUACAAAAUUUUAUUUGGUUACGACAUUAUAAAUUAGUAUUUGAUUAUUUUAAAGAACUACAAAAAUUUAUUUGAUUGUUUUGAUUAUUGAUAGAAUUAAAAAAAAUAUAUAGAAACAUGAGUGUUUUUUAAAAAAAAAUGAGCACAACCAAAAUAAAAGGGAAAGGGAAGAAAACACAAUUACCAUUAAAAAAAAAAAAACAACGAAAAAACAAUAAAAAAUAAAUACAAUUUUUACACUUUAUAUAAUAAUAAUAAAAGAAGCAAAAGGAGCAACAACAAAAGUAAAAUAAAAAAGACAAAAUAAGCAAUAUCAAAAAAAAAGUCAAAGAAAGCGGCUUAGCUAGUGAAAUGACCAAAAAAUAGUAUUUUGAAACAUGAGUUAUUUUCGUGUCUUUUAUUUUGGCUAAGAGACUAUUUUUGUCCUUCUCCCAAUAAUAAUCUAGGGGGAUCAUAGGACCCCCGUUAAGUUGAGGCGUGUUAAUGCAAAUUUCAUCAAAGUUUAAGUAUAUUUCGAACCUUUUUCCCGAUAGUUUAUAUAGUUGAUCAUGACAUGUUUAUAAUCUGUAGACUUUUACAUUCUAGUUACUUUUUGUAGAAGUUAAUUUAACUCUUUUUUAUAUCGGAUGGUAGUGUAAAAGGUGCUUUUAAUUAUUGUUUAUAACUUAUUUGCAGUUUCGACUUGUUUGAUGGUAUGUUUUUGUGAGUUUUUUUUUUAAUAAAAGAAUACAUAACAUUAAUUUGUAUUUCCUGGCAUCAUUUUAGAGAAUUUUUCAGGUUAUCUGGGCCUCAAAGACUUGACAAAAUUGGAGAAGAUAAAAAAUACACCAAGUCUGUAUAUACGUACAUUUGGUGGCAAAGUUAUUCCUCUAAUCAGUCCAAACACUCUCCAAGUUGCCUUCUACUUGGCGUCGUACGUGGCCAAUUCUUGUCCUACAUGGCGUCCUAUGUGUAUUAUAUAACAUAGAACGUGUGUGUCUGCUUGUUCAAAGGUUUCAAAACACUCCCUAAUUUGCCUUCUAAUAAAGUUAUGUGCACUAGCUAAGUAUAUGGGGAAUUUUUAUGUAAUUAGCAGUCCCUAAUUGAUUCUAGUUACUAAUAUGUAGGUAAUAUAUAUGACAACAUGAAAAACUAUUUACAUUCUCGAUCAAAUAUAACACAGUUAGCAAAUUAUUCUAGCGCAGUAUAAUAUCUUGAUGGGACUAUUUACUUUUAAUUUUUAGGAUGUUUUUAUAUUUUUUAAAAAUUCUAAAAAAGUACACAACAUGUACAGCAUGUUUGGAUUGUCUUACUUUAAAUGUUUUUAAGAUAAAAUAGCUUUUAAACACUUUAUUUGUAAUCUUUUCUUAUGUGUCGUGUUUUCUAGACAUGUUCUGUCUCUUUUAUUUUAAAUGUUUUUAGUUAGUUUAAAAUGGAGGAUUCUCUUGUUAUCUCGAUAUUAUAUUUUUCUCUACAAGUUUUCCAAAUGGCAUAAUUAUUGUUAUUUCAGCAUUGUCGGCCUAUGGUGUCUACUGGUUAAUCUGAAACGCCAUACUCCUUCUAUCAUUUACUUUUCAAUCAGAAUUAUAAUAUGGUGCAAGAAUUCCCCUAAUCAGCCAAUUACUUUUGCAAGUCAAGUAGUCAAACAAGUCUUGUUUCAUUUUCUCAAGAAUUGUGUGGUGCAAAAAAGGUAUGUCAUGCUCCUCUAAUAAGUUACAUUUGUUAAAUUAUACUAUACGUUCAAGAAAUAUUUUUACAUGAUAAGCAUAAUUUUAUAUAGUUGAUCAUGACAUGUUUAUUAAUUAUUAUCCUUUUAUCUCUAGGAUAGAAUUUGCAGACGUUUACAUUCUAGUUAAUUUUUGUAAAAGUUAAUUUAGCACUUCUACAUGAUAUGGCAAUAUAAAGAGAGUUUGUUUGAGACUUUGAGUCAUGUUUUUGAAAAGAGAGAAGUAUCAAUUACUCUCCUGAAGUUGUCAUGGUACACCUAAAUUUCAAGUUGUCUUAAAUACCUUCCCCCCUAAAAUUGUUGAUUUAGUAAGUCAGGGGGCCUUUUUUGGCCCGCGUGGCACAAUAUCUGGUUUCAAACUCCAUCAGGCGCGUGAUGGAGUAAAUUUUUUGUCAAAUGAUCAGUUUUCAACAGUCAAAUAUGGAAAAAAAAAAAACAUUUUUCUUUAUUUUUUUCAAAAACUUCAAAGCGUCCUUUCUCUGCUCUUCCUAUGUAAGAGAUUGUUCCUGAUUGUUGUGCGUAGGGGUUGUGCCAAAAAGAAGUUGAAUAUUACUGACUUUUCUUAGUGUAUUAUUGGACGGAAUAAACUUUUGGAUAGUUUUUCUUUUGAUCCGGGUCCAAUUUGCUAUUGUUAAAAAGGAGUUGGUGACAGAGAGAAAUGUGUUGUAGAGUGAUAAGACGGUCAACAACUAGUUAUCAAAUGUAAUGACAUUCUACCUCUAUAUGCUUUGUGUUUUCAUGUUGAUAGGGUUUGUGGCUAUUUUAAUCGCACUAGUGUUAUCAGCAUGUAACACGUAGGGGAUAUAAUAGCAACACCAAGCUCAGAUAAUAGACAUCGCGGCCAAAGAAUUUUCGAAAUUGCUGCUGACAUAGCUCGAUAUUGAGCCUCCGUAGAUGAUUUAGACGUACGAUAUUGUUUCUUACAUUUUCAAGAUAUCAAGGAUGUGCCUAGAAACAUGCACUACCGUAAUGGAACGACGCGAAUCAGGUCAAUCAGCCCAAUCUGCAUCAUUAUAUUCCUUAAGAUGUAUAGGAGAAUCAGAACGGAAGAGAACAUCUUGAUUCAUAGAACCACGGACAUACAGGAUGACACGAAGUAACGCAAUUUGAUGUAUACUAUACACUCGAGAAAUAUUUUUACAUGAUUAGCAUAUUUUAUAUAGUUGAUCAUAACAUAUUUAUAAUCCUUUUAUCUCUAAGUUUGGACAAAAUCCGGGGCAUUUACAAUCAAGUUACUUUUUACAGAUAAUUUAGCACAUUUAUAUGGGAUGGUAAUAAAAGGAGUUUGUUUGAGUCAUUACUGAAGUUACUUAAAAUUAUUGUUUAUAUUUUACAUGAAAUUUUAAGAAUAUUCUUGUAUGAACUUUUUUUUUAUAAAAGAUUACAUAAAAAUAAUUUGUAUUGAUUGUUAUCAUUUUAGGGAAUUUUCCUGAUUAUGAGACCUCAAAGACUUUACAAAAUUGUAGAAGAUCAAAAAUACACAAAGUCUUGCAACUGUAAAUGUGGUGUCAAAUUUAUUUCUCUAAUCAAUCCAAAAAACUUUUCAAGUUGCCUUCUACAAAAGUAAUGUAUAUUAAUUAUAUGGAGAAUUUUAUGUGAUAGUAUAAUUAAUUAAUUAUAUUUUCUUUUUAGGUAAUAUAAAACUCGAUCAAUUUUAUUUUUAUAAAAAAUUAAAAUAUUGGGAUUAAACCGAUUGAGUUGGUCGGCUUUUGCUACUUCCAUAGAUAGAAUGGAAUUUUUUUUCUAAAAACUCUGAAUUUAUACGUACACUAGCUAUAUCGAGAAUUUUAGAUGUUUAGUUACUUAAUAUAGUUUAUAAUUGAUUCUAGUUACAUUUUAAGUACUACGAAGCAGUUAAAUCAUAAUGGAUGAGAAGUAAUCCCAAACUCUAAAGUUAUACGUACACUAGCUAUAUUCAUUAUUGGAAAAACAGCACAAUAGCAGUUAUCCAGAUGACAAAUUCAACUAAAACUCAUAAUUUGACUUAACAAGGUCUCCUAUGAAGUAAUCCCAAAGUGGAAAGUGGUGAUGUUCGAAACAAAAUUUGACCUAAGAAAUUGGUCAAAUAGCAACAGUAGCCGUAACAACAACAACAACAAUAAAUGGUCAACAAGAAGAAGAUGAAGAUAAUAAUGAAGUAAAAGAUGAUUAAUAAAGCAACAACAAUAAUUGACAACAUAAAACGCUAAGAGAGAGAAAACAAUAAUGGAUGAGAAGAGCGAGAAAGACGCCUUUUUUGCCUCCGUUUCCCGUUAUAUUAGGUAAACAUUUGGAUCAAAGUAUAUAUUUUAAAACUUUAUGGGUUAUUUUCAAAUUUUAUCAAUUUUCUUAAUCUAUAAUAAAGUAAUUAUCACCUCCAUCUAAUAAUUAAUACUUGUGUGACCUACACCUCAUUUUAAAACUCUUUUAUCAGCUAAAGCUCAAAGCCGCUAGUUACUUAGUAUAGUUUAUAAUUGAUUCUAGUUACUUUUUAAGUACCACGAUAGUGUGGAAAAUAUUUACCCUCUUGAUCAAGGUAAUGAAAUGACCAAAAGAAUUUUUGUUAUUGUAAUAUAGGAUUGAAUAAGGUGGGUUCGUUAAUCUAGGCAUUAAAAAUAAAUUCAUGAUUAAAAUAAAAAUAUAUAGUGUAAUCGAAUAUUUUACAAAAAAGAAAAAAAAAAAUCUGCACUUGUGCGUGGAGUUUGUGCCAAAAUGUACAUUUUGAUCAAAUCUAGACAGGCUCAAGAUGAAAUCACAAAAGCAAGAAUGUGCGGAAUGUAAUUUAUUUGUUUUUCCUAUUUUUACUAUGAGUUAUUUUCCUAAUUUUAACAAACUUGUUUUUCCAUAGAUCACUGAUUAUAGAGGGAGGAAUCAUGUUCUUCCACAACGACCCUUAACUCUAAAUUUUACUUUCUUUUAGAGAGAUUUUUAUAAAUUUUUGUUCUUAAAUAGUACUCAACAUUUCUUUGUAACGACUGAUGCCAUUUGACUCUUUAGUUACUUGGUUCCCUAACUCAUAUAGUUUAGGCGAACAAAAUUGUAACACCCCGUAUUUUCGGACUACAAUAUAGACCAUGAUUUCGAUGAGUUGAUAAUCCCGAAGCAAUAAAUCCUAUGCCUAUAUGGCAUGUUAAUUAUUUGCGUAGUAUGUGAAUCCAUUCAAGCUUGAAUUUAGAUCAUAGAGGUCCUUCAACUCAAGGACGAGUUGAAACUAUUUCGAUCGAUUAAGUUUUAGUGGACGUUGUAAAUUGUGUCAGCUUCCAUCGACCAUAACUCUCUGUAUAUGUCGAAUUAGAGAGCCUACUAUGUGUAAAAUGAUAGGUUUCCGAGUUAGCUUUCCAACGAUACCAAUUUUGCUAAAAUCCGGCACCCGAGCAAGAAGUUAUGGCCUUUUAAAGUAAUAUGUGUCGCCUAACCAAUCGCACAUGGCCACUGGAAAGCAUAGGCGAUAGCCUAGGCGGCGCCUAUGUAAACAUAGGCAAUGGCAUAGGCGAUGGCAUAGGCGGUGCCUAUGUAAAGGUUUCAAGUGACUUAAACACUCCGUUUUUGUGGAAAAAUGGUCCUUUUCCACCCUUUGUUAGCCCUAAACACGAUAUUCAGUUCCAAAGACCCCAAAAUACACCUUCAUUCAUCAAAAGUGCUCAAGGAUUCUCCUUAGGGUUUCAAAAUAAAAAUUCAAGCAACUCAAGAUUCAACCGGGGGUUUUAGAAACUAAUUGCAUAUUUGGAAUCCNNNNNNNNNNNNNNNNNNNNNNNNNNNNNNNNNNNNNNNNNNNNNNNNNNNNNNNNNNNNNNNNNNNNNNNNNNNNNNNNNNNNNNNNNNNNNNNNNNNNNNNNNNNNNNNNNNNNNNNNNNNNNNNNNNNNNNNNNNNNNNNNNNNNNNNNNNNNNNNNNNNNNNNNNNNNNNNNNNNNNNNNNNNNNNNNNNNNNNNNNNNNNNNNNNNNNNNNNNNNNNNNNNNNNNNNNNNNNNNNNNNNNNNNNNNNNNNNNNNNNNNNNNNNNNNNNNNNNNNNNNNNNNNNNNNNNNNNNNNNNNNNNNNNNNNNNNNNNNNNNNNNNNNNNNNNNNNNNNNNNNNNNNNNNNNNNNNNNNNNNNNNNNNNNNNNNNNNNNNNNNNNNNNNNNNNNNNNNNNNNNNNNNNNNNNNNNNNNNNNNNNNNNNNNNNNNNNNNNNNNNNNNNNNNNNNNNNNNNNNNNNNNNNNNNNNNNNNNNNNNNNNNNNNNNNNNNNNNNNNNNNNNNNNNNNNNNNNNNNNNNNNNNNNNNNNNNNNNNNNNNNNNNNNNNNNNNNNNNNNNNNNNNNNNNNNNNNNNNNNNNNNNNNNNNNNNNNNNNNNNNNNNNNNNNNNNNNNNNNNNNGGCCGCCGAGCACUAGAGGCGGAUUCCACAUAGCCGUGGAAUUAUGAUUGUAGGGUAUUCCACCUAGUUCAAUCGCAUUACAUUGGUAUUGAAAACUAUUACAUUAUGCCCAUGUGUUUCCAAAUAAUUUGAUAUGAAACUGCUUUAUAAUGGCUCUCACCUAUAUUGUAGAAAAAUAUUAUAUUUCUGUUUUGAUUUCUCUACAUACCAAUACUUUUGUAUUGACCCCCUCUCCUCCCAGGUUCGAAGGCACAGUUUAGGGGUCCAGACAACCAGUAGUUUCCCUCCGACAGAUCGCAAAAUCAAGUGGUGAGCCUUCUAUAUUUCGGAAGGCCUGAUGUCUGCAGUUUAAUUUAUCAUUUAUUAGUUUUGGGUCUACUGGGGCCCUUGUCCCAGUUUUUAGAUAGACAUUUGUUUUAGUCAUGUAGUAGAGAUUUCGCAGACGUUAUAGAGAUGUUGUGUUGAGAUUGUGGGACAUUAUUCCCCAUUAAUACCUUCGCAUGAUUCUUGACCAUGUUUCCGUUAUAUUGUGUAUCUUCCGCAUUUCUUUUAUCAUAUGAAUUGUGUGCAUGAUUACCAGACAGAUAGGGAUGUUUCGGGCCUCAUGGUUCGGAAUACCCGUCACGACCAGGGCCCCGGUUCGGAUGGUGACAAAAAUACUCCUUGCACAAGUUUCUGGGUGCACAAUGUGUCUGGGUGCACUAUUUGUCCUUAAGUACUAACAACAUUCUAUGUAUCAUAACAUUAUUACUUAGGCACUGAUGAAAAACAUACUAUGCAUCAUAACAUGUGAUGGGAGGGUACUAAAUUUGUUUGAUGGGAGAAAAUGUUAGAGGUGGUGAAGUGAAUGGGCCAUUAACUUCAACAGGUGAAGACGAAAGACGGGUCGUUUUUUGAGACUUGUGCAAAUCAACCAAGUCUUGCUUUAUUUUAUCUGGACUAGAAUUGUGUGGUGCAAAAAUGGUAUGUCAUGUUCUUCUAAUCAGCUAAUUUUACCAACUUAUAUUAUACGCUUGAGAAUUAUUUUUACAUGAUUAAGAUAGUUUAGGAAGAAAAGUCCAAAAUAUACUUAAACUUUAGCAAAAUUUAUUGUAACGUAUUUCAACUUUGUGGGGGUUCCUAUCAACCCUUAAAUUAUUUUUUACCGUAUUUCUGUGACAUAUAUAUGCUAGCUGAAUCAGUGCAUGAAUACACACUAUACGCAUAAGGGUUUGAAGUAUAAAAGGGGCUUUUAAUUAUUGUUUAUAAUUUAUUUGCAAUUUUGAUUUGUUUGAGGGUAUUUUUUUUGUGAAUUUUUUUUUAAUAAAAGAAUACAUAACAUUAAAUAAAUCAAGUCUUUAUAAACGUACAUUCAAUAACAAAGUUAUUCGUCUAAUCAAUCCAAACACCCCCUAAGUUGCCUUCUACUAAAGUUAUGUACACUAGCAUAGUCUACAAUUGAUUCUAGUCAUUAAUUUUUAGGAUGUUUUUCCUUUUUUUUUCUAAAUUCUAAAAAAGUAAACAACAUGUAAAGCAUGUUUGGAUUGUCUUAUUUUAAAUGUUUUUAAAUUAAAAUAGCUUUUAAACACAUUAUUUUGUGAAAUUUUCGUAAGUUUCGUGUUUUCUAGACAUGUUCUAUCUCUUUUAUUUUAAAUGUAUUUUUAUUUAGUUUAAAAUGGAGGAUUCUCUUGUUAUCUCGACGUUGUAUUUUUCUCUACCGAUUUUUCAAAUGGAAAAGUUAUUAUUAUUUCAGCAUUGUCGGCCUCUGAUGUCUACUGGUUAAUCUGAAAUGUCAUAGUCCUAUCAUUUACUUUUGGGAAAAGGCUCAAAUAUGCCACUGAACUAUCAGAAAUGACUCAUUUAUGUCAUCCGUUAAAAGUUGAGCUCAUUUAUGCCAUCGUCGUUACAAAACUGGCUCAUCCAUGCCAUUACUUUUAACACCCGAUUUUUAAAAAACUGUUUUGCCACGUGAUAGCAUAUUAGAGGUUCACAUCUUUUUUUUUUAUUUUUCUAUUUUUUAAAAAAAAAAUAUAAAACCUUUUUUAUAAUUUUUUAUUUAAUUUUUUAAAAAAAUGGUGUUGGUUACGAAGUUUAUAGAUUACAUAUUUCUGUGCCUUUAUUUAUCAAAUAACGAAUAAUAAAUUUUGCAUAUAACUAAUGUUCAUGUUUUUUUUUCGAUUCUUAUUUUUAAAAAUAAUUAUAUAUAUAUAUAUAUAUAUUUGACCAAUCUUCUAGGUAUUUAUUUAUACAUGAACCCAAAAUAUUCAAACCUGAAAUUCUAGUUCAUCAUAACCAUUGCUAGUCCUUAUAUGCAAUGAUAAUAAAGGACGGAACCGUAUUCUUGUCAUAUUUUGCAAAAUGAAAAAGGUGACCAUAUUAAAAUGAUUAAUUCAAAGACCUUAAAUGGUUAAUCCUUCUUAACACUUUGAUCGUAGGUGUAUUUGACACAAAAAACAGCAACAACAACAAGAGAUAGUCAACAAUAUGAUAGGAAGAAACAACACUUUGAUAACAAGAACCAACGGUUACAAGAUUACAAGAACAACAAUAACCAAUGGUUCACUAGACAGCACAAAGUCACAAACUAAAACAUGACAUAUAAAGAUAGAAAGUGAGACAUACACUACAAUAAGAUCCAAGAACCCAUAGACAUAUUCCAUCUAAGGACCCCUAGAACUUACAAUAGCAACACUACACUCUUACGAAGACACGAGAGGGAUUCCACCGCUCAAGCAUCAAUGUUUCCAAGCAAUACACAUUCACAAGUGUUUCCACACUUGUCAUGCCCUAGUUUUCGUCCUACAGAGCCUUCUCUCAAGUGUUCUUACAAUAAUAAGCAAAAUGACAAAAGUGCCCCUUAGUAUUAAAUGAACAAAAUGGCUCCCAUGGAGUGCAAUAGAGGGACGACUUUUGAGCCCUUUUCACACUCCAACUCGUACACUCCAUAGGUUGCAUUCAACAUGAUACGGGUACAACUACGAGGAUGCAUGUUUGUGAGAUUUAUUGAACCCGAGACUUGGAGUGUGAAGGUGAUGUGCAAAUGAGGACUUAAAAAGGGUCCAAAACCGUCCAUAUAAUGCUCUCCAAGGGGCACCCACUUGAAGACUUGAGACUAACGGGUCAUUUUGGACAUUUCACACCUUGUCUGUAAACUACUAUAUAAGGAACCUUUUAGGUCAUUUGUUAGGAUACUUUACUGAAUAUGGAUGUUGUAUAACACUUAGAAAAAUUUCCUCUCUAAGGAGAUAAGACCACAAAUCUGAAACUUGUAACUAGGGAAAUCAACUUUAGUGUGGAAUCACUCGUGUUGGAUUCAAGCUUGGAAACGUUGGAUGCUUAGGAGAUCAAAGUCACUCUUGUACCAACAUAAGAUAUAGUUUUGUGUUGUGUGUUGUAUUAAAGGUCCAAGAGUGUAACAAGUCUUGGGUUGUUAAUAUUAUUCCCUCAUUUGGUCUAUCUACCUAUCUUUAUCUUAUUGCACUUUGUAGAUUCAUAGUAGACUGUUUUUGUGGCUUGUUGAAUCUAAAUUUUGUAACCAUUGUGUUCAUCUUGUUCAUCUUAUAUUGUGUCUGUUUUGAUGUUGAAAACAUACCUCUUUAUCUUGUUAUUGUGUUGUUGAUAGCGAAUUCGAGAGUGGUCUUCAAAAGGGUCCUCAAAUCCUUAAGAUUAGAGGACUAUUUUGGAGUUGUUUUCUAUUCUCUUGUCUUUCUCGUAUCAUUUGGUAUCAGAUCAUGGCUUGAUAUUGUUCCUACAAGAUCAAUCUUGGGCUUGCUUGAUAGAAAAAAAGUGUUAGAAAACUGAAAAAUUAAAAAGAAGCAAAUCUGUCCAUUUUGUGUUCUUGGCCAAAAUAGUGUUGUUGUUGUAUAUUGGCCGAGAUUUUUACUUGUUUUGUUGUUUAUAGUGUUAGUUUUAUUCAUAUAUAAUACUCUUGUGUCUAAAUCUAAUUUUGAGCUUACAUUGUUGGUGUUGUUUUCGUGAACUUGAACUUGGCCGAUUUGUUGUUGAACAUUGCUGUGGUGGACUGUUUUGGCCUUGUGGCCUUCAUCAACACGUGAUAUUGUUGUUCAUUGGUGGCCUAAGAACUAUUUUGUUGAAGUUGUAGUUGUCUUGUCCAAGUAUUGAAGAUAGUGUAUUGUGAAAAUUGGAAGUUGGCCGUGUGAAAUUGUUGGUGUUCUUGGAGAAUUGUUGUUGGUUGUUCUUGGUGAUUGUUGAUUUUGUACUUGAAGUUCUUCACAACCUUCAUAUCUUGUUAAAAUAAAGUGAACCUUAGAUCUAUAAAGGUGAAGGAAAAAAGGUGAAUCUUUGUUAGCCUUGAUAGACUUACCAUCACUCAUCAACUAGUCAAUCACAUCUCAACCACUUUCCAAUAACUUUCCAUGAUUCAAGGACCCAUGUUUUAAGGAGAAGUACAAGUAAUGUCAAAGUUUUGAAACUUGCAAUUGAAAAGGGCUCCAUGACUUGUUUGAAUUUCCCUCUUUAAACAAAUUCCACCAAUUCCUAAAUUGUAAAUUGACCAAAAAUUGAAAUUGGACAACAAAAAUUGUUAGAAACCGCAACCAAUUACGUACUGCCACGUUAUCCUUGUCACUGUUCACACAACAAUUUUGGCUCAAAUUUCAGAUUUUCUUAGUUUCUUUUUACUGUUCUGUAGUUUCGUUUGAUUGGUACGAACGCUAAUUGACAAGCUAGUAAACUCCUACUAGAUAUUAAAUUAGUUUGUGUUCGUUUGUUCGUGUUUACGUUUGUUGUGUACUUUUAUCUUUUUGAAUUCGUUGUUAGUUCUUGACUCAAUUCCAACAAGAUUUCGUUUGAGUUUCAAACAAAAAUCCAUUUCGGGACAAGAGUAGACUCGACACUCAAUCACUCACGAAGUAUAAGUCGGAUUUCAACACUUGUGAAACCAAGUGUGAAGUAAAACCGAGAGUGAGAGUGUGGUGAGGCAUUUUUGAUCUAACAAGUUUGUUUAUUUUCUUUGUUUGUUGAGUUUUUUUGUUAGGUACAAUGACUGCCCAUAAUUUCAAUGCCACAUGUGAUCGUAUCAAUGACAAUAUUGAAGAUAUGAAACAGCACAUUGAAAUUAUACGCCAAUUGCUACCCAAACUCUACUCACAAAAUCCAAUUGUCCAAGCACCUUGCGUUGAGAGCUUCCUGGAGGAAGUUGCUGCUCAAAUUGUGAGUAAAACUUGCCCACCACUUGAGGAUAUGUGUGAUGUGAUUAAUAAAUCUCAAGUGAGUGAAGGAUUUAAAGAUGUUGGCCAAGAAAAAAGGAGUGAACCUAUCAGCUUAUGUUGUUGUAAAGAUGCUAAUGUUUGUUUGGCUCAUAGGGUUAAUCAUGUGCUUGACAUAUCUUUGAAACUUGAUAAUGAUUCCUUAAAGAGUGAAAGUUCCAAAUCUAUCCGCGGAUUAGAUCAUUCACUCUUUAGGCACAAUGUCUUGUUUGAAGAUAGUUUAUUUACUCCUAAUGAACCUAGUGGUGCUAGUGAUGUUGACGGCAUGGCUUGUCUUGAAAGCUAUAGCCUAUAUUAGGGCUGUCAAGUGGGCCGGGCUGGGCCAACCCGGAACCGGCCCGUGUUAUUUAACCGGGUUGAGGGCUGGGACGGGGCCGGGUUGGGGUCUAAGUCGGUUGGACCGGGCCGGGCACAAUAGUAAAAAAAUCAAAAACCACCCUAACCCAGCCGACUUAACCCAACCCGGUCAAACCCAUCUAAACCCGGUCAAACCCGUUUAAAAAAUCGGUCAAACCCGGUCAAAAAUAUAAGAAAAAACAUUUUUUCAAUAUACAUUAUAUAUACCCACCUAUAUACAUUAUAAAUACGUUAAACAAUAUAUAUACACUAUAUAUAUAGUAUAUACUACAGUAGAAUUUAAAAAAUAUAUACACAUAUACAUAAUUACACAUAUAUACGCACCAUCCAAAUAUAUAUGUACUACUUUAAACUUUAAAGUUCAAAUAAAAUNNNNNNNNNNNNNNNNNNNNNNNNNNNNNNNNNNNNNNNNNNNNNNNNNNNNNNNNNNNNNNNNNNNNNNNNNNNNNNNNNNNNNNNNNNNNNNNNNNNNNNNNNNNNNNNNNNNNNNNNNNNNNNNNNNNNNNNNNNNNNNNNNNNNNNNNNNNNNNNNNNNNNNNNNNNNNNNNNNNNNNNNNNNNNNNNNNNNNNNNNNNNNNNNNNNNNNNNNNNNNNNNNNNNNNNNNNNNNNNNNNNNNNNNNNNNNNNNNNNNNNNNNNNNNNNNNNNNNNNNNNNNNNNNNNNNNNNNNNNNNNNNNNNNNNNNNNNNNNNNNNNNNNNNNNNNNNNNNNNNNNNNNNNNNNNNNNNNNNNNNNNNNNNNNNNNNNNNNNNNNNNNNNNNNNNNNNNNNNNNNNNNNNNNNNNNNNNNNNNNNNNNNNNNNNNNNNNNNNNNNNNNNNNNNNNNNNNNNNNNNNNNNNNNNNNNNNNNNNNNNNNNNNNNNNNNNNNNNNNNNNNNNNNNNNNNNNNNNNNNNNNNNNNNNNNNNNNNNNNNNNNNNNNNNNNNNNNNNNNNNNNNNNNNNNNNNNNNNNNNNNNNNNNNNNNNNNNNNNNNNNNNNNNNNNNNNNNNNNNNNNNNNNNNNNNNNNNNNNNNNNNNNNNNNNNNNNNNNNNNNNNNNNNNNNNNNNNNNNNNNNNNNNNNNNNNNNNNNNNNNNNNNNNNNNNNNNNNNNNNNNNNNNNNNNNNNNNNNNNNNNNNNNNNNNNNNNNNNNNNNNNNNNNNNNNNNNNNNNNNNNNNNNNNNNNNNNNNNNNNNNNNNNNNNNNNNNNNNNNNNNNNNNNNNNNNNNNNNNNNNNNNNNNNNNNNNNNNNNNNNNNNNNNNNNNNNNNNNNNNNNNNNNNNNNNNNNNNNNNNNNNNNNNNNNNNNNNNNNNNNNNNNNNNNNNNNNNNNNNNNNNNNNNNNNNNNNNNNNNNNNNNNNNNNNNNNNNNNNNNNNNNNNNNNNNNNNNNNNNNNNNNNNNNNNNNNNNNNNNNNNNNNNNNNNNNNNNNNNNNNNNNNNNNNNNNNNNNNNNNNNNNNNNNNNNNNNNNNNNNNNNNNNNNNNNNNNNNNNNNNNNNNNNNNNNNNNNNNNNNNNNNNNNNNNNNNNNNNNNNNNNNNNNNNNNNNNNNNNNNNNNNNNNNNNNNNNNNNNNNNNNNNNNNNNNNNNNNNNNNNNNNNNNNNNNNNNNNNNNNNNNNNNNNNNNNNNNNNNNNNNNNNNNNNNNNNNNNNNNNNNNNNNNNNNNNNNNNNNNNNNNNNNNNNNNNNNNNNNNNNNNNNNNNNNNNNNNNNNNNNNNNNNNNNNNNNNNNNNNNNNNNNNNNNNNNNNNNNNNNNNNNNNNNNNNNNNNNNNNNNNNNNNNNNNNNNNNNNNNNNNNNNNNNNNNNNNNNNNNNNNNNNNNNNNNNNNNNNNNNNNNNNNNNNNNNNNNNNNNNNNNNNNNNNNNNNNNNNNNNNNNNNNNNNNNNNNNNNNNNNNNNNNNNNNNNNNNNNNNNNNNNNNNNNNNNNNNNNNNNNNNNNNNNNNNNNNNNNNNNNNNNNNNNNNNNNNNNNNNNNNNNNNNNNNNNNNNNNNNNNNNNNNNNNNNNNNNNNNNNNNNNNNNNNNNNNNNNNNNNNNNNNNNNNNNNNNNNNNNNNNNNNNNNNNNNNNNNNNNNNNNNNNNNNNNNNNNNNNNNNNNNNNNNNNNNNNNNNNNNNNNNNNNNNNNNNNNNNNNNNNNNNNNNNNNNNNNNNNNNNNNNNNNNNNNNNNNNNNNNNNNNNNNNNNNNNNNNNNNNNNNNNNNNNNNNNNNNNNNNNNNNNNNNNNNNNNNNNNNNNNNNNNNNNNNNNNNNNNNNNNNNNNNNNNNNNNNNNNNNNNNNNNNNNNNNNNNNNNNNNNNNNNNNNNNNNNNNNNNNNNNNNNNNNNNNNNNNNNNNNNNNNNNNNNNNNNNNNNNNNNNNNNNNNNNNNNNNNNNNNNNNNNNNNNNNNNNNNNNNNNNNNNNNNNNNNNNNNNNNNNNNNNNNNNNNNNNNNNNNNNNNNNNNNNNNNNNNNNNNNNNNNNNNNNNNNNNNNNNNNNNNNNNNNNNNNNNNNNNNNNNNNNNNNNNNNNNNNNNNNNNNNNNNNNNNNNNNNNNNNNNNNNNNNNNNNNNNNNNNNNNNNNNNNNNNNNNNNNNNNNNNNNNNNNNNNNNNNNNNNNNNNNNNNNNNNNNNNNNNNNNNNNNNNNNNNNNNNNNNNNNNNNNNNNNNNNNNNNNNNNNNNNNNNNNNNNNNNNNNNNNNNNNNNNNNNNNNNNNNNNNNNNNNNNNNNNNNNNNNNNNNNNNNNNNNNNNNNNNNNNNNNNNNNNNNNNNNNNNNNNNNNNNNNNNNNNNNNNNNNNNNNNNNNNNNNNNNNNNNNNNNNNNNNNNNNNNNNNNNNNNNNNNNNNNNNNNNNNNNNNNNNNNNNNNNNNNNNNNNNNNNNNNNNNNNNNNNNNNNNNNNNNNNNNNNNNNNNNNNNNNNNNNNNNNNNNNNNNNNNNNNNNNNNNNNNNNNNNNNNNNNNNNNNNNNNNNNNNNNNNNNNNNNNNNNNNNNNNNNNNNNNNNNNNNNNNNNNNNNNNNNNNNNNNNNNNNNNNNNNNNNNNNNNNNNNNNNNNNNNNNNNNNNNNNNNNNNNNNNNNNNNNNNNNNNNNNNNNNNNNNNNNNNNNNNNNNNNNNNNNNNNNNNNNNNNNNNNNNNNNNNNNNNNNNNNNNNNNNNNNNNNNNNNNNNNNNNNNNNNNNNNNNNNNNNNNNNNNNNNNNNNNNNNNNNNNNNNNNNNNNNNNNNNNNNNNNNNNNNNNNNNNNNNNNNNNNNNNNNNNNNNNNNNNNNNNNNNNNNNNNNNNNNNNNNNNNNNNNNNNNNNNNNNNNNNNNNNNNNNNNNNNNNNNNNNNNNNNNNNNNNNNNNNNNNNNNNNNNNNNNNNNNNNNNNNNNNNNNNNNNNNNNNNNNNNNNNNNNNNNNNNNNNNNNNNNNNNNNNNNNNNNNNNNNNNNNNNNNNNNNNNNNNNNNNNNNNNNNNNNNNNNNNNNNNNNNNNNNNNNNNNNNNNNNNNNNNNNNNNNNNNNNNNNNNNNNNNNNNNNNNNNNNNNNNNNNNNNNNNNNNNNNNNNNNNNNNNNNNNNNNNNNNNNNNNNNNNNNNNNNNNNNNNNNNNNNNNNNNNNNNNNNNNNNNNNNNNNNNNNNNNNNNNNNNNNNNNNNNNNNNNNNNNNNNNNNNNNNNNNNNNNNNNNNNNNNNNNNNNNNNNNNNNNNNNNNNNNNNNNNNNNNNNNNNNNNNNNNNNNNNNNNNNNNNNNNNNNNNNNNNNNNNNNNNNNNNNNNNNNNNNNNNNNNNNNNNNNNNNNNNNNNNNNNNNNNNNNNNNNNNNNNNNNNNNNNNNNNNNNNNNNNNNNNNNNNNNNNNNNNNNNNNNNNNNNNNNNNNNNNNNNNNNNNNNNNNNNNNNNNNNNNNNNNNNNNNNNNNNNNNNNNNNNNNNNNNNNNNNNNNNNNNNNNNNNNNNNNNNNNNNNNNNNNNNNNNNNNNNNNNNNNNNNNNNNNNNNNNNNNNNNNNNNNNNNNNNNNNNNNNNNNNNNNNNNNNNNNNNNNNNNNNNNNNNNNNNNNNNNNNNNNNNNNNNNNNNNNNNNNNNNNNNNNNNNNNNNNNNNNNNNNNNNNNNNNNNNUUUCUUUUUUUUUUUUAAUUUUUUCAGGCCGGGCCGGUUAACCGACGGGCCUGGACCAAGGGUUAGCCGAUUUUAACAAAAUAAUCGGCCUGGGACCCGGAACCCUAAAGCCCUAGGGCUUACCGGGCCGGGGCAAACCGGGCCUAGUUAGUUAAUUUUUUCAGGCCGGGCCGGUUAACCGACGGGCCUGGACCAAGGGUUAGCCGAUUUUAACAAAAUAAUCGGCCUGGGACCCGGAACCCUAAAGCCCUAGGGCUUACCGGGCCGGGUCAAACCGGGCCUAGUUAGGUACGAGGGCCGGGUCGGCCGGCCCACUUGACACCCCUAGCCUAUAUGCUAACCCAAUAUGGUGUGACAAUAUUCCUCCUCAAGAUGGAAAUCUCUUCUUGAAAGAUGAGAGUACUCUUAAGGGUAGGGAAUGUGUAGUCUUGAAAAGGAAUAGUCAAUCGGGUGAAGAUGACCAUGAUUUUCUUGAUUACUUGGGAAACCCGAAAUGUGAUUGUUCUUGUAAAAAUGUUUUUAUGAAUGAUUCAUUUUCUGCCCAUGGUGAUUUAUAUCUAUGUGGGGAUUAUUCUCUUGAAAUAAAAGGUGGUGCAUGCUUAGAAAUUCCAUCUACUUCUUCUUUAUGUGUUCCCUAUGUUAAGCAUACUAGUGGUGAUGGGCUUGAAGCUAGUGAGUACAUGCAUAAGGACACCCCUAUAAUGCCGAAGAAAGCAAUCAAGUUGAUAGAGGCCACUUGUAGAUGCUAUUUGUGGUCUGGGGAAGCUACAAUAACAAGGAAUUCUACGGUGGCAUUAGAGAAAAUCUGCCUAUAGAACUAUGGAACCUAGCUGCAAUCUGUAAGUUGCUUUGGGCUGUGAGUCUACACACAGAGAAGCUAUGGAUUGCUAGGGUUGACACGCUAUAUAAAGAGGCAAAAUAUAAACACUGGAAUGCACUGGGGGACAUCAGCAAGCUAGUUCAUAAGAACAAACAAGUGUAGGAGUGAUUCAUAAAAUUCCUUUUAUAGCCAAAAAAAAAAAAAAUACAUUCUUCUCAUCAAUACAAUUAUUUAUCAAACAUUUUCAGCAAAAGAAGUUAUUCUGAACAAGAAUUGCCAAGAGCAUGUUCAACAUGCGAGAAGUUGAAUUCUGAUCUUUUGUAGCAUCCCUACAACAUCUUUCAUGUUUGUCCGUCUUGCUGGAGAUUCAGCACAGCAAUCUAGUGCCACUUUCAUGAUUGAUGUUACACAAUCUAACUUCUUCUUCAUGUGAUUAUCCAUCGCUGAAACCAAGUUGGAAUCCGCAACAUCCAUUACUGAAUCAGGAAGUGAAUAACUCACCCAGUGCUUCAAGCUAAGAUCUCCCUCAAACUCACUAGGCUUUCUCCUAGUAAACGCUUCCAGCAACAUGAUUACAUAACUAUACACGUCACAUUUAGUAGACACCAAUCCAUCUUGUCCAUACUCUACAAUCAAAAAAUUAUUAAAAGAUGUAACAUGAUAACUUGGUGGAAAAAGAGAAAGAGGAAAGAAAUGUGCAAAGCAAAAUCAAGAGACGUGCCUGGUGCAAUAUAACCCAAUGUUGCUAAUGUUUUUGUGUAUAAAUCACUCUCAUCUUCACCAAGAAGUUUUGAAAUGCCAAAGUCGCUUAGAUGUGCAACCAUAUCCUCAUCCAGCAAAACGUUACUAGGCUUUACGUCACAGUGAAUCACAGGCGAUGAGCACCCAUGGUGAAGAUAUUCCAAAGCACAUGCCACAUCUAUCAUUAUGCUUAGUCUCUGCUUGAUGUCGAGGAUGUAUUUGUGCUAAUACAAAUACUUCUCAAGACUCCCAUUAGGCAUAUAAUCGAGAACUAAAGCCUUGAAAUCAAGAUUGGAACAACUACUAAUGACUUUUACGAGAUUUCUAUGACGAAGGCUGCGCAAAACUUCACAUUCCGUAUCAAAACUCUUGAAUGCCGCAUCUAAUUGCAAAUUGAACACUUUAACUGCAAUGGCAGUUCCACUUCUGAGAACGCCUUUGUAAACAGAGCCAAAACUUCCAGAACCAAUCAAAUUACACUCGCUAAGCGCAUCAGUUGCUUCGAGCAAUUCAUAGUAUGAAAUUCUUUCUGCUUCAUUUUCAAUGAAAAACAGACUCGAGAGGUUCUUGAAAGGACCCCCUGAGGGUAUUUCACCAUACAAUUUGUUGAUAGAAACAUUGAAAUACUUCAGGUUUUGAAGUUUCUCCAAAGACUUGGGAAUAGUUCCUGAUUUGUUAUUAUGAGAAAGGUCUAGGAAUUCCAAACCUACCAAGUUGCUGACUGAGUCAGGUAUAGAUCCUUGCAACUUGUUGUGUCUCAAAGAAAGGUACACCAAAUUUUGCAAUCCUCCAAUUUCUCUAGGAAUUCCAUUUGAGAAUUGAUUCAUCGAUAGAUCCAUCUUUGUUACAACCUUUAGAUUUCCAAUUUCUGGAGGUAAAGAACCCACCAUGNNNNNNNNNNNNNNNNNNNNNNNNNNNNNNNNNNNNNNNNNNNNNNNNNNNNNNNNNNNNNNNNNNNNNNNNNNNNNNNNNNNNNNNNNNNNNNNNNNNNNNNNNNNNNNNNNNNNNNNNNNNNNNNNNNNNNNNNNNNNNNNNNNNNNNNNNNNNNNNNNNNNNNNNNNNNNNNNNNNNNNNNNNNNNNNNNNNNNNNNNNNNNNNNNNNNNNNNNNNNNNNNNNNNNNNNNNNNNNNNNAAGGUUUCUCAAUUUUCCAACUGCUGUGGGAAUCGAUCCAACCAAAUUGUUUUCAGAAAUAUCAAGGAACAAUAAGCUGCUUAGGUUCCCAAUUUCAUUUGGAAUUCGCCCUUUGAUUUUACAACUUUUGGCGUGAAACUUUAAAAGAGAUGUGGAAAGGUUCCCCAUGGAGGCAGGAAGCAUGCCGUUUAGAGGGUUGAAAGAUAGAGAAAGAACUGUUAAAUUUCUGCAAUUGUUUAAGGAAGUCAGAAAGCUUAACAAUGAGUCGCUGGUUAAAUUAUUUCCCACCAAGUUUAGGAUUUGUAGAUGAGUCAAAUAUCCAAGAGAAUUGGGAAUCAAGCCAGUGAGUUGGUUGUUACCAAGCUCUAGAAUAGUAAGUUUUGAACAAUUGGAGAUGGAAUGAGGAAUAGUCCCAACAAGAUUGGUUAAGUUCCACAGAUAAAGCUUUUCAAUGUUGAGUAAGAUAGAACACAUGAUUGGUGGGAGGCUUCCUGAUAUAUUGUUCAUUGAAAGCUCAAUUGUUCUCAGCCCGGAUAUGUUGAAGACCUCCAUUGGGAGUGAACCACUAAAACUAUUAAACUCAAGAGCAAGUACCUCCAACUCAAUGAGAUUGCUUAUCUCUUUGGGUAUUUCACCUGGAAACACAUAGUGGAUUACUAGUGAGUUUAAAUAGUUGGUUCAAUCUAUUUUUGCUAAUAUAUAAGAAUUUCGUCUUGUUUAAGUUGUCUCAAUCUCUCGUGGUAAGAAUCCACUAAGAUUUUAACUUUUAUGUUGUUGGUUAUACGAAAGUAUUAAGAGAAAAAAGAAAAAAAAGAAGUAUAGAAGAGAGCCAUUAAUUUGGCUUCUCUCCAUGCCUAAUACCACCAAACUUAGAUACCUCAAUUAAUGCAAUUACUGUGGAAUAAGAUAAUUCUGAAGUGUGAUAAUCUCAAUUAUCUUAGAAGAAGAAGAGGAAUUUUAUAACUGCUUCUAGUCUUUACAAAGAGGAAUUGUAGGAAUAACUAACUUGUUCUAGAACAUUCUUGUGUGCCAGCUCACUACACACUAACAACCAACUAACUAUCAAUCUGCCAGCUCAUCUAACUAACUGAGCAACAACUUGCUGCAGUGGAUUAAUAAAACAAAAAAAAUAGAAUGAAUGGAGCUGUAGAUAGACAUAAUGAAAUAUAAUCCUCAAGAACAUGAAGCAAUUAGAUAAAAACAUACCUGUUGAAUCAUUUUCUGAUAAAGACAAUACUUGAAGUUGUGAACAAUUUGAUAAGCUUGCAGGCAUAUGACCGUGAAACUUGUUUUUGGACAAAUAAAGCCCUUUGAGUAUUGGGAUACCAUUGCAUAAACCAUUGGGAAGAUUUCCUGAUAAGCUAUUGCCUGUAAAUGCAAUGACUUCGAUUCUUGAGAUAUUGAAAAUUGUGAAUGGUAUAGACCCCGUAAGUUGAUUAGCUUGUAUGACCAACAACUUCAUGUUGUGAAGAUUGCCGAUCCCUUCUGGAAUAUUCCCUUGAAGUGAAUUAAAAGAUAUAUCUAAAGUCUCCAAUCUCGAGGCAUUCAUGAGUGACAGAGGAAUAGAACCUAUGAGCUUGUUACCUCGCAACCUUAAUUCUCUAAGGUUUAUAAGACUUCCAAUCACUUUUGGUAUUUGUCCCUCAAUGGAAUUGAAAUUCAGAUUCAAAGUCUCAAGUGUGGACAUGUUAGAAAAUGAAGAAGGGAUGGAACCAGUGAAACUAUUAUUUCUAAUAUUAAUAACUUGAAGUUGAUGUAAAAAUCCAAACCAAGAAGGAAUCGCCCCUCUGAAGUUGUUGAAACUUAAAUCAAGAAACUUAAGCCGACGCAAGAGUGCCAUUUAUUGAGGCAAAUUUCCCUGGAAAUUGUUGCUUUCCAAGUCAAGAGAAACAAGAAAUGUGAGGUUUCCAAAUUCUCCGGUAAUCCUACCUGUAAGAGCCACGUUAGAAAGAUUCAAGGACUUCACUCGCUGAUGGCGAGAACCACAAGUGACUCCCACCCAAUGACAAAGAGAUGUAGCGGGAGACCAACUUUCAUCCAAGAAGUGAGAGGGGUCUGAAACGAUUUGGGAUUUCAAAGCGAGAAGAGCCAAUUGAUCAGUGGUAAUGUUGGUUUGGGUCAUGGCCGAACUAGCCAUAACAUAAUGAAACAGCGAGAGUACUAUUAAGAGAAAAGAACUGAAAGUUUUCUCCAUAAUGGCAUAAAUUGGUAGGAAUAUGGAUAUGGCUAGUAAUGAUGUUGGUUUGAAACUUUAAAUAGUAAAGAGAACUCUUGCUCUUUCUUUUCAUUCAAACAUCUUUUAAAAGAAAAAGGAAAAGUUUUCCUUUCUUUAUGUCAUCUCAAGAAUAAUAAUACAACUAAAGAAAGAAAUAUAACUCGCAUUGACUCGAAAAGGAGUCUUCCGCUAACUUUUAUAACAGUAGGUAAGAUGUUCAAUAACACAGAAAGAAUGAAUUCUGUACAUAUUUAACAAACAAAAUUUAAAUAUUUGACAAAGACUAUAAAUGUUACCAUUUUACAAACUUAAAGGACCAAAGCUAUUAAAUACAUGCUUAAGAGACCAUAUUGAAUCUACCACUAAACAUUAGAUACCAUUUGCGUUAUUUUAUCCGAACUUAUAUAACAAAUGUGAGGAUGCAAUAACACAGCAAGAAUGAAUUGAAUUAAUAUUAGAGAUAAAGCAUCCAGUACCUCCGAACUAUGGUCAAAGUUUCUACGACACACUUCAACUUCACAGUCACAGGGUCCUAUUACCCCUGAAAUUAGUUUUAGCUUAUUUUUGUCACCCUUUUGUGCUGACGUGACACCUUUAUUACAUAAAAUGAGACUAACGUCAAAGGUGCCACAUCAGCUAAAAAGGCUGAAAAAAGGUGCCACGUCAGUUAAAAUGAUUGACAAAAAUACGCUAAAAUUUAGUUUGCGGGGUAAUAGGACCCCGUAAAGUUGGAAUGUGUCGUAGCAAAUUUGUUCGUAGUUCAGGGUUACUAGAUGCUUUACUCUUAAUAUUACAAUGAAUUUGUAAGAAAGAUGUUCAUGUUUUAAAUGUCUCUUCCUUGCUAAAGUUACCAAUAAUUUCAAUAUUACAAUGACUUUAUAAGAAAGAUAUUCACGUUUAAAAUGAUUCUUUCUUUGAUGAAGUACCAAUAAUUUCCCUUCUUACACCUGUACUGGGGACAAGAAAUAAAAUUGUUGGCUCCAAAGAAAAAUUAUAAAAAGGAAACGUAAGGGACAGAUAUGAAAUUCACACUUUGAAUACAUUUUCUUGAUUGGAGUAUUAUUUUUGAUUUACAUCAUAACAAUAGUGACUUAGUUUUUGGCAAACAAAAAUCUAACAAGUGUCAGCUAUGGGGUUCAUUGGGAUUUGUAUCUUUCGAUCCCAUAUCAACAUAUCAACAACUUUUUAUGUUUGAAACCAUAAUUUGAUAUUUCAAUGUGUUCAAAUUGAAAAAGCUACUAAUAUAACAGCCAAUGUUACAUACUUUUUUCAUUUUCCAGAAGAGAACCCUGGCUGUUACUUCGAGGUAAUUACCAUCAGCCAACUUGACCUUUCAUGGUAAUAUUCGGACUUCCCACAUUCGUAUCAGCAAUCGAAGACUAUCGGUUUUCCUUCAUGAAUCUGCCUACGGGCACAUUUUCCUGUAUGAAGAAACAACAGGUUCGCCUGUUCUGGCAUGUCAGAAGCAGACGUAGGGUAUGGACCUCCUAGAACGAAUAGGAUCUAGAGCAUAGUACUAUUAAUGUAGCUUGGUGGAAAAAGAGAAAGAGGAAAGAAAUGUGCAAAGCAAAAUCAAGAGACGUGCCUGGUGCAAUAUAAUCAAGAGGUAGCUUCUGUUGUAAAAUGUGUCCUAAAAAAGUACUAACGUUAUUUUUUUCCAAAUCGUCAAGGUCAUUUCCAGUUUCAUCAUCACGGUGCUGCUUCAUACAUGGUUCUAUUGUUUUGCAAAUUUUGAUCUUCCCAUAAAAUGGUCAGCCACCCUUCUUCUAGAAAUGGACCUUGGGCCUAACUCAACCUCAAAAGCUAGCUCAUGAGGGAAGGAUUGCCCAAGACCAUAUAAGGAGACCAAGGAACCUUUAACCCACCGAUGUGGGACUCCAACACCAAUGGCUUUCUGUUUUCUCUGGAUGCGAAACUCAUUGCAUUUCCCAUACAGGGGUAGAGGUUAUAGAACAUGCAACAUUUAAACUAACUAUCGAUCGACAACAUUCUGAACUUGAGUGCACCUGAAAAGAAAUUGAAUGAACUGGAUGAACUAACACUAUAGUUCGACUGUUCCGCACUAGUGGGCCACCUUGAAUCUAGAGGGUUCACCCCCUUCAACGGAAAAUUAUACUAUUUUGAUACAUUUUUUUUUUAUACAAGAAAGACAAGGAACACACGAAAACACACUCCAAAAACAGUCCACUAGUUCAAGAACUGAGGACCCUUUUGAAGACCCUCUCAGAUUCAACAAACAACAACAAGAACACAAUAUAUUGUGGUGUUUAACACCUAAAAACAACCAACCAACAUACUAACAAGAUGGAUAACAAGAUGGAACAACAACAAGAAGAAGUUACGGGUUCACUAGAAACAAGAGGAACGAUUACAAGUUACAAACACUAACAAGAUUACAAUAAAAGAAACAAGGGAUAGAUAGAUCGACUACACGAAGAUGUAAUCUUAAAAACCUAAAAGCCCAUUCCACUCUUGGACCUUUAACAAUACACGCAACGAUUCACCUAUCUCUUACAUGACACGAGAUAAGAUUCCACCUCUCAAGCGCCAACAUUUUCAUACAAGAAUUUUUAAGGGAAAAGGUUCAAAUAUGUCAUCAAACUUUGAGAAAAAACUCAUUUAUACUAUCCGUUUAAAGUUUGGCUCAUUCAUGCCAUUGUCAUUACAAAAAAACUCAUUCAUGACAUUUUUUCUAACAGUCUAGUUUAAUGAUUUUUGGCAAUAUCAUUUUGUACACGUGGCCAGUAAAAAAAUUUUCACGUCAUUUACGAGUCAAAAAAAAUUUAAGGAAAAAGACUCAAAUAUGUCAUUGAACUAUCUGAAAUGACUCAUUUAUGCCAUUAGUUAAAAGUUCGGCUCAUUCAUGUCAUCGCUGUUACAAAAUCAGCUCGGUGAUGUCAUUACUUUUUAACAAUGGGUUUUCAAAAACAUCUUUGUCACGUGUCCUUUUAUUAGAGGUCCACUUCAUUAAUUAAAAUAAAUCAAUAUUAAUUUCAAAAUUAAAAAGAGCUGGUCUAUUUUAACAUAACGCGACCCAUACCAAUUCUACAACAACAAUAAUUUUUUCGGUAAGAAAAAUAGUGAUUAAUGUAUAUUCUUUGGUUGUUUCUUAUUGAUUCUAAAUCAUUAUAAAUGUUAUGCUUAACAGAAGCCUCAAAAGUUCUAUCCUACAAUAACUUUUUUUUUAUCCAACAGUAACUGAUUAUUUGACAUUCAAGUAACUCUAAUACAUACUUCGGAGUUGCAAAAAAAGAAGCUAAUGAACGAUUAUGUCAAGCAAGAAAAAGAAUGAGACAUACCAAUAGAACUUUUCCAUUUUGCCAUCACAAAUUAGGGGAGCAUAUAUUGUUGAAAAAUCAUUUUCAAAUAACAGCUUAGAAAAAGUCCGCCAUCCUAAUUAUUCCAUCAUGUACAUAAGAUAACUUAUCUCAUCACUAUGGUAUAAAUGGUGGGAUAAAUAAUUCCGAUACUAACUAAUUUCAGAUAUUUUGAAAUUAAUAUUAAUUUAUUUUAAUUAAUGACGUGGACCUCUAAUAAAAGAUCCCGUGACAAAACUGUUUUUAAAAAUACACCGUUAAAAGUAAUUGCAUGAAUGAAUUGGUUUUAUAACGGCGAUGACAUGAAUGAACCGAUCUUUCAACUGAUGAUAUAAAUGAGUCAUUUCUGAUAGAUCAAUGGUAUAUUUUAACCUUUUACCCUAUUUUAAUUAAUGACAUGGACCUCUAAUAAAAGGCCACGUGGAAAAGCUGUUUCUGAAAAUCCACCAUUAAAAAGUAAUGGCAUGGAUGAGCUGGUUUUUAAUGGCGAUGCCAUGAAUGUGUCACGACCCGAACCAGGGCCGGGCCGUGACGAGCAUUUUGAACCUUUGAGGCCCGAAACACCCCUAUCUGUCUGGUAAUCAUGCAUCUAAUUCAUAUGAUCAAAGUAAUGCGGAAGAAACACAAUAUGACGGAAACAUGGUCAAGAAUCAUAUGAAAAUAAUAAUCGGGAAUAAUGUCCCACAAUCUCAAUCAACAUUUCAAAAAUCGUCUGCGAAAUCUCUACUACAUGACUGAAAUAAGUAACUAUCUGAAAACUGGGACAAGGCCCCCAGUAGACCCAAAAAAAAACUUAAUAUAAGAUAAAAGGACUGCAGGACUUAAGACCUUCCGAAACAUAGAAGGCUCACCACUUGUCUCUACAGCUCUGUCUGAAAGUUCUACUGAUUCUCUUGACCCUUAGAUUGGGCCUCUGAACCUGAGAGGUUGGAGAGGGGAGGGGGUCAGCACAAAAGUACUGGCACGCAGAGAUAUCACAACAAAACAUAAUAUUGUUACAAAGUAUAGUUGAGAGCCAUUAUAAAGCAAUUUCGUAUCAAAUCACUUGAAAGCACAUGGGUGUAAUGCAAUAGGUUUUCUCAACAAUAAUGAAAUGCAACUGAGCUAGGUGGAAUACCCUAUAUAAUUUACACCAACUGUCAAACCUCAGUUGCCUUCGAGAUUAGAGUAUAAGUGAGGGAGAUACACACAAGAUCACAAAGCAUGGUGUCUCGACCCAAAUCAAAUAUGGUAGUGCACAAGACCACAAAGCAUGGCUCCUAACCAUAAUCCCAAUUUAGGAUAAUAUAAUAUCAGGUACGCAAGACCACAAAGCAUGGUACCGAUAUUCUAUGCUGGCAAGCACGUUCUUUCAGUGAUGAGCCGCUUGUGUCUCAAAUGCCUUCUUCGAGCAUCCACCUUUCUCAUGUAAAAUCAAUGCAUUCAAAUUUCAUCUUAUUCAAUCGCAUAUCGUAUUUUGAAGGGUAUCGUCAUACCCGACUUGCAAGUCAUCAAUAUCACAUCCACAUAUGCAUAAUCAUGUAAAAACCAAGGCGCUUCAUCAUUUACAAGUGGUGAACACAAUAUUUAUCAAAUUCAUGCUCUCUUUUGUUAAUCAUAAUAUAAUAUGGAGUAUCAAAACAUUAUCAUGGGAAUUUGAAAACAAUUUAUCAUUCAUAUUUAUCAACUUCCAUGGAAAAUCUCAAAUCACCUAUGCAUGAUUUCAACCAUUAAAGUAUAUAGGCAAACAAUUCCCAUGACAUUAAGAAAACAACUUAGAAAUCAUAUUGAAAGCAAGAUAUUAGCAUUUGAUUAAAAAUCCCCAUUUAAAAGCAUGCAUGUUCAUAAAACUACACCUAUGAGAUUUUUGGAUAACCCCACGUACCUCGAUUACUAUUAAUAUUAGGUGCUUCUUGAAGCCAACGUUGAGAGGAUUCCAAAUAUGCAAUUUGUUUCUAAAACCCACGGUUGAAUCUUGAGUAGCUUGGGUUUUUAUUUUGAAACCCUAAGGAGAAUCUUGAGCACUUUUGAUGAAAGAAUAUGUAUUUUGGGGUCCUUGGAACUAAAAUUCGUGUUUUAGGGCUAAGUAAGGGUGGAAAAGGACCACUUUGUCCUCAACACAGAGUGUUUAAAUUACCAGAAUUCCUUACAUAGGCGCCGCCCAUCCCAUCGCCUAUCUUCACAUAGGCGCCACCUAGGGUAUUGACUAUGUUCGCAUAGGCGCCGCCUAGGCUAUUGCCUUUGCUUUCUAGUGGCCAUGGGAGAUUGGUUAGGCGUCGCUUAUCGCUUUGAAAGGCCAUAACUUCUUGCUCGGGUGUCAGAUUUUAGCCAACUUGGUAUCGUUGGAAAGCUAACUCGAAUACCUAUCAUUUGAAACAUAGUAGGUUCCCUAAUUCGACAUAUACAGAGAGUUAUGGUCGAAGGAAGCUGACACACUUUACAACAUUUACUAAAACUUAGUCGAUCAAAAUAGUUCCAACUUGUCCUUUAGUUGAGGGACCUCUAUGGUCUAAAUUCAAGCUUGAGUGGAUUUCACAUGCUACACGAUAAUUAACAUGCCAUGUUGGCAUAGAAUUUUAUGGCUUCGGGAUUAACAACGCAUCAAAAUCAUGGUCUAUACUGUAGCCCGAAUUGCGGGGCGUUACAUUAUCCCCCCCUUAGGAUCAUUCAUCCCCGAAUGAUGAUGCGAGACACAGGCAGACACGAUUUUAAGCAUAAAAAAAGGACUAGGAAAGAUAAGAUAGGAAUAGUACCUUCUGUCUCCUCCUCCAUCGAAGCAAACAAAUUGGGAUAUCUAAUUCUCAUGUCAUCUUCUGACUCCCAAGUUGCUUCUUCAACUUUUUGAUUCCUCCACCGUACCUUUACUGAGGCUCUCUCUUUGCUCCUCAACUUUUGAACUUAGCGAUCUAAAAUUUCAACGAGCUCUUCUUCGUAAGACAAGGAGUCUGUCACUUUGAUACCCUCUACUAGCAAUACCAUAGAAUGAUCUCCAAUGUAUUUCUUCAACAUGGAUACAUGGAAUACCGGAUGAACGAAACCCAAACUUGCAGGCAAUUCUAACUCAUACGCAACUGUAUCAAUCCUUUUCAAAAUCUGAUAUGGCCUUACAUAACAAGGGCUCAAUUUACCCCUUUUUCCAAACCGCAUAACUUCUUUCAUAGGAGAAACCUUGAUAAACAACCAAUCACCAAUUUCAAACUCUAGUUCUCUUCUCCGAAUAUCGCCAUAGGACUUCUGACGACUCUAAGCUGUCUUGAGUCGUUCUCUAAUGAUCUUCACUUUCACCAUCGCCUGAUGAACAAGAUCAGGCCCAUACAAAUGAGUCUCACCUACUUCAUACCAUCCUAUCGGAGACCUACAUCUCCUCCCAUACAAAGCCUCCCAUCUUGAUACUGGCAUGGUAACUAUUAUUGUAAGCAAAUUCAACAAGUGGCAGGUGAUCUACCCAACUACCUUUGAAAUCAAUAACGCAUGCCCUCAACAUAUCUUCGAGGGUCUGAAUAGUAUGCUCAGCUUGCCCAUCCAUCUGAGGGUGGAAAGCUAUGCUCAAAUUCACUUGUGUACCUAAACCCUUCUGAAAAGAUCUCCAAAAUUGAGAUGAAAACUGCGUACCUCUAUUGGAUAUAAUGGACACUGGUGACCCAUGCAAUUGAACUAUCUCCUCAAUGUAAAUCUUAGCAUAAACCGCUCCCGAAUAAUUAGUCCUCAUAGGCAAAAAGUGGGCUGACUUGGUCAACCGAUCUACAAUCACCCAUAUAGAAUUAUACUAUUUUCGAGAUCUUGGAAGUCCUAUAAUGAAGUCCAUGUUUAUCAUCUCCCACUUCCAUAAAGGCAGGGCUAUCUCUUGGGAAGUACCACCUGGCCUCAUGUGUUCUACCUUCACUUGUUGACAGUUCAAACACUUGGACACAAAAUCAGCUACAUCACGUUUCAUGUUAUUCCACCAAUACAAGGUUUUCAAAUCAUGGUACAUCUUAGUAGAGCCUGGGUGAAUGAUAUAACUAGAAGUGUACACCUCAUUAAGGAUUCUUUCCCGUAUCCCAUCGACAUUCGGAACACAAAACCUACCCUGAAAUCUCAGAAUACCAUCGCCACUAAUUUCAAACGACAUAACCUUUUGUUGACCCACAUCUUUCUUGAUUUGCAUCAAGAUGGGAUCUUUAACCUGCUUUUCCUUAACUUCAGCACAAAGAGAUGACUUAGCCAACUCAUGAACAAUCACCCCUCCAUCUUCGAAAUCUAAGAGUCGCACUCCCAAAUUUGCAAGGCAGUAAAUAUCCUUCACCAUUUCUUUCUUUCUUUCUUCUACAUGAGAAAGGCUGCCCAUAGAAAACCUGCUGAGGGCGUUGGCUACAACAUUUGCCUUGCCCGGAGGGUAAUGCAGACUCAUAUCAUAGUCUUUCAAAAGCUCCAUCCAACGCCUCUGCCUGAGGUUCAAUUCUUUCUGUGAGAAAACAUACUGUAAAGUCUUAUGGUCGAUAUAAAUAUCGACAUGCACUCCAUAGAGAUAGUGCCUCCAGAUUCUAAGUGAAAACACCACGGCUGCUAACUCCAAGUCAUGAGUGGGGUAAUUGCGCUCAUGCACCUUUAGCUGCCUAGAUGCAUAAGCAAUCACCUUACCACACUGCAUCAAUACACAACCAAGUCCCACAUGGGACGUAUCACAAUAAACCACAAAAUCAUCUAUACCCUCGGGAAGGGUCAAAACAGGAGCAGUAGUCAGCUUGUCCUUCAAUUUCUCAAAACUAUUUUCACACAAGUCAGACCAUACAAACUUCAUCUUUUUCUGAGUUAGUUUAGUAAGCGGAGCGGCUAUGGAAGAAAAACUCUCUACAAACCAUCUGUAAUACCCCGCCAAACCCAAGAAGCUCUGAAUAGCGGUUGGAGUCGUGGGCCUGGGCCAUUUUCUCACUGCUUCAACUUUAUGGGGAUCCCCUCUUAUCCCGUCACUGGACACAAUAUGCCCUAGGAAGGCAAUAGCGUCUAACCAGAAUUCACACUUAGAAAAUUUGACAUACAACUGAUGAUUCUUAAGGGUCUGAAGGAUAAUUUUGAGGUGAUUGGCGUGAUCCUCAUUAUUCAUAGAAUAGAUCAGAAUCUCAUCAAUAAAUACAAUGACGAACAAGUCAAGAAAUUGAUGGAACACUCUAUUCAUAAGAUCCAUGAAGGCUGCAGGGGCGUUAGUCAACCCGAAGGACAUGACUAGAAAUUCGUAGUGACCAUAUCGUGUUCGGAAGGCUGUCUUGGGUAUGUCUGACUCCCUAACUUUCAACUGAUGAUAACCCGAACGAAGGUCUAUUUUUGAAAAACACUUGGCAUCGCAUGAAGAGCACGGGUGCACCCCAUGGGGAAACACUAGGACGAAUAAAACCUUUGUCUAGGAGGUCUGCAAGCUGUUCCUUUAGCUCCUUUAGUUCUGCUGGAGCCAUUCUAUAUGUCGGAAUAUAAAUAGGACGAGUGUCUAGCAACACAUCAAUGCUAAAAUUUAUCUUCCUACCAGGGGGUAUCCCUGGGAGAUCUUCGGGAAAGACUUCUGGGAAUUCAUUCACUACAGGGAGUGACUGCAGAGGAAGGUUUCCAACUUUUGAAUCUGUUACUUGGAUUAGAUGAUACGUACAAACUUUAGAGAUAAGCUUUUGGGCUCUAAGAUAAGAGAUAAAGUGACCUCUAGGUUCCACAGAACUCCCUGCCCAAGCAACUGGUGUCUCAUUCGGGAAAGAAAAAGUGACCUUUCGAGUUCUGCAAUCAAGGGUGGCAUAACAUGAAUGGAGCCAGUCCAUCCCAAGGAUGGCAUCAAAGUCUAUCAUAUUCAGUUCUAUAAGGUCUGCCACAGUUUCCCUACCGUGACUAGAGACGACAUAAUUUCUAUAUACCCUUUUAGCAACAAUAGAAUCACCUACAGGAGUAGAAAUAGAGAAGGGUUCUAUAAUAACUUCAGGCUCAAACCUGAAACCAAUAGCUACAUAAUGGGUCACAUAAGAUAAAGUGGACUCGGGAUCAAGAAAUACAUAAACAUCACGAGAAAAGAUUCGUAACAUACCGGUGACAACAUCUGGAGAAGCUUCCGCCUCCUGGCGGUUAGUCAAAGAAAAUAACCGGUUGCGACCUCUUCCGAAAGCUGAAGGGGCACCCUUAGGAAAAGGAGCUGUGGAGGUAGCUUGGGACUUAACCCCCCCCCCCCCCCAUAUUUACUCCAGCACAAGGAUAAUCUCUCUGAAGGUGACCCAUUUUGCCAUAAGUAUAGCAGUUUCUUCCCUCAAACCAGCACUUCCCUAGAUGAUUUGUUCCGCAAACCUCACACCGCGGAUGAGUACGAUGCUGUUGGGCCACACUGCCCUGAGACUAUGUACCUAGAGCUUUGGACCCAUGAGGAGUCUGAAAACUCUGAGUUUGUCUGUCUGUCGGUGAUCUGGUUGCUGGGGCGCUGCCUGCUGACUGUUCAUUAUUCCAAAACUUCUUCUUCUUCGACCACUUAAUACCCCAGUUACCACUCUGUGGUUGACUCUGGCACUGGUCCGCAGAUCUAGCAUUCUUCGCCUGUCUUUCUUUCUCUCUAGAUUCAGAAACCUUUUUCUUCUUCUCUUCCACUUGAUGUAUAUGAACGGUCAGUCGAAAAAAGUCUAACUCCUUAUUCAAGAUAGCCCCCUGGCACUCAAGUACUAGGUCAUCAGCAAGGCCAGAUGCAAAUUUCCUCAUUCGGGCCCUCAUAUUACUAGUCAACUCUGGUGCAUAGCGGGCUAGUUUAUUAAACUUCAAAGUGUACUCCUGGACACUCAUACUGCCCUGCUUUAGAUUCAUAAACUCUUCUGCUUUGGCCUCUCUCAACUCUAGAGGAAAGAAUCGAUCAAGGAAGGCUUCCACAAAUUCACCCCAAACUGUGGGCUCAGCACUUUUACCUUUUUCAUCUUCCUAGUCGGCAUACCAUUGACUCACAACGUCCUUGAGACGAUAGGUUGCUAACUCCACCCCUUCAACCUCAUCCACAUGCAUCACCUUAAAGAUCUUUUCCGUCUCAUCCACGAACUCCUAUGGAUAUUUCUCUACCUUGGUGCUAGUGAACUUAGGUGGGUUUAUCUUCAUGAAAUGUUUGACUCUAGUAGCCUCAGAUGUAACAGAUGCAGAUGCAACAUCUUUCGAUUGUUGAGCUUGGUUGGCUACCAACUACGUCAGCAUAUGAAUAGACUGUCUGAAUUCUGUAUUUGAAAUAUCUCCCUGAGCAGUUGAGGGACGGUUGACAUUAGUCCACAGAGCCCGAGGUGGACUGGUCAGGACUGGAGGGACUCCCGGAGUAGGGACAAAUUAUGGAGUGUGAGCCCUAUUACGGGUCCACAUCCCAUGGGUGGGACGGAACUCAUCUGCCUAUGCAUUUUGAUCGACGAUAUGACGUGGAGGCAUAACAGUUUAGAAUAUGAAGCACGAACUAAAUCACAAAGAAGGGAAACAUUUCCUAAACGCCUAGUAGCCUCCUGCUUAUAAGUGUGGCACACUACACACCCAUAGCACACUACACACCCAUAAAAAAGACUCUACCCGAUGCAUUUUUGCAGACAGCCUAGGACCAUGAACCGCGCUUUGAUACCAAGUUUGUCACGACCCAAACCAGGGCCUGGCCGUGAUGAGCAUUUCAAACCUUUGAGGCCCGAAACACACCUAUCUGUUUGGUAAUCAUGCACCUAAUUCAUAUUAUCAAAGUAAUGCGGAAGAAACACAAUAUGAUGGAAACAUGGUCAAGAAUCACAUGAAAACAAUAAUGGAGAAUAAUGUCCCACAAUCUUAAUCAACAUUUCAAAAAUCGUCUGCGAAAUCUCUACUACAUAACUGAAACAAGUAACUAUCUGAAAACUGGGACAAGGCCUCUAGUAGACCCAAAAAAAACUGAAUAUAAGAUAAAAGAACUGCAGGACUUAAGACCUUCCGAAACAUAGAAGGCUCACCACUUGUCUUUAUAGCUCUAUCUAAAAGUUCUACUGAUUCUCUUGACCCCUAGACUGGGCCUCUGAACUUGAGAGGUUGGAGAGGGGAGGGGGUCAGCACAAAAGUACUGGCACGCAAAGAUAUAAAAAAAACAUAAUAUUUUUACAAAGUAUAGUUAAGAGCCGUUAUAAAGAAAUUUCGUAUCAAAUCAUUUGAAAGCACAUGGGUGUAAUGCAAUAGUGUUUCUCAAUAAUAAUGAAAUGCAAUUGAGCUAGGUGGAAUACCUUACAUAAUUUACACCAACUGUCAAACCUCGGUUGCCGCCGAGAUUAGAGUAUAAGUGAGGGAGAGACACACAAGACCACAAAGCAUGGUGUCUUGACCCAAAUCAAAUAUGGUAGUGCACAAGACCACAAAGCAUGGCUCCUAACCAUAAUCCCAAUUUGGGAUAGUAUAAUAUCAGGUACGCAAGAUCACAAAGCAUGGUACCGAUAUUCCAUGUUGGCAAACACGUUCUUCCAGCGAUGAGCCGCUUGUGUCCCAAAUGCCUUCUUCUGGCAUCCACCUUUCUCAUGUAAAAUCAAUGCAUUCAAAUUUCAUCUUAUUCAAUCACAUAUCAUAUUUUGAAGGGUCUCGUCAUACCCGACUUACAAGUCAUCAAUAUCACAUCCACAUAUGCAUAAUCAUGCAAAAAUCAAGGUGCUUCAUUAUUUACAAGUGGUGAACAAUAUUUAUUUCAAAUUCAUGCUCUCUUUUGUUAAUCACAAUAUAAUAUGGAGUUUCAAAACAUUAUCAUGGAAAUUUGAAAACAAUUUAUCAUUCAUAUUUAUCAACUUUCAUGGAAAAUCUCAAAUCACAUAUGCAUGGUUUCAACCAUUGAAGUAUAUAGGCAAACAAUUCCCAUGACAUAAAGAAAAUGACUUAGAAAUCAUAUUGAAAGCAAGAUAUUAGCAUUUGAUUGAAAACCCCCAUUUAAAAGCUUACAUGUUCAUAAAACUACACCCAUGAGAUUUUUGGAAAACCCCACGUACCUCGAUUACUAUGAAUAUUAGGUGCUUCUUGAAGCCUACGUUGAGAGGAUUCCAAAUAUGCAAUUUGUUUCUAAAACCCACGGUUGAAUCUUUAGUAGCUUGGAUUUUUAUUUCGAAACACUAAGGAGAAUCUUGAGCAUUUUUGAUGAAAGAAUAUGUAUUUUGGGGUCCUUGGAACUAAAAUUCGUGUUUUAGGGCUAAGUAAGGGUGGAAAAGGACCACUUUGUCCUCAACACGGGGUGUUUAAAUCACUAGAAUUCCUUACAUAGGAGCCUCCCAUCCCACCGCCUAUCUUCACAUAGGCGCCUCCUAGGCUAUCGCCUAUGUUCGCAUAGGCGCCGCCUAGGCUAUCUUCUAUGUUCGCAUAGGCGCCGCAUAGGCUAUCGCCUAUGUUCGCAUAGGAGCCGCCUAGGCUAUCGCCUAUGUUCGCAUAGGCGCCGCCUAGGCUAUCGCCUAUGUUCACAUAGGCACCGCCUAGGCUAUUGCCUAUGCUUUCCAAUGGCCAUGGGCGAUUGGUUAGGCAUUGCUUAUCACUUUGAAAGGCCAUACAUCUUGCUCGAGUGUCAGAUUUUGGCCAACUUGGUAUAGUUGGAAAGCUAACUCGAAUACCUAUCAUUUGACACAUAGUAGGUUCCUUAAUUCGACAUAUACAGAGAGUUAUGAUCGAAGGAAGCUGACACACUUUACAACAUCCACUAAAACUUAGUCGAUCAAAAUAUUUUCAACUCGUCCUUGAGUUGAGGGACCUCUAUGGUCUAAAUUCAAGCUUGAGUGGAUUUCACAUGCUACGCGAUAAUUAACAUGUCGUGUUGGCAUAGGAUUUUAUGGCUUCGGGAUUAACAACGCAUCAAAAUCAUAGUCUAUAUUGUAGCCCGAAUUGUGGGGUGUUAUAGAAUGAGUCAAACUUUUAACUGGUUUUUUAAGCCUUUUUCCUAUUUCUAAAAAAAUUUUACCAAGCCAACAUGAAAAAUUGAAAUACUAAUUAUCGAGACAAUAAUUCCUAGAUGACUAGACGCUACGAAUUGUUUUCUAAAUAUGUGGGGCCUUGGCUACAAAUUUAUAGUGUAAGUGGUUAACAAGCUAGGAGAUUCUUUUUGCAAUGAAUGGCCACUUGUCUAUGUUGUCUUUAUUUUGAAGCUUAUGUCUAAUGUUAGAGUUUGUGACCCCAAUUUUGUUGAUUCGACCCUGAAAAAAUCGUGUUGCGAUCCAUGUUUGAGACUUUUUGGAGUUUGUUUUUGGGCUUAGCAUUUAUUUGUACACACGUAUUAUAUAAGUGCGAUUUAGUGGGUUUUUUUGGAAGUUUUAUAUAUGUCAUUGAGAUGUUCGUCUCGUCAUUAUAUUCCUCUCCAUUAUAGUGAAUUUUCUCCUCCUUUGCCUGUGAUUUUUUCCAUCAAGAGUUUCCAAAUAAAAUCUAUAUGUUCUUGUUUUCUUUUGUUUUGUGGUAUUGCUUAUUCCUGUUCGUUUCAAUAACAACAAAUUUAACCUUAACUUUCUAAUGAAUAUUCUUCUCCCACAUUUUAUUUUCAAACUAGGUACACUCUCAUCCCUAAUCCGAAUUCCUAUCGCGUAAGACUCGUUAAACCAGAAGCACUUUCUACCAAGAUUAUUUUAAAAUUCAAGGUGCAAAUCCGAGAUCUUUGAUUAUAGGGGGAGGAUUCAUGUUCAGCCACAACGACCCUUAACGCUAAAUUUUACUCUCAUAGAGAUAUUUUUAUUAAUUUAUAUUCUUAAAUAGUACGCAAUAUUUCUUUGUAACGGCUGAUGUCAUUUGACUCUUCAGUUACUUGGUUCCCUAACUCAGCGAGCAAAAUACUCCUUGCGCCGCUAGAGCCAUGUUGGAGACAAGUAUAUAGCUUAGUUUGUGUUGAUGUCAACUGUUAUGAUCGGGUAGAAUAAGCAAUACCACAAAGCAAAAGAAAUUAAGAAGAAGACACGGAUUUACAUGGAAACUCUUGCAGGAAAAAACCACGGGCAAAGGCAGAGGAAUUUCACUAUGAUGGAUGGAGAAUAUAAUGAGGAAAAUGCCGUAUUUAAAAACAUCCAAAAACGACCCACUAAAUCACACUUAUAAUAUGUGCAAUACAAAAUAAAUCGUAGGCCCAAUCCCUACGCUACCACCACAGACCCCACAAAAAAUCAUAAAAAUGGGUCGCACCGUGAACUUUUCAGGGCCAGAUUAACGAAAUACAGGUCACAAACUCUAACAUCAACCAUAAUAAUGGUAGCAAAAGAAAUCCUCUACUCAUUUUUUUAGGAUAAUUUUUUUUUGUUGACGAGAAGAUAGAGAAUGAAGCUCAUUAUACUUGAGUGUUGAUGCAGUAGUACAAGCAAUAUACAAUGCAUCAUAAUAUUACUACUUAGGCACUGAUGAAAAACAUACUACGCAUCAUAACAUUAUACUUUAGUGUUGAUGCACGAGUUGCAUUGUUUCGAGGAUUUUUAUCUCCAGAAUUAGUAGGUGAUAUUCCCAUAAAUGGGCAAAGGAUGCUUUUUUAGACUCGAAUCGCCUUUUCCUCGAUCUAUAGCAAUCUUAUAAUUAUUAUUGUCCUGUAGAUACUGAUACUUAUAUAGUUAUAGUAUAUGCUAAGCUCAAUAUGCUGAAUUGUGCUAAAGUAUUAAUUUCUUGCUAAUGGAGUUUGACGCUCUAAGAACAAAACGAUGCAGUUGGAAAGAAGAAAGGAGAAAAUUCUUGAUGAUCAAUUAUGUAUGAAUCUUAAACUGAAUUUGAAAAGUUUUUUUUUUUUUUUAUGGAACUAAAAUAAUUUUGCGUGGACUCUUAUUACUUAUAAUGUUCCUCCCAGCACUAGUGCUAAAUGGUCCAUCUUUCACAACAUAAUUGGUAUAUUUCUUAUCACUAUUGGGAUUGCAUGUAUUGUCGCUCACACCAUAACCUGUACCAAGAGCGCGCGGAUAUGUUCCAACAUGAUAGCUUUCGAAAGCAAAUGUAGAUUAGUUAAAUGACCAUACCAAAAGCAGUAUCAUAGCUCUGCUUGGCUAUGAGUGUGGUGAGCUUCCUCUCAAGUAUACAUUAAAAGAGUCACUGUUCUGCAACGCAAACCCCUACUGGCAAAGAUUACUGCCAAGAUCAAUACAAGGAUGGUCAAAUGUUUAUAAUGCCGAAGAAAGCUAUCAAGUUAAUAGAGGCUACUCGUAGAAGCUAUUUGUGGUCUGGGGAAGCUACAAUAACAAGGAAUUCUAUGGUGGCAUGGGAGAAAAUCUGCCUAUAGACUAUGGAACCAAGCUGCAAUCUGUAAGUUGCUUUGGGCUUUAAGUCUACACAGAGAGAAACUAUGGAUUGCUUGGGUUGACACGUUAUAAAGAGGCAGAAUAUAAACACAGGAACAAAUUCUUUGCUAGAGCAGACAAAAUGAUAAGAGGAGAUGUAGAAAAUGCGGCAUGGAGCCUAAGUGUGUUUUUAUCUUAUGUCUUUACUUUCAUGGGAGUUCGAUAAUGGACUAAAGAUGUUUUUAUCAGCUGAUAUAUGAAUGUAGAUCCUAUGUCUGUGUUUCGUAAAAGCGAGUCAAAAGAGCAUUUGUUCGUUGAAUGUAAGGCGAGUCUGUUAGUUCCAUUCUGAGAAGGGAAGUGUAUAGAAGUACCAUUCCUUGGUAAUUCAUGCAAUUCAUUUAAUUGGCAGAAGAAAAAAACAUUCUUCUCAGCAAUACAAUUAUUUAGCAAACAUUUUCAGCAAAAGAAGUUAUUUGGAACAAGAGUUGCCAAGAGCAUGCUCAACAUGUGAGAAGUUAUUCUGAUCUUUUGUAGCAUCCCUACAACAUCUUUCAUGUUUGUCCGUCUAGCUGGAGACUCAGCACAGCAAUCUAGUGCUACUUUAAUGAUUGAUGCCACACAAUCCAACUUCUUCAUGACGUGAUUAUCUGUUGGUGGAACCAAGUUGGCAUCAGCAACAUCUAUUACUACAUCAGGAAGUGAAUAACUCACCCAUUGUUUCAAGCUAAGAUCUUCCGCAAACUCACUAGGCUUUCUCCUGGUAAAGGUUUCCAGCAACAUGAUUCCAUAACUAUACACGUCACAUUUAGUAGACACCAAUCCAUCUCGUCCAUACUCUAGAAUAAAACAAUUAUUUAAAGAUGUAACAUGAUAACUUGGUGGAAAAAGAAAGGGAAAAGAAAUGUUCAAAGCAAAAUCAAGAGAAGUACCUGGCGCAAUAUAACCCAAUGAUGCUAAGGUUUUAGUGUAUAAUUCACUUUCAUCGUCACCAAGCAGUUUUGGGUUACCAAAGUCGCUUAGGUGGUCAACCAUAUCCUCAUCCAGCAAGACAUUACUCGGCUUCAGAUCACAGUGAAUCACAGGCGACGAGCAACCAUGGUGCAGAUAUUCCAAUGCACAUGCCACAUCUAUCAUUAUGCUUAGCCUUUGCAUGAUGUCUAAGAAGUAGUUGUGCGAAUACAAAUACUUCUCAAGGCUCCCAUUAGGCAUAUACUCGAGCACUAAAGCCUUAAAAUCAAGGUUGGAACAGCUAGUAAUGACUUUUACGAGAUUCCUAUUGCGAAGGCUGCGCAGAACUUCACAUUCUGUAUCAAAGCUCUUGAAUGCUGCAUCUAGUUGCAGAUUGAACACUUUAACUACAAUGGCAGUUCCACUUCUGAGAACACCUUUGUAAACAGAGCCAAAACUUCCAGAACCAAUCAGAUUACUCUCGCUAAGCGCAUCAGUUGCUUGUAUCAAUUCAUAGUAUGAAAUUCUUUCUCUUGUUAUUGCAGACAAUGAAUCAGCUUGUUGAGGAGCUCUUUUACCUUUUCUAUACCAUAUCCAGAAAAAAAUAAAGGUGCAAGGAACAACUACUAGUGCAAUUCCCAGCAAAAGAAAAAGAACUAGUAUUUUUUUCCUGUUUGAUUUGUGCGUUGAUGAAGUGGGGCAUGGAGGGACACUAAAUCUUGAAGAACCACACAAUGCUUCAUUGUAGAUGAAAAACUGGCUCGAGAGGUUCUUGAAAGGACCUCCCGACGGUAUUUCACCGUACAAUUUGUUUACAGAAACAUUGAAAUAUUUCAAGUUUUGAAGUUUCUCCAAAGACUUGGGAAUUAUUCCAGAUAUAUUGUUAUGAGAAAGGUCUAGGAUCCUUGCAACUUGUUGUGUUUCAAAGAAAGGUGUGCCAGAUUUUGCAAUCCUCCAAUUUCUCUUGGAAUUCUAUUUGAAAAUUUAUUCAUCGAUAGAUACAUCUUUGUUACAGCCAUUAGAUUUCCAAUUUCUGGAGGUAAAGAACCUACCAUAUUUUUUGACGAUAAGUCAAGAACCACUAGAUCGUGAAGGUUCCCUAAACUUGGUGAUAUAUUGGAACUCAAUUUGUUGGAAAUGAGACGUAUCUCCUAAGGGAAUUAAUAUUCCAUAAAAAAUUAGGAAGAGAUCCUGAAAGUUGAUUUUGAUCCAAGUAAAUAUCACCCAGAUGCUGCAAUUUACAUAUAUGAUCACCAACAAAUCCUGUAAGUUUGUUGUUACUCAAGUCGAAGCGCUGAAGGUUUCUUAAGUUGCCAAUUGCUGUGUGAAUUGAUCCAGCCAAGUUGUUUCCAGAAAGAUCAAGGAAUAAUAAGUUGUUUCCUUGGUCAAGUCGCUAAAACCUGGUUUUGCAUAAACACCAAAAUAUUCCUAAAAUCAUUUGUCUUUUCAAAAAUAAACUUUUUCAAGGUUUAUCAAAAGACGUUUUUAAACAGGUCAGAUAACCGUAAGUUAGCGGACGUUUUAGGUGCCUAACACCUUCCUAAAACGUUAAUAGGAAUCGCUUACUUAGAAUCUCUUAACUUAAAAUGAUUUUCUUGUUUUGAAUCGUUUUAAGUAACUCUCUAAAGGUUUCUUAAUUCCUUUUCAAAAUUAAGUGGCGACUUUCUUCAAAAGUCAAAAUUUCUCUGCAAAACAAUAACUACUGGUGAUAAAUUUUCUAAGAGAUGUGGAAAGGUUCCCCAUGGAGGCCGGAAGCAUGCCAUUUAGCGGGUUGAGAGAUAUAUCAAGAAAUGUUAAAUUUCUACAUUUGGUUAAGGAAGUCAGGAAGCUUAAUGAUGAGUCACUGGUCAAAUUGUUUCCCCCUAAACUUAGAUAUUGUAGAUGAGUCAAAUAUCCAAGGGAAUUGGGAACAAGCUAGUGAGUUGGUUGUUACUAAGGUCUAGAAUAGUAAGUUUUGAAUAAUUGGAGAUAGAAUGAGGAAUUGUCCCAACAAGAUUGGUUAAGCUACUCAGAUAAAGCUCUUCAAUGUUGGGUAUGAAAGAACACAUGUUUGGUGGGAGGCUUCCUGAUAGAUUGUUUUCUAAAAGAUCAAUUUCUCUCAGCCCGGAUAUGUUGAAGAUCUCCAUUGGGAGUGAACCACAUGAAACACCCCGUAUUUUUGGGCUAGAGUUUAGACCGUCGUUCCUACGUAUAUAGACUCGAACUGAAUUAUUCUUUAUUAACAUACGUGUGGUAAACACUCCUAUCGUAAUGCCCCGUAAAAUUCUCAAGUCGAUUUCAUUUUUAGUGUUAUGUUUGAGGGGCUAACAACUAGAAUAUUUUUCUAAGUGUAAUGAGGACUUAGAGUCAUUUUAGCUGGCAAUCUUCGGGAGACAACUUUUCAACCAUCCCGACAUCCGUUUUUAGAUUUUCUAGUUGAGUUACGAUCCAGAAAGCUCAUAGUAAAUCUCGGAUAGGUUUCGGAAUUUUUCGGAACGCAUAAGGCUGUGUUUGGAUUUCAAAACAGUAGCAAACCGCAUAGCCUAUUGCCCAGUUUUCAGAAUUUCAGGGUCAACUUCAAACGAUCAUAACUCUCUGAAUAUAAUAAAUUGAGAAAGAAGCUACCUAUCAAAUGAAAGAUCUUUGAGUCUUCUUUCCAAUGCAACUGGUUUCAUCCAAAUCAAACAUCUGAGUAAGGAGUUAUACCCAUUUUACUUCAGUUUAUCAGCUUAUCAACUGAGGGACAGUUUCAAAUUUGUUUGUUUUCUUAGGGGCAUUUUAGUGAUUUCACCACACCAGAUUUAGCCCCCAAUUCAUCAAACUAUAAUCCUUUUCUCAAAUUUUCUCUCAAAAACACCCCUUAGGAUUUCAAAAUAAAAAUCCCAAUAACUCAAGAUUCAACCAUGGGUUUUCAAAAUAAAUUGAAGAUUUGGAAUCCCCGUAACAUAGGCUUCAAGAAGCACGUAUCACAUUUGCAUAUAGAGGUAUGUGCGGUUAUCUCAAAAAUCUCAUGGGCUUAAAAAUUCAUGUUUUAAAAAUGGGAUUUUUGAAAUUAUGAAUAUAAACAUGUUUCAAGCAUCUUUAUGAUAUUGAUUUGAUCUUUAGGCCUAUUUCCGAAGUGAUUUGAUAUAUUAUAUAUGCAUAUUCUUGUGAUUCAAAAGAUGUUAACUUGAGAGCAUGCAUUAUAUAAAACCCCUCUCUUAAUAUGAAAUUGUUUGAAAUUUUCAUAUGAUGUGAAUUGUUUGAAAUCAUCUUGAUAAGCAUGACAUGAACUAUUUUGAAAGUGGAUAUGAUUUUCGACUUGCAAGGAGAGGGUUAUUAUGUUGAAAUAUGAUGAAUAUAAUGGUUGCAUGAAAGAAUAAUGUGAUAUUGAUGGCUUGCAAGUCGGGUAUGACGAUACUCUACAGAAUAUGAUAUGUGAUUGAAUCAGAUGAAAUUUGAAUGUAUUGAUUUUUCACGAGAUAGGUGGAUACUCAAAGAAGGCAUUUGAGUGUAAGGGCUUAUUGCUGGAAACCGUGUUUUCCGACAUGGGAACUUGGUACUAUGCUUUGUGAUCUUGCAUACCUGACUUUAUGUCAUUCCCAAAUUGGGACUAUGGUUAGGAGCCUUGCUUUGUUGUCUUGUGCACUACCAUUGGGUCGGGACACCCUGUUGUGUGAUCUUGUGUGUCUUCCCCUCACUUAUAGUCUAAUAUCCGCGGCAACUAAGGUUUGAUAGUUGGUGUAAAUGUGAUAUGUAGGGUAUUCCACCUAGCUCAGCUACAUUGCAUUAUUGUUGAAAACAAUUACAUUACACCCAUGUGUUUUCAAAUGAUUUUAUAUGAAACUGCUUUAUAAUGACUUUCAACUAUAUUUUGUAAAAAUAUUAUGUUUUGUUUUGAUAUCUCUGUGUACCAGUACUUUUGUAUUGACCCCUUUCCCUCCCACGUUCGGAGGCACAGUCUAGGGGUAAAGAAAAUCAGUAGAUUUCCUCAGACAGAUUCGCAGAGUCACUUGGUGAGCCUUCUAUAUUUUGAUAGUCCUUUCCGAUUGAGUCCUAUAAGAUUUUAAAAAUUGUGCAAAGACUCGAUAGGAGUCUGUUAGUGCAUCAAUAUGUGUUGAUUCUGAUGUAAAUAUUGAUCCUGAUGGAAUCGUGCAUUCCAGCUUAAGGUAUUAAGUGUAUGUAGUCCCUCUCAAAAUCUUAUUACAAAUGUGGACAAUGUAUAGCAGAAUGUUGGAACUGUAUUUCUACCCGAAUAGUAGCUUAAGUUAAAGUGUUGUUGUCAUGACCUAUUGGUAGUGAUAUUGGACCAAGAAGUUGGUAAUUUAAAGUCACAAAGUUAGAAGUUAGAAGUCAGAGUAAGGGUGAUUUUGUGUAAAUGAAUAUUUCAGUUGAAUAACCGAUGUUUGAGGAUGAUUUACCCCUUUAUAGUGAUAAACUAAUGUGGUAGCUAGCAGCAUGUGUGGACGGUAUGGUUGUCCAUGGAGGAAGUGUUUUACUCAUAUUUUUACUUAUACGGAAUAAUAUGUAUAUUCUUAGACCAUUAAAUAUUAUGUGUCAAUUUUCUAUCCCUUGUAAUAUGUAAUCUUGUUUUCAUGGUGUUUUUGAAAAAAAUUAAAAAAAAAUUUAAAGUCUAGUGAAGCCGUGUGGGGAUCUUUUGAUUCACUAGCAUAAUUGUCUUGUCAUCCAUCUCAUUUUCUUGUUCAAAAUACAAAACCAAAGUCUAGUGAAGCAGUGUGAGGCCUGUUUCGAUUCACUAGCAACUUGUUGUUCUUUCGUUGGUUUAAUAUAUGUAUGGCUGAAUCUGUUUGCAUGAGAUUGAGUUGGUAAAGAGGUAAUUCGUCCUUGUGAGUUAGUUUAGUAAGGUAGAGAAGGAGUUGUUAGUCAGGGUGAUUUGUUGGUUGCUUGAAUGUGAAAUGGCUAUAUUAGUGAGUAAGUUAUGAUUAUAAACUCAAGGUUGUUUGAAGAAUUUGAAGGCAGUCUAAAUGUAUGAUUGAGUGAGUAAAUAUGAGGUGAGAAAUCCGUAUAAGUAGAAAAGAUUAUAUAGGGUUAUAAUAUAAUAUUAAGGUUUAUUGUGUCUAUUAUGUGACCUUACCCCUUGACCUUUUUUUGUUGAUAGUUGUAAACUAGUACUACUUAUGAGAAGGUAUGUAGCAGAUUUUGAAGUAUUUGGAAUAGAAUGUUCCAAUUUGAUGGAUUAGUAUAUUAUGCUGCACUUGUCAUUGGUGGUAGAUGAUUGAUGCUAGACCAUUGUCUUGAAUUUAAUGUAGGAUGUGGAUGUAAGAAUAGUGGCAUGAGAUUAAUGAUGUAUAUUUGUGGGAAUAAAUAUUAGUAGGCUUGAUGUGUUGAAAUAGUACGUGCUAAUGAGUUAUGAUAAGGAAGACCAUAAGGUCAAGGUCGAUUAUUGUUGUUAUAAAGUUCUAGUGUACUAGUAUUCCUUGAUGUUUACUUCAUGGUUUACAAGUGAGAAUCAUGCGUAAGGUUGGGUUGUAAAAUCAUGUUUAGCACUAGACAUUAAGUUUGAACAGUUGAAGUUCAUAAAGGUGGAUAUGAUGAUUUCUUGAUCAAUGAUGUUAGUUAUAUGAAAGUGAUCUAAUAGGCUUGAACGGUAUAUGAAAUGGCUUAAGUUUAAAUUGAUUUGUAAUGAAGUAUAAUAUUGUAGGUAUGGUGUAGAAGUAUGCCAAGGUGAUAUGAGGUUGCGGUAUAUUUUUCUAAGACUAUUACAUAAUUUGUGUGGCUAGUGGUACCAUUGAAUNNNNNNNNNNNNNNNNNNNNNNNNNNNNNNNNNNNNNNNNNNNNNNNNNNNNNNNNNNNNNNNNNNNNNNNNNNNNNNNNNNNNNNNNNNNNNNNNNNNNNNNNNNNNNNNNNNNNNNNNNNNNNNNNNNNNNNNNNNNNNNNNNNNNNNNNNNNNNNNNNNNNNNNNNNNNNNNNNNNNNNNNNNNNNNNNNNNNNNNNNNNNNNNNNNAGUAAGUGUAGUUCAGUUAGAAUCUGGUAAGGUAUCUCCCAAACUCUAGAUGAUGACUUGAAGCUAAGGGAGAGAUGAUAGAAUGAAUGACCAAGUAAGGCUCUUAGAUUCUAGCAGUGAUGUAGUAUGAUUUAGAACAUCAGAAAGUGAGGGUGAAUCUCAACCUAUUCCUACCUCAGUAUGUUUUUUUUAGUUAUUCAGAUGCUUACUCAUGCCUUACGAUCUAGUUCCGUGAUCGUAGUUCAUGAUUCCUGUAUAUGAUAGAGAGUCACAUACCCUUCCAAUUCCAAGAUAAUGAGUUCUAGUUCGUUCAAGUAGUCGGAAUCACAUUCCUUAUGUUAUGAACUCUAGUUGAGGUCAUGCAACUCAUGACGCAUGUACUCACUCUUUAUAGUGUGCUUAGUCCCGUAUAAAAAUCUUUUCAUGCUUCAGGAUCUUAUGUUUAACCUUUUAGUGACCGUCCCUAUACAAUGAUAGUGGUGAUGAUGUAAAUAUUCUUGUUGAUGGAAGAUCAUAGUAUGCUUGCUUAGAUAAGGCCAUAAGUAUGAAGUAAGAGUUGGGGCUAAGUCUUUGAUACACGUGAUGGUUAGUGGAAAAGUUUGUGUGUGUUUGUGUUGGGGUAGCGCGUGGGAGUUAUAUUGACAAUAGUUUAAAAACUAUGUGAAGUAUGUAUUUAUGAGUGGUUUCCUUGAAGUCAACAUGUGGUUAUAAAAUAGGCUUGAAUGAUGUUUUGGGAUUGUAGUGGAAGGUCUCAAUAUGCAUUAGCGACUUCAUAUUAAGAGUUUAGAGUAGUCAUUAAAGUGGUAAGGCAUGUUAUGCUUAGGAUGUGAUCUUUAAAAGAGGUAUAGAAGGAGGCAUCAUAUGGUUUAGAAUAAUAGCGUGGUACAGCAUGUUGUAUUUUUGUGACUUAGAGUUAGGCUUGAUCGCGGUGUAAGGAUUAAGCUAUUUUAGACAUUAGUAGAAAAAAAAAUUUGUCAAUGCUCAUAUGAGAAUUUUAAGCUGAAUUGAAUGAAUAUGAUAUUUAUNNNNNNNNNNNNNNNNNNNNNNNNNNNNNNNNNNNNNNNNNNNNNNNNNNNNNNNNNNNNNNNNNNNNNNNNNNNNNNNNNNNNNNNNNNNNNNNNNNNNNNNNNNNNNNNNNNNNNNNNNNNNNNNNNNNNNNNNNNNNNNNNNNNNNNNNNNNNNNNNNNNNNNNNNNNNNNNNNNNNNNNNNNNNNNNNNNNNNNNNNNNNNNNNUAUACUAGUAAUUGCAAGUAUAGAUCAGUUCAUGCGUCAUGCAUUAGAUUCAGAUUCCAGAGAUUCAGUUAUGAUUCAAUUCGUAGGUGCCCUGUGCAUCGCCUCAGUUCCCCGAGUAUCUUAGUGAAUUGAGUAUUCAUAGAGGGACAUAGGAUCCCAAGGGGGAGAUACCUCAUUCAGUUGCAUGCAUAGAUUCUUAUUACAAGCCUCGCACCAGCUAUCAUUGGUAUUCAGUCAUACAUUCAUACGUCAGUUAAGUCAGAUAUGCAUGCGCUAGAAAUGCAUGUUCAAUAGAAAAAGUUCAGCUUAUCAGUGUAUUUAGUCCUGCGUUCAUGAGAACAACUCAGUCAUAGAUCCAUGCAUCAGAUAUGCAUGUUCAUUAGGAGAAUUCAGCUUAUGAAUAGCUUCAGUUGUGUAUUCCAUGCAUCAGAUAUACACAUUCGGUAUAAGAAUUUAGAACAUCAGUAGUUCCAGCCUUAUAGUCAUGUUUCAGAUCAGUGUAUUCUUUCUUAGAGAAAAAUAUCAUGUCCGCAUUAUUCCAUACCUCUAAGCUUCAAUAUGUUCAUGUAACAUCCCGUAUUUUCGGGCUAGAGUUUAGACCGUCGUUCCUACGUAUAUAGACCCGAACUAAAUUAUUCUUUAUUAACAUACGUGUGGUAAACACUCCUAUAGCAAUGCCCCAUAAAAUUCUCGAUUCGAUUUCAUUUUUAGUGUUAUGUUUGAGGAGCUAACAACUAGAAUAUUUUUCUAAGUGUAACGAGGACUUAGAGUAAAUUUAGCUGGCAAUCUUCGGGAGACAACUUUUCAACCUUUCCGACAUUCAUUUUUACAUUUUCAAGUUGCUUUACAAUCUGGAAAGAUCAUAGUACAUCUCAGAUAAGUUUUGAAAUUUUUCGGAAUGCAUAAGGCUGCGUUUGAAUUUCAAAAAGUAGCAAAACGCAUAGCCUAUUGCCCAGUUUUCAGCAUUUCAGGGUCAACUUCAAACGAUCAUAACUUUCUGAAUAUAAUGAACUGGGAGAGCUUCUACCUAUCAAAUGAAAUUUCUUUGAGUCUUAUUUCCAAUACAACUGGUUUCAUCCAAAUUUAACAUCUGAGUAAGGAUUUAUACCCAUUUUACUUCAGCCUGUCAGCUUGUCAACUGAGGGACAGUUUUGAAUUUGUUUGUUUUCUUAGGGGCAUUUUAGUCAUUUCACCUCACCCAAAUUUCGUUUAUAACACCAGAUUUAGCUCCUAAUUCAUCAAAAUAUAAUCCUUUUCUCAAAUUUUGUCUCAAAACACCCCUUAGGGUUUCAAAAUAAAAAUCUCAAUAACUCAAGAUUCAACCAUGGGUUUUCAAAACAAAUAGAAGAUUUGAAAUCCCCGCAACGUAGGCUUCAAGAAGCACCUAUCACAUUCGCAUAUAGAGGUACGUGGGUUAUCUAAAAAAUCUCAUGGGCUUAAAAAUUCAUAUUUUAAAAAUGGGGGUUUUGAAAUUAUGAAUAUAAACAUGUUUCAAGCAUCUUUAUGGUAUUGAUUUGGUCUUUACGCCUAUUUCCGAAGUGAUUUGAUAUAUUAUAUAUGCAUAUUCUUGUGAUUCAAAAGAUGUUAACUUGAGAGCAUGCAUUAUAUGAAACCCCUCUCUUGAUAUGAAAUUGUUUGAAAUUUUCAUAUGAUGUGAAUUGUUUGAAAUCAUCUUGACAAGCAUGACAUGAACUAUUUUGAAAGUGGAUAUGAUUUUUGACUUGCAAGGAGAGGGUUAUUAUGUUGAAAUAUGAUGAAUAUAAUAGUUGCAUGAAAGAAUAAUGUGAUAUUGAUGACUUGCAAGUCGGGUAUGAUGAUACCCUACAGAAUAUGAUAUGUGAUUGAAUUAGAUGAAAUUUGAAUGCAUUGAUUUUACAUGAGAUAGGUGGAUGCCCGAAGAAGGCGUUUGAGUGUAAGGGCUCAUCGUUGGAAACCGUGUUUGCCGACAUGGAAACUUGGUACCAUGCUUUGUGAUCUUGCGUACCUAACUUUAUGUCAUUACCAAAAUGAGACUAUGGUUAGGAGCCCUGGUUUGUGAUCUUGUGCACUACCAUUGGGUCGUGUGAUCUUGUGUGUCUUCCCCUCACUUAUACUCUAAUCUCGGCAGUAACCGAUAUUUGACAGUUGGUGUAAAUGUGAUAUGUAGGGUAUUCCACCUAGCUCUGCUGCAUUGCGUUGUUGUUGUAAACAAUUACAUUACGCCCAUGUGUUUUCAAAUGAUUUUAUAUGAAACUACUUUAUAAUGACUUUCAACAAUAUUUUGUAAAAAUAUUAUGUUUUGUUUUGAUAUCUCUAUGUACCAGUACUUUUGUAUUGACCCCCUUCCCUCCCAGGUUUUAGAGGCACAGUCUAGGGGUCUAGAAAAUCAGUAGAUUUCCUCAGAUAGAUUCGCAGAGUCACUUGGUGAACCUUCUAUAUUUUUGAAGGCCUGAUAUCUGGCAGUUUCAUUUAUCAUUUAUUAGUUUUGGGUCUACUGUGGGCCUUGUCCCAGUUUUCAGAUAGAUAUUUAUUUUAGUCAUGUAGUAGAGAUUUCGCAGACGUAAUAGAGAUGUUGAUUGAGAUUGUGGGACAUUAUUCCCCAUUAUUGUUUUCAUAUAAUUCUUGACCAUGUUUCCGUUAUAUAGUGUAUCUUCCGCAUUUUUUUUCAUAUAAGUCAUGUGCAUGAUUACCAGAUAGAUAAGGGGUGUUUCGACCUUGAUGGUUCGGAAUACUCGUCACGGCCAGGUCCUCGAUUCGGGUCGUGACACCACUAAACCUAUUAAACUCAAGAGCAAGUACCUCGAACUCAAUGAGGUUGCUUAUCUCUUUGGGUAUUUCACCUGGAAACACAUAUAGUGGAUUACUGGUGAGUUUAAAUAGUUGGUUCCAUCUAUUUUUUGCUAAGAUAUAAGAAUUGCUUCUUGUUUAUGUUGUCAAUCUCCCAUGAUAUAAUCCACUAAGAUAUUAACUUUUAUAUUGUUGGUCAUACGAAAGUAUUAAAAGAAAAAAGAAAAAAAAAAUAUGUAUAGAAGAUAAAUAUAUCUGAACAGAGCCAUUAAUCUGGCUUCGCUCUCCAUGCCUAAUACCCCCAAACUUAGAUACCUCAAUUAAUUCAAUAACUGAAAUUACCCCUGCAGUUACUGUGUAGUCAAAUAAAAUACCGAAGCAAUUAGAUACAAGCAUUCAUAAGAUAAAACAUACCUGUGAAAUGGUCAGUUCCGAGAAACAAUUGCUGCAAGUUACUAAAUCUUCCAAUUUCACUAUGUAUUGGUCCAUCAAACUCAUUUUCCGAUAAACCUAGUAGUUGAAGUUGUGAGCAAUUUGACAAGCUCGUCGGCAUAUGACCAUGACGCUUGUUAUCGGAUAGAUAAAGCCCUUUGAGUAUUGGGAGACCAUUGCAUAAACCAUUGGGCAGAUAUCCGAUAAGCUAUUGCCUGUAAAUGCAAUGACUUCGAUUCUUGAGAUAUUGAAAAUUGUGAAUGGUAUAGACCCCGUAAGUUGAUUAGCUUGUAUGCCCAACAACUUCAUGUUGUGAAGAUUGCCGAUCCCUUCUGGAAUAUUCCCUUGAAGUGAAUUAAAAGAUAUAUCUAAAGUCUCCAACCUCGAGACAUUUGAGAGUGAUAGAGGAAUAGAAGCUAUGAGCUUGUUACCUCGCAACCUUAAUUCUCCAAGGUUUAUAAGACUUCCAAUCACUUUUUGUAUUUGUCCCUCAAUUGAAUUUAAAUUCAGAUUCAAAAUCUCAAGUGUGGACACAUUAGAAAAUGUAGAAGGGAUGGAACCAGUGAAACUAUUAUUUCUAAUAUUAAUAACUUGAAGUUGGUGUAAAAACCCAAAACAACAAGGAAUCGCCCCUCUGAAGUUGUUGAAACUUAAAUCAAGAAACUUAAGCCGACGUAAGCGUGCCAUUUCAUGAGGCAAAUUUCCAUGGAAAUUGUUGCUUCCCAAGUCAAGAGAAACAAGAAAUGAGAGGUUUCCAAAUUCACAAGGAAUCUUGCCAGUAAGAGCCAUGUUAGAAAGAUUCAAGGAUUUCACUCAUUGGUGACGAGAACAACAAGUGACUCCAACCCAAUGACAAACAAAAACAGCGGGAGACCAGUUUUCAUCCAAGAAGUUGGAGGGGUUGGAAAUGAUUUGAGAUUUUAAGGACAAAAGAGCUAAUUGAUCAGUGGUAAUGUUGGUUUGAGUCAUGGCUGAACUAGCCAUAAGCAACAAGAGUGUUGAAGAGAAAAAAUGUGAAGAUUUUCUCCAUUAUUGCAUAAAUUUGUAGGUAGGCUCCAUAACAUGUGAUUUUGAGACUUUAAAUAGCAAUGAGGUCUCCCUUUUGGUCUUCAUGAUUUUAAAAAAAAUACUUUUCCUCAUUCAUUCUCUUAUAUUUAGUGGCUGAAUCAAAAUUUUCAACAAAAAAAUUCAAAAUAUAAAGAAGUAAAUUCAUCAAAAAAUCAAAGAGUAUCAUUAUGUAAUAUAUACAUAAAAAAUAUUUUUACAUACCUACACAAUGUAUUUUUUAGACUAACAUGUGGCUCCGCCAUUGGUCAUAUCAAUUUUAAUUUCACCAAGUUUUGCACGUUUCAAUCAGCCCAAGACUUGUGCAAGUCAUCAACCAAGUCUUGCUUUAUCUUUUCUGGACUAGACUUUAUGUUCCUCUAAUAGAUUAGUAAAAUUAACUUAUACUAUACGCUCGAGAAAUAUUUUUACAAGAUUUGCAUAGUUUACAUCUUUAUAAUCCUUUUAUCUCUAGCUAAGAAAGAAUAUGUUGUUAAUUUAGAUCAUUUUUGUAUACAAUGGUAAUAAAAGGAGCUUUUAAUUAUAGUUUAUAAUGUUAGAAUUUUUUUCCUGAUUUUCUUACCAAGUUUAAGUUUUUCUUUUCUUGAAAAAAAAAAAUAAUACCAUAAUUACUUUUACUUUUCCUAAAAAGAAAAUAUAAAUCUUUUUCAUAUUUGGCAAACGUCUUUCUUGGAGGAAAGGUUUUGAAUUUGAACAUGUGGUAGUUCAUUACUAUAACACAAUAACCUCCACAAGGUAGUUCAUUAAAUAAUUUUGUUUAGAGGGAUAUUUUCUCCUAAUAGGUUUUAAAUUUUUCAUUAUUAUUUUAAUAUGUAGGUCAUUUGACCAAAUCAUAUUAAUAAUAUAUUUUUAGUAUUUGUUUUUAAUUUAGUAUCAUCUUAUUUAUCAUUUCUAUAGUUUGCAACUAUUAGCUUCCGCAUGAUUCCCUCUCGAUUUCGAACCCAACAUAUAAUUUGUUUGAAAUUUUGAUUUGUUUUAUAAUAAAUUUGUAUGAACUUUUUUUUUAUAAAAGAAUUCACAACAUUAAGAGCCCAUUUGAAUAGGAUUAAAAUCAGGUCAAAUUAAUUUUUAAACUUUUAUUUUUAGUUUUUUUUUAAAAAAUAUUUGAUAAAAUUAAAAAGUGCUAAAAAAAUGAAAAAACUAUUUUUUUUUUAAAUAAAAAUAAAAAAGUGGGAAGCUGUGUACCCUCACCUUUUUAUUUUUUGGAUUAAAAUUCUUGGAGGUUUUGAUAAAAAUAUUUAUCUUUUUAUCCCUUAUAUUUUCCUUUAAUUCCAAUGAUACCAUGAACUUGUAGCCCAUGAAUAUGUGAUUUUUCUUUCUUUUUUUCCCUGGUUCUUUUUGUCUCUUUCCUUCAAUUUUCUCUUCAUCUUUCUCCUUUGUUUUGAGAAAAUUCAUCAUUACAUCGGAGGUUUGUUCAUGAACUUUUCUUAAGUGUCGUAUUUUCUAGACAUGUUCUAUCUCUUUUAUUUUAAAUAUUUUUUAGUUAGUUUAAAAUGAAGGAUUCUCUUGUUAUCUCGACAUUGUAUUUUUCUCCACAAAUUUUUCAAAUGGAAUAAGUCAAAAGAAACAAGAAAUGUGAGGCUUCCAAAUUCACUGGAAAUCUUGCAAGAGUUAUGUUGGAAAGAUUUAAGGAUCUCACUCUCUGGUGAUGAGAAUCACAAGUAACUCCUACCCAAUGGUAAACAAAAGUACCAGAAGACCAACUCUUUUUUUAUAAAUAUAAAUAUACAUGUCAAGCAAGUCUAGAAGAUAUAUAUAUAUAUAUAUAUAAAGACUUGUACAAAUCAACCAAGUCAUGUUUUAUUUCACAUUGGGCUUAAAUUCUUUGUAAAUAGUCUCGCUUUCGCAUUCUCUAGAAUACUUACUACUCUCUUAGUCCUAUAAUAAGUUUGACCUUAAUAAACAAAAACUAUUAUUACCUAAGGAAUUCUAGAAAAAAAAUCUUAUGUUUUUCCAAUUAUACUCUUGUACUCCAUCUUCUUGACAGUGUCCAAUUUUCAAGAGAAAUUUAUUAAAUUGGGGUAAUUUAGUAAAUUAAAUAUCUUUUUUGUCUUGAUUUCUUGAAGGGAGUGAUUUUUGCUAUGAUAACAUUUUUUCUUUUUGGGGCGGCUGUUACCACUAUUAAACAAUAAAUCAAUAAUUAUUGUUUAGUUGGCUUGGAAAAAAAAACAGUUAGACGGUUUCCUAUUGGAUGGUUUUAAAAAUAUUUCUCCAUAUUACCAACUUUCAGCAAGCAAAGAAGAAAAUUUGCUUUCACGUUCUACAAUUGGUGUUGAAUUUGGUACAAGAACUAUUCAUGUUGAUGACAAAAUUGUCAAAGUUCAAAUUUGGGAUACUGCUGGUCAAGAAAUGUGCCAUUUCCUUUUCCUUUAUUCUAUUAUUAAAUCGUGAUGGAUCUAGAAUUUUAAGUUGAUAUGUAAUUGUGAUUAAUGCGCGCACACACAUAUAUAAUGUUUGACCAUAUUUUGGUGUUCGCAGGUAGGUAUUUAAACUUGUAUACAAUUGAACAAGUAGAAAUACACAUCAUAUGUGACAACUACGUCGCAUCUACAUGGCAAUCUCAUACGAAUUACCACAUAGAUGACACAUAGGGCGUGUGUGUUUACUUGUUCAAUCUAACACAAAUUUAAGUGUCUAUUUGUGCACAUCCAAAGUUGGAGGACAUAGAUGCGAGCUGAAGUCAAGUUAAAGGGCAUACUUACGUAUGAUGCCAAAUUUGUAUGUUGAAAGAAUUCGAUGGUGAAAUAUAUGCUACGAAAGAAGUGGUUAUGUUGACCUUAUGCUACGAUUCUUCGUUCUCUUAAUAAAUUUCUAGUUAGAUGAUCACUGUGUCCACUAAUUUUACAAUAUCCGCGCCUCUCCCUGAAUUAUAUCUGAUCGUUUUUCAUGUCUCAUAAAAAGGUAUCGAUCCAUCACUAGUGGAAAUUAUCGCGGAACAGUGGGUGCCUUACUGGUUUACGACAUAACACGCCAUGUUACAUUUGAGAAUGUAGCAAGAUGGCUCAAAGAAUUGAGAGACCACACAGACCAAAACAUCGUUUUAAUGCUCGUGGGGAAUAAGGCGGAUCUUCGCCACCUCAGAGCUUUCCCCACGGGCGAAUCAAGUGGUUUUGCAGAAAGAGAGAACACUUUCUUCAUGGAAACAUCUGCACUUGAGGCACUCAAUGUAGAAAACUCCUUCACAGAAGUACUCACUCAGAUUUAUCAAGUGGUUAGUCGUAAAGCUCUUGAUAUAGGAGAUGAUCCUGCAUCUAUACCAAGAGGACAGACAAUUAACAUCGGAAAAGAUGAUGUAUCUGCUGAUAAGAAAGGUGGAUGUUGUUCAGAAUGAGUAUGAUCCCUUUUUCCGUAUACACAAAGGUGGACUCUCCCUAGAUCUGCCUCUGGAUGAAAGCAUAUAAUACUCAAAACUAAUCUCAUUUUCAACAAAUGUAAGUUGGACAAAAGAACUAAUAGCACAGUAUAUUGUUGAGGAAACUAAAGGGGGAUGGAAUUUGUAAAAGGGGAAUUUCAGCUAAGCAAAACUUCUUGUUUCCAUAAGAUACUUGCAAUAGACUGAAUGUCUAUGUUGCUCGGACUCUUCAAAAAUGUAGAUGUGUGCGUGUUUGAAUCUUCUAAAGUAGUGUAUUUUUUAAGUAUUCUGUCAUAAGGCUGCAACAGUCAGAUUUAUUGCAACCAGCUAGAACUGUUGAAAACAGAAUCAUGCCCAAAUCAAGUGCUAAAAGAUAAAAGCGAACCACUAUAAAAAUUUGCAACAUUGUUCAACAUGCAAGAAGUUGAACAUUGAUCUUCUGUAGCAUUCCUAUAACAUCGCUCAUGUUAGUCCUUCUUGCCGGAUUUUCAGCACAACAAUCCAAUGCUACAAUCAUGAUUGAUGCCACAACAUCUAGUUUCAUUUGUAAGCGACUACCCAUUUGGGUUACCAAGUUGGCAUCUACGACGUCCAUUACAGCAUCUGGAAGUGAAAAACUCACCCAUUGCUUCAAGCUAAGAUCUCCCUCAAACUCAUUGGGCUUUCUCCUAGUAAACGUUUCCAGCAACAUGACCCCAUAACUAUAGACGUCGCACUUUGCUGACACUAGUCCAUUCAGUCCAUACUCUACAGUCAAACAAUUCAUUUAAAGAUACAAUAAACUUUCUUGGUAGGAAAAAAGGAAAGGAGUAAUCAGCAAAACUAAGAGAUGUACCUGGAGCAAUAUAACCUAAUGUUGCUAAGGUUUUAGUGUAUAAAUCACCCUGAUCUUCACCAAGCAGUUUUGAAAUGCCAAAGUUGCUUAGGUGGGCAACCAUAUCUUCAUCCAGCAAGACGUUACUAGGCUUCACGUCACAGUGAAUCACAGGCAACGAGCACCCAUGGUGAAGAUAUUCCAAAGCACAUGCCACAUCUAUCAUUAUGCUUAGUCUCUGCUUGAUGUCGAGGAAGUAGUUGUGUGAAUACAAAUACUUCUCAAGAUUCCCAUUAGGCAUAUAAUCAAGAACUAAAGCCUUGAAAUCAUGAUUGGAACAACUAGUAAUGACUUUUACGAUAUUCCUAUGGCCAAGGCUACGCAAAAUUUCACGUUCCGUAUCAAAACUCUUGAAUGCCGCAUCCAGUUUCAGGUUGAACACUUUAACUGCAAUGACAGUUCCACUUCUGAGAACGCCUUUGUAAACAGAGCUAAAACCUCCAGAACCAAUCAGAUUACUCUCACUAAGCGCAUUAGUUGCUCGGAGAAGUUCAUAGUAUGAAAUCCUUUCACUUGCUUCGGUAGACAAUGAAUUAGCUUGUUGAGGAGCACUUUUACCUCUUCUAUACCUUAUCCAUAGGAAAACAAAGGUCAUAGGAACAAAUACAACUGCAGUUGCGAGCAAAAGAAUAAGUACUAGCAAUUUUUUUCUAUUUGAUCUGAGCUUUGAUGAAGUGGGGCAUGGUGGGACACUAAAUCUUGAAGAACCACACAAUGCUUCAUUAUAGAUGAAAAACUGACUCGAGAGGUUCUUGAAAGGACCCCUCGAGGGUAUUUCACCGUACAAUUGGUUGUGUGAAACAUUGAAAUACUUGAGGUAUUGAGGUUUCUCCAAAGACAUGGGAAUGAUUCCCGAUAAAUUAUUGUGAGAAAGGUCUAGGAAUUCCAAACCUACCAUGUUGAUCAUUGAGUCAGGUAUAGCUCCUUGCAACUUGUUGUGUCUCAAAGAAAGGUACGCUAAAUUUUGCAAGCCUCCAAUUUCUCUAGGAAUUUCAUUUGAGAAAUGAUUUAUCGACAGAUCCAUCUUUGUUAUGGCCUUUAGAUUUCCAAUUUCUGGAGGUAAUGAGCCUACCAUGUUGUUUGACGAUAAGUCAAGAACCACUAGGUCAUGAAGGUUCCCUAAGCUUGGUGGUAUAUUAGAACUCAAUUUGUUGGAACCGAGAUGCAUCUCCCUAAGGGAAGUAAUAUUCCCUAAACAAUAAGGAAGAGAUCCUGAUAAUUGAUUUCGACCCGAGUAAAUAUCACCCAAAUGCUGCAAUUUACAUAUAUGAUCUCCAAUAAAUCCUGUCAAUUUGUUGCUAUUCAAGUUGAACCGCUGAAGGUCUCUCAAGUUUCCAAUUGAUGUUGGAAUCGAUCCGACCAAGUUAUUCCCAGAAAGAUCAAGGUCUAAUAAGAUGCUUAAGUUCCCAACUUCAUUUGGAAUUCGCCCUUUGAUUUUGCCAUUGUUGGCAUAAAAAUUUCUAAGGGAUGUGGAAAGGUUCCCUGUGGAGGCCGGAAGCAUAUCAUUUAGAGGGUUGGAAGAUAUAUCAAGAAAUGUUAAAUUUUUACAAUUGGUUAAGGAAGUCAGGAAGCUUAAUGAUGAGUCGCUAGUCAAAUUGUUUCCCCCUAAAUUUAGUAACUGUAGAUGAGUCAAAUAUCCAAGAGAAUUGGGAAUCAAGCCAGUGAGUUGGUUGAUAGAAAGCUCUAGAUGAGUAAGUUUUGAACAAUUGGAAAUGGAAUAAGGAAUAGUCCCAACAAGAUUGGUUAAGUUGUUCAUAUAAAGCUCUUCAAUGUUGGGUAAGAUAGAACACAUGUUUGGGGGGAGGUUUCCUGAUAGAUUGUUGUCUGAAAGAGAAAUCAGUUUCAGCCCUGAUAUGUUGAAGAUCUCCAUUGGGAUUGAACCACUAAAUCUAUUAUUGCUAAGACUAAGUAGCUCCAACUCAAUGAGAUUGCUUAUCUCUUUGGGUAUUUCACCUGGAAACAUAUAUAGUGGAUUACUAGUGAGUUCAAAAAGUUGGUUCAAUCUAUUUUUGCUAAGAUAUAAGAAUUGCAUCUUGUUUAAGUUGUCAAUCUCCCGUGGUGAGAAUCCACUAAGAUAAAAACAUACCUGUGAAAUGGUUAUAUCCGAGAUACAAUCGUUGCAAGCUACUCAAUCUUCCAAUUUCACCAUGUAUUGGUCCAUCAAACUCAUUUUUUGAUAAAGACAAUACUUGAAGUUGUGAACAAUUUGACAAGCUUGUAGGCAUACGACCGUGAAGCUUGUUAUAAGACAGAUAAAGCCCUUUGAGUAUUGGGAGACCAUAGCAUAAACCAUUGGGAAGACUUCCUGAUAAGCUAUUGCCAGUAAAUGAAACGAUUUCGAUCCUAGAAAAAUUGAAAAUUGUGAAUGGUAUAGAACCCGUAAGUUGAUUAUAUUGUAUGGACAACCAGUUCAUGUUGUGAAGAUUGCCAAUUCCUUCUGGGAUGUUUCCUUGAAGUGAAUUAAAAGAUAAAUCUAAAGUCUCCAACCAUGAGGCAUUCGAGAGUGACAGAGGAAUAAAGCCUAAGAGAUUAUUACCCCUCAAGUUUAAUUCUCUAAGGUUUCCAAUCAUUUUUGGUAUCUGACCCUCUAUGGAAUUGAAAUUCAGAUUCAAAGUACCUAGUGUGGAUAUAUUAGAAAAUGAAGAAGGGAUGGACCCAGUGAAACUAUUAUUCCUAAGAUUUAGAACUUGAAGUUGGUGUAAAAAUCCAAACCAUGAAGGAACCUCCCCGCCAAAGUUGUAGACACUUAGAUCAAGAAACUUAAGCCGGCGCAACUGUGCCAUUUCUUGAGGCAAAUUUCCAUGGAAAUUGUUGCUUCCCAAGUCAAGAGAAACAAGAAAUGUAAGGUUCCCUAUUUCACGGGGUAUUACACCCAUAAGAUUCAUGUUGGAAAGAUUCAAGAAUCUCACUCUUUGGUGACGAGAGCCACAAGUGACUCCAUCCCAAUGGCAAACCGACGUAGCUGGAGACCAACUUUCAUCAAAGAGGUGAAGGGGUCUGACAGGAUUUGAGAUUUCAGGGAAAGAAGAGCUAAUUGAUCAGUGGAGAUAUUAAAUUGGGUCAUGGCUGAGCUACUUAUAACAAAGUACUGAAGCAACAAGAGAAAACAGGUGAAAGGAACAAGUUUCUCCAUAAUUGCAUAUAUUGGUAAGAAUGUGGAUAUGGAUUGUAAUGAUGUGGUUUUGAGACUUUAAAUAGGAAAGAGGCCUCUUUCUCUUUCUGAUUUUAAAAUCUACAAAAAUCUCUUUUAUGAGAAUUUUCCAUACAUACAUAUUUUAAGGAAAGAAGGAACAGCUUUCCUUUAUUCAUUAUUUUAGUCAUUUGAAGACUAAUAAUACAACUAAAGAAACAAAAAAAAAAGUAACUUUAAUUUGUUUAAGUAGCAGAUCAAGAAAGAAGACUCAAAAAGGAGUCUUCCACGAAGUUUGUCACCUCUACUGCAAAAGCAAUAUAAUAUCAAAAGUUUAUUUAACUAACUGCCCAUUGUCAGAUAAUAUCAAAAGCUUAUUUAACUAACUGCCCAUUGUCAGAUGAUAAGCAUACUGUUUCUUAUCAAAAUUAAGUUUACUUUUCUUAUAAGAAAAAUAAAAGUAAUACCAUAAUAACUUUUAAUUUUCCUGAAAGGAAAAGAUAAAACUUUUUCAUAUUUGGUAAACCUCUUUGUAAUAUGAAAGGUUUUGGACCUCUAUAAAUAGAAACCCUUCUUAUACCUUAACAACACAGUAACAUCCAUAAUGUAGUCUUUAAAGAAUUCAGUUUAUUGGGAGAUUUCUCCCAAUAAAUUGAAUAUUUUUUUAUAUUAGAUUUUUAAUAUGUAGGUCUCUUGACCAAAACAUAUCAAUAAUAUUAUGUUUUUAAUUUAGUUUUCUUUUGCGUUGAUUUAUCAUCUCAUGGAUUGCAAACUUUAAGCUUACGCAUGACGCCUUCUUGAUUUCGAUCCCAACAAGUGCUAUCAAAGUUUAUGGUUCAAUGAUCCGGUGGUUCAGAUUGAGGACAUAUUAAGAUCAAAGUUGCAAUCAGUUUGAUGAUGAUGAAGAUCUUUGUCUAGCUACAUGUGGAGAAGUAGUUUAAAACAUAUUUUCAACAUUUCUGCUGCUGCAUCUUUAAAAAUAAAAAUAAGAUAUUUUUUAAAUAAUUUUUAAACUUUAUUUUUAACUAUGGCAAGCAACAAUUAUGAAGAUUAUAUCAAGAACGAAGUUUAUGCCUGUGAUGUGAAGAAGACAGAUCAAGUGAAGAAAAUAAUGUCAAAAAGAGGAAAUUUGUUAGGGGUUUUUGCUCUGAUUUUCUUACCAAAAUUAUGUUUUAAGAAAAAUAAAAGUAAUACCAUAAUUAAUUUUAUUUUUCCUAAAAGGAAAAUAUAAAAAUUUUCCUUCGCAAACCUCUUUCUAUGAGGAAAGGUUUUGGAACUCUAUAAAUAGAAGGACCCCCUUCUUAUACCAUAAUAUAGAAGCAUCCACAAUGUAGUCUUUAAAGAACCUUUGUUUAGGGGGAGAUUUCUCCCAAUAAAUUUAAUGUUUUUCGAUAUUAGAUUUUCAAUAUGUAGGUUUCUUGACCAAAACAUAUUAAUAAUAUUAUGUUUUUAGUUUAGUUUUCUUUGUUGUCUGAUUUAUCAUCUCAUGGUUUGCAAACUUUAAGUUUUCGCAUGACGCCGUCUCAAUUUUGAGUCCAACACAUAGUGAGUCAACAUAAUGGGCAAUGAAGAAUGUCUGCAAUCUCAAAAACACACACAUGAACACUGUUAAAGAACAUAAAAUAAUAAACCAUUAAAUCCAUAUUAAAAAUAGCAUUUCCCAUUUAUUAACCUUUUCUUUUUUUCUUUUGGUGAAAUAUGCACGUGGCAAUAGGAAAUGAAAAAUUGACAAAUAUUUAUGCAGACACUCAAAAUAAAAUAUAAUAAUAAUGUCACAUUAUAUGUGGCCCCCCCAAUUACAUCAGUCAAGUCAAACUCUCCCUCACUUGACAGUGGUUUUGUUUGCCUCCCCUCUCACUGCUCUUCCCCUAUGCUUUCUCUCAUCCUUAUUACUUCUGAAAGCAGCACCAAAGAGGCAAAAAAGUAGGAAGGGGGCGACAAGGGUACAGAAUGUGAAUGGAGGAGUUGCAAAGGCGGCAGCAAGGGUGAUGAAAGGGAGUGUAGGAGUUGUGAAAGCGGAGGAGAAAGUGAAGGGGGUUGCGGAGGAGAUGCAAUACCGGGGAGAUGCAAUACUGGGGAUUACGGAAGAGGCCGUCGGGGAAAUACACUGCAACCACUAGAGAUCCGAGGAAAAUAUGCAACUAUUUUUAUAGAUUCGUUAAAACAAUUAAAUUUCUAUUAAAAUAGGUGUGUAAUGAAUAAUAAAAGGCAACAAUUACAAAUAAAUCUAUAUAAGUAUGACAAGAAGCAAUAAUUCAGGGUGUAUUUUAAUAUGACAAGAAGAAAUAAUUCGGGGUAUAUUUUAUGUUUAAAAUUAAUUUUUAAUUUUAAGCAAUGAACUGUAAAUUGUGAACUUUAAUUAGUAGUUGGCAAAUUUUAAAUAAAGUCACAAAUAACUAUUUUGAGCCCAAAUAAAAAUAGAGACUUUCUAUAGAAAUUCAAAGAAAAUUAAAUUUAAGAAGCGUAAUAGACAGAAAAAAUAAAACAGAGAAGGAAAAAUACAAUAUUCACAUCCUUCUUAAGACUUUAUUCAUAACAAUAUAAAUGGAAAAAGAAAUAUAGAAUCGGUACAUGGUUGAUUGAGCUCUUGUCGGCACUAUCUCACAUAAUCAAUCAAAUUUCAAGAGUCUUCUUCAACGAGUCAAACUAAAACAAGAAUCAAGUAGUACAAUAAAAAAAAUGUCUUUCGCUACUAUAACUAUUGAAUGAAAAAGUUAAUUUUGUGGGGAAGGAGUCUCAUGAAAUAAAAAAGAUGAAUUUAUAUAGAUAAAGUUUUGAAUUAAAUAUUUAUAUCAAUACUAAUACCACCAAAUCAACCAAGUCUUUUACAUCCCAAUCAGAAUUAUAAAUAUGGUGGCAAAAUUCCUCUAAUUAGCCAAAGACUUGGCAAGUCAACCAAGUCUUUCUUUAUUUUUUGUGUGCUUAAUUCUUUGUAAAUAGUCUUGCUUUCAUAUUCUCUAGAGUUGUGCGGUGAAAAGUAAUGUCAGUUUACUAACUUAUACUAUAAUGUCUUCUUAAUAUUAAUCAAGUUUAAUCCAUUUGGCACUACUGGAUUUAUCCCAGGCAAUGAGAGCCUUUCAAGAUAGUCAAGUUUUGUCUAGUGAAUUACCUUAUAUAAUGAUGAAUAAUUCCAUUCACUAUCAUCACUCACUUAAUUAUACUAUUAUUUUUCUAGGUAAAGGCAACUCUCUAGAUCUUAUGCUAUGAACACAUCUCUGGCCAAAUAGUGAACAUGAACAAAACUUGCUAUAUGGUGGCUCCAAACAUGUCACGGUCCGAACAGGGGCCCUCACCGUGACAAGCAUUCCGAAUCAUGAAGGCCCAAAACACCCCUAUCUAUCUGGUAAUCAUGCACAUAAUUCAUGCGAUAAAAUGAAAUGCGGAAGAUACACAAUAUCACAGAAACAUGGUCAUGAAAUCUAAUGAAAUCAAUAAGGGGAAAUAACGUCCCACAACAUCUAUCGACAUCCGAAAACCGUUUGCGAAAUCUCUACUAAUGACUAAAACAAACAACUAUCUGAAAACAGGGACAAGGUCCCCAGUAGACCCAAAACUAUUAAAUGAUAAAUAAACUGCCAGACAUCAGGCCUUCAAGAAUAUAGAAGGCUCACCACUCGACUCUGCAAAUCUGUCUGAAGAAUCUACUAAUUAUCUGAACUGCAAGACUGUGCCUCCGAACCUGGGAGGGAAGGUGUAAUGCCCUGCAAUUCGGACUACAAUAUAGACCAUGAUUUCGAUGCGUUGUUAAUUCUGAAGCCAUAAAAUUCUAUGCCAAUACGGCAUGUUAAUUAUCGUGUAGCAUAUGAAAUCCACUCAAGCUUCAAUUUAGAUCAUAGAGGUCCUACAAUUCAAGGACGAGUCAAAACUAUUUUGAUCGACUAAGUUUUAGUGGACGUUGUAAAGUGUGUCAUCUUCCUUCAACCAUAACUCUCUGUAUAUGUCGAAUUAGGAAACCUACUAUGUGUCAAAUGAUAGGUAUUCGAGUUAGCUUUCCAACGACACCUAUUUGGCUAAAAUCCGACACCUGAGCAAGAAGUUAUAACCUUUUAAAGUGAUAAGCGAUGCCUAACCAAUCGCCCAUGGCCACUGGAAAGCAUAGACGAUAGCCUAGGCGGCACCUAUGUGAUAUCAGGCGAUAGCCUAGGCGGCACCUAUGUGAACAUAGGCGAUAGCCUAGGCGACGCCUAUGUGAAAAUAGGCAAUGAGAUGGGCGGCGCCUAUGUAAGGAAUUCUAAUGAUUUAAACACUCCGUGUUGAGGAUAAAGUGGUCCUUUUCCACCCUUACUUAGCCCUAAAACACGAGAUUUAGUUCCAAGGAUCCCAAAAUACAUAUUCUUUCAUCAAAAGUGCUUAAGAUUCUCCUUAGGGUUUUAAAAAUAAAAACCCAAAUAGUUCAAGAUUUGACCUUAGGUUUUCAAAGAUAACUACAUAUUCGGAAUCACCAAUCUGCAAUCUUCACGAAGCAUUUAUUAUCCUUGGAAAUAGAGGUACAUGGGGUUAUCCAAAAAUAUCAUGGGUGUAGUUUUAUGAACAUGCAUGCUUUUAAAUGGGGUUUUCAAUCAAAUGCUAAUAUCUUGCUUUCAAUAUGAUUUCUAAGUCAUUUUCUUUAUGUUAUGGGAAUUGUUUGCCUAUAUACUUCAAUGGUUGAAAUCAUGCACAUGUGAUUUGAGAUUUUCCAUGGAAGUUGAUAAAUAUGAAUGAUAAAUUAUUUUAAAAUUCCCAUGAUAAUGUUUCGAUACUCCAUAUUAUAUUGUGAUCAACAAAAGAGAGCAUGAAUUUGAAAUAAAUAUUGUUCACCACUCGUAAAUGAUGAAGCACCUUGGUUUUUACAUGGUUAUGCAUAUGUGGAUGUGACAUUGGUGACUUGCAAAUAGGGUAUGAUGAUACCCUUCAAAAUACAAUAUGUGAUUGAAAAAAAAUUUAAAUUUGAAUGCAUUGAUUUUACAUGAGAAAAGUGGAUGCCCGAAGAAGGUGAUUGAGACACAAGGGCUCAUCGCUAGAAUAACGUGUUUGCCGACACGAAAUAUUGGUACCAGGCUAAGCGAUCUAUGUACUUGACUUCAUGUUGGGACUAUAGGUAGGAGCCUGAGCCAAGUGAUCUUGGGCACUAUCAUAGGGUUGAGACACCAUGCUGUGUCGUCUUGAGUGUCUCUCCCUAACUUAUACUCUAAUCUCGGCGGCAAUCGAGGUUUGACAGUUGGUGUAAAUUAUGUAGGGUAUUCCACCUAGCUCAGUUGCAUUUCAUUACUGUUGAGAAAAAUUAUUGUAUUACACCCAUGUAUUUUCAAAUUAUACGAAAUUGCUUUAUAAUGGCUCUCAUCUAUGUUUUGUAAAAAUAUUAUGUUUUGCUUUGAUAUCUCUGCGUGCCAGGACUUUUAUGCUGACCCCCUCCCCUCUCCAACCUCUUAGGUUCAUAGGCCCAGUCUAGGGGUCAAGAGAACCAGUAGAUCUUUCAGACAGAGUUGCAGAGACAAGUGGUGAGCCUUCUAUGUUUUUGAAGGUCUUAUGUCCUGUAGUCCUUUUAUCUUAUAUUAGUUUUGGGUCUGCUGGGGGCCUUAUCCCAGUUUUUAGAUAGUUAUUUGUUUCAGUCAUAUAGUAGAGAUUUCGUAGACGAUUUUCGAGAUGUUGAUUUAGAUUGUGGGAUAUUAUUCCCCAUUAUUGUUUUCAUAUGAUUCUUGACCAUGUUUUCGUUAUAUUGUGUUUCUUCCACAUUACUUUGAUCAUAUAAAUUAGGUGCAUGAUUACCAGACAGAUAGGGGUGUUUUGGGCCUCCAUGGUUCGAAAUGCUCGUCAUGUCCAGGCCCUAGUUUGGGUCGUGAUAAACUUGGUAUCAAAGCACGGUUCAUGGUCCCAGGGUGUCUGCAAAAUCAUGUCGAGUAGAGUCUUAUUUAUGGGUGUAUAGCGCACCACACUUAUAAGCAGGAGGCUGCUAGGUGUUUAGGAAAUAUUUUCCUUCUUUGUGAUUUAGUUCAUGCUUCAGAGUCUGAACUGUCCCCUAAUCAAUGAUCACUUGUGUUUCAGAAACACAGUUAUGCCUCCGUGUCGUAUCGUCGAUCAGAAUGCUCAGGCGGAUGAGGUUCGUCCCACCUAUGGGAUGCAAACCCAUAAUAGGGCUCACACUCUAGAAUUUAUCCCUACUCCGGGGUUCCCUCUAGUCCCAACUAGUCCACCUCGGGCUCCGCGGACUAAUGUCAACCAUCCCUCAACUGCGCUAGGAGAUAUUUCAAAUGUAGAAUUCAAAUGGUUUAUUCAUGUGCUAACACAGUUGGUAGCCAACCAAGCUCAACGAUCGUAUGAUGUUGGGUCUGCAUCUAUUACAUCUGAGGCUACUAGAGUCGGACAUUUUAUGAAGAUGAACCCACCUAAGUUCACUGGCACCAAGCUGGAGGAAGAUCCACAGGAGUUCGUGGAUGAGAUGGAAAAGAUCUUCAAGGUGAUGCAUAUGGAUGAGGUUGAAGGGGUGGAGUUAGCAACCUAUCAGCUCAAAGACGUUGCGAGUCAGUGGUAUGUCGAAUAGGAAGAUGAAAAAGGUGAAAGUGCUGAGUCCGCAGUUUGGGGUGAAUUUUUGGAAGCCUUCCUUGAUCGAUUCUUUCCUCUGGAGUUGAGGGAGGCCAAAGUGGAAGAGUUUAUGAAUCUGAAGCAGGGCAGUAUGAGUGUCCAGGAGUACACUUUGAAGUUUAAUAAACUGGCCUUCUAUGCACCAGAGUUGACUAGUAAUAUGAGGGCCCGAUUGAGGAAAUUUGCAUCUGGCCUUGCUGAUAACCUGGUACUUGAGUGCCAGGGGGAUAUGUUGAAUAAGGAGUUAGACUUUGAUUGACUGACCGCUCAUAUACAUUAAGUGGAAGAGAAGAAGAAAAAGAUUGUUGAAUUUAGAGAGAAAGAUAGACAGGCUAAGAGAGCUAGAUCUGCGGACCAGCACCAGAGUCAGCCGCAGAGUGGUAAAUAGGGUAUUAAGUGGUCGAAGAAGAAGAAGUUUUGGAAUAAUGCACUGUCAGCAGCCAGCGCCCCAACAACCAGACCACCGACAGACAGACAAACUCAGAGUUUUCAGACUCCUCAUGGGUCCAAAGCUCUAGGUACACAUUCUUAAGGCAGUGUGGCCCAGCAACGUUAUACUCGUUUGCAGUGUGAGGUUUGCGGAAGGAAUCAUCUAAGAAAGUGCUGGUUUGAGGGGAAAAACUACUAUACUUGUGGCUAAGUGGGUCACCUUCAAAGAGAUUGUCCAUUUGCUGGAGUAAAUGCGGGGGGAGGGGGGCUAAGUCCCAAGUCGCCUCCACAGCCCCUUUCCCUAAGGGUGCCCCUUCAGCUACCGGAAGUGGUCUUCUUUGACUAACCGCUAGGAGGCGGAAGCUUCACCAGAUGUUGUCACUGGUAUGUUACAAAUGUUUUCUUGUGAUGUUUAUGUUUUUCUUGAUCCCGGGUCUACUUUAUCUUAUGUGACCCUUUAUGUGGCUGUUGGUUUCGGGUUUGAGCCCGAAGUUAUUGUAGAAACCUUUUCUGUUUCUACUCCAAUAGGUGAUUUUGUUGUUGCUAGAAGGGUAUAUAGAAAUUGUGUCAUGUCUACUCAUAUUAGGAAAACUGUGGCAGACCUUAUAGAACUUGAUAUGAUAGAUUUUGAUGCCAUCCUUGGGAUGGACUGGCUCUAUUCAUGUUAUGCCACCCUUGAUUGCAGAACCCAAAAGGUCACUUUUUCUUUCCCGAAUGAGACACCAGUUGUUUGGGUUGGGAGUUCUGUGGAACCUAAAGGUCAUUUUAUCUCUUAUCUUAGAGCCUAAAAACUUAUCUCAAAAGGUUGUAUGUAUUAUCUAAUCCGAGUAAAGAUUCAAAAGUUGGAAACCUUCCUCUGCAGUCAGUCCCUGUAGUGAAUGAAUUCCUAGAAGUCUUUUCCGAAGAUCUCCCAGGGAUACCCCCUGAUAGGGAGAUAAAUUUUGGCAUUGAUGUGUUGCCAGACACUCGUUCUAUUUCUAUUCCGCCAUGUAGAAUGGCUCCCGCAGAACUAAAGGAGUUAAAGGAACAGCUUGCAGACCUCCUAGACAAAGGUUUUAUUUGUCCUAGUGUUUCCCCAUGGGGUGCACCCAUGCUCUUCGUGCAAAAGAAGGCUGGGUCCCUUCGGAUGUGCAUAGAUUACCGUCAGCUGAAUAAGGUCACCAUUAAAAAUAAAUAUCCUCUUCCUAGGAUUGAAGACCUUUUUGACCAGCUUCAGGGUGCCAAGUGUUUUUCCAAAAUAGACCUUUGUUUGGGUUAUCAUCGGUUAAAAGUUAGGGAGUCAGACAUACCCAAGAUAGCCUUCCGAACCCGAUAUGGUCACUACGAAUUUCUAGUCAUGUCCUUCGGGUUGACUAACGUCCCUGCAGCCUUCAUGGAUCUUAUGAAUAGAGUGUUUCAUCAGUUUCUUGACUCGUUCGUCAUUGUAUUUAUUGAUGAUAUUCUAAUCUAUUCUAAGAAUAAAGAGGAUCACGCCAAUCACCUCUGAAUUAUCCUUCAGACCCAUAAGGAUCAUCAACUGUAUGCCCAAUUUUCUAAGUGUGAAUUCUGGUUAGAUGCUAUUGCCUUCCUGGGGAGUAUUGUGUCCAGUGAGGGGAUAAGAGUGGAUCCCCAGAAAGUUGAAGCAGUGAGAAAAUGGCCCAGACCCACGACUCCAACCGAUAUUCAGAGCUUCUUGGGUUUGGCGGGGUUUUACAGAAGGUUCGUAGAGAGUUUUUCUUUCAUAGCUUCUCCGCUUACUAAACCGACUUAGAAAAAGAUGAAUUUUGUGUGUUCUGACUUGUGUGAAAAUAGUUUUGAGAAAUUGAAGGACAAGAUGGCUACUGCUUCUGUUUUGACCCUUCCCGAGGGUGUAGAUAUUUUAUGGUUUAUUGUGAUGCGUCCCAUGUGGGACUUGGUUGUGUAUUGAUGCAGCGUGGUAAGGUGAUAGCUUAAGCAUCUAGGCAGCUAAAGGUGCAUGAGCACAAUUACCCCACUCAUGACUUGGAGUUAGCAGCCGUGGUGUUUUCACUUAGAAUUUGGAGGCACUAUCUCUAUGGAGUACAUGUUGAUAUUUAUACUAACCAUAAGAGUUUACAGUAUGUUUUCUCACAGAAAGAAUUAACCCUCAAGCAUAGGCGUUGGAUGGAACUUUUGAAAGUCUAUGAUAUGAGUCUGCAUUACCCUCCGGGUAAGGCAAAUGUUGUAGCCGACGCCCUCAGCAGAUUGUCUAUGGGCAGCCUUUCUCAUGUAGAAGAAAGAAAGAAAGAUAUGGUGAAGGAUAUUCACUGCCUUGUAAAUCUGGGAGUACAACUCUUAGAUUCCGAAGAUGGAGGGGUGAUUGUUCAUGAGUUAGCUAAGUCAUCUCUUUGUGCUGAAGAUAAGAAGAAGCAGGUUGAAGAUCCCAUCUUGAUGCAAAUAAAGAAAGAUGUGGGUCAACAAAAGGUUAUGUCAUUUGAAAUUGGUUGCGGUGGUAUUAUGAGAUUUCAGGGUAGGUUGUGCAUUCCAAAUAAGGCACACACUUUGAGGUAUGUCGUUCACCCAGGAUCUAAUAAGAUGUACCAUGAUCUGAAAACCUUGUAUUGGUGGAAUAACAUAAAACAUGAUGUAGCUGAUUUGUGUCCAAGUGUUUGAAUUGUCAGCAAGUGAAGGUGGAACACAUGAGGCCGAGUGGUACUUGCCAAGAGAUAGCCCUGCCUUUAUGGAAGUGGAGAUGAUAAAUAUGGACUUCAUUACAGGACUUUCGAGAUCCCGAAACCAGUAUGAUUCUAUAUGGUUGAUUGUAGAACGGUUGACCAAGUCAGCACACUUUUUGCCUGUGAGUACUAGUUAUUCGAGAGAGGUUUAUGCUAAGAUUUACAUUGAGGAGAUAGUUCGAUUGCAUGGGGCACCAGUGUCCAUUAUAUCCGAUAGAGGUACGCAGUUUUCAUCUUAGUUUUGGAGAUCUUUUCAGAAGGGUUUAGGUACACAAGUGAAUUUGAGCACAACUUUCCACCCUCAGACGGAUAGGCAAGAUGAGCGUACCAUUCAGACCCUCGAAUAUAUGUUGAGGAAAUGCGUCUUUGAUUUCAAAGGUAGUUAGGUAGAUCACCUUACACUGGUUGAAUUUGCUUACAAUAAUAGUUACCAUCCUAGCAUCAAGAUGGACCCUUUUGAGGCUUUGUAUGGGAGGAGAUGUAGGUCUCUAAUAGGAUGGUAUGAAGUGGGUGAGACUCAGUUUUAUGGAACUGAUCUUGCUCAUCAGGCGAUGGAGAAAGUCAAGAUCAUUAGAGAACGACUUAAGACUGCUCAGAGUCAUCAGAAGUCCUAUGUCGAUGUUUGGAGAAGAGAACUAGAGUUUGAAAUUGGUGAUUUGGUGUUUCUCAAGGUUUCUCCUAUGAAAGGAGUUAUGAGGUUUAGAAAAAGGGGUAAAUUGAGCCCUUGUUAUAUAGGACCAUAUCAGAUUUUGAAAAGGAUUGGUACAUUUGCGUAUGAGUUUGAAUUGCCUACAAGUUUGGGUUCCAUUCAUCCGGUAUUCCAUGUAUCCAUGUUGAAGAAAUGCAUUGGAGAUCAUUCUAUGGUAUUGCCAGUAAAGGGUAUCAAAGUGAUAGAUUUCUUGUCUUAUGAAGAAGAGCCCGUUGAAACUUUAGAUCGCCAAGUUCGAAAGCUGAAGAGCAAAGAGAUAGCCUCAGUAAAGGUACUAUAGAGGAAUCAGAAAGUCGAAGAAGCAGCUUGGGAGUCCGAAGAUGACAUGAGAAUUAGAUAUCCCAAUUUGUUUGCUUCGAUGGAGGACAAGACAGAAGGUACUAUUCUUAUCUUAUCUUUCCUAGUCCUUUAUUAUUCUUAAAAUCGUGUCUGUCUGUGUCCCGCAUCAUCAUUCGGGGAUGAAUGAUCCUAAGGAGGGGAUAAUGUAACGCCCCGCAAUUCGGACUACAAUAUAGACCAUGAUUUUGAUGCGUUGUUAAUUCCGAAGCCAUAAAAUCCUACGCCAAUAUGGCAUGUUAAUUAUCGUGUAGCAUGUGAAAUUCACUCAAGCUUGAAUUUAGACCAUACAGGUCCUACAACUCAAGGACGAGUCGAAACUAUUUUGAUCGACUAAGUUUUAGUGGACGUUGUAAAGUGUGUCAUCUUCCUUCAACCAUAACUCUCUGUAUAUGUCGAAUUAGGAAACCUACUAUGUGUCAAAUGAUAGGUAUUCGAGUUAGCUUUCCAACGACACCUAUUUGGCUAAAAUCCGACACCCGAGCAAGAAGUGACCUUUCAAAGUGAUAAGCGACGCCUAACCAAUCACCCAUGGCCACUGGAAAGCAUAGGCGAUAGCCUAGACGGCGCCUAUGUGAACAUAGGCAAUAGCCUAGGUGGAGCCUAUGUAAACAUAGGCUAUAUCCUAGGCGGUGCCUAUAUAAACAUAGGCGAUAACCUAGGCGGCGCCUAUAUGAACAUAGGCAAUGAGAUGGGCGGCGCCUAUGUAAGGAAUUCUAGUGAUUUAAACACUCCGUGUUGAGGACAAAGUGGUCCUUUUCCUCCCUUACUUAGCCCUAAAACAGGAGAUUUAGUUCCAUGGACCCCAAAAUACAUAUUCUUUCAUCAAAAGUGCUCAAGAUUCUCCUUAGGAUUACAAAAAUAAAAACCCAAAUAGUUCAAGAUUUGACCGUAGGUUUUCAAAGAUAAUUACAUAUUCGGAAUCACCAAUCCGCAAUCUUCAAGAAAAAUCUAUUAUCCUUGGAAAUAGAGGUACAUGGGGUUAUCCAAAAAUCUCAUGGGUGUAGUUUUAUGAACAUUCAUGCUUUUAAAUGGGGGUUUUCAAUCAAAUGCUAAUAUCUUGCUUUCAAUAUGAUUUCUAAGUCAUUUUCUUUAUGUCAUGGAAAUUGUUUGCCUAUAUACUUCAAUAGUUGAAACCAUGCAUAUGUGAUUUGAGAUUUUCCAUGGAAGUUGAUAAAUAUGAAUCAUAAAUUAUUUUCAAAUUCCCAGGAUAAUGUUUCAAUACUCCAUAUUAUAUUGUGAUCAACAAAAGAGAACAUGAAUUUGAAAUAAAUAUUGUUCACCACUUGUAAAUGAUGAAGCACCUUAUUUUUUACAUGAUUAUGCAUAUGUGGAUGUGACAUUGAUGACUUACAAGUCGGGUAUGACGAUACCCUUUAAAAUACAAUAUGUGAUUGAAACAAAAAUGAAAUUUGAAUGCGUUGAUUUUACAUGAGAAAGGUGGAUUCCCGAAGAAGGCGUUUGAGACACAAGGGCUCAUCGCUGGAAUAACGUGUUUACUGACACGGAAUAUUGGUACCAGGCUAAGCGAUCUGUGUACUUGAUGAGCCAAGUGAUCUUGGGCACUAUCAUUGGGUCGAGACACCAUGUUGUGUGGUCUUGAGUGUCUCUCCCUCACUUAUACUCUAAUCUCGAUGGAAACCGUGGUUUGACAGUUGGUGUAAAUUACAUAGGAUAUUCCACCUAGCUCAGUUGCAUUUCAUUACUGUUGAUAAAAACUAUUGCAUUACACCCAUGUGUUUUCAAAUGAUUUGAUACGAAAUUGCUUUAUACUGGCUCUCAACUAUGUUUUGUAAAAAUAUUAUGUUUUGCUUUAAUAUCUCUGCGUUCCAGUACUUUUGUGCUGACCCCCUCCCCUCUCUAACCUCUCAGGUUCAGAGGCCCAAUCUAGGGUUCAAGAGAACCAGUAGAUCUUUCAGACAGAGUUGCAGAGACAAGUGGCGAGCCUUCUAUGUUUCGGAAGGUCUUAUGUCCUGCAGUCCUUUUAUCUUAUAUUAGUUUUGGUUCUGCUGGGGGCCUUGUCCCAGUUUUCAGAUAGUUACUUGUUUCAGUCAUGUAGUAGAGAUUUCAUAGAUGAUUUUUGAGAUGUUGAUUUAGAUUGUGGGACAUUAUUCCCCAUUAUUGUUUUCAUAUGAUUCUUGACCAUGUUUCCAUUAUAUUGUGUUUCUUCUGCAUUACUUUGAUCAUAUGAAUUAGGUGCAUGAUUACCAGAUAGAUAGGGGUGUUUUGGGCCUCCAUGGUUCAAAAUGCUCGUCAUGGCCAGGCCCUGGUUCGGGUCGUGGCAGAAGGGGAUCAAUACAAAGUACUGGUCCGUAGAGAAAUCCAAAACAAAGUGGAGAAUUUUUUAUAAAAUAAAUGAGAGCUGUUAUAAAUCACAUUGUUGCAAAAUGAUUUCGAAAAUACAUGGGCAUAGUAUAACGAUUUUUCAACGACAAUGCAACACAUCUGAGCUAGGUGGUACACCCUACAAUUUUAUAUUUUCACCAACUGUCAAAUCUCGGUUGCCGCCAAGAUUAGAAUAUAAGUGAGGGAAAGACACACAAGAUCACACAGCAGGGUGUCUCGAUCCAAUCAAGUAUGGUAGUGCACAAGAACACAAUGCAGGGCUCCUAACCAUAGUCCCAAUUUGGGAUGACAUAAUGUCAGGUACACAAGAUCAACAACAGGGUACCAAGCUCCCGAGUCGGCAAACACGAUUUCCAGCGUAGAGUCAUUUGACUCAUUCUUUCUUUGGGUAACCACCUAUCUUACAAAAUCAAUGCAUGAAAACUCAUUUUUAAUCAAUCGCAUGUUAUUCUCUGCAGGAUAUCGUCAUACCCGACUUGCAAGUCAUUAAUAUCACAUCAACUUCUCAUACCAUUUACAACAUGCAUAUAUGAAUGACUUUCACACCAUUAAAACAUAUACACCAUGGUCCUCAACAUGCAAUCAUUCAAGAAGUUUAAUCAUUUAUGAGUAAUGUCAUAUCAAUUGUAAAACUCAUGCUCUCAAUGGUUUUAACACAAGUAUAAUAUGGGAUAUAAAAAUUAUCACGGGGAAUUUAGAAAAUUCACAACUCAUGUACAUCGCAUCCUUUUGAAAUUUCAGGUCACAUGUUCACAAUUUAACCAUUAAAAUACAUUCAAACAAACAACCUCAUGAUAUCUCAAUAUUUCUUUCAAAAUCAUAUAUCAAAAGAUGUUAUUCGUAUCAAUUGAAAACCACCAUUUGUAAAAAAUAUAUAUAUACUUAUAUAAAUUUAAAGUCUUGCGUAAAUUCCUUUUCGAAAACAUGCCCAUGAAAUUUAGGACAACCCCACGUACCUCUAUUUACGAAAUUAGCGGGUGCUUCUUGAAGCCUACGUUGCGGGGAUUCCAAUUCUCCAAUUUGUUUCGAAAACCCACGGUUAAAUCUUGAACUACUUGGGUUUUUAGUUUGAAACGUUAAGGUGAGUUCUUGAAUAAAAUUUGAUGAAAGUGAUGAUAUUUUGGUGCUUUAGGGAUUAAAUCCUGUGUUAGAGAGGAUAAAGGUUUCGAAAAUUACCAUUAUGCCAUUAAUGAGACAGCACUUAAAUGCUGAAAAAUUCUCAGGCGUGCAACAGACCAUGCGGCGCAUGCUAUUUUCCACCGCACUGGAGCAUGCGACGCAUGCUGCCACCAUGCGUUGGACCAUGCGAUGCAUGCAUAUCACAUGAGGCCACUAUUUUGGGCAUCCAAGCAUGCCCUAAACGACGUCCGAAAAUUUCGUAACUCACCCAAUAUGUACUACGACCUUUCCCCAUCAUAACGCAAAAAGAAAAUCUAAAAUUGGACGUCGGGAAGAUCGAAAAUAAAAUCUCCGAAGAUCAACAGCUAAAAAUGAUACUAAGUCUCUUUGAAACUUAGAAAAUUUUCAACCUUUCAAGUCUAAGAGUACGCUACUAGGAGCUAAUACAUGCACGACUUUUACGGGGCGUUACAAAACACUAAGCUGAUAGAAUAGAAGAAUUAAACCAACUCAUUGACGUAACUGGUAAAGGUUCUUCCAUGUGAUCAGGAGGUCACGGGUUCGAGCCAUGGAAACAGUCUUGCAAAGGGUGAUUGUGUCAUUAACAUGUUUUACACAAAUUCACCGGAAAUCAAGUAAAGCUGUCAAUAAAAAUGUAACACUGAACCUUGAGCAGUGGGGAGUCAGAACUUGAAUUUUAUGGGUUAAAAUUCAAAAAUAUUGACAUGUGUUAGGCAUUGAUAGCCUGGUUCUGAAUUAAAAUUUUUACAUAUUUAGAGAAUAUUAUUAAUUAAAAUAUUUAAUCUACACUAAAGCUACUGAGUUUAGUCGAACCUGUAGGCAAAGUUCUACCUCCGUUCCGGCACAUGCUAUAGUGUGGACACAAAUGUGCGUUUUUACUUGCUUGUGUGGGCACAUCAAGAAUUCAACUUUCUUGACAUUCUUUUGGUGUGUGUCUCACAUUGUUGAAAAUGAGAAUGCAUCAGUCCAUUAGUUCAAACCAUAAAAAAGGCAUUAUAGUUUACAUAUAACUGCAUGCAUUAGAAAUUACUGACCUGCCUGACAAUUUUAUUAUACUUAAAGAAUAUUUGACCUUUAAGAAAAAUAGGCAGUUCUGUAAAACUAGAAAACCUCUAAACUUCACACAAAAAUCUAUGUCAUCUACAGGAAUAAAAUUACGCUGGAGAAUUAACAGUUGUAAGCAAAAGUAUUACAAACUGUAAUGAAUUUUCUUCCAUUCAAAUUAUUCGUUCGUGUUCUCCCGCCAGAUAACACAGAGAACAGAACAUCCCUCAUGUUCCAAACAGUCGUAUUUAUUUCUAUAUAUUUAGCAAUGUACAGACAUUCUCAGCGUAGCUAAAAUGUAAUUCUGAUAGGUCCCUCUUAGACGGGGCGGGUUGUUUAAGCAAACUUGUUGGACUCAGCUAUAUAAAUCCUCCACAUUCCAAUCAAAUAGUGGAAAAUUGCCAUCUAUUAUUGAGAACUAAAUAAGGACCAACACAACAUGUGGGUCCAAACACACAGACUACAUAGGGCAAGGAAUAACUUUUAAAGGGAGCAAUGCAGAAGUCGGAAAUUUCACUAAGAUAGUUCAAGGGUUAAUUUAUGUGAUACUAAUUGACCUCUGCACACUAUAAUUUUUGCUUCACUUGCAGGUUCAUCUCAUCUAAUAGUUUAAUUUGAGCACCUGUACUUUAUGUGGCUUCUCCUUUGUGACCAUCUUAGCUAAAAGUUCAAUAUUUUUGUGGCAUAAUACAUAGACGUCCUUUUAACUUGGCCUAAUCUAGCAUCUAUAUAUGCCCUCCAACUUCUGGUGUACACAAGUAGACAUUUAAACUUGUAUAAAGUUGAACAAGAACAAACAUACUAUAUAAAUAGGGAUGUAUCUAGAAGAAUUUCUAGAACCAUCCAUAAACUAGUAUAAAUAGGGAUGGGUCGUGUACAUUUGUAACCAUCCCAAAUAAACAAAUCCAAUACAAGCAAAUUCAAGUAGUCUUCUUCCAAAUCUAAGUUCUUCCUUUCAAUAGCUUCCUCUUCUUAGUUAAAUCUUGCGAUCAUAGUAAUCCAUCUUGGGCUAGCAGAAGGUCUCCUCAAUUACACCUUUCUUCUGCUAAUUCUCUAUACAUAAAAUAGAGACCUAAACUCCUUUUUGAUCACAAAACAGAGACCCAAAUUCGGCAACAAAAGAAAUGGAAACACAAUCGAUUUGCUUUUCUAAACUUCCAUGAUCGAUUACUCUGAUACCAAAUUAAAACUACAAAAACAUAUUACACAUUCAUUCCAUACAAAAGACCUACAGAAGCAAAGCUUCAUUCGAGGGAGAAAAAGAAAACUGCAUUUUUAUUGAAUGAAAAAACUCUUACAAUAAGGAUCCUAGGAUGGAUAUUUAUAGACUCACAUGAGCAUCGCAUGACCUUCUAGAAUCUUCUUAACUACCUCUAACAACUUGAUCAAGUACCCUACUAAUUGACUAACUAUUUCAACUAACUGAACAGUAAAUCAAUCAAACAGUAAAUCAACAGUGAUCUAAACUAAUACAUUUUAACAAAGUCUACACAGAGAGAAACUAUGGAUUGCUUGGGUUGACACGUUAUAUAAAGAGGCAGAAUAUAAACACUGGAAUGCACUGGGGGACAUCAGCAAGCUAGUUCUGCUAGUUCAUAAGAACUAAUUCUUUACUAGAGCAUAAAAAGUGAUAAGAGAUGUAGCAAAUGCGGCAUGGAGCCUAAGUGUGUUUUUAUCUUAUGGCUUUACUUUCAUGGGAGAUCGAUAAUGGACUAAAGAUGUUUUUAUCAGCUGACAUAUGAAUGCAGAUCCUAUGUCUGUGUUACGUAAAAGCGAGCCAGAGUCAAAAGAGCAUUUGUUCGUUGAAUGUAAGGCGAUUCUGUUAGUUCUAUUCUGAGAAGGGAAGUCCAGGGGCACUAUUCCUUGGUAAUUCAUAAAAUUCCUUUAAUAGCCAAAAAAGAAAAAAAUCGCCUCAUCAAUAAAAUUAUUUAGCAAACAUUUGCAAUAAAACAAGUUAUUUGGAACAAUAGCUUCCAGGAGCAUGUUAACAUGCGAGAAGAUGAAUUCUGGUUGUCCGUCUUGCAGGAGAUGCAUCACAGCAAUCUAAUGCUACUUUCAUGAUUGAUGCCACAAAAUCCAACUUCUUCAUGACGUGAUUAUCGGUUGGUGGAACCAAGUUGGCAUCUGCAACAUCUAUUACUGCAUCAGGAAGUGAAUAACUCACCCAUUGUUUCAAGCUAAGAACUUCCUCAAACUCACUAGGCUUUCUCCUAGUAAAGGUUUCCAGCAACAUGAUUCCAUAACUAUACACGUCACAUUUAGUAGACACCAAUCCAUCUUGUCCAUACUCUACAAUCAAACAAUUAUUUAAAGAUGUAACAUGAUAACUUGGUGGAAAAAAAGAAAGGGGAAAGAAAUGUUCAAAGCAAAAUCAAGAGACGUACCUGGCGCAAUAUAACCCAAUGAUGCUAAGGUUUUAGUGUAUAAUUCACUUUCAUCACCACCAAGCAGUUUCGAAAUACCAAAGUCGCUUAGGUGGGCAACCAUAUCCUCAUCCAGCAAGACAUUACUCGGCUUCAGAUCAGAGUGAAUCACAGGCGCCGAGCACCCAUGGUGCAGAUAUUCCAAUGCACAUGCCACAUCUAUUGUUAUGCUUAGCCUUUGCAUGUUGUCUAGGAUGUAGUUGUGCGAAUACAAAUACUUCUCAAAACUUCCAUUUGGCAUAUACUCGAGCACUAAAGCCUUAAAAUCAAGGUUGGAACAACUAGUAAUGACUUUUACGAGAUUCCUAUGGCGAAGGAUGCGCAAAACUUCACAUUCCGUAUCAAAACUCUUGAAUGCCGCAUCCAGCUGCAGAUUGAACACUUUAACUGCAAUAUCCGUUCCACUUUUGAGAACGCCUUUGUAGACAGAGCCAAAACUUGCAGAACCAAUCAGAUUACUCUCACUAAGCGCAUCAGUUGCUUGGAGCACUUCAUAGUAUGAAAUUCUUUCUCGUGUUAUGGUAGACGUUGACUCUGCUGAUUGAGGGGCUCUUUUACCUCCUCGAUACCUUAUCCAUACAAACACAAAUGUAGGACCAAAUAACAGUGUGAUUCCCAGCAAAAGAAAGGAAAGUAGCAACUUUUUCCUAUUUGAUCUGUGUUCUGAUGAAUUGGGGCAGGGCGGGACAUUAAAUCUUGAAGAACCACACAAUGCUUCACUGUCGACGAAAAACUCACUCGAGAGGUUCUUGAAAGGACCCCCCGUGGGUAUUUCGCCAUACAAUUUGUUGUCAGUAAUGUUGAAAUACUUCAAGCUUUGAAGUUUCUCCAAAGACUUAGAAAUGAUUCCUGAUAUAUUGUUAUGAGAAAGGUCUAGGAAUUCCAAACCUACCAUGUUGCUCAUUGAGUCAGGUAUAGCUCCUUGCAAAUUGUUGUGUCUCAAAGAAAGCUGCACCAGAGUUAGCAAUCCUCCAAUUUCUCUAGGAAUUUUAUCUGAGAAUUGAUUCAUUGACAGAUCUAUCAGGGUCGCAGCCUUUAAAUUUCCUAUUUCUGGGGGUAAAGAACCAACCAUGUUGUUUGACGAUAGGUCAAGAACCACUAAAUCUUUAAGGUUCCCUAAGCUUUGUAGUGUAUUGGAACUCAAUCUAUUUGAACCCAUACGUAUCUCUCUAAGGGAAGCAACCUUUCCUAAACAAUAAGGAAGAGAACCCGAAAGUUGGUUUUUGAGUCGAGUCGAUGACAUCUAAGCACUGUAAGUUACAUAGAUUAUCACCGAUAGAUCCUGAAAGUCUGUUAUUACUCAAGAACAAGCCCUGCAGGUUUCUCAAGUUGCUAAUUGAUGUGGGAAUCGAUCCAGCCAAGUUGUUUCCAGAAAGUUCAAGGUCUAAUAAGCUGCUUAAGUACCCAACUUCAUUUGGAAUUCGCCCUUUAAUCUUGCAAUUGUUGGCGUAAAAUUUUCUAAGAGAGGUAGAAAGGUUCCCCAUGGAGGCUGGAAGCAUGCCAUUUAGAGGGUUAAGAUAUAGAGUAAGAAAUUCUAAAUUUCUACAAUUGGUUAAGGAAGUCAAGAAGCUUAGCGAUGAGUCACUCAUUAAAUCGUUUGCCCCCAAGUCUAGGAUUUGUUGAUGAGUCAAACAUCCAAGAGAAUUGGGAAUCAAGCCUGUGAGCUGAUUGAAUGAAAGCUCUAGAAUAGUAAGUUUUGAAAAAUUGGAGAUUGAAUGAGGAAUAGUCCCAAAAAGAUUGGUUAAGUUGUGCAGAUAAAAUCUUUCAAUGUUGGGUAAGAUAGAACAUAUGUUAGAUGGGAGCGAUCCAGAUAGAUUGUUGAAUGAAAGUUGAAUUAUUCUCAGACCUGAUAUGUUGAAGAUCUCCAUAUCUAGUGAACCACUAAAUCUAUUAUAAGUUGUAUUGUUAACUGCAACUUCUACUACAUACCAGUAAACCUAUUAUCGUCAAGAUGUAAAAAUUGCAUCUUGGUUAAGUUGCCGAUUUCACGUGGAGAAUAUCCACUAAGAUAGUUCCUCGACAGUGACAAAAUUUGCAGUGACGAGAUAUUGAAUAUGGAGAUUGGGACAGAGCCGGUAAUCUGGUUUUUAUUCAUCCAUAACUCCACCAAAUUAACAAGAUUUCCAAUUUCUUGAGGCCUCAGUUAAUGUAUAAUAAAAUGCAAUUCUAAAGUAAUUAGAUACAAUAGUAGUAGCAUUCAUAAGAUAAAGCAUACCGGUGAAAUGGUAAUCUCCGACAAUCAAUUACUGCAAGUUGCUCAAUCUUCCAAUUUCACUAUGUAUAGGUCCAUUAAUCUCAUUUUCCAAUAAAGACAAAAUUUGAAGUUGUGAACAAUUCGAUAAGCUUGUAGGCAUAUGGCCGCGAAGAUUGUUACCUCACAACCUUAAUUCUCUUAGGCUUGUAAGACUCCCAAUUACUUUUGGUAUUUGAUCCUCUAUAGAAUUGAAUUUUAGAUUCAAAAUCUCAAGUGUGGACAUAUUAGAAAAUGAUGAAGGGAUGGAACCAGUGAAACUAUUGUUUCUAAUAUUACGAAGUUGAAGUCGGUGUAAAAACCAAACAAAGAAGGAAUCUCCCCUCCGAAGUAGUUGAAACUUAAAUCAAGAAACUUAAGCCGACGCAAGCGUGUCAUUUCUAGAGGCAAAUUUCCAUGGAAAUUGUUGCUUUCCAAGUCGAGAGAAACAAGAAAUGAGAGGUUUCCAAGAUCACAGGGAAUCUUGCCAGUAAGAGUCAUAUUGGAAAGAUUCAAGAAUUUCACUCUCUCGUGGCGAGAGCCACAAGUGACUCCUACCCAAUGGCAAACGGACCUAGCGGGAGGCCAACUUUAAUCCAAUAAAUGAAAGGGAUCUGAAAUAAUUUGAGAUUUCAAAGAAAAGAGAGACAAUUGAUCAGUGGAAAUGUUGGUUUUGGUCAUGGCUAAACUAGCCCUAACAUAGUGAAGGAACAAGAAUGUUAUUAAGAGAAAAGAGCUGAGUGUUUUCUCCAUACUUGCAUAAAUCAGAAGGAAUUUAUUGUGGCCAAUAACUUGUUAUUUUGAGACUUUAAAUAACAACGGGAUCUCCAUUUUAGAAUAUUUUUCAUUCAAAACUUUGUUAUGGAAAAAAGUAAAAAUGUGACUUUGUUUAACCACAUAACAUUUUUUUCCACAAUUGUUUACAAAUUACUUUCUGAAACCUCCAUUAGUUGCAAAGAUGUUUUUAUGAACUUUUAUUACGAAAAAGAGGGAAAAAUUAAUUUGUAUUGGCCGUUAUCAUUUGAUUUAAAAAUGCAUCAAGAUAUAAAUUUUUUGUUUGAAAUUCUAGGAUAUUGAUAGUAACUGAGAUCGAAAUUAAUUAUUCUACACCGUUAAAGAAUUUUUAACUCAUAUAGAGUUUGAGCUAAAAUUGUUGAAUCAAGCCCCCUAAUUUUACAUGUGUGGAGCAAGGGAUGGGGUGAGUUAAUUAGGUAAUAAUCACAACUUUCGCAAAAGUCAAUCGUGCGCAUUUUUAUUAAAAUUCUGAUAUCAAGUUCAUUUGAAUUUAGUAUUUUUAAUGUAAAGAUAAAUUUAUGUAUAAAAUUUUAUUAAAAUUACACCAAAGAGUAAAUCUAAACUCAUAAUUUUAUAAAUACAAUAGGGUUAAUACUAAAACAUUUAAAAGAUUAAACUCAUCAAAUUUUAACCCGGAAUCCACCUAUGUCAUUAAAUGUAAGGAUCACAUAUAGUUAGUGUUUGACUAGGAAAAAAAAAUUUAAGUGGCAGACCAGUUAGUAAAUAUAGCUAGUGCUUGACUUGGAAAGAAAACUCAAAAUAUAGUGUUCAAUUUCUUAUAAGUUUUCCAAUUGGUUGAACAUUUCUUACUGAUGGUUUUUAAAAUGAUGCUUCAUAUUACUGUUCUCAUCAAGGUAAGAAGAAUAUUCAAGUAGUUAAUUAUUUUUGUAUUGAUAAAUGUAAGGGUGUCAAAUAUGACUCAAAAAUUGAUGACCGGUCCCAUUCACCCAAAAUUUUAGGGGUUAAACAAAAUAUAAUUUCAUAUUAUCUGAUUUUAGCUCAACCCAACAUAAGCCUUAUCAAAGAAGUUAUUUGCACAAAUGUAUUAUUUUGGGUGAUAUUCAAAUUUUUGCCCUUUAGCACUUGAAAUAAUAUUAAUGUACCUGAAAAUGCCCUUGAAAGCGACCCCCCCACCUCCCAAGAAACCAUAGCAAGGCCAAAAAUUUGCGAGGCAUAAGUUUAGUGGCACAAGCUAUGCCCUAAGGCAAAGUUCUCUAAAAGUUCUUCCCUGCGAAUUUGAUAUCACUCCCUCCAUUCAUGUAUACUUAUCCAGUUUUGACUUUUCACUACCCUUAAGAAACAACGACUAAUACGAGUUUUUUUUUUCUUUUUACCACAAUACCCAUAUUAUUGAUGUAUAGUCUUAAGUCCAUGAAAAUGAUUAGGAAAGUAUGUAAUUCAUGUUGAGGUUAAAAUAACAAAAAAAAUAAUUGUCUUUUCUUUGAUAUUUUAAAAGUGACAAGUAAAAGUGAAACUCCAUUUUUGAAAUAUUAGACAAGUAAAAGUGAAAGAAGGGAUUAUUGAACAAACACUCACAAUAAACAUUCUGUAAAGAAUUCUGCCUUUGUGAAACUAAGUCAUAGUUAAAUGUAUUUGAACCACAUUUUUUCCUUAAAUUGCCCACUUUUUAAGCAAUUAGUAGAUGGUAGAAAGGUUUGAAAUUUUGCUAUCUCUUUGAAUGCAUACCAGUACAAAUUUUGGAAAUAACAAAUUUUCAUUUCAAUGUAUAAACCUCAUAAUAUUUUGGAAGUUCAUCUGGAAUCUGAUUAACAAUACUUGCUAUACGAUCCUUGGUUAACACCCACCGAAAGUAGUAGAAACCUGAAAUUCCUCAUGUUUCUCUCUACUACACACACACACACCCCAUGUGAUUAUAUGUGUACCUAUAAGCUUAUAAUAACUAAGCUGUAGAAUCUGCAUCAUAGUUAAGCCAAUCUCCCAUGGUAAGAAUCCACUAAGAUUGUUCUGCCAUGCUGACAAAAUUUGCAGCGGCGAGAUCGGGACAGAGCCAGUAAUCUGAUUAUCCUCCAUGCCUAAAUCUACCAAAUUAACAAGAUUUCCAAUUUCUUGUGGAAUUAUCCCUGCAAUUAAUGUGUAAUAAAAUAAAAUUCUGAAGUAAUAAGAUGAAACGUACCAGUGAAAUGGUUAGUUCCGAGCUCUAAUAUCUGCAAGUUACUCAAUCUUCCAAUUUCACUAUGUAUUGGUCCAUCAAACUCAUUUUCCGAUAAAGACGAAGUUUGAAGUUGUGAACAAUUUGAUAAGCUUGUUUAUGGAUAAAUAAAGCCUUUUGAGUAUUGGGAGACCACUGCAUAAACCAUUGGGAAGACUUCCUGAUAAGCUAUUGCCAGUAAAUGCAAUGAACUCAAUUCUUGAGAUAUUGAAAAUUGUGAAUGGUAUAGAACCCGUUAGCUGAUUAUGUUGUAUGGUCAACAGCUUCAUGUUGUGAAGAUUGCUGAUCUCUUAUGAAAUGUUUCCUUGAAGUGAAUUAUAAGAUAUUCUUAAAGUAUCCAACCUUGAGGUAUUAGAGAGGGAUGGAGGAAUGUGACCCAUAAUAUUGUUCCCGGCCAAAUUUAAAUAUCUCAGGUUUGUAAGACUCCCAAUCAAUUUUGGGAUUUGACCCUCUAUGGAAUUGAAUUUCAGAUUCAAAGUCUCAAGGGAUGGAACCAGUGAAACUAUUAUUUCCAAGAUUUAGAGCUUGAAGUUGGUGUAAAAACCCAAACCAAGAGGGAAGCUCCCUGCUGAAGUUGUUGACACUUACAUCAAGAAACUUUAGCCGACUCGAGCGUGUCAUUUCUUGAGGCAUAUUUCCAUGGAAAUUAUUGCUUCCCAAGUCCAGAGAAACAAGGAAUGAGAGGUUUCCAAAUUCACGGGGAAUCUUGCCUGUAAGAGCUAUGUUAGAAAGAUUCAAGGAAUUCACUCGUUGGUGACGAGAACCACAAGUGACUCCAACCCAAUGACAAACACAAACGACGGGAGACCAGUUUUCAUUCAAGAGGUGAGAACGGUCGGAAAUAAUUUGGGAUUUUAAGGAUAGAAGAGACAAUUGAUCAGUAGUAAUAUUGGUUUGGGUCAUGAAUGAACUAGCCAUAAGCAAGAAGAGUGUGAAGAGAAUAAAUGUGAAGGCUUUCUCCAUUACUGCAAAAAUUAGUAGGUAUGCUCUAUAACAUGUGGUUUUGAGAUUUUAAAUAGCAAUGAGGUCUCCCUUUUGGUCUUCAUGAUUUUGGAAAAAAAAUUACUUUUCUUCAUUCAUUCUGUUAUAUUUAGUUGCAGAGUUAAAAUUUUUAUCAAGAGAUUUCAAAAUAUAAAGAAGUAAAUUCAUGAAAAAAAUUAAGGAGUGUCAAUACGUAAAAUAUAUUUUUACCUACAUACACAAUGUAUUGUUUCGACGAACAUGUGGCUCCGCCAUGGUCAUCUCAAUUUUAAUUCCACCAAGUCUUGAACGUUUUAAUCAGCCAAAGACUGGUGCAAGUCAACCAAGUCUUGCUUUAUUUUCAGCAAGCCCAUCACUACAUCAGAGGUUUGCUCAAAAAUUUAUUUUGAGUAAAGCAUUUAGUUCCCUGAACUAUGACUGAAUUUUUCAUAAUACACUCCAACUUCACGGGGUCCUAUUACCCCCUGAACUAUAUUUUAGCGAGUUUUGGUGUAACACUCCGCAUUUCGGGCUAGAAUAAAAACCAUCAUUUCUAUGCAUAGAUGAUCCAAAAGCCAUAAAUCCUAUACAAAUUUUUUCAUGUUAAUCAAUUAUGUAGUGUGUGAACCUAUUUAAGCAUAAAUUGAGAUCAUAGAGGUCCCCAAACUCAAGGACGAGUUGAAAGCUUUUCUAUCGUUCGAUUUUGAGUGAGCGUCAAAACUUGGGUCAGAUUCAAUCAACCAUAACUCCUUGAAUAUGACGAACUGGGUAACCUACUAUAUAUGAAAUGAAAUAUCUUCGAAUUAUCUUUCGAACAAUAUCAAUUUCGCCAAAAUCCGAUACUCGAGCAAAGAGUUAUAGCAGUUUUCGUGAGAGGCAGUAAGCCAAGGCGAUAAAUUCCUGCCAGUGUAAUUUCCUGCAGUCAAGCUCCGCGUCCAAGAGGGGUAUUUGGGUUAUUUCCCACCCUUAAAUAGCUCCAAUAACACAAGAUUUAGCCUCUAAUAACCACAUUAUACCCUCAUUCUCUCACAUUCUCUCGAGAACACUUCUUAGGGUUUCAACCCAAAGAUCAUAAUAACUCAAGAUUCAACCGUGAGUUUUCAAAAUCGAUUAGAGAUUCGAAACUCCAAACCGCAAGCUUCAAGAAUCAUCCAUUAUUCUUUGUAAUCGAGGUACGCGGGGUUUUUCUAAAAUCUCAUGGACAUAGAAAUCAUGUUUUAAGAAUGGGGUUUUGAAGUUUAUGAAUAUAAUCAUGUUUUAGAAGUUUUGACGGUAUUGUUUUGGUUUUUAGACCUUUCCCCCAAAUUGAUUUGAAAUUAUAUAUAUAUAUGUACGUAUGUAUUCAAGAAUGAUUAUUAAAUUGAGAGCAUGAAUAAUAAUGAAUCCCUCUCUAGUUAUGAGUUUUCCCAUCUUCGUAUGAUAUGAAUUGUUUUGAAUGCAUUUUGAAAAGCAUGAUAUGAAAUACUUUGUCUUGUGCUAUUGUUUGAAUAUGAUUUUUGAAUACGAAAGAGAGGGUUGUGAAUGUUGAAUAUACAUAUAAUGAAAGAGUGCAUGGUUUUGCCAAAAUCAUAUGACCACCAUAUAUUUGAUGAAAGUUUUUGCAUGGUUUUGACUUGAGCUUCGGAACAUGAAAUCCUUUAUGCAAAUUACAUGUUUGGGUGGUCUGAAACCAUAUUUUUAUGAAAGAUCGUGCUUAUGACACUAUGGCCCAGAAAUAGGAUUUGCAAGUCUUGGUGUGGCGACACCAACUCAGAUAAUGCCAUGAUAAAUUCAGAAUAGAAUAGAAUGUUUUUUUUGAAAUCAGACUUUAUCAGAUUUUUAUGUCUUAGAACUUCAGAGUAAUGCAUGUUCAGAAAAGGAUAAAAUAGGGCAUAAAGACAUGUUAGGUGGUUCCCCGAAGAAGGCAUGAGUUCAAACAACUCAUUGCCCAAAACCGUGAUUCGCUGAUCCGGGUAUAUAUAUUAUGCUGGCCUAGAGCCAUGUGGCGUAUCAGAAUCAGAGACUCCAACCCUUGUGGCACACUCGGGUUGGGGGAUUUUCUGCCUAGUCAAUGGUGGAUUCCAUAUAGCCCGUAGAAUAUCGGACUUGUAGGGGAGCGCCACCUAACUCAGAAGUAAUACAAAGAUCAGAAACGGUUUUGACAAAAAUGUCCUAGAAUGUUCAAAAUGAUGCCCAUGUGUUUUGGAAACUAUUUUAUGUAAGGUGUUUUGUUAAAUUUCCCUUAUCUACUUUAUACAUAUACAAAUACACUAUUUUGGAUUGCUUCGCGUACCAGUAUAUUUGUGCUGACCCCCCCUCCUUCCAGGUUCUGAGGCUCAGCCUAGGGGUCCAAGUAAAUAGUAGAUAUUUCAGAUCGCAGAUCAGAUUGUGAAGUGAUGAGCCUUGUUUAUUACAGAAGGUAUGUUUACUUUCAGACGACUAUUAUUAGACAUGAUUUUUGGUCUACUGGAGGUCUUGUCCCAGUUUUCAGAUUAUGUUAGAAAUCAUAUAGUAGAGAUUUCGCAGACUGAGUCAGAUAUUUUUUUGGAUAUUGUUGGAGUUUUCCUUCAUUGUUAAACUAAUUUCAGAGUAUGACCAUGUUUCCGUAUUUGAUUAAUAAUUCUGCAUUUUUCUUUUAUUAUAUGAAUGUUGUGCAUGAUUACCAGAUAGAGUAGGACGUUCAUACCUUCAUGGGUCGGAUGUCCGUCACAGCCAGGGCCCCAGUUCGGGUCAUGACAAACUUGGUAUCAGAACACAGUUCAUGGUCCCAGGGUGUCUGCAAAAUCACGUUGGGUAGAGUCUUGUUUAUGGGUGUGUAGCGUGCCUCACUUAUAAGGAGGAGGCUACUAGACAUUCAGCAUUUAGGAAUUUCACUCUUUCUUCAUGUUAUAGUUCGUGCAAUAGAGUCAGAAUGUUCCUUUUUCAUACUCGAAUUCGUGCUACGGUGUUGCCCAUACGAAAGUAAAAGUCAUCCCAAAUUCUUUCCUUACUCUGAUAUUCUUAGACAUGUCCUAUUAUUGGGGUGAUUCAAGUGCAAAGAGUUUAGAAUCUACAUGAUAUAGCCCUUUCCGAUUGAGUUAUAUAAGAUUUUAAAUAUUGUGCAAGGACUUGAGAAUCCGUUUGCUUCAAAGAGUAUUGAUGCGAGUGUGAACCUUGAUAUUGAUGAAAUCAUGCUUUUUAGCCUAUGGUAUUGAGUGUAUUCAGUCUCUUUUUAAAAAAAUUUAUGUUACGGAUGUCAUGCUUCAGGGGAUUGAUGUGUAACAAAAUGUUGGAACUGUAUUUCUACCCGAAUAGUAGUAUGAGUUAAAGUGUUGUUUUCAUGACCUAUUGGUAAUAAAAUUAGACCAAGAAGUUGGUGAUGUGAAGUCACAAGGUUAGAACUCAGAGUGAGGGUGACUUUUGUGUAAAUAAAUAUUUCAAUUGAAUAACCGAUGUUUGAGGAUGAUUUACCCCUUUAUAGUGAUAAACUAAUGUGGUAGCUAUAGCAUGUGUGGAUGGUAUGGUAGUCUAUGGAGGAAGUGUUUGACUCUAAUUUUAUUUAUACAGAGUAAGAUGUGUAUUCUUAGUUCAUUGGAUAUUGCGUAUUAAAUUUCUAUCUCAUGUAAUCUUGUCAUCAAGGUGUUGUUGAAAAAUAAAGUCUAGUGGGGCUCUUUCGAUUCACUAGAAUAGUUGCCUUGUCAUUCAUCUCGUUUUCUUGUUCAAAAAUACAAAAUCAAAGUCUAGUGAAGCCGUGUGAGGUCUAUUUCGAUUCACUGGCAACUUGUUGUCCAACUUGUUGUUCUUGUGUUGGUUUAGUAUAUGUAUAGCUGAAUGUGUUUGCAUGAGAUUGAGUUGGUAAAGAGAUGAUUCGUCCUUGUGGGUUAGUUUAGUAGAAGGUAGAGAAGGAGUUGUUAGUCAGGGUGAUUUGUCGGUUGUCUGAAGUGUGAUAAUAGCUAUAUUAGCCAGUAAGUUAUAAUCAUAGACUCAUGGUUGUUGUGGACAUUGAAGGUAGUCUAAAUGUAUGAUUGAGUAAGUAAGUAUAAGGUGAGAAAUCCAUAUAAGUAGAUAAGAUUGUAUGGGGCUAUAAUAUCAUAUUUAGGUUGAUCAUGUCUAUUAUGUGACUUUACCCCUUGACCUUUUUUUCGUUGGCAGUUGUAAACUAGUACUACUUAUGAGAAGGUAUGUAACAAGUUUUGAGGUAUUUGGAUAGAAUAUUCUAAUUUGAUGGAUUAGUAUAUUAUGUUGCACUCGUCAUUGGUGGUAGAUGAUUGAUGCUAAACUAUAGGCUUGAAUUUAAGUGUAGAAUGUGAUGGUAAAAAUAGUGGCAUGAGAUUAAUAAGGAAUGUUUUGUGGAAAAAAAAUAUAUUAGUAGGCUUGAUGUGUUGAAAUAGUACGUGCUAAUGAGUUAUGAUAAGGAAGACCGUAAGGUCAAGAUCGAUUAUUGUUGUUAUGAAGUUCUAGUGUAUUAGUGUUUCUUGAUGUUUAUUUCAUGGUUCCAAAGUGAGAAUUGUGUGUAAGGUUGGGUUGUAAAAUCAUGUUUAGCACUAGACAUUAAGUGUUGAACAGUUGAAGUCCAUGAAGGUAGAUGUGAUGGUUUCUUGGUUAAUGAUGCAAGUUAUAUGGAAGUGAUCUAAUAGGCUUGAACGGUUUAUGAAAUGGCUUAAUUUUAAGUUGAUUCGUAAUGAAGUAUAAUGUUGUAGGUAUGGUGUGUAAGUAUGCCCAAGGUGAUAUGGGGUUGUGGCAUUUCUCUAAGAUUAUUACAUGUUGCGUGUGGCUAGUAGUACCGUUGAGUUGCUAGAUGGAGAAAGACUAGUAGAUGUUAUAUGGGUUCUAAAUAGCCAGGUUGAAGAGUUUUGAUUGAUAGUGUUGAGCCUUUUUAUAUGAUCUUGAUUCUCAUAGUAAUGAGACAUAAGUUUGGAGUCGCGAUAUUAGUACGCUAUGUCGAAAGUAGUAUGAUUCAUCAAAGACUUGGUGAUAUCGAUAUUAUGUGUUAGAAUCUAAGUUUGAGUUUUGAAGGUUGAACCGAUAGAAAUAAGUGUGCAAGCAUUAUACUAUGACCGUUGGGGCUAUCAAAAUAUAAAGUGUAUCUCAGAAAGUAGUAUUAGCAGUGGGCUUUCCACUUUCAUGUGUGGUCUUUCGGGUUAAGUUCUAUUAAUUUUGCAUAUUGUCAUAUUUCAUACCCUGGAGUGUAGUGAGUGUAGUUAAGUUUAAAGUCUAGUAAGGGAUCUCCCAAACUUAAGACGAUGUCUUAAAGCCAAGGGGGAGAUGAUAGAACAAGUAACCAAGUCCGGCCCUCAGAUUUUAGUAAUGAUUCCAGUAUGACAUAGAACAUCAGAAGGGAAGGGUGAGGCUCAAUCCAUUCCUGUCUCAGUAUUUUUCAGUUAUCCUAAUACCUACUCAUACCUCACGUUUUAGUUCCAUGAUCAUAGUUCAUGUUCAUGUAUAUGAUAGAAAAUCACGUGCUCUUCCAGAUUCCUAAAUAAGGAACUUCAGUUCAUUCAGCAGUCGGAAUCACAUUCCAUAUGUUAUGAACUCUAAAUUGAGGUCAUGCAGCUUAUGACUCAUGUAUUCACACUUUAUAGUGUGUUCAGUUCCCAUAAUUCAUGCUAUACUCUUUAUGAUGGGCGAAAUAUAGUUCAUAGCCAUGUAUGCCCCAAUUCAGAUUUUUCUUUGAUAAAUUCCGGAUUUUGAUUUUCUAUUCCUCAGGCCUCAGUUAAGUGUCAAGUUUCAUAUAAUAUCCUUCCAUGCUUCAAGAUCUUUUUUUCUAAUCUUUAGUGACUCCUCUUUAUGUGAUGGUAGUAGUGAUGAGUAAAUGUUUCUUUUUGAUAGAAGCUCAUAGUAUGCUUGUUUUAGUUAAAGCCAUAAGUGCAAGUAAGGUUGGGGCUAAGUCUUUGAUGCAUGUGAUGGUUAGCUGAAAGGUGUGUGUAUAUUUUCUUAGGGUAGCAUGUGGGAGCUAUAUCGAUAGAUGCUUAGUAGAAUAUGUUAAGUAUAUCUUUAUGAGUGUUUGCUUUGAAGUUCAUAUGUGGUUAUAAAGAUAGACUUGAAUGACAUGUUGGAAUUUUUGUAAAGGAACGCGAUAUGCGUUAGCGACUUCAUAGUAAUAGUUCAGAGUUAGCCAUUGAAGUAGUAGGACAUGAUAGGCUUAGGGUGUGAUCUUCUAAGAGAUAUAGAAGGUUGAAUCUUAUGGUUUUGACUUGUAUCGUGGAGUGGAAUGUAGUAUUUUGUAAGUUGGAGUUAGGCCUGAUCCCGGUGAAGAGGAUUUAAGUUGCUAUAGACAUUAGUAGAAAGAUUUAUAAAUGCCAAUGCGAGAACAAAUAAGUUGAAUCGAAUGAAUGUAGUAUCUACGAGAAAUAGUAUAGUUAAGGGAGUAUUCAAGGAGUGUGCUAAUCUUGAAAGUAAGAAGUCGCAUUGACUAAGGCCUGGUAAUUCUAUCGUGAUUUAUGAGUUAUAUGUCUAUAUUUCAGGCUGCAAAGUAAUGUCAAUGUUGGGAUCCUAUAGUCGGAUGUCUUGUGUGACUCAUGCCCAAGAUUCUUUUCUCCCGAAUGAUACUAGAACUUCUUUAGAAAGAGUGNNNNNNNNNNNNNNNNNNNNNNNNNNNNNNNNNNNNNNNNNNNNNNNNNNNNNNNNNNNNNNNNNNNNNNNNNNNNNNNNNNNNNNNNNNNNNNNNNNNNNNNNNNNNNNNNNNNNNNNNNNNNNNNNNNNNNNNGACUCAUGCGCAAGGUUCUUUGCUCCCGAAUGCUACUAGAAAUUCUUUAGGAAGAGUGUUGAAGAGAAACUCCAGUUAAGUAUAAGUUUCCAGAAUAAUUUAGACAGUAUAACCACCAGUUUAGUUCAACAGUCAGGUAGACAAGUUACUGUGGUUUUCCACCUUUACACCCAGUCCUGCUAUCCGAAGUCCCAAUGUGUAUGACUUCCAAGAGAUAAUCUAUUCCAUCCAUGUAAAUUGCGAAUUCAGUUCAGUCCGAACAUCAUGUUUCAGAUUCAGCUAUUUAGUCAUGACUCAGUUCAUAAGAGUUCAGUGCAUAGUCUCAAAUCUCUCUAGGCAUUUUAGCUCAGACAGUGUAAUACCUUUGUACGAUCUAAAUAUUGUUGUCUCCAGAUUCGUACUUACAUAAGUUACCACUUCCAAAUUCAAUAUGUAUGAUUGGAUCAUGAACAUUUCAAGGAAAUCCUAAACUUUCAUCACGAAUCAGCUUCUUGAAGCAAGGAAAUUCAAGCUCAGAAUUCAAUUUCAUGAUAGAAGUUUAAAAUGUUUCAAAUCAGUUAUAUCCUCUCUUAGAAGACACAUCAUAUCCACGCUAUUCUAUAACUUUAAGACCACAGCAUUCUUAUCCAUCAUUCGGGGACGAAUGAUCCCAAGGGGGAGAUAAUGUAAUACCCCGCAUUUUGGGCUAGAAUAAAAACCAUCAUUUCUAUGUAUAGAUGAUCCAAAAGCCAUAAAUCCUAUGAAAAUUUGGCAUGUUAAUCAAUUAUGUAGUAUGUGAACCUAUUUAAGCAAAAAUUGAGAUCAUAGAGGUCCCCAAACUCAAGGACGAGUUGAAAGCUUUCCUAUCGUUCGAGUUCGAGUGAGCAUCGAAACUUGGUUCAGAUUCAAUCGACCAUAACUCCUUGUAUAUAACAAACAGGGUGACCUACUAUAAUCAAAUGAAAUAUCUUCGAAUUAUCUUUCCAACGAUACCAAUUUUGUCAAAAUUCUAUACCCGAGCAAAGAGUUAUAGCAGUUUUCGUGAGAGGCAGUAAGCCAAGGCGAUAAAUUCCUGCCAGCAUAAUUUCCUGAAGUCAAGCUCCGCGUCCAAGAACACUUCUUAGGGUUUCAACCCAAAGAUCAUAAUAACUCAAGAUUCAACCUUGAGUUUUCAAAAUUGAUUAGAGAUUCAGAAUCCCCAAUCUGCGAGCCUCAAGAAUCAUCCAUUAUUCUUCAUAAUUGAGGUACGCGAGAUUUUCCAAAAAUCUCAUGGACAUAGAAAUCAUGUUUUAAGAAUGGGGUUUUGAAGUUUAUGAAUAUAAUCAUGUUUUAGAAGUUUUGAUGGUAUUAUUUUGGUCUUUAGACCUUUCCCCCAAAUUUAUUUGAAAUUGUAUAUAUAUGUACGUAUGUAUUCAAGAAUGAUUAUUCAAUUGAGAGUAUGAAUAAUAAUGAAUUCCUCUCUAGUUAUGAGUUUUCCCAUCUUCGUAUGAUAUGAAUUGUUUUGAAUGCGUUUUGAAAAGCAUGAUAUGAAAUACUUUGGCUUUUGCUAUGUUUUGAAUAUUAUUUUUGAAUACGAAAGAGAGGGUUGUGAAAGUUGAAUAUACAUAUAAUGAAAGAGUGCAUGGUUUUGCCAAAAGCACAUGACCACCAUAUGUUUGAUGAAUGUUGUUGCAUGGUUUUGACUUGAGCUUCGGAACAUAAAAUCCUUUAUGCAAAUUACAUAUUUGGGUGGUCUGAAAUUAUAUUUUUAUGAAAGAUCAUUCUUAUGACACUAUGGCUCAGAAAUAAGACUUGCAAGUCUUGGUGUGACGACACUAACUCAGAUAAUGCCAUGAUAAAUUCAGAACAGAAUAGAAUGUUUGCUUGAAAUCAGACUUUAUCAUAUUUUCAUGUUUUAAAACUUCAGAGUAAUGCAUGUUCAGAAAAAACUAAAAUAGGGAACAAAGAGAUGUUAGGUGGUUCCCCGAAGAAGGCAUGAGUUCAGACAACUCAUUGCCCAAAACCGUGAUUCGCUGAUCCGGGUUUAUAUAUUAUGCUGGCCUAGAGCCAUGUGGCGUAUCAUAAUCAGAGACUCCAACCCUUGUGGCACACUCGGGUUGGGGGCUUUUCCGCCUAGUCAAUGGAGGAUUCCAUAUAGCCCGUAGAAUAUCGGACUUUUAGGGGAGCGCCACCUAACUCAGAAGUAAUACAAAGAUCAGAAAUGAUUUUGACAAGAAUAUCUUAGAAUGUUCAAAAUGAUGCCCAUGUGUUUUGUUAAAUUGCUCUCAUCUACUUUAUACAUAUACAAAUAUACUAUUUUGGAUUGCUUCGGUGCCAGUACAUUUUUGUUGACCCCCCCUCCUUCUAGGUUCUGAGGCUCAGUCUAGGGAUCUAAGUAAACAGUACAUAUUUCAGAUCGCCGAUCAGAUUGUGUAGUGGUGAGCCUUGUUUAUUCUAGAAGGUCUGUUUACUUUCAGACGACUAUUAUUAGACAUGAUUUUUGAUCUACUGGGAGCCUUGUCCUAGUUUUCAGAUUGUGUUAGAAAUAAUAUAGUAGAGAUUUCGCAGACUGAGUCAGAUGUUGUUUGGAUAUUGUUGGAGUUUUCCUUCAUUGUUAAACUAAUUUCAGAGUAUGACCAUGUUUCCGUAUUCGAUUUAUAAUUCUGCAUUUUCCUUUUAUUAUAUGAAUGUUGUACAUGAUUACCAGAUAGAGUAGGACAUUCGGGCCUUUAUGGGUCGGAUGUCCAUCACGGCCAGGGCCCCAGUUCGGAUCGUGACAUUUGGUCAACCUUUUUAGCUGAUGUGUCAUCUUUGGUCCCAAUCACUUGUUUACUGAACAAAUCAACAACUUUUUUUCAGUUUCAACACUUCUAUUCAAACACUUAUAUGCUUAAUCACUUAUUUUAAGCUUUUAAUUAUAUAAGCUAAAAAAAAUUAUUUUAUAAAAGUACAUUUGGUGAAAAAGUUAUUCCUCUAAUCAUUCCAAACAAUCUCCAGGUUGCCUUCUACUAAAGUUAUGUACAUUAGCUGGUACAUAAUUAUAGUUGAUUCUAGUCACUAAUGUUUAGGUAAUAUAUAUGUCACAACAUGAAAAACUAUUUACAUUCUCAAUCAAAGACAACGCAGUUAGCAAUUAUUCAGUGUAGUUUAAUAUCUUUACUUUUAAUUUUUAGGAUGUUUUUACAUAUUGUUUUUAUAAAUUCUAACAAAGUAAACAACAUUCAGAGCAUGUUUAGAUUGUCUUAUUUUAAAUGUUUUUAUGUCAAAAUAUCUUUUAAGUACUUUCUUUGUGAACUUUUCAUAAGUGUCGUGUUUAUUAGAAAUGUUUUAUCUCUUUUAUUUUAAAUGUUCUUUAGUUAGUUUAAAAUGGAGGAUUCUCUUGUUAUCUUGAAAUUAUUAUUGAUUUAUUUUAAUUAAUGAUGUAAACCUCAAAUAAAAGGUCACCUGACAAAGCUAUUUUUGCAAAUUCACCAUUAAAAAGUAAUUGCAUGAAUGAGCUAGUUUUGUAACAGUGACGACAUGAAUGAGACGAACUUUUAACUGAUAGCAUAAAUGAGACAUUCUGAUAGUUCAAUGAAAUAUCUGAGUCUUUCUUCUUACUUUAAUUAAUGAUGUGGACCUCUAAUAAAAAGCCACGUGGUAAAGCUGUUUUUGAAAAAUCACCGUUAAAAAAAAUGAUAUGGAUGAGAUAAUUUUGUAAUGGUGAUGGCAUGAAUGAGACGAGCUUUUAAUUGAUGGCAUAAGUGAGCAAUUUUUGAUAGUUCAAUGGUAUAUUUGAGACUUUACCCUUAUUUUUGUCACUUCAUUUAAGCAUAUAUAACUUUUAUAUUGUAAAAUGUUUAAAAGUUAUCUUUGUUUUAAUUGAUAUAUAAAAUUUAAAUUUUUAAGUGACAAAAGACUAUUUAAUUAAAAAUAUGUAAUUAAGUAGUGGAGUCAAUAUUUUUAUAAAAAAAAUAAAAUUAUAACUAAACAUAAGCAUUAGGCAACAAAUUCAACGUAUAAUAUAUUCAUAAAUAAAAAUUAUACUUAUAGAAUAAUUUAUUAAUAGAAAAAUAUAUUACCAAAAAAUAACGAGUAGCGAAGAAAAUAGUAUUAAAAACUAUGGGAAUAUAUAUGGAUGUGAAAAGUGAUAUAUAAAAGCGGGUUUAAGGAGGGUAUUUUUGUUAGGGAAAAGGCUCAAAUAUGACAUUGAACUAUCAGAAAUGACUCAUUGAUGCCAUCAGUUAAAAGUUUAGCUCAUUCAUGCCAUCGCCAUUACAAAAUCGGCUCAUCCAUGCCAUUAAUUUUUAAGGGUGGUUUUAAAAAACAGCUUUGCCACGUGGCCUUUUAUUAAAGGUCCACGUCAUUAAUUAAAAUAAGGAAAAAGACUCAAAUAUGCCAUUAAAUUAUCAGAAAUGGCUCAUUUAUGCCAUCAGUUAAAAGUUCAGCUCAUUCAUGCCAUCGUCAUUAUAAAAUCAGCUCACCCAUAUCAUUACUUUUUAAUAGUGGGUUUUCCAAAACAGUUUUGUCAUGUGGCCUUUUAUUAGAGGUCCGCGAUAUAAAUUAAAAUAAAUCAAUAUUAAUUUCAAAAUAUCUUAUACCCAUUAAAAACAGCCGAUUCAUUUAAUAUAACCCGACCCACACCCAUUAAAAUAUUUUUUCCUACAACAACAACUAUUUUUCUUAUCAGAAAAAAUAGUGAUUAAUGUAUAUCCUUUGGCUAUUUCUAGUUCAUUCUAAAUCAUUAUAAAUGCUAUGCUUAACAGAAACCUAAAAAAUUCUAUCUUACAGUAAUUAAUUAGUUUUAAUUCCAGUGACUACAAUAUAUACUCUGAAGUUGCAAGAAAAGAAAGCAAUGAACGAUGAGGGCAAGCAAGAAAAAGAAAGAGGCGUACCAAUAGAACUUCUCAACUCUCCCAUCACGAAUUACGGGAGUAUACAUUAUUGAAAAAAUUAUUUUCAAAUAACAACUUAAAAGAAGUCUGUUAUCCCAAUUAUCCCGCUAUGCAUACAGAAUAACUUGUCCCAUCAUGAAUUAGUGGAGCAUACAUUGUGGAAAAAUUAUUUUCAAAUAACUGCUUAAAAGAAGUCUGCUAAUCCAAUUAUCCCGCCAUCUAUAUGGGAUAACUUCUCCCAUCUUUAUGGUAUAAAUGUUGGAAUAAAUAAUCCUGAUACUAACUAAUUUCACAUAUUUUGAAAUUAAUAUUGAUUUAUUUUAAUUAAUGGCGUGAAUUUCUAAUAAAAGACCAUGUGGAAAAACUAUUUUUAAAAACCCAUCAUUAAAAAGUAAUGGCAUGAGUGAGUUGAUUUUAUAACGGUGAUGGCAUGAAUGAGCCAAACUUUUAACUGAUGGCAUAAAUGAGUCAUUUCUAAUAGUUCAAUGGCAUAUUUGAACCUUUUUGCUUAUUUUAAUUAAUGACGUGGACCUCUAAUAAAAAACCAUGUGGCAAAGUUGCUUUGAAAACCACCGUUAAAAAGAAAUGACAUGGAUGAGCUGGUUUUGUAACAACGAUGGCAUGAUUGAGCUCAACUUUUAACCGAUGGCAUAAAUGAGUCAUUUUUGAUAGUUCAAUGGCAUAUUUGAUCUUUUUCCCUUUUUGUUAUUUUACACAUUUUAUCCCAGUAUAAGUUAUCUCAGUACUACUAUACCACCCUAAGAUAGGGAUAACUUAUCCCAGUACUAACUAUUAAUCCUUGGAUAAGUUAUUUCACACUUCUAUAACUAACAAAGGAUUAAGGGGUACUAAAAAGUUAUCCCGAAAUUAUUUUUCCUUAUCCCUCGUGCCAAACGAUCCCUUAAACAUUAAAUUCACAAAAUUUUAAUCUGGUAUCCGCCUAUGUCAUUGUAAGAAUGACAUAUAGUUGGUGUUUGACUUGGUAAAAAAAUUAAGUGGCAGACCAAGAAAGAAAUAUAGUUAUUGCUUGACUGGGAAAAGGAGUCAUCCAAUAAUUUUACAAUCAAAUGUACAGUUAGUGCUCAUGAUAUGGUGUACAAUUUCUUGAAAGUUUAUAUUUGAAAAUGGUUGAACUUUUUCCUAUUGGUUAAUUUUUCUAAUGUUGUUCUCAUCAAGCUAAGAAGAAAAUUUUAGUUGCAAACCAAGUAGUUAAUAAUUUGCUAGGGAUAAGUUAAGUGAAACAAGUUAUGAUCUAAGGCAUAGAUUCAGUGACAAAAGUUAUGCCCCAAAAUAAAGUUCUCUACAAGUCUUGCCUUGCGAAAUAGAUAUUACUCCCUCCAUAAAUUUUUACUUGUCCAAUUUAGACUUUCCACUUCCCUUAAGAAACAAUGAUUAAUAUGAGGUUUUUUUUUUAUUACCACAAUAUACAUAUUUAUUCAUGUAUGUGGUGGAAAGGUUUGAAAUUUUGCUAGUGAUCGAUGAUGAAUCUGUGUGAAAUGAAUGUGCAGCUGACCACAUGAUUUACUGACCAAAUGAAUUUGGUGCAAAUUGUUAGUGUCUCUGCUAUGUCUCAUGGGUUCAACGUCUGUAGUGCACAAGUAAUUUGGGAAGAUUAUUUUGUUUUACUGUCCAUAUAAUGUCUCGUGCUCGAGUAAAUAGGUGUUUAGUCUACUUUGAGACAACAUAAAUGAAAAUAUAUUUGAUGAUCAUCAGGCUACCCUCCGAUUCUUCCCAAUAGAUAUCAUGAGGUGGACAGAAAUGACUGUAAUUAUCCUCAGUACUAAUAACCAACACAGUAAUAACUAGUAGUUCCACAGCCUAUGAUGAGCACCACAGUUUGUAAUGAGUUCCACAGCCUAUAAUGAUACGCAUAGUGAGAGCACAAUGGGGAAUAUAAUGAAGAAUGUCUGCAAUCUCGAAAACGAACACAUGAACAAAGGAGCAGAAAAAAAGAGUACAACACAAGCCAAUGAAUAUCCUUCCCUGGAAAUUAUGCCGAGAACACUCGCAGAGAAAUUUCUAUCUCAAGGCUUCAAAUUUCUAGCUGAAACUUUGCAACCAACUCAGCUAAAAGCUUUGUGUGUUGUAUACAUAACAGCAAUCAAACAUUUGAUACAGGUCUAAAUUUAAUUUCCAUGUUCGUAUCAGCAAUCAAAUCAUUUGAUAGUCUGCUCUCACCAGAUAACUCAUGAACUAUCUUUUAAAACAUUUGUAUUACUUUCCUAUAUGUUUUAUUAAAAUUCUCCACCAUGAAAAGCAAAAAUGAUUUCCAUUGUUAGUGAUGGAUACAUCACAGAGAUAUCAAGUUUAUCUGAAUUCAAUAUUUUUAAUGUAAAGACAAAUUUAUGUAUAAAAAUUUAUUAAAUUUACACCAAAAUUAAGUUCUAACUCAUAAUUUUACAAAUACAAUAGAUUCAAUACUAAAACCCUUAAAGAUUAAGUUCAUAAAAUUUUAAUUUGAAAUCUGUCUAUGUCAUUAAAUGUAAGGAUGACAUAUAGUUGGUAUUUGACUUGGCAAAGAAAAAAAAAUUAAGUGGCUGACCAAGAAAUAUAGUUAGUGCUUGACUUGUAAAGGAGCCGUCCAGUAAUUUUACAAUCAAAUGUACAGUUAGUGCUCGUGAUAUGGCGUACAAUUUCUUGGUAGUAGAUAUUUCAAAAUGGCUAAACAUUUUCCUAUUGGUUGAUUUUUCCCAUGUUGAUGAUCCAUCCAAUUUGCCCAAAAUUUGAAGGAUUGAGCACAAUAUAUUUUCAUAUUGACUGAUUAUAGUUCAACCCAACAUAACCCUCAUCCAAGGGGUCAUUUGCACAUGAAUUAUUUUGGGGUAAUAUUUAAUUUGUUUUUCCUUUAGCACUUUAAGUUUUAAAAAAAUGGCUGAAAUGCCCUUGACCGCGAAAAAAGAAAAAAAAAAAACUCAAGGCAAAAUGAUUUGCUAGACAUAAGUUCAGUGGCACAAGUUAUGCCCCAAGACAAAGUUCUCGUCUUGCCAUGCAAAAUAGAUAUUACUCCCUCCAUUAAUUUUUACUUGUCCACUUUAGACUUUCCACACCCUUAAGAAACAGUGAUUAAUGUGAGUUUUUUUUUUUACGACAAUAUACAUAUUAAUUCAUGUAUAUGGUGGAAAGGUUUGAAAUUUUGCUACCAAUCAACGAUGAAUCUGUGUGAAAUGAAUAUGCCUAGUAGUAGUAGGUGAUCUUCCAAUAAAGUGAGCUAAGGGGAUCAGCCUAGAGUUAGACCGAUAAUAUGGCAAAGGGCCCCGAAGAGCAAAGAAUACGUUUUUAGACUUGUCUCUCACACCAUCAGCUGUACCAAAAACGGACUGUGAGACAUUACUCGAACAGAAGGUAGAAGAUUAACAGGAGGCAUACCUGGAGCUAAUUUAACGAACUGCUUAGUGUUAAAUUUGCGGGGUCAGGUUGGUAUGGCCGCGACAAAGACUCGGUUUCAGAUGGGAAACUUAGUGAGUCAGCAUAGUGGGGAAUCCAGCGAAUCGUUGAAAAUAACAGAUCCCUUCUGCAGUGUAGGAACAAACAAAAUCCAUUCCUCUCUAAUCAGGAUAUUUUGUUAUACUAACCAUUUAUAUUACAUGCCUAUCCGUAUUCAUACAGUUAAUUCCUCUAAAAUAUUUUGGUUUUACUUAUUCAAUUUACAAGUUCCCCCCUGUUGCAACAAUAAUACUAAGAGGAAACAGUGAGAUUUAUUGCAACCAUCUAGCAUUUCUGAAAACAGAAUCAUGCAAAUCAAUUGCUAAAACAAAACAAUACAAAACAAUACAAAACAAUAAUCUUUACAUGAAUACAACAAUUUAGAAAAAUUUGAAACAAACAAGUGACUCAGAUUCCAAAAACAUGCUCAACAUGCAAGAAGUUGAAUCUUGAUCUUCUGCAGCAUCCCUACAACAUCUUUCAUGUUAGUCCUUCUUGCCGGAGAUUCAGCACAACAAUCUAAUGCUACUUUCAUGAUUGAUGCCACAACAUUUAACUCCUUCUGUAAGUGAUUACCAGUUGAUGUUACCAAGUUGGCAUCCAUGACGUCCUUUAUUGCCUCUGGGAAUGAAUAACUCACCCAUUGCUUCAAGCUAAGGUCACCCUCAAACUCAUUAGGCUUUCUCCUAGUAAACGUUUCCAUCAACAUGAUUCCGUAACUGUAUACGUCGCACUUUGUUGAGACUAGUCCAUCCAGUCCAUACUCUACAGUCAAACAAUUCAUUUAAAGAUGCAAUAUACUUUCUUGGUGGGAAAAAAAGAAUGGAGUAAUCAGCAGAACAAAGAGACGUACCCGGAGCAAUAUAACCCAGUGUUGCUAAGGUUUCAGUGUAUAAAUCACUCUCAUCGUCACCAAGUAGUUUUGAAAUGCCAAAGUCGCUUAGGUGGGCAACCAUAUCCGCAUCCAGUAAGACAUUACUAGGCUUUAGAUCACAGUGAAUCACAACCGACGAACACCCGUGAUGGAGAUAUUCCAAUGCACAUGCCACAUCUAUCAUUAUGCUUAGUCUUUUCCUGAUGUCGAGGAAGUAGUUGUGCGAAUACAAAUACUUCUCAAGACUCCCGUUAGGCAUAUACUCGAGAACUAAAGCCUUGAAAUCAAGAUUGGAACAACUAGUAAUGACUUUUACGAGAUUCCUAUGGCGAAGGCUACACAAAACUUCACAUUCCGUAUCAAAACUCUUGAAUGCUGCAUCUAGUUGCAGGUUGAACACUUUAACUGCAAUGGCAGUUCCAUUUCUGAGAAUGCCUUUGUAAACAGAGCCAAAACUUCCAGAACCAAUCAGAUUACUCUCGCUAAGUGCAUUAGUUGCUCGGAGAAGUUCAUAGUAUGAAAUCCUUUCUCUUGCUAUGG